UCAGAUUCUUCAAAUAUCCAAGAGAGGGAGGGAUGACACCAGAGAGCCCAUAGUUAAAACUCAAAUCCAAAUGAAUAAGAUUCUUCAAAUAUCCAAGAGAGGAAGGGAUGACACCAGAGAGAUUGUUAUAAGCCAAAUCCAAUUCCUCUAAUAGAGUGAGGUUACCCAGUGAAACAGGUAGCUCACCAUAAACAUCACAUUCAGAUAUACGGAGGUAAGUGAGUUUUGUAAGCAUACCUAUCUCAUCUGGGAUGCGACCAUAGAUGGAAGAAUGGCUAACGUAGAGAUGGAGGAGGCUGGGAAAUGAAGAAAACUUCAACUUGCUAAGCUCAACCAUUUUACCAUCGAUAUAUGAAUAGGUAAUUCGAACGACAUGUCCCUCCGUAUUGCAGGUGAUGCCUUCCCAUGUGCAGUGAUGAGAAGUCGUGUUUUCCAUGUACCACCACCAAGUGGAGUUGCGGAGAGCCUCGGCCUCAGCCUCCACCUGUGCCUCCGUUGUAGCAGCAGCAGCAGGUGGUGAUGAGAUCAAGAGCAUGUUAUAUAAUAACAAUACCAUUGAAACCACCAACGCCCUACAAGUAAUGGAACACCACUCCAUUUUUGCUUGUUUUCGAUUAAUAUUGCUUUGCCCCAGUUUCAGCCUUUAUUAACUCGUGUUUCAGCGGCUGCAACUCAAGCCAGUCAAAGAAGUCGGCUGGAAAUUCAGCGGAAAUGAAGAUAAGAUCAAGAGCAUGUCAUAUAAUAACAAUACCAUUGAAACCAACCAACGCCCUACCAGUAAUGAAACACCACUCCAUUUUUUCUUGUUUUCGAUUAAUAUUGCUUUGCCCCAGUUUCAGCCUUUAUAACUCGUGUUUCAGCGGCUGCAACUCAAGCAAGUCAAAGAAGUCGGCUGCAACUCACGCAAGUCAAAGAAGUCAGCUGGAAAUUCAGCGGAAAUGAAGAUAAUUAAUAUUUUUGAAAUUUUAAAAUAAAAACUCAAACGAUAAUGAUAUUAUAAAAAAAUAAUAUUCACAAUUUUUUUUUAAAUUAAUUUUAGGAAAUAAUAAAACCUCACCUGUAUUUAGAAAAUGAUAUAAUAUUUUCUAACUCUAAAUAUAUGUAUUAUAAAAAUAUUACAAAUUUUAACGUUAUGUCAAUCAUUGCAAAAUAAAUGUUUUAUUUACCUUAUUAAUUUCAUUAAUUCUAAAAAGGAAAUCAAGGCAAAUUCUAUUUUAUCUUUUCUUCUUUUGUCUUCAAAUCAUACCUACUUUACAGGUGUUGAGCAAACUACAUAAAGUCAACCAAGUCUUCGUGGGCUCAUGUGGCUGGAAACUAGGUGGAUGAAGUAUGAAUAGAGCAAAAAUGUAUACCUAAAAAAAUAAAAAACUUCUAUAAGAAAAUGGUAGAAAUCUUGUACUGCAAUGAUACCUGAUCAACAACUCAAAUAAAAAUAAAAAUAAAAAAUUAAUUAACUUUUAGAAACUAAAUCAAAUUUUCAUCUUGAAAAAUUCCCACUUCAGUUUUACAACCACUUAAACAACAUUCCGUAGUAUGAUUUCACCAAUAGUUAUCAUGUAAGUAUAUAUAUAUAUAUAUAUAUAUGAUUGAGUGGGAAAUAUAAUUGAAAGUGAGAGUUUACAUGCGUUCUAAAUUAUAUGCAUUGCAUAAAAUACAAACUUUUCAACUCUUUUUAAUUUUUUUUAUUUUAUAAAUAUUUUUUUAAUGUAAUAUGUAACUUGAUAAAUAAGAGAACAAAAAAUGAUGAAAGUCAUAUAUAUUAAAAAUAAUAAAAAUAUAAAAUAAUUGAGGGGGAAAUACAAUUGAAAGUGAGAGUUUGCAUGUGUUUCAAUUAUAUGAAUUACACAAAGUACAAACAUUUCAAUUUUUUUAAAAAAAUUUAUUUAUUAUUUUAGAAAUAUUUUUUUAAUGUAAUAUGCAUGGUUUUAAAAACUAGAUGAGACCGUCGAUCGGUCACCGUUUCUAUCCGAUUCACACCUUUGAGUUGGACAGUUUUUGAAUCGCCUUGAGACUGAUGAACCGAUUGACCUGACCGAUUUUGGACAAAAAGAACGGUUCAAAAAAUAUAUAUCAAUCUCAAAACACUAUCACCAUGAUGACGCCAUUCUGACGGUCCUAACAUUGACUCUUCCCAUAAGUAAUAAUUCAAUAAAUUGUUUUAAAGUUUUGAUAUAGAAAUGUCAAAGUGACUAAAUUUGUGGCUCUAAAUUAAUAAUUUUGUGAAUUUUAAAUUUAGUUAUUAAAUAAGUUAAAAAAAAAUCUUGAUAUUUGAAUUGAUUAUCUUUAAAGAGAAAAACUUUAAAAUAUCCAUUAUAUACAUAUAAAUAUGUUAUUGAAUGAAAAUACCAAUUAUAUACAUAGAAGUUUGUCAUUGAUUGAAAAUAAGAUAUGUGAUAGAGAAAAGUUAUUUUUUUGGUAUCAUAAUUAAAUUUAAAAAAUAAAAUAAAAUAGUGAAUUAAUAAUUCAAUAACAUAUCAAUAUUUUAAUUUUAACAUUUCAUAUCUGUGGUUAAAUAUGAAUUAUUAAAUAAAAAUGUCAUAAAAUAAUAUUUGAAUAUACAAACCCAAGAUUAUGAGUCUUUCACUCACAUUUUUAUAUUUUUUUUUAUAUUUUAUAUUUUUAUUUUUAUUUAUUUUAUUUUUUUAUUUCCAUUAUUAUUUAUUUUCAUUUUACAAUUGUAAUUUUUUUAACUUUAUGGUUUCUAAAAUUAUAAUUUUAAUUCAAAUAAAUGAAAAUAUUAUGAUUUUAAAUAAAUUUAUGAAAAUAUUGUGUUACUCAUAAUUUAUCAUUUUUAUUUUUAAAAUUAUUUUUAAUUUUAAUAAUAUAUAAAAAUAUAUAUUUAUGACGUCACCGGUUCAAUGCCGAUCCGACUAGUGAACCGGUAACUUUUUCAUUUCAAUGAUCGAUUCGAUUAUGAAAACAUUGGUAAUAUAUCAAAGAAGAUAAAAAUCAUUUAAAUAUAUUCUAGCCUUUUACCCAUCAUUCUCUAAAAAAAGAAUGAAAUGUUGAAGAUUUUUGUAACUUGACAUGCAGAAGAUAAAUUUAUAUUUUUUGAUAUAAAAAAAUUAUAAAAAUUGAAAAAUAAAAUUAGGGACAUUGAUCAUAUAAUACAAUGGAUGUCAUUAGCAAAUUCUAAUAAGAAGGUAAAAAAAUUAUACCCUUUGUAAGUGCAUUUUUAAUUUAAGUUGAUAAUUUUAUCUUUUUUAUUCACAUGUAGGACAAUUUAUAUUACUAUAUCAUAUACUUCAUCAAAGAUUUAAUGUUUCUAAUAAUUAAUCAAGGAUGAAAAGGGUUUUUUUUUUUUUUUUUUUUUUUUUUUACAUAUAACGAAAACUAAAAUUAUUUCUUGUUUUUAUUUUUUUUACAUAAUAGCAAAUAUUUCUUAUUUUUUAUUUUAAUAGUAAUAAAUAAUAAAAUUAGAAUUAUUAAACAUUUUAAUAUAAUUAUAAACUAAAACAUACUACAUAACACAUUAAAACCAUCAACGCAUUAUUUGAUCAUUAUCUUAAUUACAUGGUUAGCCGAGAUUGUUGAGGGUUCGCAUUACCGGGACCACUGCAACUGCCUGAUGGACGCGCCUCCUCAAUUGAAGAUUAUGCUUCCUUUCUUCGACCUGCAAAAGAUGUUCGGAUAGGGCGUCCGGACACACCCUCCGAUGAUUUUGUUAGUUUUUCUCUCUUAACACUUUGAUAUUCUCUCUUGGGCCCUCCUCCUUAGGAAAAAUGCUUACCUUCUUUUAUUGUGUGGGGGCCUUUUAGAGUGCUAGGAGCUUUGUCCCUUUUAAUGGUGGGAAGACUUUUUGGCUUGUCAUGAUGGUGCUUAGAUGGUGGCAGAGCCAUCAUUAUCCUGCAGGUGGCUGUAAGAGAUUAUUGGGGGGAUGACUUGUCGUCAUCCUUGUCUUUUCAUCCUGCAGGCGGUGCAGGGCAGGUCGUGGCAAAUUGCCUGAAGUGACCUAGAAGGGUCCUGUCAAGCUAUUGAGUCUGCUUUUAGUAGUAUGAAUAAUGAUGGCCCGUGAAACGCGAUCAAGACUUUUGUCUAAGACGCUAGCCACUGAGUCCAGACAGGACAUCCGGACAAGGGAGGUGUGGAUGGCAUGCCCGUCCCAUGGUCAUCUGGAUGGAGGGUUGGACGCGCCACGUGUCCAAUGGAGGAGUGCUCUUAUGGUGGGAUAUUAGAGUAUGGGAGGAUUCUCACCUCCAUCAUUGCCAGAGUCAUAUGCUGCCAUGGUGCUUAUGCUGCUUUCACUGCACACAAGUUAUUUUGAGUUUCUAAUUAACCUUAACAGAACAAUAAAAAUUAGACUCCAAAAGAAUCAAGUGAUUAAAUUAAGUUAAAUACACACCUCUUUUAUCCACCAAAAGCAAACCUAAAUUAAAAGAUGAAAAAAAAAUAAAAAAUCAAGGAGCUGAAGUACUUACUAAGAUAAUUGGAAAUGGGUCACGAAGCUUAAGAAAAAUUUAAAAAUUAGAAAUUUAAUUCCUUCUCCAAAGCACUGCUGACAAAGGAGAGAGAACUUUAAUGUUAGCACUGAUUCAUUCCCAAUUGGUGUCUCAGCUGAUUCAUGUCCUCUCAAUGGUCCCUGAUAAUGGUACCAUUUGAUUUGUGUCCAGUUGGUGUUCCUUGAUUGUGGUCCUCAAAAGGAAGUAAUCAACAAAAUUUAUAACCUAUAUCACCAUGCAUUAGGAUAGUCUUAGCUAAUAUAGCAUAGUGGCUCUAGGAUCGUUCACUAGGAAGGGUUUUCAACUUACAACUGAUACCAAUUCAAAGUUGAAUUGGUACUUUUUCAUUUCAAGGUUAGCUUAAGAAGAAAACAUAAACUUUGGUUGAAAAAGGUUUUGUUUUAAGCUAACUAAAAAGAAAGUAAUGGAAAUUACUUAUGAAAGAAAGCAUUCCUUGGAGUUUUAGGUUCAAAGAGGAGGCUCCUCAUGCAAAAACAGAGCUCCGAUCACUUGAAUCUUUUCGUCGCAUUAGAGAAUUAACAUAUAGUUAAUUCUCUAACCGGUGUUGUACAGAUGUUUCCCUUUAAUGGAUUUCAGCACUAAUUCCCUCUCACUGAUGCAACUUGCAAUGGCUCAUGCCUCUCACCUAGCAUUUGCCAUUCAAGGUGAUCAUUAACCUUGGACUUCCCUUCUCAAGCUCCAAGAGAUAACUAAUGGAUGUCUCCUUAGAGUCCAAAAGCUUACUAAGUGUUGGCAAUUCUAGAAAAUCCUACCUUCAAGUCACCUCCCAAAAGCUCGCAAGAGAUAAACUAGUGCAUCUCCAUGGAUGGAGAUCACUUGCCUUACCAAGUGUUGGCUCAGGUGAAUUGAAGGUGUUUUAAGUUGACUAAAAACAUAGAAAUCAUUAAUGGGUCACACUUUCUCUUCAUUAAUGGCUGAAACAACAAAACUACCAAUUCUUGCAUUUGGGGCCUUACCUGGCAACCUUAGCUCCAAGGAACUAAAAGCCUAGCCACUCAUUCUCUGAGGAAACAUCCUCAGAGCUUGUUUGGCUAGUAAGAAAAAUUAAAUAAUAUACAAUACAAUCAAAACGAGAAGGUAAGGCAGAGCAAAGGCUCUGUAUUUUACUUCCUUGCAAAACUAUACAAAGGAUGUCUGAGAACAAGCUCCCGACCUCUUGUAAUGGAAAUUACAAACAAUAUAUAUGAGGGUAUUUACCCUUUGUUCUUGCUUGAUAACUAAGGAAUCCUAUGAUAGGUGGAUUACAAGGAGAGUUUGGGGAUUUAGACAUCAAAUAUCUAAAGCAAAAAAAAAAUCUAAAAAUGUCGCAAAUAUCGGGAAGCUUCAAGAGAAUUUCGCAGCCGUGCAAGAUGGCUGCAAAAUUUCGCAGCAUGAAGGACACCAUUUCGCAGCCAAAGGCUGAUUUCGCAGCCAUCCUCUUGUGAUUUCGCAGUCCGCGAAAUUGGCCUCAACUUGGAGUGAUCGGCUUCCAAUGGCUCUAACUCCUUCAUUUCAACUCCGAAUCACGUACCAUUUGAAGCGUUGGAUUUCUGACUUCCCGAGCUUCGAAACGACAUAUAGUAUACAUAAUUUGAGCUCCAUGAAGUGCUCCAAAAGUGGCUGACAGAGACUGUCCUCUAGAAUGUUUCAUGGUAGAUUUCUCUCUUUGCUUUCCCUCCUUGCAUUCUGGAUUUGCUUAUGGAAAAGGACUCUAAAGCUUCAAAGCUUUGGUUCUUCAUGUUUUUAAGCUUUCCAUUGCUUUGCCAUGGAUUCCAAAGAACUCUCCUCAAACUCGGAUUGCUUUGGUGAUCAAAUUACUAACAAAAACACCAAAACUUACACAAUUUGAUUAGAAAUGAUUGCAAAGGUCCUUAAUAUGUUAAUUGGGCUAAAAGGUAAUAACUACUACUCAAAAGUGUUUAAAAGAGUUAAUUACAAGCUAUCAAAUAGCACCUUUGAGUAGUAAUCAAGCACAAAAAGGGAUCUUCGUGAUGCUAUAUUUUACACCGCACAUGCUUGUGUCUUCUAUACCUUCCAAUUUGCAAAUAACUCUGCCUCUUCUAAUCCACAUCAAUCAAUGGUUUCCUUCUCAUAUUUCCAAUUGAUUGAUCUGAUCUGAUUUUCAAAGUGGGUACAUGCAUCUUCUUUCUAACAUGGAGAUUACUUGCCAAGCAAUUGGCUGCGCGCAUUAAUCAUUUCCCAUGAUAUCUAGUUGCAUAAAGAAAAGUAAGCUCUCAAGCCUUUUGCUAAUUGAUUAAAAUCAUAGUGAAGAAGACAAUAAUUACAUAAUAAUCAAAUACUGUUCACAGUGAAUGAGACAUGAAAGCUCUAAGCAUUUUCAAAAUUCUUCUACUAAGUGAACAACCAAAUUGUAUCCAGUGUAAAGGUCAAAUCAUCUUCAAGUAACUUGCCUGCUUCUCAUGGUGCAUUAUCUAAAAAUCUAAAAAUCUUGUGACGAAUGACUAAGGCUUCCAAGAAUAUUUGAUGUAUUGAGCCAACAAAUAUUAGACAUAGAAUCGACACACAUAAGUAUUGUAGUCCUUUGUCCUACUAAAAAGAAUGAAUAAAUUAUUAGAUCAAUUAUUAGUGUCUGAAUACUGUAAUUUAAGUGUUAUAUUCUUGCUUACUUCACCACAAUAUUAAAGAAGAUUUGACAUUAAAAAAAAGUAAUAAUUAUUCAUAUUCAUGCCAUGAACAAGGACCUCUUUUAUGUUAUGGAUAUAUAAAAUAUAUUAACAAUCCAUUAUGCUAUGUUUGAGAGCUCACACACAAAACAAAGUAUUGGAAUAAAUUAAUAUAAAUUCAGGACUGAUAGCUCCUAUCCUACUUCCGCCCUUUUUAUGAAAGCAAUUUCCCAUGCUUGGGCCAAACUUGUGAUCGGGAGGAGCAAAUUGGGGUGGGUAAGCAUAAUUGAUAUUUAUUCUUGCCCAAUUUUCCCCUCAAUUUCUGUAAUUCGAUUAUAACAAGCUAAAUUAGGUAUCAAUAAUUACUAUGAGAAAAAAAAAUGGGAUUAAAGGUAUUUCUCUUCUUAGCAAUCAUACAUUACAAAGAGAAUCAAGAUUGCUUACCUAUCAAUUUUCUUUUCUUCUACAACAAGUUAAAAUUAUAGAAUAAAAUAAAUUAAUAAAAUGAAAAUACUAGCAACCAAACUAGUAAAAAAUUUGUUGGACCUUCAAAGAGAUGAUGAAGAGAAUACUAAAAAUGAUGAAAAUAUUGUUGGCAACAACAAUAAGAGUAUAGUACUGAUGUGACAACAAUAAUGACAAAGAUUACUAUGACAUUAGAGGGAAAGAGUACCCAUGAUGCGAAUCAUUCAUAGAGAUGUGAACAACGAUAGUGAUAGAGAUGACUAUGAUACUAGAGCUAUAAUUGGAGUGAAGCUAAGAUAAGUUCCUCACAAGCGUUGAGGUUCAUUGAUAAGAAUUAUCACAUCAAUUUCUUGUCUUAAGGAUGCUCAUCUUUGCUAUAGUUUUUUUUUUUUUUUUAAUCUUUGAAUUUUGGGAUAAUUUUGUUUUGGACCCAGCUAGGCCCAAAAAUUAAGUAUUGGUCCAUAUAAGUUCACCAUUUAAGCCCAAGACCCAAAGGAAGUGUGAAAAUCGAGAAGAAGGAUAUGAAUUUUUUAUCUUUCUGAAAAUGACCUUUGUUGACUAUGAAAAAAGAAUUUAGAAAAAUCCACUCUGAAAUUCUAUUUAUGUUACCCUAAUUUUACUCUCUUCGACAUUUCAUUUCAGCCCUAGAUAGUGGCAUUUUUCAUCUCUUCCAAUUUCCUCCCUCGCUUCCAUUUCAUUUGAGGCCUAAACAUUGCCCUAAUCUCUGAGGCGAUUUCCUUAUCUCUCAAUUUCGUCUCUCCCAACCAUUUGAUUUCAAGCCAGUGGCAUUUGUCAUCUCUACUGAUACAUUACCCUCAUCAAUCCCCAUCGAUGUUACCCUUCGUGUCAUAGUAGUUGGAUAUUUGAGGUUAGUUGGUUCUCCAAUUUCAUUUUCUCUUGAUUUCGUCUCUCGACCAUUUGAUUUCAACCCAAAUACAUUGCCCUAAUUUCUCUCCUGAUUUCAAUUUGUUGUCUAUUGUUCUCUCGUCAAUCCCCACCGGCGUUGCCCUCUAUGUCAACCGUAGUUGGAUAUUUGAGGUUAGUAAGUUCUCUAAAUCUAGCCCUAGAUUUGUUUAAUCCUACAUUUUGUUUAAUUGUCAUUGGUAUGGGGAGAGAGAUUCUUGUUUUCUAUUAACCUUCAGUUUACGAAGUAAAUUUAGGGUGCUAUUAAUAUUUUUUGCAACCUAUCUGUGAAUGGAAAUAGUUUUUAUUUAUUAUAGUGUUUUUUUUUGCUGAGAUACAUAGGUGACUUAUGAAAUUUGGGUGCUUGGGUUUUCUCUUUUUACACUAAUGGAUUUUUUCGAUAGUUGAACCAAAUUCUAGGGAAGGAAUGUUUCAAAAUUAUGCACCAUCCCUACUUAAUUUUUGGAUAGUAGUAUUCAUUUGUACCCUGUUUUAUUGGUGAUACUACUAGUGGCCCCCGUUUUUUGUUCCAAGAUAAACAUGCUUAGUUGUUAUCUGCCUUUUAUGAGUGGUUAUGAAUUGUUCUCCUCAUGACAUAAAUUGAAAUUAUUAUGCGCCUAAAUAUAGUGAGUAUCUAAAUGGAAUUCGAUGAUGGCACCAAGAAAUAAAAUGUGCCAAUAUUCUUAAAAAAAUAAAAAUAAAAAUUAUUGACCAUGUUACCCUUCAACCUUGAGGACUAGGGUUAUGGAAUCAGAUUCAACCAACAUUGGCUCACACUUACCUCAAUAUGAGCAUGAACCUGUGUCCCGUGUGAAGGAAUAGAUAGCUUAUAUGACUUAUCAACACCAUUUUGUAACUACACAACACAACAAAUUUCACUGGCAGAAUUGGCAUUUCUUCAAUAAAAUAAACAGAAUAAUGCAAACUAAAACAAACUUCGAACAACUUUUAGAGACAAACAUGUGAAUAUGAAAAUAAAGUUCUAAUGAAAAAGGAAAUCAUACACUACUAUUUUCCUUAAGGAAAAGAAUUUUGUUCCAAACCUUCGGCUCAGGGUUUGAUUUCCACCUCAAAAAAAGUACUCAUCAAAUAGAAUGUAUAGAACAUCACUACAGUUCCCAUACCAAGUCAAUUUUUAAAUUUUUGUAAGCAUAAAUUGAAAUUAUAUGAACAGUAAAACUCCUAUGCAUUACAGUACCUAAAAACCGAAUCUCUUAUCUUCAUUCAUAAAAAAAAAGUGCUUACUCAAAAGUUGUAUUCAGAUCAUGAUUUAACUUCAAUUAUUUAGAGAUCUCCUUAUGGAAUAAAUAAAAGGGUUUGCUUGAACAAUGUCAAGUGUACCAAAUGGACUUGGUUUUCUUAAUCAAGUCUCUGAAUCAGUGUUAAGUUUGCUUUAAUAAUAGAAAGGUUUUUUUAUUCUGUUAGUAGUUCAGAGUCAUAUGCACACGAGCAUAGGUGUAAAUGAUGCUAUGAACAAGCUGUGGAACCUCAAAUUAGUUUAUCAAUGUAAGGUUGAAGACCUAGUCAGGUACUUCAUUCAUAGGAACAUGAAUUACUUUUAUGAAGAUUAUGGAGCAUAAGAUCACAUAUGUUAUUGAAUAAGCUAGGAUUUAGGGCUUGGUAGUUAAAAGUUGUAGUAGAAGUGAUAUUCUGAUGCCUAGGUUAAAUGUUUCAGUAGCUACUAUGUCUCAUGUAUAUGUUAUUAUUUGUUAUUAUUUGUUUCAAUCCAUUAUUCUGAUUUCAGGGAAUGUUUUAUUUUUUUUCAUGCUUGUCUUUAUGAAAAAAAAAAAAAAACUUUCAAAAGUGACCAACACUAAGUCAUGCUAGGGUGAGCAUUUCUUAGGGUCAAACAAGGCACCCACUCCACUUUAGCCCAUGUCGUUGCAAUUUUCAAUAUAAUAGAAAGAACACAAAAUACAAAAAAAGUAAAAAAAAUAUGUUUGUGUUAUUACCUAUUAUUACUUCAAUUGACUGUCAAUAGACUGCGUAAUUAAUAGUUAAAAGUUAUCCAUCUUAACUUCUCCAUUUCAGCAUGCUUAUUUGAUGUGGGUAGGCACCAUUAGUAUAGGGCCUUCCCUAUUAUUAUUCUCCUUCCUAAUACAUAAAGGGGUUUCAAUCAUACAAUUAAUGGGGUCUCAAACAUAAAGAAUUUUAACAAAUAUGGAUGUGACAAUUCAUCCCUAAACCUAAUAAAAAUACCCUCAGUCCUCCACAAACCUUGGUUCCAAUUCCAAAAACUGUACUAACCCAAAAACCACUUCAACAGAUGGAACAUAUUUUCAUGUUCAAAGGAGGUCAUUGGGCAUAUACCCCACUACCAGUUCUGCAGCGACUUUAGAUCUUCAAGGGAAUUCUUGCUUUUCAAAUUUGUUUGACCCAAAGGAAUUGUGGAGGAAUUACAUGAUCUUCACACAAUCUUUUCCCCCAAACUUCACCAUCUUUCUCCACGAACCAUACUCAAAUUCUCUCUUUGAAUUUAUUUUAUUGGACAAUAUACCCAGGUCAUAGCCACAUACACAUUUUAAAGAUAUCUAACAUGGCAACUUCAAUUGAUCGCAUAUAAAACCCAAAUUUUACAAACAUCUGCUAUGGAAAUUUGAAGGGUAUAUUUGUCUAAUAAUAUUCUAUAUCUUCUCUCUCAAUUAUGCAACUUAUAUGGCCCAAAGGUUAAUUUUUCAUUAGAAAUGAGUGUGUGAGUUCUUCAAAAGCAUUUGAAAUCCAUCAAGAUAGGUAGUCUUGUACACCCUUGUAUAGUUAACACAUUUGCCUUGUACACUUAGUGCAAAUGCCUUGUACAGUCAUAGAAAUUCCAUAUAGGUACAACUGAACAAGUGCUUAAGGGUGGGUAAACAAUGUUUCCAUUCUCAUGGAUCAAGGAAAAUGAGAAAAAAAAAUUACCUUAAUUUCGGUUCAUAUUCAUGAUUAGUGGAUGAUCUAAUAAAAUGAAUGAACAUGGUAGACAUCAAAUAAAAUGCAUGCAAUGGGUGUGUGGUCAAGCAAUGUGUGUGAAGAAUGUCCCCCAUGAUUGGAAAAAGUAAAUGAGUAAGUUCUUCAAAAUCAUUUCAAAUCCCUUAAGAUAGACACCCUUGUACACUUUUGUAUAGUUAGUACAUUUGCCUGGUACACUUUGUGUAAAUGCCUUGUAAAGUGGUAGAAAAUCGACAUAGCUACAAUUGAAAAUGAGAGCAUAUGGGUGGGGUAACCACAUUCCAAUGUCAUGGCUGAGCAAAAAUGGGGAAAAUGAAACCCAAUUUAGGUACCUAUUCAUCAUUACUACGGUAGCUCAUCCAAUGAAUGUGUACGAAGAGGAAUGAGGAAUGUCCCACAUCCUUAGAAAAGGGAAAUGAGCAAGCCAGUUUUUCAAAAGGAUUUGAAAUCCUUCAACAUAGGUACCCUUGUACACCUUUGUAUAGUAAGCACAUUUGUCUUGUACACUUAGUGUAAAUGCCUUGUAUAGUGGCAAAAAAUUGACAUAGCUACAACUGAACGCAUGCAUAUGGGUGGGCUAACCAUGUUCCAAUGUGAUGCCUAAGGUAAAAGGGGGAAAUGAAACCCAAUAUAGGUUCAUAUUCAUCAUUAGUACGGGAGGUCAUCAAAUGAACAUGUAUGAAGUAAUAAAAUUGAAUGGGAUCAGUGCGUGAUCAAGGAAUGUGUGUGACAAAUGUCCUUCAUCCUUACAAAAUGGAAAUGAUUUUAAACAGAUUUGAAAUCCUUUAAUAUAGGUACCUUUGUACACCCUUGUGCAGUUAGCACAUUUACUUUGCACAAUUAGUGUAAAUGUCUUGCACAGAGGAAGAAAUUCCAUACAACUACUACUGAAUAUCUGCUCAUACAUAGGUUAAUCAUGUUUGUAAUGUUUUAGUUCAUAAAAUAAGGAAAAACUGAAGUAUCAAUUUCUUCCCCAACUACUAGUCAUCAAACAUAAAGGAGUUUCAAUCAUACAAUUAAUGGGGUUGUGUUUUGGAUCAUAGCAUAAUAAUUUUCAUAAAUAUGAAUGUCACAAUUCAUCCCUAAACCUAAUAAAAACACACUCAAUCCUCCAUAAACCUAGGUUGGAAUGCCAUAAAAUAUAGUUACCCCACAAUUCUACUCCAAAAGGCCAUAUACCUUAUUUAACGUAUUUUCAUCUUCACAGGAGGUUGUUGAGCCACUGGCAUCAUCAUGACCACACUUGUAGCUGCUUUAGAUCUUCGUUGGAGUUAUUCCUUUUCUCUAUUUUGUGUAGUGGACCAACCUCACAAUCAUGACAACCAUCUUCUUUGCUUUUAAUAUACGUUUGAUUUGAAGGAUAGUUAUUAUGGAGGAAUUGCAUCAUCAUCAGAGAAUCUUCUUCCCCAAACUCACCGUCUCUCUCUGUCAACCAUACCCAUUUCUUUUCUUUGGACGAUUGACCCAACAAGAAGAUUUUUAAGUCGGAUUUUUAAGACAAGUGACAUGCCAAACUUAAGGAGAUCUUCUCCAUUUAUGAGUUGCUCACAAUCCUCAGUUGUUGAAGGAAUUGAUUGGGGGACGUCAGAGUCGAGGGAAAAAAAGGGGUAGGAGUGGUGACCGACCUUUAUUUCAAAUUUUUAAGAUAAGUGACGUGGCAUUUUUUUAUUGGUCUCUUAAUAUUUAUAUCCUCCCCAUCAAUUAUGCAACUUAUAUGGACCAAAGCUUAAUUUUUGGGCCCAGUUGGGUCCAAAACCAAUUGUCCCUUAAAUUUUUGCUACUUUUGUAUGUUACUAAUGGAAAUGUUCAUUAUUGAGAGUAGGAAUGACUUUGCUAAAGAUUAAAACUCAUUAUUUCAUGUCGGUGAAAAUGAGUAUGACUUCAAAGGUGGAUAGUGUGAUAAGAUUUAGGGUUUGAGAUUUGAGAGAGAGGGAGUUGUUAAUGGAAAUGGGGUUAUCUUUUUCCACUUUUCACUUUAUAUGGGGAGUAUUUGGAAAUAUUAAGAAUAUAAAAAACAAAUUAAUUUGUCUUUUUCAUUGAUAAGAGGGGCAAGUGGGAGUGGGUUAACACAACCUAAACUUGUCCAAGAUAUAUAAUCCCAUGCUUGACUUGCUUCAGUUAGGAUUUUUUCAAAUCCAUUCCAUUAGAAGUGGCAAUGAUAGCUAAUGCCACAUAUUAAAAACAAAACCAAAAUUAAGUACUAUUUAUUAUUUUUAAAAAGAAAAAUAUGAGGAUGAUGUAAAAUUAUUAGCAACAUGUGUUCAAAAAUCAUUUUGGAAACUUUUUGUCCUCUUGAAAAUGAAUAAUUUAAAAAAAAAUUGUUUUUCAAUUUGUGUUUUAAAUAAGGUAAGUUUUUAACAAUUGAAAAUGAUUAAUUAGUUUUGUAGGUACACUGGAAACUAUUGGUUAGUCGCAAAAUAAGAAUCUUCUAUAAAGUUAAACAAAUGUUUUCCUAAUGAAAUUCAUAAUUUCCCUACAGAUGAUCAAUAUAUCAAAUGCCACAAUAUUGAAGGUCCAUCAAUAAAACUGAGAAAGAUUAAGUUAGUCUAAUUGUUACGCCUACAAAUAAAAGAAAUUGCAAAAUAGCUUAUUCAAAAACCAACUAUACAGACCGAGAUGCAAUAAUACUAUCAAGACUAAGAUCCAUGUCUUUGAUAAUGUUUAUAUUCAAAGUACUUUAAAUGAAAUUCUUGAUGAAAAAAUAACUUAUUAAGCAUUUCUCCAGUAAAUACUAUAAGUGAUUUUUCAACUUUUUAAAUUUUACUAAACGCUUAUUUUUUUCUUUAAAAAUACUUUUUAAAAUUGCUAUCAAAUGGGCUCAAAGAUGAAAAGAUUUCUCAUCUCCAUAUGUCGAUGCAAAUAUAAAUAUAUGAACAUUUCAUUUAGUUUCAUAUGAUAUAGAUGGUAAAUAAUUUAAUUGGUGCAUAUUAUUUUAAAAUUAACUCUUAUAACACUAGUCAACAAUAAGAUCAUCCAAUUCUCUAGUGUGGGAUGCUCAUGUCCAUCUAGUAUGACUCUUAAUUUGUGUAGCCGUAUCUUCGUCCAUCCAUCCAAGGAUUUGGACGGAUAAAGACUAUCCAAGCACUACUUAUUACUACCUGUCAAGCACUAAAUACAAAACACAUUAAGAACAUUGAGUGUCACAACCAUUACUAAGCAUAAAUGACAGACUUUAGAGCUCAAAAACUGUUAUGCAAGCCAAUUAAAAGGCAUUAAAGGCAAUUGAAACACAUGGGACAUGUUAUGGCUUGGCUGAAGAUAAAUAGCCAUCAAACGUCAGAAUGAAGGUAGACAAUUAGAACCCAUUGACCUCUUACCCAACUCCCCUCUGUCUAAUUUAAGCUUCAGAGAGGUGUGCCUUGGAAAACCAUCUGGACACUCUUUAUUGUAGGUAUACUUGUCGUCCAAACCAAGAGGAGGCCAACCAGAUGCAAACAUUGUUGGUCAUGCACCAACAUCUAGGACUUAAAAAAAAAAGAGUGGCAAGCCCCAUGUUGCUUCAACUAGUAGUUGUCAAUUCUAAAUACCCCACACUCCAAAUAACACCCUAAUUAGUUAGGGUUGUUCCAAAUCAUCACUACUCACUCUUAGAAAUUUCAUGUUUAUUCCUUUAAGUUCUUGCCCAUACAAUCAAAAUUCAAAUAAAUUUACUAUAUAACAAAAUUAUUUCCACAUGUAUAAAACUAUUAUAUUUUAAAUAUGAGUCUUUUAUUACGAAGUUUUUUUACAAACUGAUAAAUAAAUACAACAUUAAUUUCAUUUGACAUUUGCUUCAAUAUAUCAUAUAAUGCAUUUCCUAAAUUCCUAAAUAAUUUUGUCUCAUUUAGAUUAAUUAAAUUGUCUUAUGCAUUUCUAAGCUUCCUUAGUAAUUUUAUUUUCGUUUAGAAAAUAGUAACUAGUGUUAUUUCAAUUAGGAAGGUAACUUUACUCUCAUGUGGCUACUUUAUUAAGCAUUUUACUAUUAAGGAGCAUUAUAUAUAUACCAAAAUCUUGCAAGUUUAAGCUUUUAGGAAAAUUGUUAAUUCAACAUCGUAUCAUAAAUUUAUUUCAAAUUUUAUAUAAUGAGUGGAAUUAUGCACUACAAGGAAAAAGGUAUAUGAUGACAUUUAUAACGAGUCACCAUAAACAUAAGGUGUCACUACAACAUAGCGUCACCUUCUCCACUGACACCAUAGAGGGUACCAAUUGGUGACGUAUUUGGAAGUGACACCAAAGUAGAUAAAUGGUGAUCCAUUCAGAAGUGACACCAUAUAUUUCUAGUGAUGAUAAGGUGUCACAUUAAAUACAUCAUCUUUGAGUUAUGAUGUCACAUUAAAUGCAUCACCUUUGAGUUAUGGUAUCACAUCAUUGUAAAUUAUUGUGGAAUAUAUGAUUGGUUUUAGUUGUUGAUUUUUGUAAUGCUUAUGAAUUAAUAAGAUUAAAUUGUUUAUAUUUUGUCCAUAAACAUAACAAUCAUAUUAUAUUUAACUCAUUUUUCUGUAAUGUUUCUAAAAUAACUCAUAAUACAUUGAUCAUCUACUAAUAUUUGUAUAUCAAAUGUUCACAAAAGGAUAGUACGUCCAACAUAUCAAACCCAUCAAAACUAAAAAAGAAGAGUGAAUACAUACCAAAACAUGAUUUAGAAAUGUUAAAGAUCCCAAGAUUCAUGUAUACCUCCAUUUCAUAAGCAUAAAACCAGCUAACCAUAAAAUGACAUAGAAGUCCCAUCUAAAAAUCUAAAUUUCUCAGUUGCAAUUAAAGUAACGUUUAUGUCCUACAACGUAUGACAUAAGAGUUGCAUUUAAAAACCCAAAAUCUUGUUGCCUUCUUCUUUCUUUUUAUUCUCCAUUUCACCCUCCCAAGAGUGUAUACCUGCAUUUCAAAAUUUAAUGAGUUUUAGAGAUUUUUAUUGAAGAAAAUAAGCAUGGAUCUAUGUUAUCAUAAAUGAACAAAUCUAAGAAUUAAUUUUUUUUUCAAAUAGAAACAUUAUUCAAAGAAUAAGCAUUACUAUACAAUACCUAUGGAAAAAUUCAUGUAGUAGCUAAGGGACUCACCAUGCAUGGUGAUCAUGAUGCAUCAACAUGAUUCAUGAUUAGUUGUAGCACAAAAGUAGCCCAUUCUCCUCUAAUUUCAUCGAAUUCUACUUGAGAAUAUGUUUUUUUUAUUACCAAACUGAAAUCAAAUAAGAAAAUAACAUUAAAAUGCAUAACAUUUGGAAGCCUAAAACUAUGUACAAUUCAUUAAAUAAGUAAUACCUUUGAAGCAAUAAUUGUAGGAUCAAAAAUUAUCUCUUUAAUGAAUCUCAUAACAAAGUAGCCACAUUCGAACCCUCCUUCUUGUCUUGGACAGUAAUCGAUCAAUUAUAAAAUAACAUUAGUACUCACAUAUAUAAAUGGUGCAAAUGCAUAAGCUAAUGUGUAAAGAAAAAUUUUUGGAUGUCACCUGCACUAGUUGCUAAGAUGGCUCCCUCUUAGAUGUUUUCUUUGCAGAUAUUCGAAGAGCCCUAUGUAAAUAAGUUACAUUUUUAAAAUACGUAAAUGUUAUAUGUUUUAAUAUAUAUAAAUAAUAAUAAAAAUGUGUUUGAGGUGAAUGUAUUUUUUUUUUAUUUAAAAAUAAUACUAUGAAAAAUAAUAGGAAGAACUUACAUGUUUACGAUAUCCUUUAAGUCCUCACAUGGUUUGUGAUGCAUAGGGUCAAGAUAGUGGACUAUCAUUUUCCUUGGCUCAAGCACUACCUAAAUAUAAACCCUUUAAGUCCUCAUAUCUAUUUCUAUUAACAAAAUAUAAAAACUUUCCAAAACUCAACUACUUAAAUAUAAAAACAAAAUCAAAUAAAAUAUCUAGCUAAUUGGAUUUUAGAAACUAAAUAAACUAUAAAUAAACUAAAUAAAAUAUCUAUGUCCAUGAAUUAAUUGAAGAGGAUAGAAAGACACAGAGAGAACAUGACUAUGGUUAUGAUUUCCAUCUUAUCAUUUCCUGUCAAUACCACACAUACCCAUUUUAAGGUUGGACACUACUUUUGUUGCUAGACUUGGAAAGGGAAUUUCAAAAUUGAAAACAUAAAUAAACCCUUAUGUAAAAAAAAAUAACAUUAAAAUAUAAUUGAGCAUUAAAAUAUUUACUCUCUUUCAUCACUUUCAUUUGAAUAUUAAUAAUCUCUUAUUGAGAUAGAUACUUACAAUUUAACAAAAUAGAAAUUCCUAAUAAUAAAAAAUAUAAAAAUUUCUAUUUCUAUUAACAAAAUAUAAAAACUUUCCAAAACUCAACUACUUAAAUAUAAAAAUAAAAUCAAAUAAAAUAUCUAGCUAAUUGGAUUUUAGAAACUAAAUAAACUAUAAAUAAACUAAAUAUAAAAACUAAAUAAAAUAUCUAUGUCCAUGAAUUAAUUGAAGAUGAUAGAAAGACAUAGAGAGAACAUGGCUAUGGUUAUGAUUUCCAUCUUAUCAUCUUCCGUCAAUACCACACAUGCCCAUUUUAAGGUUGGACACUACUUUUGUUGUUGGACUUGGAAAGGGAACUUCAAAAUUGAAAACAUAAAUAAACCCUUAUGUAAAAAAAAAAAUAACAUUAAAAUAUAAUUGAGCAUUAAAAUAUUUACUCUCUUUCAUCACUUUCAUUUGAAUAUUAACAAUCUCUUAUUGAGAUAGAUACUUACAAUUUAACAAAAUAGAAAUUCCUAAUAAUUAAAAAUAUAAAAAUUUCUAUUUCUAUUAACAAAAUAUAAAAAUUUUCCAAAACUCAAAUACUUAAAUAUAAAAACAAAAUCAAAUAAAAUAUCUAACUAAUUGGAUUUUAGAAACUAAAUAAACUAUAAAUAAACUAAAUAUAAAAACUAAAUAAAAUAUCUAUGCACAUGAAUUAAUUGAAGAGGAUAGAAAGACACAGAGAGAACAUGACUAUGGUUAUGAUUUCCAUCUUAUCAUCUCCCGUCAAUACCACACAUGCCUUCCCGGAUUGGUUCUUUUGGGGUUGGAUACUCUCAACGAAAUUCUAUAUCUCAUUCCCACUUAGAUACAAACAGAAAAAUCAUUCUUUUUUUUUUCCUCUCUUGUUUUUUAGAAAGGAUGAAGAUUAUGUGAUAGUAUAUCUUAAAAAAAUUCUGUACCUGUCAUUCUCACACAAAUACAUAUUAAAAAUCAUUCAUUUUUUCCUGUUUUUCACUUUUUUUUAAGGACUUGAUCAUGUGUUUGGUUUAGAUUAAAAAAAUCAAUUAAUCUAUAGUUUUUUCUUCCAUGCUGGAAGAUUAAACCUAAAUUUUUCUUCCCUACAACUCAAGAAAACACAAUUCACAAAAAUCAUAAUACAAAGAUGUUGAAACAAUUAAUAUAAUGACAUUAAUAAAAGAAAAAAAAAUUAUAGAUCCAAGAGAUUUUGGGUUACCUGGGAGUCCACAAAGUGAAGAAUGUCGGUUUUGAGCGUGUUGACUAUGGAUGGGUGAGAGAAAAGGUUGAAGAAGAUCAUGAUUUUAUAUAUAGGAUUUAUAUAUUGAGAUAUUUUGGAUUGUGGGUGAGAUAUGGAAACAAUGGGAUUUUUAUAUAGUAUCCAUCAUUAUUAAUUCUAAAAGUGGGCUCAUUAAGUUAUAAUACUUAAAAAAAUUUAUUUUAUAUGAUGUCACUUCCCAAAAAAUGACACUAUAAAUAUAAAAUUAAUAUCAUCUAACUACCUCAAUUGAAGAUUUUUUAUAUGAUGUGUCACCUUUAUUAAUUAUAAACCCUAUGGUGUCAUUAUUUUAAAAGUGACACCGUAAAUAGUGACACCAUAAACUAUUUUUGUAGUAGUGAUGAAAAAUGGAAAUGCAUGUGGAUUGAAUUCUUACCUUAAGAUCUCAAAAAUUACUUAAACAGAUUUAAAGUUCUUCCUCAACUCUCUAGAUCUUCAGACCUUUGUUUAAUAAAUCAAACCUAAAGUGAAUUAUAACUUAAUUUAAGUUAUUAAGUAGACUAAACAUAUUUGGUAAAAUAACUUAAUAUUAAAAUGCAAAAUUAAAAAUAACUUUAAGUAGUAAGUCAAAAUAAUUAACUUCUUUUUAAUCCCAAACUUUUUUUCUUUUGGUCUUAUUUACACACAUUUAAUGAGUAUAUAUUAAACAACUAUGACUCCAAAUCCAUGACUCAUUUUUUCUACUAAAUAUUUUAAGGUUAUUUUAUAAAUUUACAAUCUUUAAGUAUGGAUGUUAAAUAACAAAUUUAUUGCUUAAGAUUAAUGAAAAUAAAUAUUAAUUAAAUUUUUUAAUAAUAAACAUGAAUUAAAACUAAUGAGAUAAAUAUGUUAAUUCAAUAACUUAAAAUAAAUUCUAAGUUAAUUUUAUACCUUACUACUUAAAAUAAAAAAAUAAGUAAUAAGUUUUAAGUUAAUGACUUAAAACCAAUUUAACUUAAAGUUAACUUAAGUCAUUAAAUAAUAAGUAUUAAGUUUUACCAAACAUCCAAGUUGACUUUAAGUUAAAUUAUUCUUAAGUUGUUAACUUAAGACUUAUUACUUAAUUGUUACUUUAAGCAUUAAGGUUGUUUUGUAAAGUUAGCUUAAAGUUUAUUCUAAAUCAUCAAAUUAACUCCUUUUCCCUCAUUAAUUUUAACUAAUAUUUAUCUUUAUUGAUUUUAACUCAUAUUUAUUUUCAUUAUUUUAAACAAUAAAUUUAUUUAUAUAACAUUCAUACUUAAAGUAUUGUAGAUAUAUAAUACAACCAUAAAAUGCUUAUUACAAAAAAAUGAGUUAUGGAUGUGAAAUCACAGUUUUAAAAUGUAUUUACUGUGAGCAAAUGAGACAAAAAUAAUUUUACAUUAAGAAUAAGUUAACUAUUUUAACUUAAUACUUAAAGUUCAAAGUAACUUUAAGUUAUAAUAUUAAGUUAUUUUAUUAAGUAGACUAAAUCUAAUUUCUCAAACUUGGUUGCAGAAGCCUAAUGAUAGGAACUCUUUCUUAUUAUACAAAUAAUGAUCACAUGAAAGAGAGUCAUGAUUUUCUUUCAAAAACUUGCACAGUUAUUUCUCACUCAUAUGUUUUGAUGUCUUAUUCCAUAACUUUAGGAAAGCGUAUUGUCACGGACUUAGUCUUUUCCUAAGCUCGUGUGGCACCUAGACAAGUUAAGACACUUGAUCUUGCUAAGUCAGCCUUACUCCCAAUGCUUAGCUUACUAAGCUAAGAUACUCACAACUUGGAAACUUUAGAAGGUGUAGUAGGCAACUCUUAAAGAAUGGAAGCUUUUGUUGCUCAAAGGAAGCUUUACAAGUGCUUUGGGAACUCACUUGCUUGGUUAGGAAGUGAUUUGGGUGGUGCCUUGGCCAAAUGAGGCCUUAACCUAUUUAUAGGCACCAAUAGAACUCUUUGGAACCUUGGAGGGUUCCUUACAAAUCAAGAAUAAUCUAGAAUCUCCUACACUAGUCUAUGUACAAGGGUAUGUACAAGAUGACUUUGGAAGAUUCUAUAACACCCCACACUAUUCCAAUGCUCUCUUAGCCAAGUAUAGAGAUGUGUGGACAUCUCUAGCCCUCUCUAGAAGCUUCCAUGCUCUUCCACUUUGUAGCUAAGUGUAGAUGUUUCCAGGGGUUUCUAGAAGCUUCUCACCUCCUAUAUAAGCCCAUGGGGAGAGUCAUUUGAAGCAUCUUGUGAUUGUAUGGUCUCGAUAGCAUUCAAAUUGCCCUUUUACACUUCCUCUUGGUAUAUGUAGCAAACCUCUUCUUUUGCAACAAAUAACCUCUUUACCACUACCAAAAUAACUUUUAUAUCCUUGUUUAACUUGUGCAAAUCUAGACAUUAGUUUGAGGUUGGAACGUUGGUCUCUAGACAUACAUUAUUUAUUCAUCCUAAUUGCACCAAUGUCUCUAUCUUUGUAAUUUGAAAACAACUUCAAUUAAGGGAUAACAUGCAUGAUAUAAGGUUAUUGUCUCUACAAUCCACUCAAUUUUGUGAUCACUAAUAGGGAUUUAAUCCAAGUGUUAAGUUGACAUGAUAUAUAUAAUUGAUUCAUUACCAAAUAGCUUAAACAUUUAUAUCAUAUAUAUUGAUAGCUUAACAUGUUUUUAAAGCCUUAGUUCAAGGGAGAUCAUGCAUGAUCUUGAGCUUCACACAUAGUUAUUUCUCAUAAUUAUUGAACUUGCAUACAAACCGAAAGAAGGUUUUCUCUUAUACAAGGUAUUGAGGGUUUAGUCCAAGUGCUACCUCAUUACCAAAUAAUUUAAUUAGGGAUGACAAUACAAUAAGUUUUUUUUGGUACUCAUCUCAUCCUACCGUGAAUAGAAUAGGUUUGAAAUGAAGAUAAAUAGGUUAGGGAUAGAGAUUUUUUUACAUAUAUAAACCAAUGGUGGGUUUAGGUAUUACCUUGUACCCUCCUAUCCUAUCGCAUCCCAAGUAUAUGCAUAAUUAAAUUUAAAAAUAGUUUUUUUUUAUUUACUCAUUUUUAACACAAAAUAAUAAUUAAAACAAAAUCUACUUCUUGAAUAAAAUAAAUUAUAAAAAUUUAUAAUAUUUAUUUAUAUAUAAAAUAUAUUUACUUUUAAUAUUUUAAAAUUUUAAAAAUAAAUAGGGUUGGGUGGGGCCUGUGCAACACAAGUAAUAAGAAAUUUUCAUACCAGUAGCCUUGCCCUACCUUACACCGCCCUGUUUAAUUUUUUUAUUGGGUGGGGGUAGCAAUAGAUUUAUAUAAAUGUGACAAGAUUGGAAUAUGGGUGAUCCAUUCCAAACCCGUCCCAUUGUCAUCCCUAAGUUUAGCUUUUAGAUUAUGUUGGUAGCUUAACAAUCACCAACAUUCAAAAGUUCAUGUUGUAGUAUCCUUGUUCUAUUCCAUUACCUAAGGCUGCCUCUUCUUUUCCUUUCUGUAAACACAGUAGUUCUAUUUCAUAUGGCUUUUUUUGCCACAAUAUCCAGACAUCUAUCCACUAUUGAUACCAAACUCUCAUCAUUCUUAUAUGCAGUGGAUGUAGUAUUCUUUUUCUCUCUCCUUUUUCUUUCUUAGGUUUGCCUCCUUUAUUUCCUUUCCCAAACAACACAGUUCUUUUCUAAAUUGCUCUCUUUGCCACAAAGAGCAUUUCAUUUUCUCCUUGGAUUGAAAUCUUUCGUUGGACUUAUUAUAAUAAUUCUAUUUUCUAUCUAUUUAUAAUAUGAGUGUUCCUUCUUUUCUCUACAUCAAACAAAUACUAUUCACAAUAGAUGUCUUGCAACAAACACAAUAGCAAAGAGACUUGCAUCUCAUCAUCAAUUGCCAUUUUCGUAGUAACUAAUUGAUUUACCGUGCUUUGAAAAGCACUUCACAUGGUUGGCCACUGAAGUGUUUCCUUCGACUUCAAUCUAGUUAACACACCUCAAUGUGGUAACUGAAAUGUAACUCACUUUUUUCAGUUGCCUAACUAGACACCUCAGCCAAGUUAUUAGUUUAUUGAAUUAGAAUCUUUUUUAGAGUAAUUUUAAAAAGCGUUUCUAAUAUUUGAAAAUUUUUAUCUUUUAAAGUAUUAUAAAGGUUAAAAAUAUUUUCUAAAAUCACUAUCAAACACACUCUUAAAUUACUAAUCUUGUGAGUCUAACCUUUCACCCCGUCGCCUAGACAAAUACUUUAGUAGAGUUGCUAAAACUUAAUUGGACUGGCCUCUCUAGUUGGAGAAAAUAGCCCUUAAAUAGAUUAGAAACAAGCAAAAAGAAAAAAAAAAAAAGCUUUCUAUAGCAAGAAUUGAACAAGGACUUACAACAAUGUAGAAUAGAUCUCAACUAGAAAUUAGAAAUUAGAAUGUAAACCAACAACACAUUACGAAACACAUGAGUAUCCAUCCAAGAUAAACACCAAUGACCUUACUUGGAAAAAACCCUUCGAGGAGGUGAAAGAAGCCAUUCAAAAAUGAAUGUCCAUCAUAUAAAAUAGGAAUUAAUCGGUGUUCGUGCAAGUCUUUUUCCAAAGAUAUGGGAAGGGAACUAGAAAUGGUGUUAUUCUCAAGCUUACAAAACCAGCACACAGAGUGGAAAGGAUCUCACCAAAUACAAUUGCCACAUUUGAUAUGGAGAAAACCCUUGGUUCAACCAAAACCAAGAAUGGUGAAGAAACAUCCCUAUUCUAGCAUAAAAGCCCAACAUAAUUAGGCUCAAGUUGCUACUGGAAGAAUCAGCCCACACAAUGGGUUUCUUGCGAUAACACAGAGACAGAGGUUCACCAAAUGGUCCCCAAGGACUAGACCCCCCAUCAGAAAAAGGGAAUGUAAUGAGUGGGAAUUGCCAUCAGUAAGGCAUAUGCAGGAGACUCAACUCUCUAGCCAUUGCUCUAUGGAAAUUUAAAAUGCCUUUUGUUAGCUAAUAAUAAAUUUAUGAUUUAUGACAAUAUUCUUUGGAAGAUCUAUUACUGGGAUACAAGUUUCAGAUUUGAGUGAUUUAGCCCUAUGGCAAGAACAUGAUUCUUAAAUGUAAGACUAAAGAGUAUAUUUGUAGUGAUUCUAUGAAGGCCAAAAGUGCUCUCUAAUACUUGAAGCAUUUUUCUUAUAAAAAUUAGGGUCCUAUUCAGUUUAACUUGUUUUUUUCUUACAUUUUUAAAGAAAAUAAAGAACAAUUUGGAAAAUAUGUUUGGAUAUUUCUAUUUCUAUUUUCCCAAGAAUUGAGUUUAGAAAAUGAAAAAGGGGAAAAAUGCCAAAUUGGUAUUUUCAAAAUUUAAUUAAAAAAGUGAAAAGAGUUUCUAAAACGUAAAAACACAAAAGUAAAUAAUGUAAUUAAAAAACAUGAAAGAAAUGCAAAUAUGAAUUUGAUAAUAAUAUUACAAUAUUAUAAUCAUCUUCCUCUUUUUUACCAAUAAUAUUACAUUUUUAUAUUAAAAAAUAAAUUAUUUUAAUAAGCCAAAAUAUGCCCAAUUGAUCAAUUGCUUCGUUAAUUAUAAAUAUAUUAAAAAAAAUAUUAGAGUAUCAAAAUAGAAAUUUUUAUUAAAGUAUCAAAAUAACUAAUAAAACAAAUAAAAUAAAAAAUAAUGAAAAAUAUAAUUUCAUUAUUUUUCAUGUACAAAAAUUAGUACCAAACAAAACAACACAACAAUUGGUCAAUUCCUUUAUUAACUAUUAAUAUACUAUAUUUUUUAUUAUAUAUUAAAAUAACUAUUAGAGAUGAUAAUUGAAAGAGAAUAAUCAAUAAAUACAAUUUAAUUAUUUUCAUUGUGUUUGAUUAAAAAAUAUAUAUAUAUCCAGUACUAAACAAGGUUUCCAAAUUUUUAUUUUUUGAAAACCAGUUUUUAAUUUUUUUAAACAAAAAUAUUACAAAGAAAUGAAAACAUAGAAAAUAAAAAAUAUUUAAAGAAAAAAUUAAAAGUAGAAAAUAAAAACUAAAAAUAUUUUCCAAACCAAAGGCAACUUAAAUUACUGUGUAAUAUUUUAGAAAAUAUUUUUUAAAAAUCUCUAGAAUAAAAUAGAUAAAACAUGGAUCUAAACAUCCUUGCAUCCAUGAAAAUAUUUUUGGAGAUAAAAUCGGAAAUGAGAAUAGAAAAUUAUUUCAUUUUUAUUCAUUUUGAUGUUUAGAUCAUUUAUUAAAUAUAAAAAUAGGAAUAAAAAGUUAUUAUUAUUGGUUUUUUUUAAUAUUUGUUUAAACAGAAGAUAUGUAAAGAUACAUCAACCGAACCCAAUAGGCUUCGGAGAAUUAAAAACAAUGGCUAGUUUGAACUAGCAGACUAAUAAUAGAGACAAUUAUCCAACUUCUCAUACCAAUGUUAUCAUAAGAUAAAAGUUGAAUCAUAAAUACUUGUACAAGACAUUCAUUACUUGAAUUACAAUCUCUGUUUCCUUCUUCAAAAACCCAUAAUAUCAUAAUUAAAGCAAAAAGUGUUAUACACCAAGUAUACAUACCAUGUACAAAGGGUAAAAAAACCCAAAGGGAAAGAACCGGUGGUAAGAGGAUGCGGGGGAGGUGACAUCUCUUACUAUAUAAUCCAUUAGAAUGCCUUGGCGGCCUUGAAAGUAAGGAGCACUGCCAUGGACUUGUAUCCUUGGAGGAGUAAGAGCUGCCUGGCAAUCCUAAAUUUUGAAAUUAGAAGACUCUGCUACUCAGGAGAAGUGGAAGACUCUGCAGUUUAGUCUCCAACCUUGCAUCACUUUCUAUCAGAGAUAGUGAAUCUAAAGUUGCCAUUAUCGGAGUCGGGCCUCCACAGGCUUACUUCUAUUUCAUCAUUGCACAUUUCUGUUGUAUUUCUAGAUAUUCCUUGGCUUCUCUGGCUCUCAAAAACCUCCCUUCCUUUGAAAGUAAAUCCAUCUAUGGGUGCCCUAAAAUCUGGUUCAUAACCUGAAACAUCUUCAGGACUUGAGACAAGUGAAAAGUAUUUUUGUUUUUAAAAACUCAAUCAGGUAUGGCUAUUUGCAACUCAAUCCCAGCUCCAGAUUGUCCUCUCCAUGGACCUAUUUGUUGAAACUCUGAUUAAUUUCAACUUUAAAUUCAGAUGGGAGCUGCUUUAUUCCUUUGACAAAUAGAUGGCUUUAGCAGCAGUUGCAAAGUGACGUUUUCUCUAAACUUGCCGGCCUCAGUUCUGUGCACAAGCAUGGUAAGUUAUACUGUUCUAUUGAAUUUGCAUGCGGUUUUAUGGUUUUAAUAAAUAAAAUAAAUAUAAAGCUAAAGCUAUGUGUAAGCUCUCUUGCCAUGCUUAAUUGGACUGCUAUUAUUUAUUUAAGAUCAAGAGAUAGAAAGUUUUUCUGCAUUUCCAGUUAUAAAUCUAUAAUUGAGUUUGUUUUAUAAACAUAUUCAAGUUUAUUCUCUGUUUUUUCUUUCCUUCCUUUUAUUUUUAUGAUUUUCUAUUAUCAUUUGUGUUAUUAAAGAUGAAAGCUCAUUUUUUACUCGCUUUUAUAGAAGUACUUCUACAAUGAAGAAAUUCAGGUUAGGAUUUUGCUAACACAAUAAAAUCUUUGGCCUGCUUGAUAUCUAGUAUCAAGUUUUGCCAAAGGCCAUAGCUUCUAUUGGUUAUCUAUGAGUCAACCAUUGCUGGAUGGAUAUGAAUAGGAGCUUGUCCUGCCUAUGGGCAGGGAUAUGCGCGCAAUCACCUGUUUUCUGCUUUUUAAGUAUCAAAGUACAAACUAACUGCUUCUACAAUAUCAUUUCCAUUUUAAUCAGCAUUGAAAGUAUGUUGCUUUUUUAAGUAUCAUUUCCAUUUUAAUCAGCAUUGAGUGUGUCCUGUCAUGGUUGGUUGGACCACUUAACAAAAAAACAGCAAGGCCUUUUCUUCAAAAUCUGCAUUCGACAGGUUCUCUGUCAAUUCUUUGCUUUUGCUUUUACGAUAACUUGUUGCAAACUUAUUUAAAAAAAUUGUGCCCUUCUCUUGUUGGCUAGGUAUUUAACUUAUGCAUAAUCUUGUGAUGCAGCUAUGGCUAGAGAUACUGUACUUGUUAUGCUCUUUUCUAGUUGGGCAUGUAAAGGGCUCUAGGGAUGUCCACUUGUCUUCAAGUGCAGUUGAUUUCUUUGGUACAAAAAUGUUGACUACAACUACAGAAGAUAAACUUGAACUAGUUGUUAAGCAAACUCUUUUAUGUUAUAUUAAAAAAUUUCUAAAGAAAAUUUCUAUUGAGAAAACUAGGGAUGUUUUAACCCUCAACCAUAACUUAAUUUGUGUUUAAUGUGUGAUAUUGUCGUCUUUACUUGGAACAUGUCUAUGAUGGUGCUUGUCUAUGUUUCAUCAUUGCUUAUUUAUUUUAUGACGUCUUUGUUGAGCAUUUUAGCUCCAGGUGGAAGAGCUGUGUUGUCUGAGAUGCAUAGGGAACUGUCUCAUUAGUGACUAUGCCAAUUGGAUGAGGAUUCUGGAGAGAACUCUCUAUCUGAUCCAAGUAUCUACUGACUUCUGCCAUGAACUCUUGAAUAGAAGCAAGGAUGGAAGCUAGUUUGUCUGACAUCUCAACUGAACUGUCUAAACUUUGAUAUGAAUCUGAUAUGAUCAAUCGACCUCCAACUCUCCUCUAAGAAUAUGACUUCAAACUCAACCAACUCCUAAACUAACUCCCUACAAUGCAAACAAAAUGGAUGAAGGACAUAAGAUAAGACCCUAAAAGACAACAGUGCAACAUGCAAACACAUGGUCCUGAGGUGGCAAUCUGAAAUCUGGAUGUAUGAUGAGAGCUCUAGAGUCAUAAAGGUGUCCACUGUGAGAUGGCUACAAAUGUGACUAGAGAAUUCCUAUCAAUAAUCCAAGAUGAAAGAGGUGUGAGAAACACACUAUCACGAGAUUGAUACUCCAUCUAUAACCACAUAUCCUUGACUCAACCUUCAACCCAAGCUCCAUAAGAGAAAAGAUAAGGUGAUCAAGGCGACUCUCUCAAAAAAGGUGUGAAUGUGAAAACAUGCCUUUCACCUUUCCAUAAUGAAAAUGUGAGCAUCAAGUUGAAAAUUGAAUCAAGGAUCAAACAAAGAAUGGGAUACUAGGCUCAUGAUAAGUGUACGGUAUAAAGAGAUGAUCAUAAUCAAUGAACAUAUCCCAAAGCAUCAAGCAAGUGACAACAAAGUGAAAGGAUGUGCCAAGCCAAGAGAGGGAGACGAAAGCUCUAGGGAGAAAGCAUGCUAAACUCAUUGAGUGAAAAGAAUAAUCUAAAGCGACAUGACAAAAGGUGAUCCAACUGAUACUGAAACUUGUACCGAUCUCUGAGCACUCUCAAUUGGAAACCAAAGGUAAAAGCACUGGGUCCAGGUGAUGAGUAAGACGGCCCUGAAGGCUCUCAGAUGCACCCACGUGUGAGGAAGGAAUCCUAAUCAAAGGAUCUAAGCUCAUCCUAUAAGUUUAAGGUGGCUUUAAAAAAAGAAAGGUAGGCUUUCAAGGGUCCUUAGAAGAAGCAAUCAUACCCUUCGGUGGUACGCAACCUUCUGUACGCCUCCGAAGAGACGGGGCGCUUCCAUGCAAGGUGGACAUCACCUCCACACAUGCACUACCUCGCAUCCCAGGGGGCUCCUAUGGUGAAGGCCCUUCUAAUGGUUAGCAUAUCUCAUAACUUUGGUCACUCAUCAACAAUCUAAGGUGCAUAGUGAGUUUGUGGGUGCAUCUGAAAAUCCUAUGAAACUAAAAAGAAAACACAUUGGUCACACAAAUAUCCUAAAAUCCAGCUUUGGGCUAUACAAGUCUUCAAAGAUCGGACUCCAAUCAACAUCAAUGUGUCGGCCACCUCCAAAAUGCUCCCAAACAUAGAUAUAGCCCAUCACUAGACCUUACUUCAAAUCACUAGCUUGGUCGAAGAACAAUCAAGGUGAUAAGUCUCAUAUCAAAUAAGAGAUCAAGGGAAACAAAGUCGAUGGAGUCUAAGGAAUUGGAAAUAAGGGGAUAGGUGUGAGACCCACACGAACAAGCAAUACAUGCAUCAUGUAGAAGGAGAGUAGUCAUACAACAAACAGUUAUGCAAAGCAGGUAUAUAUCAUACAAAUCUACACACAAGCUAAGUAAGAAGUAGGAUAAUCGAGAUGAAUAUCUAGCAAGAAUAAAUGGCAUGCUCAGAGUUAAUCGAGAUAAUAUGUAACAAAGAGAAUAAACAUGUCAAGAUGAGCAACAUUGAGAAUAUACAAGUCAGGGUGAGCAGAGCAAUCACACAGUAAGGAGAGUUGAUAUGUGAACACAAACAAGAGGAUCAAAUGAUAUAAUCAAGAUGUCAAUGUCUCAAACAAAUACACAAAUCAAGCAUGCAUCAGAGAUAAACAUAUCAAAAGUUCUCAAUGUGCAAUCAACAGUCAAACAUACAAAAGCACAGAGAGAGAAGGGUACCCACUAAUCGACCAAUCAAACGUCACAUUUGCCUUAAUCUAAGUUCAAGUUUGACUGUCUAGUGAUCCCCAAUGGAGUCGCCAUUUUACGGACCCCGCAUUUCUCCACAAUGCGUUCCCACUCGAAUGGUGAUACUCACUUUUUAUUUUGAAAAAAUGACUUUUGAAAAGUUUUUGGAGUCACCACUUAUUUUUCUUUUAUUUUUAAAGGGAAAAACAAAAUAAGAAAAAAAAAACUCUAAAUGUGACUCCUGAAGGAAAAACAGGUCUGUGAAAAACCAAGUCUAGGUUCGGGAGUGAGGUUACCUAUUGAGAAAGUACGGUGAUAAGUUGUAACACCCCUCUAAGCACCUAAAAAUGGGUCUCUACUAAUCAACUAAGACAAGUGUAGCAAUUGAUUGAUUAAUUGUGGAUACCAAAUAGUGAUCAAGGGUGUGCUAGCAAGUCAUGCAUGAUAAUGGAUAAAUAAAUAAGUAUGAUUAGGUAUGAGAUGCACCUUAGCAGCGAAUAAGGAUGUGCUAUCAUGAAACGGGGUUAGCUCAAAUAUAAAGUAAUGCGUGUCACAUAUUAGAGCCAAAAAUCAAUCAAUAAACAAUCAAACAUAGCAAACAAAAUCAACAAUCGGAUGACGAAUGCCUCAUAUGUUAGGCCACACCAAUGCCCAAAUUAUUUUUGGCAUGAAUUACUUCUACAAAUUCCAUGAUUUUUGGAAUUACAGACUUGUAUUCAUGGUUAUUUAAAAACAUUUAAAAAAUCAAGAAAAAAAAAGUGAAAAAUGCUUGCCCAAGAGAAAAAUGGCAGCAAAUUUAUUAAAAAUUGGAUUUUUGGUGACCCAAAACUCUAUGGAUGAAUAAUAAUAAUAAAAAAAUUGAAUAGUUAAAAUUAUUUGAAAAUUGGAAUUAAAAAAAAAAACAAUUUUUGAAAGCGAAGGUGAAUAAUUAAGAGAACAUGGCCUAUGGGAUUGCAUGUUAAAGGUGGCUAUGCAUGGGUGUAGAAGUGGCCCAGGGUAGGUAGUGAAUUGGCCAUUGAAUCACUUUAUUGGACAUGCAACUUGCUGUAGUGGUUUGCAUCCAUGGAUAUUGACUGUACCGAAACUUGGAAUGUCGACCAUGUCGUUCAUCGGAAAUGUACCAAGUGACAUGCUUCAUGGUGGCGGGAUUCAUAUGCUGCAUCACUUUCUUCUUAUAUAAAUACUCAGCACCUUUGGCAAUGCCAUUGCACUAGAACCACUAUAAAGACCUCUAACAAUGAAUGAUGAUCUAGCCAUACACCAUUAACGAGCUUCUCACCAAACUGCUACUUGCUGAAACUGUUCUUUAUCGUGUUAUACCCAUAUCUUGCACCGUCCAUUCCAUGCAUGACUUGAUUAAGUCCUUCAAGUAAUCAGGCCAUAGCUUAGCAAAAAUAGUCCCCUGACAUCCCUUUAAGACUAGGUAUGCUGAAGUGAUUUGAGUGUCAUGAAGGAGAGGCGAAGGACGGGUAUUGCACAAUUGGAAUCGCAGCACAUGCAACCGUUCUUCUCAACCAUGGUAACAUGAAUUCUACACGUUCAUCCUUAGUUUAAGGGACAAUGGGGGUCAGUCGACAUGGCAACAAUGACAUUCAGAAAUGCAUCCCUGCAAAUCUUUCCAAUAAUCUUUCCCAGAACCACCCAACAAGCCACCUGAAGGAAAUGGAUGUCCUGGAUUAAUGUCAGAAUCCUUAUAUCUGAUAUGGACGUUACUAAUGGGAAAUCUUAAGGAUUCCAAUUAUGGUUGCAAACAGAGAACCCAACCAUGAAUUUGCAUUAGCUGGACUUCCUUCUUGCUAUUGAUGAAGUUCCAACUUCAGUUGCAGUGAAUGGUAUCCCCAACUCCGGACUACUGUCAUUUCUUGAUGGGAUUCAAGGCAUUGAACUUACAAAAUCAUCGUAGCCUUAGUCUUCAUGCACAGAAGACCUCUUUCUCUCAAACUCCUGGACACGACUUUUUCAAUAGUGGUAAGCAUCGGGAUAUCUAGCCCAUUUUCUGACCUUGUAUGAGACGCUCCCAGAAAACCCUUCAGAAUUGCUUAGGGAGUUGCAUCUUUAGGACCACCAGAAGCAUUGGGAACCUCAUACUUUUUGGUUGUCAAAGCACAAGGGUGGCAUUUGGUUUUGUCGAAUGGCACAGCUAGCUCAUCACCUAAUUUCUGACCAAUAUGAAAUGAUUGAGACACUUCAGCGAGUUCCUUGACAUCACUUCUUGUAUGAUUCAACCACUCAUUUCCUUUUUGGACAUUUGGAAUCCAUGAAUUCAAAGAACUCGUACGCAUUUUCACAGGGACCUUGAUACAUGAUUUUCCCAUAAGAGAGGAGAAUCUUAUCAUUAAAUAGGUUGCAGGUUUCUGGUACUGGUUGGAGGAGGCAGAUCAGAGCAGUUCCAUUAAGAAUGAGGAUGAACUGCCUGAGUGAACUUACAAUCUGAAAAGCUAUUGAACUAUCCAAACGAAUUACCAUUUCAUCCAUGGAAAAAAGCUCUGUUUGUUUCUCCAUCGACUAAUGCACCAAUUAUCACCCCAUCUCCUCAUUGACCAAGAGCUUUCCUGACUCCAUCUUAUCCUCAUCAAUAAUCUCCAGUAAUAGCUCUUUCCAUUCUGUCUCUAGGCAUUUCAAUGUGGUCCAUAUGGCUUACAGGUGUCUAGAAAUUUCCAACAGUAUGUAAAGUGGUUCACAUGGGGCUCUCUCAAAAGCACCCCAACCAAAAUGGCCAGCCCAAAUGGGAUACUCAACACCCCGAACUUACCAGAAUCAGGGGAAUAAGAGGAAAAAAAAAAAGAAAAGAAAAAAUAGGAGCAGAGCGAGGACUGAAGAAAUAACAAAAGGAAAUUAAGCAGAUAACGAAUAUACAAAGCCUCAUUUCAGGUGACAUCCAUGGACUAAUAACAGGUGGAAUUAACAAAGAAUGCAAGCAUGAUUCUUAUAUAUCAAGUCCAGGGAUGAAGCCAUGCAUCAACUACUUACGGGAGGAGUCAAGGAAACCAAGAUAAAAUCAAACAAAGCAUGUAUGCAAACAAACAGAUUCGGUCAAACAGACUAAUAAUCCUUCAAGUCCAAGCCAAUCAAUAAAAUAACACCCAAGAAUCUACAAAAAAAUGUAGAAGAAUAAUAUGAAAAUGAGGAAAUGUGAGGUUCAGAGAGACCUUACCUGGAAGGCUUCCUUUCGAGCAAGAUUUUUGUCCAACUUCCCAACUAUUCUUCCUCUGCUCCAACUCCCUUUAUCUCACAACUUUUCUUGCUUUCUAUGUUCCUCUAGACACUCUUUAUAGCUCCCCUUCCUUCAGCUCCCUGUUUUUCCUAUUGUUCUCCUUCUCCUCCAUUCCUCUUCUCAACGGUCUCUGAAUCCUCUCCUUACAUGUCACCUGCUGGUUUCCCACAGAAAAAAGUCCUUGCCAGCCCACUAUCUCAUACACCUGCUGCCAAAACCUCCUAAAGGGUGGUAAAAAUAUCGCCCCUAAAAUAUCCCAAAACUUCUAGAUCAAAAUGAGGGUCUACACCUUAUAUUCCACAAGCCAAACCUUUUUAGACAUACCUAUGACUUCCUAAUUGGACGAACAACAACCCUUAUUCUUAAAUGGAGAGCAAGUUACUAUCUAAACAAACUUUUAUGACCAAACAUUAAUUGGAACAAAAUUGCCAACAAUUAUAUAAGACUCAAUGUCCUAACAAUCUCCCAUUUUGGUAAUUUUAUGACAAAACAUCAUCAAUAAACCCACCUAAACUCUCAUAAUGAAGUUUACAUAAUACACAUUAAUGCUUAAUUAAAAAUAAACUAAGGGAAUGCUUUGCAAUGCUUUGUAGUACUUAUCUUCCAACCCUGUAACCUACACACAUACAAAAAAACUAUACCAAAAGUAAAGCAAUGUGAGAGAUAAAAUAAUAUUAUGAAAGCAAAAUAGGAUAGUUAGAGGUUUUUCUUGACACCUUGUGAAAGCAUGCAAAAUGAACAGAUUCCUAUAGCGACAUCAAGGUAUAAUGCAGCUUAAGAGGAAUAUAGAUGCAUGCAAAUCAACCAAAUAGAAUAUAAGCUAAAUAAGACCUAAUUAUUUAAUAGUAAAGUGAAGGGGGCGUUCAUCAACCAUAUUACUAGCAAUGAAAGCCUUAGGAAGAAGCUUCUAUGACAGAGAUUAGUUCUAGAAAGAUAGAACAUUCAAACAGUAAUAUUUUCUAGAUGAUAGGAAAAAAAAAGCUUUUAAUUCCAAAUGGUUUCUAGAUGUGAUGAACCGGGAAAGUCAAAAGAUCAAGUUAUUGGUCUGGUCAUCGUUGCUGCUGGAAUAGGUGGAGGAACGGGUACUAGUGGGGCUCCUGUGAUUGUAGCUGCAGAAUCAUUGGGGAAGGGUCCUACAUCUUGGCUGAGAAAUAGAGUUAUUGAAUCAAUAUAUAGCCUUGAGGCUCUCUUAUUGUUUCCAUUGGAAUUGUUGAUAACUAAGGAAUGGAAGAGUAUAAAGCUUGAACUUCAGCUUCUGACAUCAGGUUCACUUGACGGCUAAGCACCCAUUGCUUGAAUGGGUUGGUUAGGAAAAUCACUACCAGAAUCACCAUCACUUAGGUGGUGUUUGUUUUUUUGGCUUUUUGCUGAAAGUAAUUUAUUUUUGAAAUUUAAGUUGUUUGUUUUUCUACUUUUUUAUGACUUAUUAUAAACUUUUUACUAAAUAGAAAAAAUCAAAAUAUGUAGUUUUUUCUUAAUAGAAAAAAUAACACAUUGAUUUUUCUUUACUUUUUAAUACUUAAUAGAAAUAAAAUAUUAUAAAAACAAAUAACCUAAUAUUUAACAUUAUUAAGCAUUAAGGUUCUAUUUAGAAUUAAGUAAAAAAACAAACACCACCUAGGGUGGUGUUUGUUUUUUUACUUAGUGUUUACUAUUAUACAAACUCUGUAGCAUGGAGGUCUGAUGGAUCUAAUAAUGGUGUUUGGAGUGCUAAUAAGCCUUCUCGGUACACUGGUGCUCAUGCAAUUGCUGGAAGCAAGGCACAUGCCAGAUUUUCAAUGAAACUGAACCUCUAUUUCACUGCACUGCUUUAAGCUUAGAUCCUGGCAGUCUGUGAUAUCUCUGUUGGGGAAAGAAGUAUGAGCAAGGUGAAAUCACAACUUGGUAGAGGAGAAUAAAUGUCGAUGCAUGAAAUGGCAAACAAGAUGAUGUUUGAGCUAUAUUUUGUCAGCCUGAAGAAGCAGAGAUGCUUGGUAAAACAAUAUUGGAGACUUGCACAGAUCCCUACUCUGAUGUUAACAAACCAAAAUGAAGUUUCUGGUGAAGAACUGAAACCAUUUCCAGAGAGGCUUUAUGUGGUUCUUUCUAGAGAAACCAUUGAAGAAAUCAUUGGAACGCCAAGGGAGCUACCAUCCUUCUGAAUUUCCAUCUGGAGAGCAUCUUCUUUUGCUUAAUCCACCAAAGAAGCAAUUCAGUAGCCAAUUGCCAUCUCUCAACGGCUCACUGGAACUGCAUUGCAAAAAUUCAGCUCAGCUGAGAAGUUUGCCAUUGGAAAAUUGCAAUUUGGUUGGUCCUGUGCCAAAAUCUUCGGGGAUUGGUAAUAUUAAGACUGUCAAUGAAUAACAAGAACACAACAGCCCAGGAUCUGCUCUCUUAGCCAGCUCGUACCAAAUCAUUCUCAUUGGAAACAGCUCAGAUGGGUUUGAGCUGAAUCAUUUGGGAAAUGAAUAACUUAUGAUUGAUUGCAUAAAUGGUGGGGCCUACAAUCCAGAAGAAAACCCUCUCAGAAGACACAAGCUCCUUCCCAUUCUUUCCCAUUCUGUUUGUUUCCAGCCUUGAUACCUUCAAUACCUGGCAGUCUCCACACAACUCAUCCAAAGUCCCUCCAUCAAAUUUGAACCCAAAGCCAAACAACUCCGUGUCUAAAACCUUAGGACUAGCUCACCACCUUGUUUUUCUUCAUACCCACCACCUUCAGCUUCACUCAUCACCAAGCCAACUUCUCUCACAUCCUCCACUACUCAUUUCCUACCCAACCUAGCUCUAUCUUUCUCACUUAACAAGUGCUGGUGAUGACAGUGAAGACUGGUCACACCUCUCUUUACUCGGCUCCAGCGAUGAGACUAAUGCCUUUGAUGAUUCCGAUACUUUUGUUUCUCCAGUUCAGGGGUUUGCCUGUAUUGGAUGAAUGGCUCCAAGAGUACAUAAAGGAAAGAUUGGUGAUGUUAGUAGCCCCAAGGAUGGUGAUAAAUCUGCUGAGGAAUCCCUAUUGGUUUUACUUCAUGCACUUGAUAAGCUGCCUGUGAAUCUUCAAGCCCUUCAAAUGUGUAACAUUGGCAAAUCUGUUAAUCAUUUACGUACUCAUAAAAACUUAGAAAUUCAGAAGAAAGCAAGGAAUUUAGCUGAUACAUGGAAGAAACGAGUUGAGGCAUAAAUGAAUAUUAAUGAUGCAAAGUCUGGUUUAAGUCAGGCUGUUCCAUGGUUCUCGAGGCCACGUCUUUCUGAAGUUUCUCAUGAUGGGAACAGACACUCUGGCGGCUUCUCUGAGAUUGCCAUGGAGAGCUCAGUCAUGCAGCUUUCUUCAUCUAAAACAGCUCCAGUUAAUAAGAUUAUACUGGGGGUUGUCUUCAAUUAACUAGAUUCAAUACUAACCAUUGUUGCCUGACUUAGUGUUAGAGAUCCAUUGGACAAAGAGGAUCUUGCAGAGGCUGCAAAAGCUCAAUUUUCUCAUGACUACAGUGAUCAUCUUGCACUUGUUCGGUCUGGAAAGAUGCUGAAAAGGACCAAAUUGGAUAUGAAUAUUGAUGGAAAAAUUUUCUUUCGGCACAUUCAAUGAAAGCUAUUGAUUCUCUUCAGAAGGAGUUCUUCUCUUUGCUAAAGGAUACUGAACUGGUUGAUGACAACAUGAACACCUACAACGCAUGGAACUAUGAUGAGCAUCUCAUUUGAGCAGCUAUUUGUUGUUGUUGUAGUAUGUGGCUCAUAUUUGAGCAAAAAGACAUAUGGAGAGAAAGGGGCAAAAUGUUGGAGCGAAGUAGAGCGAUGGCAUUUUUCAUUCAGGGUUUGUACUUCUUUGUUGUGGGGCGAAUGAUAGGUUGGGGGGUGUUGCCCCCCGCAGUACAAUUCAGGGGUAUUUUUGGAAUUUCAUUCCUAAGGGUUAGUAUAAGUACCCUUUUUAUGUAACCUUAAUUUUAACAUAGUGAAAAUCCUCUUUUCCCUGUUCCCGAUGACAUAGGCUACCCGAACCACAUUAAAUCUUUGUGUUCUUCUUUCUUGCUUUUUCUAUUAUUUUUGCCAUAAAUCGUUGCACGGAUUUCAACAAUUGUGGCCCGUAUCCUGAAAUUUGCUCUGUUGUGCAAAAUGAAAUGUCAUUCUCAUUGAAAACAAUGGAGGAUGGUCAAGUGAUCUUGCAUUCGAAUUCAAUUAAUGCUCGAGAGUGUAAACUCUGUUUUCCUCUAGGAUUCAAUAGCUAUGUCUGAUUUAGUGUUUCUUCUAUUUGGGGGCGACAUCUUGAGAGAGAUUAUGAUGGGUACCUUGAAGAAUCUUGGACAUUCAGUGCUUGAAAAUAUACCAAUGACUAAGCAUUCCAGCAAGAUUUUGGAACCAAAAUGCAAUUGGAAAGGAGCAGUUUGUAAUGAGAUUGCUGGUUUGACUGCUAUUUCAGUUGAUCUUUCAUUUGUUCCUUUGGUUGAAUCUAUUGGGAUGGAAGGAAGGGACAUGGUGUUUUCUUCCAAAAGUAGCUUAUCAUCAUAAUCAAAUGCUGGAAACAUCCUCAUGGACAAUAAGGUGGGUUCACUAAUGGGGUCUCCUUUGAGAGAUAUCCAGCACAAUGAAACUGUAUAAAAUGAAGAUCUUUUGUCUCAUUCAGAAAGGUUCAAACGGUUGGAACAUAGAUGCUAUUGUGGUAAAUGAUGUCAUUGAGCAAGGAAUUGAAACCACUAGCAUCCAUAGAGUAGACACAAUUGCACCCCGACCCCCGCGUGUGCAUGGUCAUGCAUGGCCACCUUGGUGCACACUCUCCUCCACCAUAUGCUUCUUUUUGGUGACUUACACUUUUUUUGUAAUCAGAUUUUCAAACCUAUUUUCAAUUGAAUAAUCCUUGCUGUCAAAAUUUGAUUUUCGAAACUUCAGCUUUCAAAUAAUUUUAAUUCUACUCUAGUUUUCAAAUAAUUGUAAUUCCCCCAAUUUUUCUCCCUUCCUUAGAGUUUUAGGUCACCAAAAAUCCAUUUUCAAUAAACAUUUGAUGUCAUUUUUUCUUUGGCAAGCAUCUUUCACCUUUUUUCCUUGAUUUUAAAUAAAUUUAUCUAUUUUCACGUUUUUAAUGAGCAUGAAUGCAAUUUCCAUAAUUCCAAAAUAAUGAAAUUUAUGGGCUUAAUUCAUGCAAAAUCAAUUAGGCAAUGGUGGGGCCCAACAUCUGUGAUUGAUAUUGAUUAACUUAUCCACUACUCUUACAUGCAUGUGAUUAUUUUAUACAUAAGCUAACCUUUUUUUUCAUGAUAGCACAUUAUUAUUUGUUGCUAAGGUAUGCUCCCACUCCCACUUUGCUUAUUUAAUCUCUAUGAAUGACUUGCUUCCAUUAUGUGAUUAUUCCUUGGUAUCCAUUGAUCUCCUUAUCAAUUGCCACACUUACCUCACCUUAUUUAGUAUUGACCAAUUUUUAGGGGGCUUAGAGGGGUGCUACAACUUGUCGUUGUACCUUUCCAAUAGGUAACCUGACCCUCACACCUAGACUUGGUUUUCACAGACCGUCUUUUCAUAUUAGAUGUCAUAUUUAGGGUUUUUCUUUCUUAUUUUGUUUUCCCUUUAAAAAAUAAAAUAAAAUAAAAAUAAGUUGCAACUCCAAUUUUUUUUUUUCUAAAAUUCAAUUUUCUUCACAAAUAAAAAAAUGAGUCUCACCAUCGAGUGGGAACUCAUUGUGAAAAAUGUUGGUCCACAAGUAUAUUUCUCUAAAACACAAACUCGAGGUAUUACAAAUCAUGCUAAUAUAUCAAGUAAAUAAACAAUCAUAUGCCCAAAAUAAAAUAAGGCUAAAGGUAACAAAAAGAUAUAAACACUAAGCUCAACAUCUUUGAACCUAUACCUAUGAUGAGCAAUCAAUUAGGCAUAUGCCCAAGGAUUUCCUAUGGUACUUAAACCUAAGAAAUCCAGGGGUUUGGUAAGAAUAUCUGCUUAUUGAUGUUCAGUGGGGACAAACUCUAGAGAAAUUACUUUUUCUUCUACAAGAUCCCUAAUGAAAUGAUGAAGAAUUUCAAUGGGUUUACUAUAGAAAUGAAUAAUAGGAUUCUUUGAGAUAUUUGUAGUACUAGAGUUGUCAUAGUGUAUGUUUAUAGUCCCUUGUUCAAUUCCAUAGUCUUUAAGCAUUUGCUUCAUCCACAAGAGUUGUGUACAAUAGCUCUCAGUAGCGAUAUACUCAGCUUCAAAAAUAGAUAAGGAUAUAGAUUUUUGUUUCUUAUUAAGCCAAGCCACAAGACAAUCACCAAUAAAAAAACAAGCAUCAGAUGUGUUUUUUCUAUCCUCAACAUUUUCAGCCUAAUCAACAUUGGAAUAUCCAACAAUCACAAGAGAAAUUCAUACGGAUACCACAAACCAUAAUCAAGAGUAUCAUUUAUAUAAUGAAUAAUUCUUUUAACAAACAUUAAGUGUGACUCUUUGGGGUUUGCUUGAUACCUAACAUAGGCUCUAACACUAAAAGAUAUGUUAGGACGACUUGCAGUAAGGUAAACUAAGCUUCCUAUCAUACUUCUAUAAAGCUUUUGCUCAACAUCCUUUCUAGAUGCAUCCUUGUUAAGCUUAGCAGUAGUGCCCGUAGGUGUCCUAAAGGGUUUGGAGGAUUCUAGACCAAAUUUUUUAACUAAUUCCCUAGCAUACUUGGAUUGAGAAAUAAAGAUCCCAUAUUUUAGUUGCCUAAUCUGCAAUCCUAGGAAGAAUGAUAAUUCACUUACCAUGCUCAUCUCGAAUUUAGUCUUCAUCUCUUUGGCAAAACUAAGGGCAAGGCUACUAGAUGUAACUCCAAAAACUAUAUCAUCUACUUAAAUCUGAACUACUAGCAACUCACAAUUGGACCUAUUUAUAAAUAAGGUUUUAUCAACUCCCCCUAUUUCAAACUUUUUCUCCAAGAGAUAGGUUGUGAGCUUCUCAUACCAUGCUCUAAGAGCUUGCUUUAAACCAUAAAGGGCUUUCUUUAACCUAUAGACAUAAUUAAGGAAUUUCGAAUCCUCAAAUCCCUUAAGUUGCUAAACAUAAACCUCUUCACCUAGAAUCCCAUUUAGAAAUGCACUCUUAACAUCCAUUUGGUAAAGCUUUAUCCUCAAGGAGCAUGCUAUUGCCAAAAGUAUCCUAAUUGAUUCUAGUCUAUCUAUAGGUGCAAAUGUUUCUUCACAAUCAAUCCCCUCUAUCAUUGAGUAUCCUUGGGCAACUAGUCUUGUUUUGUUUCUCAUAAUAACCCCAUUCUCAUUUUGCUUGUUCUUGACUAUCCAUUUUGUACCUAUUACAUGUUUAUCUUUUGGCCUAGGGACUAAAUACCACACAUCAUUCCUAGUUAAUUGUUUUAACUUUUCCUGGAGUGUGGUACUCCAAGAUUCAUCUCCUAAAGCUUCCCCACAUUCUUUGACUCCAAUUGGGAGGUAUAGCAUACAAGACCCAUCUCAUUUAAUCUUGAUUGUCUCUUAGUAACCACUCGUUCAUUUACAUUACCUAUAACAUUUGAGAUUGGGUGGUUCUUAGGUAUCUUGGAUCUAUGUUUAUCCUUUAUUUCUUUAGGAGUGUCAUCUAAAGGUACAACUUCAUCAUUAUUAGGGUCAAUGUUUUUAUCAAGGAUGUCAUUAGGGUUUUCUUUUGUGGUCUCCAAGUCUUUAGGGUCAUUCCCAAUUGAUUCCUAGAUUAAAAUUUGAUUAUCAAUUAUAUCCUGAUCAUACCCAAUAUCAUUUAUACUACAUUAGAAGAUUCCUAGAUGAUGUGAGAAUUUUGAUUAUACACCUUAUAGGCUUAGCUAGAAGUAGAAUAGCCUAGGAAGAUACCUAAAUAAGAUUUAGCAUCAAAUUUACCAAGGUUCUCUCCAUCCCUAAGUAUAUAGCAUUCACUGCCAAAAUUCAUAAAAUAUUUAAGAUUAGGUUUUCUCCUAGUCCAUAAUUCAUAAGAUGUAUUCUUUGUUCCUAACCUGAGAAAAAUCCUAUUGGCAGAAUAACAUGUAGUAUUAAUUGCUUCUACCCAAAAUUUCAUAAGGGUAUUAUACAUAUGAAUUAUGGACUCUAUUCUCUUUUUCUACUACUUCAUUUUUUUUUAGGAGUUCUAGGGGUUGAAAACUCAUGUUUAAUUACUUUUGAUUCACAAAAGAGGUCAACAUCCAUCCACAUUGUUGAACUCUCUCUUCCCCCUAUCACUCCUAAUCCUUACAAUUGGAUGGCUAAUUUCCACUAGUAUUCUAUUAAAUAAAGACAUUAAAUGUUCUAUGGCCUCAUAUUUCUCCUUAAGAAAACUCACAUAGGAGUAUCUUGAAAAAUCAUCUACAAUCAUAAGGACAUAUCUCUUGCCACCUCUGCUUUUAGUGUGCAUUGGACCCAUAAGAUCUAUGUGAAGAAGCUCUAAAGGUCUAAUGGUCCUUAUCUCCUUAACCUUUUUGUGUGAACUCUUAGUUUGUCUUCCUUUCAUGUACUCACCACAAAUGGGUUUAGGUUCACCACUAAGUCUAGGGAUACCUCUAACCUUUUCAAUAUUCACUAAGUGCACAAAGUCCCUAUAAUUUAUAUGACCAAACCUUCUAUGCCAAAGCUCAGUAGGAUCAAGCUUAGCCUUACUACACAUAAGAGGUGUUCUAGAGUUAGGAUUUAUGGCAUAAUAGUUAUCAUCUGUCCUAUGUCUUGUGAUGACUAUUUUUCCUUCUUUAUUAACUACCUCGAAUAAGUCUUGUUGAAAAUUCACUUUAUGAUCUUUAUCCCACAUUUGACUAAUGCUUAGGAGGUUUGCUUUGAGUCCUUCAACAUAUAGAACUCCAUCUAGUUUGGGACAACCAGGGAUAACUAUACUAUCUUUGCCUUUUACUCAAGUUAGGCUUCCAUCUCCAAAAGUAACAACUCCACCAUCAUAGUUUUCUAGAGAAGUAAAGGAGGAUUUGUCUCUUGUCAUGUGUCUAAAGUACCCACUAUCAAGGUACCACUUACUAGAAGAUUUAGCUUUAAGAGCAUUGAACACAACUUGACAUUUAGACCUAUCAUUUCUCAACCAAACUUGUUAUGUCUUGGGUGGUGACUUGGAGAAACUAGAUUGACUUCUAGGUUUUUGAUUAGCUUUGUUUCCUUUCCCAUUGUUCAAGAUGUUAUUUUUAAGGGAAUUAAAUUCAUUCAUAAGUCUGUUCAUUUGAGAUUCAAACCUUUCAAGAAACCUAGUGUAGCAUCUAAAUUGAGUGUGUCCAGUUUUCUUAUAGUGUGUGCAUAGUGAUGUCUUUUUAGGAGAUUUUAUUUUUUGUUAGGGGCACCAUACUUACCUUUGACAAACAUAGUUUCUCCAUUAUAGGGAGUUUCAUCUUUAUUAGUGUACCCUAAUCCUCUUUUAUCUCCAUGGGUUUUGCAUUCAUCAAGAAUUUCAUUAAGCACUUUAGUUCCAGGGUGAAAAUUUUCAUUCGCAAAUGAAGAAGGCUUAUUAUUAUUGAUUUCUUGAGUGUGAGCAUUAUUCUUCUCAAGGAGAAAAUGAUGCUCAUAUUUAAGAAAUCUGACUUUCUCAAGAAAAUUAAACUUUUCAACAUUUAGCACAUCAAUCUUUUUUUUAUGAGCUUUAAGAACAUCAUGAUUUUUCAUAGAACUUUGGAUCAAUCUUUCAUGCUCAACAACAAGAUUACUCACAAAUUAAACCCUUUGUUCAUUAGUAAACUCAUCAUCAUCACUAUCACUAUCACUAUCACAAUCAGUAUCAUCCAUAGGUUCCAUAAACGCAACAAAAGCUAACAUGUCAUUGGAAUCAUACCUUGCAUCUUCAGAAGUUGUGGAAGCACUCUCUUUAGAGUUUGAAUCACUCCAUGUUGCCUGCAUAGACUUUUUGAUAUUUUUUUUGGGCUAGGACAAUCUUGAGCAUAGUGUCUUAGACCUCUACAAUUAAAGCAUUCAACUUUCUUACCUUUGGAGGAACAUUUUACUUUCUCAUUGGAUGAUUAUUCAUUAGGUUUUUUUCCUUCUCCAUAUUCUCGAUUAUUGUGGAACCUUUUAUUGAAUUUCAUGACCCUUUUAAUCCUUUUGGCCAUAUGGGCAAAUUCAUCCUUAGUUAUAUCAUAUGACAUUUCAAUAUAUUUUUUCUCAUCCUCAGAAGCCUUAAAAGUAGAGUCUUUAGGCUUUUGGGAACUAGGUAGGGUCAUCUCUUAUGUCUAAAAAGAGUCAACUAGUUCAUCAACUCUCAUGGAAUUGAUGUCCUUGCUCUCCUCUAUGGUAGUUAUUUUGGGUCUAAAUCUCUCUAGAAGAGAUCUCAAUAUUUUCCUAACUACAUUAGAAUAUGGAAUAGGUUCUCCAAGGUUGAAUGAAGAAUUUACAAUAUGACUUAAUUCAGAAUAAAAAGAAGAAAAAGAUUGAUUUUCAUGCAUCCUAAUAAUCUCAAACUUAGUAGCAAAUAUUUGUAACUUAGAAACCUUUAUAGCAGACGUACCUUCAUGAGUGACUUGAAGAAUAUCCCAUGUUCCUUUACACGCUUGCAAUUUGCAAUCCUAGAAAACUUGUCUAGACAAACUCCAUUAAAAAUACUAAAUAAAGCCCUAGCAUUGGCUUAACUACCUUCAUUAUCGGUUUUGUCCCAUUCAUGUUUAAGUUUAAGUUCUCCUGUUGAUCUUCCUUGAGCAUCAAGGAUCAAUGGUGGUCCCCAACUGAAUUGCAUACCCUUUUGCCUUGAAUUUUAAGGGAAAACAUCAUUCGUGCUUUCCAAUGAGAGUAAUUAUUCCCAUCAAAAUAGGGUAGACUAUUCAAAGAGGCACCACUUUUUUACUGUUCCAUAUCAGACUUACAGGAUCAAUAAAAUUUUGAUUUUUAUCCUAUAUGAUCAAUAAAAAUUUGAUUUUUAAACAAUGAAAGCUAAAUCUUUAAUCAAUAGGAUAGAGAAUCGGUUUUUUAUCUUGUUCUAAUACCAAUUGAAAAAUGGGUAUUGAUCAAAUACCUCUUAAAUAAUAAUUGAAAGUCUAAUAGGAAACACCCAAAGGGGGAGGAGAGAAUGGGUGAUUUAAAAAUUUUAAAUUAAUAUUUAUAAAUAAUAACUAACUUUUUCUUACUCUAAUAGAUAAUAGGGAUAUCCCAAAUAACUAAAUGGAUUAUACCCAAAAUAUUUAGGUUUAUAAAAAUAUGAUUUUUAACUUUUAGGGAUAUCCCGCAAUUGGUUAGGAAUAAUAUAAUUAUGAAUAUCCAAAUUAUACCUUAUGAGAUGUUAGGUAAAACAAUAAUUAGUUAUAGGUAUAACAACCAUAACCUCCAAGAUAACCAAUCCAACAAUUUCAAUAACCAAUCAAUCAUAAAGGAAUCUCAAUAACAACCUAACUAACCUAUUCAAUAUAAUCAAUAUCAUCAACUAUAAUAUAAGCAGUAAUAAAAAGAUAUGCAAUGAGGCAUAACAUUUUUACAUGGAAAACCCCCACGAAUUAUGGAAUAAAAAAACACAAGGUCUAAGACCUAUCAAUCUAAACCCAUUAUUCGAAAUCAAGUUACAUAGAUUUACAUUACAUAGAUUUACAUAGUCAUUUUACCCUAAAUACUUUCUCUCCAGCACCUGCAACUUUAUCUAUGUCUGUGAUGCAACAACUCCUUAUUUCUCCCUAGUAGAUCCUUCAGCCACUCUAAAGGGAUUAAGGUCUUCAAAAAAACAAUUGAAAUAUCCUAAUCCUUGAAUAAGAGAUUGCGAAUGGUGUGACAAUAAGGAUUUCUCUCAAUAACUCACUCCCUCAUGAAUGAAAGGUCUCAACGAUAUAUUUUCAAUCUCCCCAAAAAUCUCUACACAAUCUUUUAUCCUUAAUGGGUUAUAAGAGAUGUAUUUAUAGGCAAAAGUCAUAAGAAUUUCGAUAUCUCAAGUUUCCAAAUUUGAGUUUGAAUGAAAUUCAUCCAAAAUAUGUUUCUAAACUCGGCAAGAAUAACAUGAUUGCUUAAGUGGACUUAGACCGCUUGAGCGGUUCAUACAACUUGAGUGGGUUGACUACUUGAGCGAGAUUAACCACUUGAGCCCCUAUUUUUUGAAAAAAAAAAUAUUAUAAUUCCAAAAAUGAAACCGAACCUUUUAUACCUUAAAUAAGUCUUAUAUGCCACAACACAAACCUUUUUAGACGUAUCUGUGACUUCUUAGUUAGAUGAACAAGAACCAUUGAUCUUCAAUGGAGAGCAAGCCACUAUAUACAAAGACAUCUAUGUCCAAACAUUGAUUGGAACAAAAUUGCCAACAAUUACACAAGACUCAAUGUCCUAAUAAACAAGAUCUCUAGUUUGGGUUAAUUGAUUAAUUAGAUGAACCUAUCUAGUUAAUUAAUCAAUUAGGACCCAUUUUAGGCUAGAUUAAGUGACCCAAGCCUUGAUGAGCUUAAGUCACUUAAGCCCAAUGGGUAACCCUAUAAAUACCACUUUUAUGAGUUAGGGUCUCAUAUAACUUUUUGAUAAGAAUUGUCUUCCACCUCUAGAGAAAGAGAGAGUCAUUGCUUCCUUUCUUCCAUUAUCCACACUUUAAAGUGUUAAGAUCAUGGUUUGAGUCAUCUUCCGAAAGAUCUUGGAUGUACAAGACCUCCAGACUCUUUAGGCUUCUUCUUGAUUAGAUGGAUUUUGAUUUGGGAACAUCCAAAUCACAGGUAUGAAUACUAUAUCUCUAUAUCUAUAGUUAAUAAUAGUUUUUAUUGUCAUUUUAUUUCAUUAUGAUAGAUUUAGAGAUGCCUAGGGAUAAAGAACAGAGUACUAAGGCAUGAGAACAGAGUACUCUAGGGUUCCCAACACCAAGAUCAUCGUUUAAGUCAUCGGUCAGAAGAUCUUGGGUGUACGAGACCUUUGGUUCAUCGAGUGGAAUUGACUUAGGAACAUCUCAGUCAAAAGUAAAAUUUAGUAAUGACUUUUCUCUAGAUCGUAUAAUGUUAAAAUUUAUUUUUUACUUUCGUUACAUAAGAUCUAGAUCUAGAGGCGUAAAGAAGUUUACAUGCACCUAUACAAUCUAGGGCUUGGGAACAAAGAGAUCUAGGGUUCCUAGAAAUUGGUAUGAAUGCCCUAUGAUAAGAUUUUUCAUGUUAGAUAUGCUCUAAGGUGUGUUAACUCUAUUUUGAAAGGCUUGUUUUUCAUUUGAUGGCCCUAGGGAUGAAUAUAUGUGGGUUUUCAAUAUAAUAUGAUGGUUAUAAUUAUGAUUGGAUUGUUUUAUUUUUGCUAGAAUAGGUUGUAAGCUUCAUGUUUAGGAGCAUAGGAUUUUUCUUGGUUGUAAAAAUCUCUCCUUUAUUAGAUUGGUUGUAAACUCCAUUAAUGGAGUAUAAUAUUUUUGUGAUGUAAAAGAUCCUUUUUUUUUUUUUUAACAAUCUAAUAACUCAUGAAAGACAAGAAAGCAAUCUAAGAUGUCAUUCUUAACCAUCAUGACUCCCACACCAACCAAGGUAAGUUUUUGGUGGAGAAAACAAUCAAAAUCUACAAAAGAAAUAGUCUCAAGUGCUCAGGAAAGGUGACUUGGGUGCUCGAGCAAUCACUUAUCAUGCUCGAGCGAUAUGAUUGAUCGAGUGGUGCUUCCAAUGAUGGUAAGUUGCUUCUAGCAUCCUCAAAAAAAUUUGAGCGCUCUAGUGUAGGUGACAAUAGAUGUGCAAUAAGGAAAUACAACAACAUAAAAAUUGCAAUUCGGGAUUUUUGUAAUAGAUUAGGGUAUUUAUGUAACUAACCCUAUUUUCUGUUACAAAUAUAACUUGGGAAAAUUUGGAUUUUUUAUCCAAAUGGGUUACCAACUUUAUGUAAUAGUAUUCCCAAGGCGAUGGAAACCAGUUCAUUAAUUUAUUAUUUAUUUUAUUUCAUAUUUUUUUCUGCUUAGCAUGUGUUAAAUAAAGAAUAAAUUGGAAAAAUGAUUUUGGAUUUUUCUUAAGGAAAAUAGAUUUUCAUGAGAAACGUUUUCCAAUAUUAUUUUUCUUUUGAACUAGUCGUUGUUAAAGACAUUGUUAUUCCUUUUUGGAUUAUCCACUUGGUUAAUAGGUGGUUCUCUAAGAUCAACCCCUUAGAAAAGGAGGAAAUCAUUUUGUAUAUGGAUAGUCUAAGGAUAAAGGAAUAAGAGAGAAAUUCUUUUAUCACAAGACUCUUAAUUUAAGAAGUAAAUAACAGAAUUGGAAAAUCUCAUGAUAGAGAAUUUAUUUUAAGAAAGGUUAUCAAAAUUACUAAAAGUCACUAUUUUCAAAAUAUUAAUUAGGAGAGGGCCUUAGCAAAUACGAUAACCUCCAUUGUCAAGCCCAUCUUGAUUUGGGUUCAUCACCACCCUCACAGUGGAUUGUAAGCCCUAGGAAUCAAGGGAUAUAGACUCUCCUUAUAGACAAGGCUUUACAUGUCUGUAGUAGGAGCAACCACCCCCAUGGUGGGUUUCCUUGCUAAGUGAUAUUGAUAGCUUAAGGACAAUGGUUAUACACUUAACAUUGGAUAUUAAGUGGUUGAAUCACCCCACACAAUCCCACCUACAUAGUUCAUAGGUCAAAUAAAAAGGUAUGUUGUUCUUGCCUUUAGGUAACGUUCAUGUUUAAGGUAGGGAGAUCAAUCUGAGAGAGUCACUAACUAAUAAUAAGGUCAUGACCUAACUUAUGUAUUCCUAAACAUAACUAAGGCUAAUAAUAAGGUCACUAACUAAUAAAUCGUGUUGGAAGAAGGAAUGCCCUAAAUUCCUAAAGAGAUAGUUAGUUAUGCAUUUUUAUUUUCUAGUUGAAUCAUGUUUAGUGUUGGAUUCUACUAAUUCUUAGUGGAUAGAUUCCAGAGCUAUUGAUCAUGUUUAUAAUUCAUUACAGGGGUUUCAACUAAGCCGAAGGCUAAAUGAUUGAGAUAUGUAUCUAACAUUAGCUUCUGAAGCGAGACUUGUUGUGUAGGCAAUGGAAGAUGUUACCUUUAUAUUUUCUUAUAAUAGUCUUAUAAUAGUCUUUUAGUAUUAAAGGAUUGUCUUUAUGUUCCCGAGUUUAUGAAGAAUUUGAUUUCGAUUUCUAAUAUAUGUAAACUGAAUUAUUCAUCUUUUUUCUAUUAAACAGGUUUGUAUUAGAUUGAAUGAUUCAUUUAUAUGCUCAAGAUCAUUGAUAGAUAAUCUUUAUCGUGUUUCUCUAUUAUCUAUUUUGUGAAGUAAUGAGAGUUAUCAUAUUUCAUAGAAAAUGAAGGAACCUAGCAAUAAUCAAAUAUAACUUUAGCACUUAUACGUAGGUCAUAUAAUCUAAACAAGGCCUAAAGAUUGGUUAAGUUUAGAACUUUACCAUUCUUGAUUCAAAAGAUCUUACAGUUUGUGAAUCUUGUAUAGAACGUAAAAUGACCAAGAAGCCUUUUACUGCUAAAGAAUAUAAAGCCAAGGAAUGUUUAGAGUUAGUGCAUCUUGACAUUUGUGCAUCUUUCAAUGUCCAUGCACAAGAAGGAUAUGAGUAUUUCAUCACGUUUACAAAUGAUUACUCCAUGUUUGGAUAUGUUUACCUGAUGCAUAGGAAGUUUGAUGCCUUGAACAAAUUCAUUGAAUUUAAGACAGAAUCAGAAAACUAAUUGGGUAAAUGUAUCAAGGCACUUCAAUUUGAUAAAGGUGGUGAGUAUAUGUCUACUCAAUUUGAUUCUUUCCUUAAGGAGCACAAGAUUAUAUCCUACUUGAGUGCACUAGGAACUCCACAAUAAAAUGGAGUAAUAGAAAGAAGAAAUCGAAUGUUGAUGGACAUGAUGAGAUCUAUGAUGAGUUUCUCAUCACUCUUGUAUCCUUUUGGGGAUAUGCCUUAGAUAUUUCAUCUUACCUUCUCAUUUUCACAUUUAGGGGUGCCUAAGACAUGUGCUGAAGCUAAAGGUAGACAAAUUGAAAGCAAGGCUUGAUGUAUAUCAAUUUUUAGGUUAUACAAGAGGAAUGAGAGGCCUUUACUUUCACAUCCAGGUCGAUCAAAAGGUAUUUUUCAGUACAAAUGCCAAAUUUAUGGAAGAAGGUUAUAUGAUGAAUAAUAGGGUAAAACAUGAUAUAGAUUGGAGGACACUUGAAGACACUCCCACACUAGCACAAAGGACUAUGAGACAACAAGUUCCUACACCUACCAUUCUAGUCAAUUCUAGUACAUUCAUGGCUCAUUGUAGUGGAAGGAUUGUUAUACAACCAGACAAGUUCAUGUAUUUGAGAGAGUUUAUCAAGGCAAUUCCAAAGGAACAUGAAACCGAUCCCAUAGAUUAUAAUAACGCAAUGAGUAGUAAUGAUGUUAUUCUUUGGCAAAGAGCUAUGGAGGUAAAGUUAAAAUCUAUGUAUUCUAACAGAAUCUAGGAUCUUGUAGAAGUACCUGAACUGCUAAAACUCAUAGGCGGUCUAAAAAAGGAAGAGAAGUAAAUGGAAAGAUUGAGACAUACAAGGCUAGGCUGGUAACGAAGAGUUAUAGUCAAAAACUUGGUUUUAACUAUAAGGAGACCUUCUCACCAAUAGCCAUGCUGAAAUUCGUCUGAAUACUCCUAUCCAUUACAAUGCACCUUGAUUGUGAAAUAUGACAAAUAGAUGUCAAGACAAUGCUCUUGAAUGGUGAUCUUAAAAAGAGCAUCUAUAUGAUGUAACUAGAUGGAUUCAUAGCAAAAUGAUAAGAACAUCUUAUGUGCAAGUUGCAUAAAUCCAUUUAUAGAUUAAAUUGGGCGUCUUGCACAUGGAAUAGGCAUUUUGAUUAGGCUAUCAAGACUAUUGAUUUUGAUCAAAAUGAGGAUGAGUCUUAGGUGUACAAGAAGAUGCAGGAAAGCAUGGUUGUGUUUUUGGUCUUAUAUGUUGAUGACAUUCUAUUCAUUGGGAAUGAUGUAGGGUUAUUGUCAUCAAUUAAGAUCUGGCUAUCUACUUAAUUCUAAAUGAAAGGUCUAAGUGAGACACAAUAUAUUCUUAGAAUUAAGGUCCUUUGGGAUUGUACGAAUAGGAAGAUUGCGUUGUCUUAGGCCACCUACAUUGACAAGGUUUUGGUCAAGUAUGUGAUAAAGGACUCUAAGAAAGGUUUCUACCCUAUGCUUUUGCAAUGGGUAGCCUUAUGUAUGUGGUGCUAGGUACCAGACCAGAUGUUUUCUUUGCUAUAGGAUGGUGAGUAAAUAUUAGUCUAAUCUAGGCAUGGAGCAUUGGACAAUAAUCAAGCAUAUACUCAAGUAUCUUUGAACAACGAGGGAUUAUAUGUUAGUAUAUCAUUACGAUAAGUUGUUACUUCUUGGGUAUAUGGAUUCAUACUUUCAGUCAGAUAAAGACUCUCACAAGUUUACCUUUGAUUUUGUGUUCACUCUAGGUGGUGGGACUAUUAUUUAAAGAAGGUUGAAGCAAUCUUGUAUUGCUAACGCUACUAUGGACGAUGAGUAUAUUGCUACUUCUAAAGCAGCAAAGGAAGUUAUUUGGCUUCGAAGGUUCCUGUUAGGACUUGGGCUAGUGCUCUUGGCUAUAUCACCCCUAGUACUAUUUUGUGAUAAUAGUGGGAUGGUGGCAUAGUCUAAAGAACUAAAAAAAACCACCUGAAGAGUAUUACUUGAUACGUAAGAUAGUAAUGAAGGGAGAUGUGGUUGUGGAGAAAAUCACUUCUACUGAGAACCUGAUAGAUCCCUUCACAAAGACUUUAUUUACUAGAGUCUUUAAUGGUCAUAGGGUAGCUUUUGUGUCAAAUGUGUUCCCAACAUGCUCUAAGGCUAGUAGGAUUUUGUUGGGAUUAAGCCCUAGAAAGCAUGACAAGAUGUAAUAGAUAUAGAUUCAUUUAUAAUUUUAUUUAUUUAUGUUUCUUUAUUUUGUGUUAUUAUCCUAUUUGUAUUAAUUGGUUAUUUAAGCAUACACACCCCACAUUAAUUGCAUUGUACAUGACUUGGGUGCAUUAGGGGUUACAUAGACGAUCUAAGUCAUUGGUUUCUUAUAGAGUGAUGAGUUGUCCAUAGUCGGUUCAUAGAUUUAGGCAAUCCAUCUGAGACUAUAGUGCACUACCUCCUAAUUGGAGGAAUAACUUGUCUUAGUUGUCAAGAUGGUUUUCCCAUGGUGAGUGCACUAGUGCAUGUGAUGAACACUGCAUUAAGCCUACGGUGAAUCAUGACAUAAGGCUAUCAAUUGUCAUGAUUCACCAAGCUACUAUACUAGAUGAACUCUUAAGCUUGAGAGGAUAUUAAGCCUAUGCCAAAGUCAAUAGGAGGCUUUAACCUACAAGUGAGUUCCUAAGGUGACCAUAUAUCUCUAUGGAUUAUGUCACUAUUGAUUAAGACUGGUGACAAUAGGUAUUCUUAAUAGAGGCACCAUAAUAUCUCAUGGAUUGAGAUAGUGUGUCCCCUUCGAUGAUCCAAAGGACAUGUGAUCUAGAAGAUUUGACAUUUUCUUUAGUGGAAAUUUCACAUAUCUCCUUGGAGUUAGAGUAUGUCAAUUGAUCACAUAAUAAGUAGGAUUUGUAAUCUAAGGACUGAAGACGUAAUCUUGAUAGGUGAUAACACUAUCUUAUUAGAUUGCAGACACCAAUUCAUGGGAAGUCUACAUGUAGUGGAUAUUAGGUCACAAAUUUGAGCUUUAUAUCAUUGUUAUUUACAUAAGUAUUGGAAUGUAGUUGAUUCUCUUAAAUGAAAUGUUGAAUCAACUUCAAAAUUAGAUUUUGAGGGAUCCAUUACUCCUAUGGGUCCUAGUGAUCCCCACUCUAAGCUCAUAUAACAUGAUGACAUGAUUUUUAAGGGUUAGAUUGGCUCUAGGUUCACUCUUGUGCAUAAGGGUAUUUUGGUAAUUACGUAAGGUUGCAUAGGAGAUAGUGAACAAGGUCUCUAGAUUGGACUAAUUGAUUAAUAAGAUGGGCCUAUGUGGUUAAUUAAUUAAGACAUGUUUUAGGCUAGAUUAAGUGACUCGAGCCUUAGUAGGCUCAAGUCACUUAAGCCUAGUAGGGAGACCUUAUAAAUACCCCUUUAGGGGUCAAUGUUUCCAUCACUUUUCAAAGACAGUCGUCUUCCACUUCAGAGAGAGAGGGAGAGAGCUAGGAUUCUUCCCUUCCAAAGUCCACACUUUAGAGUACCAAGAUCGUGGUUCAAGUCAUAGGGCAAAAGAUCUUCGGUGCACGAGAUCUCCAGACUCUUCAAGCUUCAUCUUUAACUAGUGAAAUUGAUUUGGGAUGUCUAAAUCAAAUUUAAAGUUUUCUAAUGACUUUUCUUUGGAUCCUAGAAUGUUAAAAAAAAAAAAAUUCAUUUCCGUUGCAUAGGAUCUAGAGGCAUAGGGUAGUUUGCAUGCACCUAUAUGAUCCAAAGCUUGGGAACAAAGAAACCUACCCAAAAUAAAAGGUACUCGAUAUGAUGAUUUGAAAUUUUUGCAAGGAAUUACAAUUACACUGAAUGUAGCAACAACCUCAUAUGAAAUUCUCGGUGAAGUUUCUAAUUCUUCAAAGCUAGUGAAAAGGCAUUACAAAGUCUUGCAAAGCCAUGUUUGUUGAAAGGUAUUUCUACAUCCAAGUUGGAAUUUUGUGAGCACUAUAUAUUAAGCAAAAACAACAGGGUAAAGUUUGGUAUUGCAGUCCAUCGCACCAAGGAAACAUUAGAUUAUGUGUAUACAAAUGUCUAGGGACAUACAAAAACAACUUCUUUAUGAGGUAAGCAUUGGUUUGUGAAUUUUUUUUAUGAUUACUUAAGAUAUGUGUAGGUGUAUUUAAUGUGAUAUAAAAGUUAUGCUCUUAAUGUGUUUCUCAAAAGACAAUGGUAGAAAAUAAAGUUAUUAAAAAAAUAUAUAUUAAGAAGCAUAUAUUAAACAAUGAUGGGGAAUAUAAGUUAAAUCCUUUUACGCAAAUUAGAGAAAAAAAAUGAUUGUGUGACACUUACCAGUCAUGAAUAUUCUACAAGAAAACAGGGUAGUAGAGAAGACAAAUCACAAAUUGUUUGAGAAGUUGAGGUGCAUGUUGUCUAAGAGCAGAUUGAGGAAAAGAGUUUUAGGUUGAGGUUGUAACAUAUACAUGUCAUCUUAUUAAUAGAUUACCUUCUAUAAUACUUGAGAUCAAGACUCCCAUGGAGAUACGAUAUGGUACUCCAACUUCUGAUUAUGAUUCAUUACAUAUAUUCAGUUGUUCUUCUUACUACCAUAUUUAGAGAAUAAGUUAAAGCUUAGAUCCAAGAAAACAAUUUUCUUAGGUUUUAGUAGUGGUGUUAAAGGCUAUUGUUUAUGGUACUCUUUGCAAAGGAAAAUCAUUGUGAGCAUGGAUGUUGUGUUGAGUGACGAUGUUAUGUUAAAAAAGAGUUUCACAGAAGAUGGAGUUUGGAAGUCAAGUUGAAACUACUAUGAUGUCUUCUCUAGAUCAUUCAAGUAUGGAUUUAGAUGUCAUAGUAGAUGAACUAGAGUUUACUUCCCUAAGGUCCAAUGAAUAUUUUAAGUCAAUUGCAGUAAGUAGACCACAUAAAGAGAUAUUGUCACCUGCAUGACAUGUUGAAUUGGUUGCAUAUGCAUCACCCAUUGUUACUAAAGAUAUUCCAGACACUUAUAGGGAUGCAAUUCAUAGUCCUUAAAGUGAAGAUUGGAAAUUGGAAAUAUAGAAUAGAUGAACUCUCUCCACAAAAUUAAGACAUGGAAAUUAGUUCCAUUUCUUCCAUGAAGAAAGUUGUUGGAUGUAAAUGGCUAAGCAAAUAAAGAGAACUCAAUAAAAAAAAAGGUGAUAUAAGUUUCAAGGUUAUAUUAGUUGCAAAAGGGUAUGUAUAACAUAAAUAUAUUCAUGAUAAUAAAGUGUUUUAUCCUAUUGUUAAUCAUUCUUCUAUUAGAUUAUUGUUCGCUCUUAUUGCUCAAUAUGAUUUGGAGUUGUCUUAGUUAGAUGUUAAAACUGCUUUUCUCCAUGGUGAUUUAGAUGAAGAGACAUAUAUGUCUUAACUAGAAGGGUUUUAAAGAACUAAGAAAGAAUAAUUUGUUUGUAAAAUUGAACAAAUCAUUAUAUUCAUUUGAAGCAAUCCCCAUGGCAAUGGUACAAGACAUUUGAUCAAUUUAUAAUAGAAAUAAUUACAUUAGAAGUAAAUUUGAUCAUUAUGUUUAUUUUAGUAAAUUAUCUUAUGAAAAUUAUAUUUUUUUUGUUAAUAUAUGUCGAUGAUAUGUUGAUUGCUUGUAAGCCUCUGAUAGUCAUUCAUAGGUUAAAAAAUUAGUUGAGAACUAAAUUUGAAACUAAGGAUCUUAGAAUGCAUGAAAAAUUAUUGGAAUGAAGAUGACAAGGGAUAGAAGAAAGGGGAUUGAUGAAUUGUCACAACAACAAUGUUUGUAGACAUUACUUUAGCAUUGUGGUAGGACUUCCAAAAUAAAAAGUGUACUCCUUUGGCACCUCAUAUGAAACUCAAUGUAGAGAUGUCUCAUAACUUAGAUGAAGAAGUAAAGUGCAUAUGCAUAAUGUUCCAUAUGCUAGUGUCGUUUGAAGUUUGAUGCAUACCAUGGUUUGUAAUAGACUUGAUAUUCCACUUGUUGUCAUCAUGGUUAGCAGGUAUAUGCAUAAUCCAAUGGCUCUAGCAAACAGUAAAAUAAAUUUUAAGAUAUAUUCUAUGCACAACUGAUGUUGGAAUAGUAUUUCAACAAGAAUGUUCAACACAAGAUAUGGGUUAUGCAUAUUCAGACUAUACAACUAAGCUUUGUAAGUGUACGUCUAUUAUAGGUUCUGUAUUUACACUUGUAGGUAGACCUAUUUGCUAGAAAUCAACAUCUAUUGUGGCUUUGUCUGCUACAGAGCUAGAAUAUAUGAUAAUUAUAAAAGCUUUCAAGGAAGCUAUUUGGUUACAUGGUUUGGUUAAGGACUUGGGAAUCAAACAUGUCACAUCAUAACUUAUUGUGGUAGUUAAAAUGUCAUUCAUUUGGAAAAUAAUCAAAUUCAUCACUCCCAAACAAAGCAUAUUGAUGUUUGAUUUUAUUUUAUUAAAGAAAUUCUAGAAGAAGGUGAUAUCUUUCUUCAAAAGAUUGCUACUAUAGAUAAUCUAGCUCAUAUGCUGACAAAGAUAGUUUAUGGGAUCAAGUUCAAUCAUUGUGUAGACUUAAUCCAUAUUGAGAGGAUAUGAGUAUCCUCAAGUGCAUUUGGCUACAAGAUCCUUAAAAGAAUUUGUGUAGCGUUCAAUCUUGGCAAGGUGGAGAUUGUUAAAUUGGCUUCACUUAAGUUAAUCAACCAAUUGCAAGAGAAUUUUGAAGCCUUAAUAGUUGAACCAUAUAUUGUUUUUUUAGGUAAAGUCUAUAGUUACAAUGCAUGUAGUUGGAUUGAAAAGUUUCUUGGGGAACAUAGGAUAUAAUUGAUGUUCUCUACAUUGGUUUUUCUUUUUUCUUUUUUCAAUUUUGAAAUUCCAGAGAAAACUAUCUUACAAAGGAGAAAAUACCACACUUAGGACAAAGAGUACUUUGUAAUUAUUCUAUACUCUUUUGAGAUCUUUAGUGAAUGAUCUUACUAUAGGCAAAAACCUUGAAGCUUUACAACGUUAUGAUGUAGUAUUUCCAAUAAUAUAGGCACUUCAUUUUCAAAACCUUUCAAGUAUGUUGCCUCAUCUCUUUCUUGUCCAUGGAGUUUUUUUCGAGGCUACCACAUUGCCUAUACAUAAUUAAGCCUUUAAACACUACCAUAGCCUUCGAUACCUAUGUAAUUUUUUAUAUCGAAAUCUUUUGUUGCCUUGAUGAUGUCUUCAUAAGCAAUCUUACCAUCAUAGUUCCAUGCCAAAAAUAUAUAUCCUUAUGGAUGUUACUUUGGUUUGAUUUUUUCUUAUCUUCAAUGAAAGUGGGAGGGCCACAAAAGAAAGAAACAAAGUGGUAAAAAAAGAAAUAAUGAUGAUGAGUAUGAUUUUAUGUCCCUUCUUAGAAUGAGGCAAGUCUUCUAUGUCCACACAUAAACCUUUAUUGUGGUCAAAUACUGUAAAUAGAUGUUCAAACUACAUUAGAUUCUUCAAAUCCCCAAUUUCAAAAGAGCUAGCAUCGUUGAUUUGAUUGUAACAAAGAUAAAAAUGAGUCAAAUCAGUAGAUGCCCCAAAGAUGAAGGAAUAACACCAAUAAGGGAGUUAUGACUAAGAGACAAUUCCAAGAAUUCUAGGUUGGUAAAAUAUCCAAGUGAGGAAGGGAUGACUCUGGAAAAAGAGUUAGAACCCAAAUCCAAGUGAAUCAGAUUCAUUAAAUUCCCAAUCUAGUAAGGAAUAAAACCAUGGAUUUCAUUGCAACUUAGGCUUAAAUAUUUAAGCAAGUAAACAAUAAUAGCACAAAAUAAACAAGAAAAUAAUAACAUAAUUAUUUCCUCAUGGGCUUUAAGGAUCUUAUUGCAUAAUUAGUAAUAAUUUGGAUAAAAUCCAAAUAAAAAAUAUUACCAAAAAUACCUAUAACCAAAAAUAUGAUUAUAAAAUAAAAAGAAACCUUAAAAAUGAUGGGAGAAACUUGAAUCUCUUCAUUUUCCGAGCCUAGAUUAGGCUAGGAACAUGCUUAACUAUCCUAAGCUUUUCUAAAUCCCAUGCAUAGUGAAAAAAUUGCAUUUUUAAAACUUAAUAUGGAUUCAAUAAGUGCUAACGAAAACAUAAUUUGGAUUAAAAUGUUCUUAAAUCCAAUACACAUAGUGAAGAUAAAGAAGGAAGUCACAGAAGUCUCAUAUACCCGAAGUCUUCCAUUCGAUGACUUGAACCUUGAACUUAACACACUUCAGGUGGGAAUGUAAGAGAAGGUAAAGGUUAUGGCUCUCUCUCUCUCUCUCUCUAGAGGUGGAAGACAACUCUUUAAAAAAAACAAUGGAAACCCUAACCCUUAAGGGGUAUUUAUAGGGUUUCCCACUAGGCUUAAGUGACUUAAGCCCAUUAAAGGCUAGGGUCACUUAGUCUAGCAAAAAACAAGUCCUAAUUGAUUAAUUAACCUAAGAAGGCCAAUUAAUUAAUUAAUUAGUUCAAUUUAAAGAACUUGUUCACUUGCCUUGUGCAACCUUACGUAAUUACCAAAAUGUCCUAAUGCAUAAAAGUGAACCUAAAGUUAAUCCAACCUUUAUAACCCAUGCCAACAAGGUAUAUGAGCGUAGAAUAGGGACCAAUGGGGCACAUAAAAGUACUAACACCCUUAAAAUCCAAUUUUGAAGUUGAUUCAAUAUCCCACUACAGAGAAUCAACUAAACUCCAAUAUCCUAUGUGAAUAACAACAAGACACCAUGUGCUCGAGUCUAUGACCUAUUAUCCAUUACGUUCAGUCUCCCCAUAAACUUGUGUCCAUAGUCUAAUAAGGUGAAAGCUAUCAGUCUUUCAAGACUACCUCUACUAUCCUUGAGCAAUAGAUCCUUCUAUUUUGUAUUCAAUUAACAUAUCUUAGCUUUCCAAGAGCUAAUGUCAAGUUCCACUUAAAGAACUACUAUGACCAUAGUUUCCAUGAACAUACCUCCAUAGGAUCAGCCAAGGGGACACUCUAUCUCAAUCCUAUAAGAUAUCAUGGUGCCUCUAUUGAGAAUACCUAUUGCUACUAAUUUCCAUCAAUAGUGACCCAAUCCAUAGGGAAUAUAUAAUCAGCUUACGAUAUCACCUAUAGGUCAAAGUCAUUGCUAACUUGAACAUAAGCUCAAUAUUCUCUCAAGAUUGAGGGACAAUACAAUGAAGCAGCUUGGUGAAGUCAUGACUACAUGAUAGCCUUACAUCAUAACUCAUCGUAGGUCUUGUCCAAUGUGCAACCAUACACACUAAUGCACUCACCAUGGGAAACCUAUCCCAAUGGCCAAGACCAGUCAUCCCUCCAAUUAGGAGGUAGUGCACUAUAACCUCUAAUGGGUUGCCUAAGCCUAUGAACUAGUUGUGAACAAGUCAUCCAUUUGCAAGGAACCCAUGACUUAGAUCUUGAAUGCAACUCCUAAUGCACCUAAGUCACGUAUAAUGGAAAAAAUGCAUGCCAAAGUGCUUACAAGAUAUAAUGCAUAGAAAUAGGAUAACUAAAAGUAAACUAAAACUUUAUUAAAUAAAUAAUAGAAAUUCACAUGUUUAUUACAUCAUGUCAUGUUUUUAAAGGCUCUAUCCUAACAAAAAAAAUACCCUAAAAAUGUCAAAUAGCAAUCAUUUGCACUUUAGCGUCCCAAGGGUCGCUGGAAGGACUACUCUAUCACUCAUGCUGCCUAAGCACUAAUAUGAUCACUUAAGCAUUGAGGCCACUUGAGUGCUAAUCUAAGCGCUUAAGCACUACAUCCUACACAUGAGGUUGGUUCUAUAACUAUUUCAACCAUCGUUUCUAUGAAAGCCUCAUCAUUUUGGAUGACUUUUUGCACCAUAGAUGCUCGUGAAUGCUUGGAAUCUUUAAUCUUCAAGUUUUGGGUUACCAAAGACGGAUAAAAUUUCGAUUUUUACAUUAAGAAAAACCUUAUGCUUCGUUAGAUGGAGUGUACAGUCCAUCUAAGAACAAAAGACUUGAUAUUUACUUAUAAAAUUAAAAUUUUAUGCUCCUAACCAUGAAGUUUCCAACCUAGUCUAUACAAAGAACAAAUCCAAACACUUAAUCACAAUUAUAAACAUCAUAUUCAUAAAAAUAACAUCCAUACAUUCAUCCCUUUAGGUCAUGGGAUGAACAAACAUGCCUACAAAACCAAGUAAGCACACCUUAGAAUGGAUCUAAUAAGCUUUUUCGUAACCUAGGGCUUUGAUACCAAUUGUUGGGAAAACCUAGAUUGCUCCAUUAUCAUGUCUUGGAUCGUUAGGGUGCAUGAAAACCUAUUCUAGGCUCUCUAAAUCUAUCAUACAAUAGAAACAUUGCAAUUGAAACCAAAAAGAAUACCAUAGAUUUAGAGAUUAGUGCCAUACAUUUUAUUUAGAUAUUCCUAGAUCGAUUCCUAUCAUUGUAGAAAGCUCCAAAAUUGAAGAAAAUCUUAUAAACAUCAUGAUUUUCCACCCAAUGACUUCUCCUUGAGUGUAGGUGCUAAGAUGGUGGAGAUCUCAAGGGUUGGAGGCUAGGUUUCUCUCUCUAGACUAUAAGGAGAGAAUGGUAAGAUUGAACUUCACUAGAAACCCUAAUCCCCUAAAGGGGUAUUUAUGGGCUUCUUACUAGGCUCAAGUGACUUAAGCCCACUAUGGGCUUGGGUAACUUAAUUUAGCCUAAAGGGUGCUAAUUGAUUAAUUAACCCUAUAGAGCUCCAAUUAAUCCAUUAGUCUAAUCCAGAGAUAUUGCAUACUUAUCCUUAUGCAACCUUGCAUGAUUACCAAAGAGUCAUAAUAUUCAUAAGUGAACUAAAAACUCAUCCAACCCUCAUAAACUGUGUCAUCAAAGAAUAUGAGCUCAAGUGAGGACCAUUAGGACCCAUAGAAUAGUACUGGCUCUCUCAGAAUCCAAUUCUAAAGUUGACUCAAUAUCCCACUAUAGAGAGUCAAUUGCACUCCAAUACCCCAUGUAUAUUACAACGAGACACUAAGUGUUUGGGUAUGUGAGUCUCUUCAUGAACUGGUUAUUGAUAGUCUAACAAGAUGAAAGCUAUUAGCUUUUGAAGACUACCUUUACAAUCCUUAAGUUACAGAUCCUCAUCUUAUUAUGUGAACAAAUGACAUACUCUAGCUUACUAAGAGCAUGUGUCGAAUUCCACUAAAGGAAUUACUGCAAGCCCAUAAACUUCAUGAUCAUGUGUCCUUAAGAUCACCUAAGUAGACACACUAUCUCAAAGUCCAUGAGCUAUCAUGGUGUCUAUAUUGAGAAUACCUAUUACUACUAGUUCCAUCAAUAGUGACCCAAUCCAUAGGGAAUAUAUGAUCAGCUUACGAUCUCAACCAUAAGUCAAAGCCACUACUAGUUUCUACACAAAAUCAAUAUCCUCUCAAGGUGAGAGACUAUAUAGUAUAGCUACUUAGUGAUGUCAUGACUCCUUGAUAACCUUAUGUCAUGACUCAUCGUAGGUCUUGUCCAAUGUGUAAACUAUACACACUAGUGCACUUUUCAUGGGAAACUCAUCCCGACAACCAAGACUAGCCAUUUCUCUAAUUAGGAGGUGAUGAAAUACAACCCCAAAUGGAUUGCCUAAGUCCACAAACCGAUUGUGAACAAAUUAUCUACUUGCAAGGAACUCAUGACUUGUAUCUUAUGUGCAAUUGCUAAUGCACCUAAGUCAUGUACAAUGCAAGGCAAGAGAUGCUAAGCCAAAGUGGUCAUAGAGAAUAAUCCAUGGAAUAAGUAUAGAUAAGAGUGAACUUGGAAUAUCAUCAUGAAUUUCAAAUUUGUUAUAUCAUAUCAUGCUUUCAAGGAAUCUAUCCUAACACUGUGUACCUUGAGUAUAUAGUUUUCUUUAAAUUUUAUAAUAUAUUGUUGCUUUCUUAUUAAAAAAUCAUUAAAAAAAACCUCAUUUAACCCUUUGUAUAUUGUUUUUCUAUACUUGAAUGAUAGAAAUGGUGAUUUAGGUUUGGCUUUCUAGCUUAUAUGACUUUUAUGGUAAAUGCUUCAAAGCAUAUUCAUGAUACUAUCUUGCUAAUGUUGAGGAUGACGUAGCACAACUUCAAGAAGGUAUUUGCAAAGUAGAAUGUACAAUUUCUAGAUUAAAUUUUUUAGAAAUGUUUAUAAAGUUUAGAUUUGAAGAUUACUGUGGAUUAUUUUUAAUAAAAUAGAAUUUAUAGAUAUCCUAUUAUGUAAUCGCUUUAUACAAAAACAAAAAAAAAAAAAACAAAAAAACAAAAAAAAAAACAGAAACAAAAAAAACACAAAAAAAAAAAACAAAAACAAAAAAAAAGGGUUUAAUUUUGAUGUCUUCUACAAGAUGCUUUCACUUUUAUAUUAUUUAAAUAACAUUUUCCAAUAUGUUGUCAAAUAUAUGUUUUCUUAUAUUAAUUUCUUCCAAUAUUUUACUUAGGAAUAAAAAUGGAAUAUUGCUAUUAUUUUUAAUGUUGCAAUUAUUUUUCCUACACACACACAUAGAUAGAGCCUAUCUAAAAAGGGAUUGAUUAGGGUUUAAGCUUUUUCUUUGCACAAAUUUGAUCAUGAAUGAUACUUACAAUGAAUCAACUUAAUUAAUAUAAACAUCUCAUACUAAUUUAAUCAUAUAUAAUUUACUAUAAAAUAUUUCUAAUUCUUUCUUAAUUCAAACUAAAAAUUUAAUUCUUUUAAUCAAAACUUUUUGUUUUAAAAAUGAGUAAUACAAAAGGUUGACGAAAAAAUUAUAAAAAAAAUGUAGAAGAAUAAUAAAUUUAUGAUACAUGAAAUGUGUAUAUAUCUCAACUUAGAAUUAUUAUAUCCUAUAUUAAAAGGAUGUAUAAAGGGAUUGGAUCAAUAAAUUAUCUUAUUGAAUGUUUGAUUAAAUAUGAUAUAUGAUAAUUAAAGGAUGAGAUCAUUUAUCCUAUCCCAUAGCUAACCAAACAUGGGAUAUGAUAUGUUAUCUCAUCUCUUAUCUCAUCUAAUAUUAUGUAUAUUAAAUCAACUAAAUACAACCUUACUUUAGAAGGUAAUUCAAUUGAGAUGUGGGGAUGUGGACUACUAUUACUUUUAAAAGAAAUAUAGAAGUGAUAUAGACUAUUGAUAAGUUGAGUGCAUUAUGGGGGGGAUACGUUGAGUGGAUUCAAUUUGACAUCCACCUAUCUAAAUAUAUUAAUAGAUCAUCUUGGAUUAUGAAAAUUAUGAAGUUCAAAAACAAUAUGGAGCACACACUGGUAAUAUAAAAACAAAUCAAAAUUGGUAUCAUCGUUGCAUGCUAGUCACCUAAUUAUAUUUGUUGAAUAUUUAGUUGCCAAAGUGAAAUCUCAUGAAAAGAUUCAAGAAAUGGUGAUUGAGGAAGAAGCUUCGAUGAGAUGUGUUGCAUUGUUGGACGAGAUCUCGGAUUAGCAUGUAUGCAUUUCAGUGCCAACCAAACCACAAGAACUACAUCUUUAACAACUUGUUGGUCUUGAGGAGAUGAGAGAUGUGAAUCUAAUAUAUUAGUGAGCAUUAUAUUUUGAGCUGAUGAGGAAGACAAUAAAGUGACAAGUUCUCCUAGAUGUUUUCCCAUCAUUGUCUCAAGUGUAAUCACUCCAAAGUUAUAAACAUCACAUUUUUCUGUCACAAUCAUAGUAUAGGCAAGCUAUGCUAAGAAUCAAAAUAAGAAAUAAAUAUUGCACAAAUGAGAAAGUUACAUUCAUUUGAUUUUCUCAUAUUAGCCAUAACUAUAAAAUGUUAAUAAUGUUUCAUAGCAUUCCAUUGACAUUUGGCUACAUUUUAUUUCUAGGAUUGUGAUGAAAUUAAGUUAAUUUUUACAACUUAUAUGAAAUCUUUGAAAAACCAUUCUAAGGAGUUUUUAAAAAUGUUUAGGUAUUAUUAGGAAAAUGAAGACAACCAUUUGGAGAAUGCUUGAGAGACCAUUGAUAAGUAUUUUGUAUAUAAAGUUAUCUAGCUCUCUAAUAUCCUAAACCAUUUUUUUUUAUAACUUUUUAAAAUAACUAUUAAGAGUUUUCUUUUUCUUUUUCUUUUAUUUUUUUGGGAAUUUUAGAAUAAAUAAAUAAAAAAAGAGAGAAAAAUAUGUUAAAGAUAUUUCAACUUCUAUGAGGGCCCUUUGGGCAUAUAGCAAAUAAUAUUUACACAGUUGGAAGCACAUCAUUAUAAAUGAUAUAAAGUUUGUUUGGCUCUAUAAUCCCAUUGGACACAAAAAGGAUGUUAUGUUUGCAUAAGGGAUGAGUGUGAUAUCUCACAAUAGAUAUUAAAACAAACAGUUCUAAAACUACAUAUGAAUGAGCUCUUCUUAACCUUGUAAAUGCAUUUUGAAAUCGUGUGGACCCUUAAGCCUAGACCAAACAAUAUCUACGCGGUUUGGAGAUAAUAUCUAGUUUGCAUGAAAAAAUAAAGAAAAAUAAUAUAUUAAAUAUUUUAAAGAAUAUAUUUACUUUUGAGCUCUUCAUAAUUUUGAAAUAAGUAAUAAUAGUAGAAGAAGUUUUGUUUGGCUUGUAAAAAUAUUUCCUUUCACUUCAUCCAAUAUAAUAUAUCACUUCUAUGAAGUAUAUAAUGAGAGGUAUAAAAGUACUAAAUACAUCCAAUCUCAAAGAUACCAUACUAAAACGAAAAAUAGCUAGAAGUUCAAAAGAUAUAUCGGAUAAGUAAAAGUUGAAAGAAAUAUCAGUGUGUACUUACCUGGUGCUAUGUAACCAUAAGUGUCUGCAAAAAGUGUUUAAUUGGAUGAAUCAAGAUGUAGCAGUCUAGCGGUGCCAAAAUCCAAUAGAAAAGCUUCUAGUUUAAAAUCCAAAAGAAUAUUGUUGCUUGAUAUGUCCCUAUGAAUAAUGGAAGGAGUACAGUCAUGAUGCAUGUAGCAUAAGGCAUGGACUAUGCUUUUAACCACAUUCACCCUUUUAAUCCAAUCCAAUUCCAAAGCUUCAACUUCAUUGCUCAAUACACAAAAUAAGCUUCCUCUUUCCAUGUACUUUUAAAUCAAAAACAUGAAUUUUUUUUGCAGACAAUAGUCGUGAAGUUUUAUAAUAUUCUGAUGUUGUAUUUUUGACAAUAUCUGCACCUCGUUUUGAAAAGUUUUCAAGUAUGUUGCCUCAUCUAUUUCCUAUCCAUGAAACUUUUUCAGGGCUACCACAUUGCCUGUAGGCAAUUGAGCCCUAUAAACAUUGCCAUAGCCUUUGGUGCCUAUGCAAUAUUUGACAUCAAAAUCCUUUGUUGCUUCAAUGAUGUCUUCAUAAGCAAUAUUACCAUCAUAGUUCCAUAUUGAAAAUAUAUCUCCAUUUUUUGUCGAUGUUGUCUUGGUUUGAUUUUGUCUCGUAUUCUGUAAAAGCAAGAGAAACCCAAACGUCGCAAAAAGAAAUACGAUGGUAGAUAUAGCAAUAACAAUGAUGCAUAUAAUUUUAUGUCCUCUUCUACAAUGUGUUCAACCUUUGAUUUCACCACAUAAACCUUUUUUGUGGCUAAACACCUUAGGGUGAUGUUCCAACUAUAAUUCAAUGGGUAUAUGGCCCUCCAAAUCAUUAUACGACAAAUCAAUUGAUGACCACCUAUAUAUUGGAAGAGUAGGAAUGCGACCUAAGAGGUUAUUGUGAGAGAGAUUCAAGUUUUCCAAGCUCUUCAAGUUUUGGAGCUGGGAAGUUAUCUUUCCAUUGAUCAAAUUAUCACUAAGGUCUAAGAUAGCCAAAUUCUUCAAGUUCCCUAUCUCGAAAGGAAUGCAACCCUUGAUUUGAUUUCCACCAAUAUUGAACUCAGUUAAAUUAAUGAGAUAGCCCAAAAAUGAAGGAAUAACUCCCAUGAGGUUGUUAUGAUCCAAUCUGAGAUGGAUUAUAUUCUUCCAAUUCCAAAUUAUAGGAGGGAUGGAACCAUUGAUUUGAUUAUAACAAAGAUAAAAAUGUGUCAAAUUGGUAAGAAGACCAAAUGACAAGGGGAUGGACCCUGGAUUUGUUUGUUGAUGAGAUGGAAAUAAGUCAAAUUGGUAAGAUAACCCAAAGAUGAAGGAAUAACACCAACAAGGGCAUUAUGACUCAGGGACAGUUGAACCAAAAUUUUAAAAUUCCCAAUUUCAAAAGAGAUGGAACCGUUGAUUCGAUUUAAAUUAAGGUACAAGUAUUCCAAGUUGGUUAAACUUCCAAGAGAUGAAGAAAUGACAAAGGAAAGAGAGUUAGAACCCAAAUCAAAAUAAAUCAGAUUCUUUAAAUUCCCAAUUUCAUAAGGGAUGGAACCGUUGAUUCGAUUGAAAUUAAGGUAUAAGUAUUCCAGGUUGGUUAAACUUCCAAGAGAGGAAGGAAUGACACUAGAAAGAGAGUUAGAACCCAAAUUCAAAUGAAUCAAAUUCUUUAAAUAUCCAAGAGAGGAAGGGAUGGCACCAAAGAGAAAGUUAGAACCCAAAUCCAAAUGAAUCAGAUUGUUCAAAUGUCCAAGAGAGGAAGGGAUGGCACCAAAGAGAGAGUUAGAACCCAAAUCCAAAUGAAUCAGAUUCUUCAAAUAUCCAAGAGAGGAAGGGAUGACACUAGAGAGUGUAGGGAAUUAAACCGAAUUCCCAACCCGUGAGAAACAAAAAUUUAGAGAAAACACAUGCCAAAGAAAAACAAUCACACGCACAAGACAGUAUUUAUGUGGUUCGGCAAUUUGCCUACGUCCACGGAGUUGCAAGGAUAUCACUAUUAUAAGGGAAAAAUACAGAGUACAACCACAACGAUUACAAUAUUUUCUCUCUAUAUAUAACACGGCAACCACACCACACUAAAAAACCCUAAUUACAAAAGGUGGUUCCACAAUGGGCUAAAUGGGCCCAAUAGGCCUCAGUAAAUCUCCCAUUAAAAAGCCAUGCAAUAUUAUUCAGGUUGGGUAGUCAAAUCGGAUCAAAUAAAACUAGGCUCCACAAAGCCCAAAAAAUCUCCCACUUGGAGACUAGUCCAAUCACUAACAUCAAACCGCUAUCCUCCAAGAAACAAUCCCUCAUCCCUGCAACUCAUCCUCCUAUCCUCAAGCUAGAAGACCAAUUGAAGCUACGCACAACUUCAACUUCUCAAUAGUGACACCCUUAGUCAACAUGUCUGUCGGGUUCUUAAAUCCAUAAAUCUUCUCAGGUAUUACCAGUUUAUCUUCAACAAGGUAACGGAUAAAGUGGUAUUUUGUUUGUAUAUGCUUCGACUUUGAAUGAAAAGCUGAAUUUUUGGCAAGAAAAAUUGCACUCUGACUGUCACUGUGAAGAAUGUCUAUCUCCUAUUUUUUACCCAAUUCAUCUAAGAAACCAUGCAGCCAAAUCAUCUCCUUUCCAGCUUCAGUUGCUGCAACAUACUCAGCUUCUGUAGUAGACAGAGUAACAAUCUUCUGUAGAUUUGAAGCCCAUGAUAUAGCUGUACCACCUAGAGUAAAAACAAACCCAGUAGUACUCUUUCUACUAUCAAUAUCACCAGCAAAAUCAGCAUCUACAUAACCUUGUAGUUUCAAACUUGCACAUGUGAAGCAAAGACAUGUAUCUAAUGAACCCUUCAGAUAUCUUAGAAUCCACUUGACUGCCUCCCAAUGCUGCUUUCCAGGCCUACUCAUGAAUCUACUCACAACUCUCACUACAUGUGCAAUGUCUGGCUUUGUACACACCAUAGCAUACAUCAAGCUGCCAAUAGCUGAGGCAUAGGGCACCUUGCUCAUAUGGUCCCUUUCUUCUUUUGUCUUCGGUGACUGUUCUUUGCUUAGUUUGAAAUGACUGCCCAAGGGUGUGCUCACUGGUUUAGCUUCAUUCAUGUUGAACCUGCUGAGAACUUUCUUCACAUACUCUGACUGUGAAAGCUUCAAUGUACCAUUAGCUUUGUCCCUAAUAAUUCUCAUACCAAGGAUUUGUUUUGCAGCUCCCAAAUCCUUCAUUGCAAACUGUUUGGACAAUUGUUUCUUCAGAUUAUUAAUCUUUCAAUGUCAGACCCUGCAAUAAGCAUAUCAUCCACAUACAAUAGUAAUAUGAUGUAAGAAUUGUCAAAAGACUUAACAUAACAACAGUGAUCAGCUUCACAUCUCUUGAACCCAAUUCUAUGCAUAAAACUGUCAAACUUCUUGUACCACUAUCUAGAAGCUUGUUUAAGGCCAUACAAGCUUUUUCUCAGUUUGUAGACUAGAUUCUCUUGUCCUUGAGCAAUGAACCCUUCUGGUUGAAUCAUGUAAAGGUCUUCCUCCAAGUCACCAUGAAGAAAUGUUGUCUUCACAUCUAACUGCUCAAGAUGUAAGUUUUCUGCAGCUACCAUUCCCAGUACAAGUCUGAUUGUUGACAUCUUCACAACUGGAGAAAAUAUCUCUGUAUAGUCAAUGCGCUCCUUCUGCUGGAACCCUUUAACAACUAAUCUGGCCUUGUAACGUUUGCUACCAUCAUGCUCAUUCUUUAUUCUGUAUACCCACUUGUUGUGCAAAGCCUUCUUUCCUACUGGCAAUUCAGUCAGUUCCCAUGUUUAAUUCCCCAACAAGGAAUCCAUCUCAUCCUUCAUGGCUAACUCCCACUUGCUUGAAUUCUCAUCUUNNNNNNNNNNNNNNNNNNNNNNNNNNNNNNNNNNNNNNNNNNNNNNNNNNNNNNNNNNNNNNNNNNNNNNNNNNNNNNNNNNNNNNNNNNNNNNNNNNNNUCUGGCUCACCACCAUCAAUCAACAAGAGAUAAUUUAAAACAGGUGAAUAACGCUACGGAGGUCUAAUGUUCCUGGAAGAUCUGCGAACUUCAGCUACAGGUGUACUCAGAUCUACCUGUGAAUUUACAUUCUCCUUAUCUUCUUCACCCCCUUUUUGGACAGUACUUUCAGUCAAUUCAUCUAAGUUGACAAACUCAGAUUUCUUUUGAUCUAUCUCUAUAAUAUCUGACACUAUAGUUGACAUGUCCUUGUACAUAACUUGUUCAUUAAAUAUCACAUUUCUACUUCUGAUGAUUUUCCUGUUUUAUUCAUCCCAAAACCUAUAGCCAAAUUUCUCAUCACCAUAGCCAAUGAAAAAACAUAUUUUUGACUUUGCAUCAAGUUUACUACGAGCAUCAGAAUCAAUAUGAACAUAAGAAACACAACCAAAAACUUUUAAAUGUGAAAACUUCACCUCUUUGCCGCUCCAAACCUCCUCAGGAAGUCUGAACUCCAUGGGAACUGAUGGUCCUCGAUUUAUCAGGUAAGCUGCAGUGCUAAUAGCAUCAGCUCAAAAAGUUUUUGGUAGUCCAGCAUGCAACCUCAUACUUCUAGCACGCUCAUUGAGAGUUCUGUUCAUGUGCUCAGCCACACCAUUCUGUUGUGGUGUCCUAGGAAUAGUCUUCUCCAUCCUAAUUCCCUGUGCAGCACAAUACUCAUUGAACCCUCCAUCUAUGUACUCUCCUCCAUUAUUUGACCUCAAACAUUUUACUUUCAAACCUGUUUCUGUCUCAACCAUGGCCUUCCACUUCUUAAAAGUUUCAAAUUCAUCAAAUUUAUUUUUCAGAAAAUAAACUCAUACUUUUCUGCUUGAGUCAUCAAUAAAAGUGAUGUAGUACCUCGAACCUCCAAGGGAUACAACCGGAGAAGGCCCCCAUAAAUCAGUGUGUACUAGUUCCAAUUUUUCAGCCUUCAGUGUCCUGCCAGUUUUCAAGAAGCUCACAUUUUUUUACUUUCCUAAGAUGCAACUUUCACACAUGUCAAAAUCAAUGGACUUCAAUUCUGGUAGUUUUCCUUUUGACAACAGCAUCUUCAUCCCUUUCUCACUCAUGUGACCAAGUCUACGGUGCCAUAGGAUUGUAUCAGUACUUGCAUCAGCAACUGCAAUUGUGUCUCUUGGACAUGAGGUCAUAUACAAAGUACCAGUCUUCUUUCCACGAGCCAAUACCCUAGCUCCCUUUGUAACCUUCCAAGUACCACCAACAAAUAGUAUUGCAUGUCCUUCAUCAUCAAGUUGUCCAACAGAAAUCAGAUUCCUCCUCAGGUCAGGAAUAUGUCGAACCUUCUCCAGUAACCAAACAGACCCAUUGGGCAACGAUAUCUGAACGUCUCCCAGACCCACAACAUCCAAGGCUGAACCAUCAGCCAAAUACACCUUACCAAAAUCACCUGCAACAUAAUUCUGUAUGAUUUCUCGGUGUGGAGUGGUAUGAAACAAAGCUCCUGAAUCCAAAACCCAAUCAUCAAGUGGACUGUCUACUGCAAGAAGUAAUGCAUCCUAUACCUCUUCUGUUACAGCAUUAGUAGAAUCAUCCUCAUUCUUCUUCUUUGGACUUUUGCAUUGCCUUUUAAAGUGACCUGUUUUCCCACAGUUCCAGCAUUGUACUUGUUGGCCUGAUCUAGAUUUACUUCUGUUCCGAUUAGAAUUUCUAGAUUUUGAUCUACCCUGGUUUGAAUUUGUGUCAUUACCUCUGCCUCUUGUCUCAAGGUUUAGGGCAGAACCAGAUCUUGAGGUUUCGCCUACAUCUUUUUGGCGAAUCUCCUCAGCCAGAAUUAAAUCUCGUAUAUCAUUGUACUUGAGCUUUUUCUUUCCCGUAGAAUUGCUUACUGUCAUCCUCAUUGCCUCCCAACUAUUUGGCAAAGAAGCCAAGACGAUCAAAACACGAAUCUCAUCAUCAAAAUCAAUUUCUACAGAUGACAAUUGAUUUGUGAUUGUAUUAAAUUCAUUCAGAUGUUGUGCUACUGAUGCAUUCUCCGCCAUCUUCAAAUUGAACAAUUUCUUCAUUAGAUGCACCUUAUUGUUUGCGGACGACUUUUCAUACAUACCAGACAAAGCCUUCAUCAAAUCUGUUGUGGUCUUCUCCUUUACAACAUUGUGUGCAACAGACCUAGACAGAGUUAACCUAAUAACUCCUAUAACCUGUCUGUCAAGAAGCGCCCAUUCCUCAGCCUUCAUACUCUCAGGUUUCGUCCCCAAAAGAGGCAGAUGCAAUUUCCUCCCAUAGAGAUAAUCUUCAAUCUGCAUCCCCAAUACGCAAAGUUUGUGCCAUCAAACUUUUCUAUUCUAGACGCCUUUCCUGCUUCCUCUGCCAUUGCUCCCACUUAAACCUAACCCUAGGUUCUGAUACCAAUUGUAGGGAAUUAAACCGAAUUCCCAACCCGUGAGAAACAAAAAAUUAGAGAAAACACACGCCAAAGAAAAACAAUCACACGCACAAGACAGUAUUUACAUGGUUCGGCAAUUUGCCUACGUCUACGGAGUUGCAAGGAUAUCACUAUUAUCAGGGAAAAAUACAAAGUACAACCAUAGCGGCUACAAUGUUUUCUCUUUAUAUAUAACACGGCAACCACACCACACUAAAAAAUCCUAAUUACAAAAGGUGGUUCCACAAUGGGCUAACUGGGCCCAACAGGCCUCAAUAAAUCUCCCGUUAAAAAGCCAUGCAAUAUUAUUCGGGUCGGGUCAUUAAAUCGGAUCAAACAAAACUAGGCUCCACAAAGCCCAACAGAGAGCAAAUAGUUAUAACUCAAAUCCAAUUCCUCUAAAAUAGUGAGGUUACCCAGUGAAAUAGGUAGCUCACCAUCAAGUCUACAACCAAAGAUAUGAAGGUGAGUGAGUUUUGUAAGCUUACUUAUCUCAUAUGGGAUGCUACCAUAGAUGAAAGAAUGGCUAAGAUUGAGAUAGAGGAGGCUGGGAAAUGAUGAAAACUUCAACUGGCUAAGCUUACACCGUGGGCAAUAGUGAUGUGAAUAGGUAAUCUGAAUAACAUGUCCCUCCCUGUUGUAGGUGAUGUCAUCCCAUGUGCAAUGAUGAGAAGUAGUGUUUUCCAUGUACCACCACCGAGUAGAGUUGCGGAGAGCCUCGGCCUCGGCCUCCACUUGUGCGUCAGUUGUAGCAGUGAUUCGUCCCUAGCAGCGGCAGUGGCAAUGGCACCAUUUGAUUCGAGGUUCGAUCCCCGGCAACGGCGCCAUUUGAUUCAUGCCCAAUUGGUGUCUCAGCUGAUUCGUGUCCAGCUGGUGCUCCUUGAUUGAGGGAUUGAUCAACAAAAUUUAUAACCUAUUACACCAUAUACUAGGGUAGCAAAGACAAAGCUACUAUAGUAUAGUGGCUCUAGGAUCGUUCACUGGGAUGGGUUUUCAUUUCACAAAUGAUAUCAAUUCAAAGCUGAAUUGGUGCCUUUUCAUUUCAAGGUUAGCUUUAAAAGAAAACAUAAACUUGAGUUGGAAAAGGUUUGGUUUUAAACUAACCAAAAAUAGUAACUGAUUUUACUUAUAAAGAAAAGUUGUUUCUUGGAGUUCAGAUCACUAGGCUCAGAUUCCUCAUACAAAAAGGGAGUUCCGGUCACUUGUUUCUUUUCCUCGCAUUAGAGAAUUAACAUAUAGUUCCUUCUCCAACCGGUGUUGUACAGAUGCUUCCCAUUAAUGGGUUCAAACACUAAAUCCCUCUCACUGAUGCAACUUGCAAUGGUUCAUGCCUCUCACGAGCACUUACCAUUCAAGAUGAUCGUUAACCUUGGACUACCCGUCAAAAGCUCGCAAGAGAUAACUAAUGGAUGUCUUCUUGGAGUCCAAAAGCUUACCAAGUGUUGGCUAUUCUAGAAAAUCCUACCUUCAAACCACCUCUCAAAGGCUCGCAAGGGGUAAACUAGUGCAUUUCCAUGGUUGGAAAUCACUUGCCUUACCAAGUGUUGGCCCAGGUGAUUUAAAGGCGUUUUAAGUUAACUAAAAAGAUAAAAACCAUUAACGGGUCACACUUUCUCUUCAUUAAAAACUAAAACAACAAAACUUCCAAAUUAUGCAUGUGGAAACUUACCCGGCUUUCCUUACUCCAAUAGAAAAAAAGCUUAGCCUCUCAUCCUUUGAGGAAAAAUCCUCAAAGUUUGGUUGGCUAGAAAUAAAAAGAAAUGAAAAAUAAAAGAGAAGGAAAAACAGAGCAAGGCUCUGUAUAUUCUAUAUAUUGAUUGAUAUUACAUAUAUGAUGAUUUUACAGUGGAUGCAAGGGAGUUUAUAUAGGAAGAUAAUUUACCCUUCCUUGGAUAUUUUCUAGCUAAGGAAUUACAUGAGUGGUUGAAUACAAGGAGAAAAUGGAAAUUAUACAAAAAUAUCUGAAGAAAAGAUCUAAAAGAGUCGGUGCAAAAAUAUCGGGAAGCUCCAGGAACAUUUCGCAGGUGAAAAAUGGUGUCUGCGAGGAUAAACCAUCUUGCUUCAUUGGCUAUCUCUCUUGCUCUUCCUUACAUCUUUAUACACACCACUUCUAGUCCUUACAAACUCGUAUCUCUUUCAUAACUUUUUCACACUCAAGAGGGCUGCGAAAUAUUUUCGCAUCAACAAGCUGAACUCGCCCCGCUGCGAAGUUGGCUUUCAUCUUGUGGUGUUUGGCUUCCAUCGCGGCGUGAAACUUCAAGGGAAAUCCAAAGCACUGUGCAAAAAGGCUGCGAAAUUCUCGCAACAAAAGGCUGAUUCCGCAACACUUUAAAGUGAUUGACUUGCAGUGGCUGUAACUUCUUCGUUUCAACUCCGAAUCGUGCACCGUUUGAAGAAUUGGAUUCUUGACUUCCUGAGCUUUGAAAUGGUAUAUAGAAUGUACAAAAUGGACUUCGGGAAGUGCUCCAAAAGUGCACAAGAAGACUGCAGCUAGCUUUCCUCUGUUUUCUUCACUCUGUUUUUCCUCUCUCCUUGCUUCUCUCCUUGCAUACUUUGAACGACUUUGGCAAAGGGCUAUGGAGCUCCAAAGCUUUGUUCUUCAUGAAUUUAAGCUUCCAAAAGCUUUUCCAUGAACUAUAUACAGCUCUCCCUCAUUCUUGGAUUGCUUUGGUGAUCAAAAAGCUAUCAAAACACCAAAACUUAACACAAUUUGAUUAGAAUUGAUUGCAAGGGUCCUUAACAUGUUAAUUGGGUUAAAAGGCAAUAACUACUACUCAAAAGUGUUUAAAAGAGUUAAUUACAAGUUAUGAAAUAGCACUUUUUGAGUAGUAAUCAAGCAGCAGCAAGAGGUGAUGAGAUCAAGAGCAUGUUAUAUUAUAACAAUACCACUGAAACCACCAACACCCUACAAGAAUUAAUGGAACACCUCUCCAUUUUUUCUUAUUUUCGAUUAAUAUUGCUAUAUAUGCCCUAGUUGAUGGUUUUGAAAAUGUGAAUCUCAAUAAUGAACUACACCUAGAGGGGGGUGAAUAGGUGUUGUAGAACAAUUUAAAAAUUCUCCCAACAAAGAUUACCUAACCUUAGACUAUCUUAAUGUCAAGAAUUUUUUCUUCCAAUAACUUUCCAACAAAGCAAAACAUCCACAAGCAAUAAUGUAUGCAUCAACACCCUCCCAACAAUUUAUAAAUGCAAAACACAUGCAAAUGCUUCAACACCCCUCAAAAAUAAAUCAAAAUAUAGAGUGAGAGAAAGAGACAAUGAACACCGGAUUUUUAAUGUGGAAAACCUCCGAAGAUAUCAAAAACCACAAUCCUGUCACCGAUUGAAAACUCCACUAUGAAGAAUAAAAACUAAGUACAAGGUUUUACCUAGCUCAAGCCAACCAAUCCUUCCCGGAAUACUUGACUAGUACCUUCAUUUUCAGUUUCUCCUUUUGGAGCACACUUGGAGUCCACACCAAGUUCAAUCUCGGCCUCUUCUUGAAUCCACACAAGAAGAAAAUGGGUUUUUGCACAAACCCAAAUAGAAUGAGAGAUUGAGAUGUGAAUGAAGUAAUGAAUCAACCCAUUUAUUGCUCAAGAAAAUCCAUUGAAAACUAGUUUGGAAAACAUUAAGAGAAGUGGAUUUUCUUUGCAAUCAAAAACCCCAAAUUAGGAAAGCAAAAAUGAGAAAAUGAAGAACACUUGGAGUGUGGCUGCUCUCCCCACGUUUUUAGUAGUCUCUCUACACAGAAAAUGAGAGAAGAUUGGUUUUUAAAGUGUAAAAAGAAACCCUUAAUCUAAUGGCUGAGAUUUGAUAAAAAAAAACAUUAGUUGGAUAGAUCCACCCCUACACCUGGAUCGAUCCAGAAACAGAGAAAUGAAAGCCUUGCACCAAAAACCAUUUUUCCCAACUUUCUAACACAUUUAAAGAUUAAAAACCGGGUUGAUUCACAUCCAAUCACCACAAACUCGACUACAUACCUCGGUCUCUUAGCAAAGUCUUAGUCUUCAAAGUCAAGUAGUCCGAAUAGGAAUAGGAAAGCCGAGUUAGGGAGCACUUAGGAAUUUUGUCCGGAAUUGCCAACUUAGCUAAACACUCACAGGUUUUAUAGAAGUGGUGUCGGUGUUGAUCCGACAACUCUCUUCUUUCACCCACACAGCAUCUCAAGCAAGUCAAACAAGUCUUCUCCUGACUCUCCACUAGACAUUAAUUUGUUGGGAAACGAGGACGUUUAUAUAUCACCCAUAGUGAUAUAUAAAUCUUGUAUUCACAAAUUUUUUAAAAUAAAUUUUAUGAUGGGAAAUUAGUGAUCAUGAUCAAACCAUAUUUAAUUUGCUCUACCAAGACAACCACAUGAUCAAAUCGUGCAUUUUGUUUUUAUUUUGAACCAAAAAAAAAAAAGAAAAAUUUAGUAUAUAGAAACAUGCUUAAUGUUAAUGUAGACUAAAAAUACAACCCCAUAAGUACUUAUCCAAACAACAUAUUAGCUGACUAUAAUUCUUGGGUACCUGUCAGAUGGUUGCACAUGUAAUCUCUAUAUAUUAAAAAUUAAUAAAAAUAUUGAUACACAAAACAUGUAUUAAUAUUUUGUUUUUGUACUUAAAUUUUAUUUUCUACUUGUUAUAGUUAUCAAGCAUUUAUUUAUUUUUUAUUUUUUAUUAUUUAAUAGUAAUGAAUAAUGAUAAAAUUAAAAUCACAAAGCAUGUUUUAUUAAUAGCAUUUUUAUAAUUUUAUUGUUAUUCUACUUCAUGAUUAGCUUGUCUAACACUUCAUUUGAUUUUUCUUUCAAGCAAAUCAACUCAACCAAGUCUUCUUAGGCCCACUUAUUAGACUUUCGAUUAUUUUCUAUUAUGCUGCUAAUUAACUUAGAAAUUUUCCUAUCAUAGUAAUUUGAUAAAAAAAAAUUAUCAAUUUCACUAAUUUUAAACAGGAAUCAAUAAAUAAAUAAAAACAUUUGAAAAAGUUUUUCUAUUUAUUAGGCAAUCAUAAUUUUUUUUCUUUUUUGCUAAUAAAAAAAUAAAAUUAGCUCCUAUAAGCACUCCAUUUUUUUUCUCUCUUAAACAAAACAAGUCCAGUCAAGCAACCACCCUCAAAUCAUUUCUAAAACGCCAUAUUGAAAAUUUCCUAUAUGAUGACAUGUAAGACCACACAAAAAGAACACAAAAUAAUAAUAAUAAUAAUAAAUAAAUAAAUAAAUGCAAAGUAGUCCUCCCAAUUUGCAAAGUUUACUAUAUAAGGAGUCAAUGAUUUCAAAUGUUAAAAGUUGAAAAUUUUUAAUUUCUUUUUUCUUUUCUUGCUCACUUUCUAGAAUUAAUGAUGCCUUCAUAACUCUUGUUUCAGCCACGCAACAAGUCAAGCAAGUUGUCUUCCACUCUUGAUUGGGAAUUUAGUGGGAAAUGGCCAUAAUUAUUUUUGAAAUUUUUAAAUAAAAACUCAAACUAUAAUGAUAUAACAAAAUAAUUAUUCACAAUUUUUUUUUUAAAUGAAGUGUGGGAAAUACUCAUACCUCACAUGUAUUUGGAAUAUAUAUAUAUAUAUAUAUUCCAAAUAAUAAAGAUAUUAAAAAUUUUAACAUUAUCUCAAUCAUUGCAAAAUAAAUGUUUUAUUUGUCUUAUUAAUUUCACUAAUUUUAAAAAAGAAAUCAAAAUAAUUUUUUAAAUGUUUUUCUAUUUGCUACAUAACUAUUAAAUACCUAUUUUUAUUUUAAUCAUAAUAAAACAUAAAAUUACAAAUAUUAAAUACUUUAAUAUUAAUAUAAACUAAAAAUAUGUUUUAGCCAAUAUUUUAUUUGGUUCUUUUCUAAGUAAUAGGAGGUCUUUUCAAUCCCACCACCAAUGAUUUUUAAUUUCAUUUUAUGUAAAAUUCCACAAUGGUCGUGUCAUGUCCGUCAUGAUGUUUGAAAAAGUUGUUCAAAAAGGAUAAGGGUACUCUAAUUUAUUUAUUUUUUAAAGAAUUAAGACUUAAUUUUACUGACUUUCCUUCGAGUUAUUUGAUGAAAUUUCAAACAAAUGAGAACGAAGUAUAUUAAUACUUUUAUAAUCUUGGGUUUAUUUCUCUACAAAUAUUCUCAAUUUCAUGUUUUAUUCAGCACUUAAUGAUUCUAUUGAGAACUUGCAUUUUGUUACUCUUUUUUUUCACCAUUUAAAGAUUUCAUUUCACAGACUUCCUUUUUUUCAUAUUUAAAAAAGAAUUUUGUUAAUUAUAACUCCAAGGAGAGAUUGGUGUUGUUCCUUGCUUCUAAAAUGUUAUCUUUAUUAAUUUAUAUUAUAACUUUUUUUAUCAAAUAUUAUCAACAUGGUAUCAUCUUUUUUACUUCAAUUCUUUUCUAGAGCGAGGAGUUCUUAUGUGCGAUAUAUUUUCCAAUAUUGCAAUAUCAAAGAUAAUAUUUAAGAUUUAAGGAAAAAAAAACUAUAUGUAGUUCCGAUUUGAGUUUUGUUCUUCAAGAUCAAAAUUUCAAAGAUAACAUUUAAGAUUUAAAAAGAAAAAGAAAAAAAAAUGAACAUCUAAUCAACUAUAUGCACUAAUAACUCUUCAUCCUCAAAUGUAAUAAUUAUUAUAACUAGUUUAUUAAUUGUUUACUGUAAAUAAGUUAUUAAAGUCUCAUUUGGAUAUAUUUUACAUUAUUUUUAAAAAAAUAUUAUUUAAUAUUAAUGACUAUUAUAUAAAACUUGGAAACUCUUAUAAAAAAAAAUAUACAAUUACCUUAUGUUUCCCAAAAAAAAAUUUUAAAUUUUGAGAUAGUAAUUUUAAAAAAUAAAUAAAUCAAUUUUUUUUUAACCAGUUUUAAAACUUUUAAAGAGCUCUUAGAAAUUACCAAUAUUUUUUAUUUUUAAAAAUAGAAAAUAGAAAAUAGAUCUAAACAACUAUUAGUUAAUUCAUUUGUACAAUUAGUAAAAUAUAUUUCACAAGUGCAAUAAAACCCAAUAAUCUUUGUAAAACUUUCUAUUAGAUAAGACAUCUAUAAAUGAAAAAACCAAAAAGUUGAUAGGAAUGUACCCACUCCUCAUACGGUUGAAGAGAGCAUAAAUGUAGAGUCAUAGUGUGUGAUAUUAAUCCAUUUACAUUAAUAUAUAGAGUCCAUCUAAAAAGAGACUAAUUGGGAUUCAAGUUUUUUCUUUGCACAAAUUCAAUCGUGAAUGAAAAUAUUCUAUUAAAAUAUUUAUAGUGAAUUAACCCAAUUGGUAUUAACAUAUUCUAUUAAUUUAAUCAUGUAUAGUUCGCUUUAAAUAAUCUUUUUUUAAAUAGUACAUGAACUUGUUUAUGGUAUAUAUAUUUAAUUCCACCUUUUUUUGUAAUUAAAUUUUUCUCUACUUGUCAUAUAAUCACCAAAUAUUUUUUAUUUUCUAUUUUUUAAUAAUAGUGAUAAAAUUAAAAUCACUAAUAUGUUUAGCAUUGAUAUAAAUUAAAAAAAUAUUCUAUGACAAUAAAAGUCAAAAGAUUGCAUUUUUACUAUUUGGUUGUCAUCCACCUUACAUGAUUAGUUUGUUUAAGACUUUAUUUGAUUUUUCUUCCAAGCAAAGUAUGUCAACCAAGUCUUCUUAUGUCCACUUCUUAGACUACCCACUAUUUUCUAGUCAUGCUUCUAAUUAACUUGGAAAUUUCCCCGAUUUGAAAGCUUGAAAGCCCAGAUUUGAUCAUAUAUGCAUGGAUGAAGAUAUAACAUUAAAUAUUUUAAAAUUUUAUUAAAAAAUAUACAUAUGAAUCACUCUAAUUAAUACUGCCACAUUCUUCCCAUUCAAUAAACAAUAAUAGCAUAAAAUAAAUAAAGGAAUAAUAACAUAAAUAUUUCCCCAUGGCCAUUAGGGAUCUUGUUGCAUAAUGGUAAUAAUUUGGAUAAAAUCCAAGUAACUAAUAUUACCAAAAAAUCUUGCAACCAAAAAUAGGGUUAUAAAAUUUUAAAAAAAUACCCCCAAAACGUCAAAUAGGCAUCAUUUGCGCUUGAAUGUUCGAAAAGCUGCUGGAAGGACUACUUGAUCAAUUAAGCCGCUCAAGCACUAAUAUGGUCGUUUGAGCGUUUAGGCUACGCAAGCACUAAUCUAAGUGCUCGAGCACCACAUCCUACACUUGUGGAUACAAGGUUGUUUCUACCACCGUUUCUCCGAAAGUGUCACCUUUUUAGAUGCCUUUUUGCACCAUGGAUGCUUGUGAAUGCUUGGAAUCUUCAAUCUUUGCUUUUGGGUCACCAAAGAUGGAUAAAAAUCUAAUUUUUACAUUAAGAAAAAUCUUAUGCUCCAUCAAGCGAAGUGUACAAUCUAUCUAAAAACAAAAAAAAACAAAAAUAUUUUUACAUGUAAAAUAAAAAUCCUAUGCUCCUAACCAUGAAGCUUACAACCUAAUUUGUACAAAUAACAAAUCCAAACAUUCAAUCACAAUUAUAAACAUCAUAUUCAUAAAAAUAACAUCCAUAUAUUCAUCCCUUUGGGUCAUAGGAUGAAUAAACAUAUUUGCAAAACCAAGUAUGCACACCCUAAAAUGAAUCUAACAAGCUUUUCCCUAACCUAAGGCUCUAAUACCAAUUAUUGGGAAAACCUGGAUUGCUCCAUUCUCAUGCCUUAGAUUGUUAGGACGCAUGAAAACCUAUUCUAGGCUCUCUAGAUCUAUCAUACAAUGGAAACAUGGCAAUUGAAACAAAAAAUAAUACCAUAGAUUUAGAGAUUAGUGUCAUAUAUACUUGUGAUUUGGAUGUUCUUGGUCAAUUCUUAUCAUUGUAGAAAUCUCUAAAACUAAAAAAAGAUCUCGUGAACACCAUGAUCUUCCACCUAAUGAUAACUUCUCCUUGAGUCUAGGUGCAAAGAUAGUGAGAUCUCAAGGGUUGGAGGUUAGGGUUCUCUUAUUGAUUGUAGUGAGAGAAUGGCAAGACAAAACUUCACUAGAAACCAUAACCCCUAAAGGAUUAUUUAUAGGCUCCUUACUAGGCUUAAAUGACUUAAAUGACUUAAGCUCACAAUGGGCUUAGGUUAGUACUAAAUCUAGCCCAAAAAGGGCACUAAUUGAUUAAUUAACCCUAUAGGCCUCCAAUUAAUCAAUUAGCCCAGUCUAGAGAUAUUGCUCACUUACCCCUAUGCAACCUUAUAUAAUUAUCAAAAUGCCCUUAUGCAUAUAAGUGAACUAAUAACUCAUUCAACCCUUAUAAACGAUGUCAUCAAAGGAUAUCAUGAGCUCGAGUAGGGACCAUUGAACCCAUAAGACAGUAUUGUCUCUCUUAGAAUCCAAUUUUGAAGUUGACUCAACGUCCCACUAGAGAGAGCCAACUACACUCCAAUGCCCUAUAUAUAUUACAAUGAGAUACCAAGUGUUCGGGUCUAUAACCUACUAUCCACUAUAUAUAAUCUCAUUUUGAACUGGUCGUCCAUAGUCUAACAAGCUAAAAGUUAUCAACCUUUCAAGACUACCUCCAUAAUCCUUGAGUUACAGAUCUUUUUAUUAUGUAAUCAAAUGACAUACUCUAGCUCACUAAGAGCAUAUGGUGAAUUCUACUAUAGGAAUUACUACAGGCAUAUAAAUUUCAUGAUCACACAUCCUUAAGAUCACCUAAAGGAACACACUAUCUUAAAGUCCAUGAGAUAUCGUGGUAGCUAUAUUGAGAAUAACUCUUGCUAUUAGCUUCCGUCAAUAGUGGCCCAAUCCAUAAGGAAUAUAUAUGAUCAACUUAAGAUCUCACCCAUAGGUCGAAGUCAUUGUUAACUUUUGCACAAGUUCAAUAUUCUCUCAAGGUUGAAAGGCAAUACAGUAUAAUAACUAGGUGAUGUCAUAACUACCUGAUAGUCUAUAUCAUGACUCACUAUAGGUCCUAUCCAAUGUUUACACAUUAGUGCACUCUUCAUGGAAACCUCAUCCUGACAACUAAAACUAUUUAUCCCUCUAAUUAGGAGGUGGUGCACUACAAUCUCAAAUGGAUUGAGUAAGUCCACAAACCGACUAUGGACAAAUCAUUUAUUUGUAAGGAACCCAUGACUUAGAUCUUUUGUGCAACUGUUGAUACACUCAAGUCAUGUACAAUGUAAGAAUGGUAAGCUAGAAUGCCCAUAGAGAAUAAUGCAUGGAAUAAGGAUAGAUAAAAAUGAACCUAGAAUAUCAUCAAAUAAAUAAUGAAUUUCAAAUCCGUUACAUCAUGUCAUGCUUUUAAAGACUCUAUCCUAACAAUGUGUUCAUUGGUAUAUAGUUCACUUUAAAUUUUAUAAGAUACUAUUGAAUGCUUAUCAGCAAAUUACAAAAAGGACCCAUUCAGCCUUUUUUGUAUUGUUUUUCUAUACUUGAAUGAUAAAAAUGGUGAUUUAGGUGUAACUUUCUUGCUUACAUGUACUUUUACAAUAAAUGCUUCAAAACAUAUUCAUGAUACUGUCAUGUUAAUCUCAAGGAUGAGGUAAAAGAACUUUAAGAAGGUAUUUGCGAAGAAGAAUGUACAAUUUCUAGAUUAAAUUUUUUUAGAAAUGUUUAUAAAGUUUGGAUUUAAAUAUUAUUGUGGAUUAUUAUUAAUAAAAUAGAAUUUAUUAGAUAUCCUAUCAUGUAAUCUCUUUAUUUUAAAAAAAAUGUUUAAUUUUGAUUCAUUCUAGAAUAUGCUUUCACUUCUAUAUUGUCUAAUUAACAUUUUCUAAUAUGUUGUCAUAUAUAUGUUUUCUAAUAUUAAUUUCUUCCAAUAUUUUACUUAGGAAUGAAAAUGGAAUAUUGCAACAACAACAUUCAAUUUGAACUAAAUUUAAUGUUUCAACUAUUUUUCCUACACACACACACAUAUAUAGGGACCAAAAAAGGACUAAUUGGGGUUAAGCUUUUUCUUUGCACAAAUUUGAUCAUGAAUGAUAGUUACAAUGAAUCAAUUUAAUUAGUAUAAACAUAUUCUACUAAUUUAGUCAUGUAUAGUUUACUGUAAAAUAUUUCUAAUUCUUUCUUGUUUCAAACUAAAAAUUUAUUUAUUUUUAAUCAAAAGCUUUUGUUUUAAAACUGAGUAAUACAAAAGGUUGAUAAAAAAAUUGAAAAAAAUGUAGAAGAAGAAUAAAUUUAUGAUACAUGAGAUAUUUAUAUAUCUCAGCUUAGAAUUAUUAUAUCCUAUGUAAAAAGGAUAUAUAAAGAGAUUGGAUUGAUAAAUUAUCUUAUUAAAUGUUUGAUUGAACAUGAUAUAUGAUAAUUAAAUGAUAAGAUCAUUUACCUUACCCCAAAGCUAACCAAACAUGGGAUAUGAUAUGUUAUCUCAUAUCUUAUCUCAUCCAAUAUUAUGUAUAUCAAAUCAAUUAAAUAUAGCCUUACUUUAGUAGGUAAUUCACUUGAGAUGUGGGGGAUGUGAACUACUAUUACUUUUAAAAGAAAUAUAGAAGUGAUAUGGACUAUUGAUAAGUACCAUGUGGGGGAUAAGCUGAGUGGAUUCAAUUUAACAUCCACCUAUCUAAAUAUAUUAAUAGAUCAUCUUGUCUUAUAAAAAUUAUGAAGUUGAAAAACAAUAUGGAACACAUAUUGGUAAUAUCAAAGCAAAUCAAAAUUGGUAUCAUCAUUGGAUGCCAGUUACCUAAUUAUAUUUCUUGAAUAUUCAGUUGCCAAAGUGAAAUCCCAUGAAAAGGUUCAAGAAAUGGUGAUUGAAUAAGAAGCUUCGAUGAGAUGUGUUGCAUUGUUGGACGAGAUCUCGGAUUAGAAUGUAUGCAUUUAAGUGCCAACCACACAACAAGAACUACAUCUCUAGCAACUUGUCGAUCUUGAGGAGAUGGUAGACGUGAAUCUAAUAUGUCGGUGAGCAUUAUGUUUUGAGCUGAUGAGGAAGACAAUAAGGUGAAAACUUCUCUCGGAUGCUUUCCCAUCAUUGUCUCAAGCGCUACCACUCCAAAGCUGUAAACAUCACAUUUUUCCGUCACAGCCAUAGUGUAGGCAAGCUCUGUUAAGAAUCAAAACAAGAAAUAAAUAUUGCACAAAUGAGAAAGUAACAUUCAUUUAAUUUUUUUUCAUACUAGCUAUACCUAUAAAAUGUUGAGAAUGUUUCAUAGCAUUGCAUUCACAUUUGGCUACAUUUUAUUUCUAGAUUGUGAUGAAAUUAAGUUAAUUUUUACAACUUAUAUGAAACCUUUGAAAAACUAUUCUAAAGAGUUUUUAAAAAUGUUUGGGACUUAUUGGGAGAAUGAAGACAUCUAUUUGGAGAAUGCUUGAGAGACCAUUGAUAAGUAUUUUGUAUAUAAAGUUCUCUUACUCUCUAAUAUCUCAAACCAUUUUUUUACAACAUUUUUUAAAUAACUAUUAUGAGUUUCCUUUUUUUUUUUUUUCUGUUUGUUUGGACUUUAGAAGAAAUAACCAAUAUAUAUAUAUAUAUAUAUAUAUAUCAAGGCCCUUUGAGCCCAUAACAGAUAAUAUCUACACGAUCAGGAGCAGGUUAUUACAAAUGGUAUUAGGGCUUAUCUGUAACCAUAGUAUGGAAGUUUGUUUGGCUCCGCAAUCUUAUGGGAUAAGUGUGAUAUUCCAUGAUAGAUAUGGAAAAAAAAAUAAAAAUUCUAACAUUAUUUAUAAAUCAACUUCCCUUAACCUUAUAGACAUAUUUUAAAUUCAUGUAGGCUCCUUGGACCCAAAGUGAAAAAUAUUUACACAGUUGAGAGUUAUUAUCUAGUUUGCAUGAAAAAUAUAAAGAAAAAUAAUAUAUUAAAAAUUUAGAAGAAUUUAUUUACUUUCAAGCUCUUCAUAAUUUUGAAAUAAGUAAUAAUAGUAAAAAAAGUUUUGUUUGGUUGGCAAUAAUAUUUCCUUUCCCUUCAUCCAAUAGAAUUUGUGACUACUAUGAAGUAUAUAAUAAGAGGUGUAAAAGUUCUAAAUAUAUUGAAUCUCGAAGAUACCAAACUUAUUAAAACGAAAACAACCAAAAGUUCAAAAGACAUAUCGGAAGAGUAAAAGCUGAAAGAAAAACUGGUUUGUACUUACCUGGUGCUAUGUAACCAUAAGUGCCUGCAAGAAGAGUUUGAUUGGAUGAAUCAGGAUGUAGCAGUCUAGCAGUGCCAAAAUCAGAUAGAAAAGCGUCCAGUUUAAAGUCCAAAAGAAUAUUGUUACUUGAUACAUCCCUAUGAAUAAUGGGUGGAGUAGAGUCAUGAUGCAUGUAACAUAAAGCAUGGACUAUGCUUUUGAUUNNNNNNNNNNNNNNNNNNNNNNNNNNNNNNNNNNNNNNNNNNNNNNNNNNNNNNNNNNNNNNNNNNNNNNNNNNNNNNNNNNNNNNNNNNNNNNNNNNNNAUUCGAUUUCUACGAAUGUUGAACACAUUUAAAUGAAUGAGAUAGCCCAAAGAAGGAAUAACACCGGUAAGGUUGUUGUGAUCCAAUCUGAGAUGAAUUAAAUUCUUCAGAUUCCAAAUUACAGGAGGGAUGGAACCAUUGAUUUGAUUAUAACGAAGAUACAAAUGAGUCAAAUUGGUAAGAUUACCAAAUGACAAGGGGAUGAGACCCUGGAUUUGAUUGUCGAUGAGAUGGAAAUAAGUCAAAUUGAUAAGAUUACCCAAAGAUGAAGGAAUAGUACCAAGAAGGGCAUUAUGACUCAAGGACAAUUGAACCAAAUUUUUUAAAUUCCCAAUUUCAGAAGGGAUGGAACCGUUGAUUCGAUUGAAAUUAAGGUACAAGUAUUCCAGGUUGGUUAAACUUCCAAGAGAGGAAGGAAUGACACUGGAAAGAGAGUUAGAACCCAAAUCCAAAUGAAUCAGAUUCUUCAAAUAUCCAAUAGAGGAAGGGAUGGCACCAGAGAGGUAAUUAUAACUCAAAUCCAAAUGAAUAAGAUUCUUCAAAUAUCCAAGAGAGGAAGGGAUGGCACCAGAGAGGUAAUUAUAACUCAAAUGCAAAUGAAUAAGAUUCUUCAAAUAUCCAAGAGAGGAAGGGAUGGCACCAGAGAGACCGUUAAGACUCAAAUCCAAUUCCUCUAAUAGAGUGAGGUUACCCAGUGAAACAGGUAGCUCACCAUCAAGUGCACAAUAAGAGAUACGGAGGUAAGUGAGUUUUGUAAGCGUACCUAUAUCAUCUGGGAUGUGACCAUAGAUGUAAGAAUGGCUAAGGUUGAGAUGGAGGAGGCUGGGAAAUGAAGAAAACUUCAACUGGCUAAGCUUAUACCGUGGGUUAUAGUAAUCUAAAUAGGUAAUCUGAAUAACACGUCCUUCCCUGUUGCAGGUGAUGCCGUCCCAUGUGCAAUGAUGAGAAGUAGUGUUUUCCAUGUACCACCACCAAGUGGAGUUGCGGAGAGCCUCGGCCUCAGCCUCCACCUGUGCGUCAGUUGUAGCAGCAGCAGCAGCAGGAGGUGAUGAGAUCAAGAGCAUGUUAUAUGAUAACAAUACCACUGAAACCACCAACACCCUACAAGGAUUAAUGGAACACCACUCCAUUUUUUCUUAGUUUCGAUUAAUAUUGCUAUAUAUGCCCCAGUUGAUGGUUUUAUAGAAGUGGUGUUGGUGUUGAUCCAACAACUCUCUUUCUUUCACCCACACAGCAUCUCUAUCUAUUAAAAAUUAAUAAAAAUAUUGAUACCUAAAACAUGUAUUAAUAUUUUGUUUUUGUACUUAAAUUUUAUUUUCUACUUGUUAUAGUCAUCAAGCAUUUAUUUAUUUUUUAUUUUUUAUUAUUUAAUAGUAAUAAAUAAUGAUAAAAUAAAAUCACAAAACAUGUUUAAUAUUGAUACUAACUAAAAAAUAUUAUAUAAAAGUAAUAGUCAAAAGACUGCAUUUUUAUUAUGUGAUUGUUAUUCCACUUCAUGAUUAGCUUGUCUAACACUUCUUUGAAGUUUCUUCCAAGCAAAGCAAGUCAACUAAGUCUUCUUAGGCCCACUUUUUAGACUUUUGAUUGUUAGAAGGUUAUGCUGCUAAUUAACUGAGAAAUUUCCUAAUGAUAGUAACAUGUAAGGACCACAAAGAAAACUUAAAUUUGACCAUACAUGGAUCAGGAUAUACUAUUAAAUAUUUUAAAAUUUGAUUAAAAAUUAUUAAUUUCACUAAUUUUAAACAGGAAUCAAUUUUUUUUUAUUUAAAAAAGCCUUUUGAAAAAGUUUUUCUAUUUGUUAUGCAAUCAUCAUUUUUUUUUUUUUGCUUUUUUUUAACUAAUAAAAAAUAAAAUUAGCUCCUAUAAGCAGUACUCUGUUUUUUUUUUUCUCUCCUAAACAAAGCAAGUCAAGCCAAACAACCAUCCUCAAAUCAUUUCUAAAACGCGAUAUUGAAAAUUUCCUAUAUGACACGUGACAUGUGAGACCACACAAAAAGAACACAAAAUAAUAAUAAUAAAUAAAUAAAUGCAAAGAAGUCCUUCCCAAUUUGCAAAGUUUAUUAUAUAAGGAAUUAAUGAUUUGAGAUGUUAAAAGUUUAUGAUAUUUUAUUUUUUUUGCUAUACAUUUUUUACCAUGCAUCAAGGAGGAAAAAUUUUAAAUUCUUUUUUCUUUUCUUGCUCACUUUCUAGAAUUAAUAAUGCCUUCAUAACUCUUGUUUUAGCCGCGCAACAAGUCAAGCAAGUCGUCUUCCACUCUUGAUUGGAAAUUUAGUGGGAAUUGAACAUAAUUAUUUUUAAAAUUUUUAAAUAAAAACUCAAAUGAUAAUGAUAUAACAAAAUAAUUAUUCACAAUUUUUUUUUAAACAUGAAUUGUGGGAAACAAUCAUACCUCACCUGUAUUUGGAAAAUGAUAUGUUAGUUUUUUUAUGUAUAUAUAUAAUUCCAAAUAAUAAAGAUAUUAAAAUUUUUAACAUUAUAUUGUAACUAAAUGUUUUAUUUGUCUUAUUAAUUUCACUAAUUUUAAAAAGGAAAACAAAAUAAUUUUUUAAAAAGGUUUUUCUAUUUGCUACAUAAUUAGUAAAUACAUAUUUUUUAUUUUAAUAAUAAUAAAACAUAAAAUUAAAAUUAGUAAAUAUUUUAAUAUUAAUAUAAACUAAAAAUAUACUUUAGCCAAUAAUUUAUUUGGUUCUUUUCCAAGUAAUAGGGAGACAAGAAAGUCUUUUCAGUCUCAUUAUCAAUGAUUUUUAAUUUUAUUCUAUGUAAAAUUCCACAAUGAUUCGUGUCGUGUCUGUCACGAUGUUUGGAAAAGUCGUUCAAAAAGUGUACCAUCCAUAAAUUAUGUUAAUAUUUUUUCAUUUUUUAUUUUACUUUAAAUCACACCUACUUUUUCCUUGUGCAAGUCAAAGCAAGUCUUCUUAGACGCUCAGAAGCAUAAGCAUAUACCUAACAAAAUAAAAAGCUCUAAUAGGAAAAUUAUAGAAAUCCUGUAUUCCAACCAUACUCAAUCAACAACCCAAAAUAAAAAUAUUUUAAUUAACUUUUAAAAAUUAAAUCAAAUUUUAAUUUUGAAAAACUCUCAAUCCAGGUUUACAACCAAUCAACAACAUUUGGUGUCAUAUCGUAUGAUUCUACCAAAUAGAUAUCAUGUAGGUAUAUAUUAAAAAAAUAAUUAAAAAAUAACAAAAAUAUAAAAUCGAUUGAGGGGGAAUAUAAUUGAAAGUGAGAGUUUGCAUGCACAAAAUACAAACUUUUCAAUUCUUUUUUAAUUUUUAUUUAUUAUUUUAGAAAGAGUUUUUUAAAUGUAAUGUGUAACUUGAUAAAUAAGAGAAUAAGAAAUAAAAAUCAGUCGGAUACAUUCCACCAUUUUACUCAUCAUUCUCUAAAAGAGGAAUGUAAUGUUGAAGAUUUUUGUAACUUGACAUGUUGAAGAUGAAUUUCUAUUUUGUGAUGAAAGAAUAUAAAUAAAUUGAAAAAUAAAAUUAAUGACAUUGUUCACCAUAAUAUAAUAACCGUUAUUGGCAAAUACUAACAAGAAGGUAGCACAUUAUAUUAUUUAAUCUAAAUUGAUAAUUUUGUUUCAUUAUCCGCAUGUAGGGCAUUUUACAUUACUAUAUUAUACGUUUUAUUGAAGCCUUAAGGUUGCUACAUAAUUAACCAAGAUGUAAUACAUGUAAAUAUUCUAAUUAACAUUUUUAUAUAAUACAUGUAACACUUCUCAAAAAGAUGAGAAUAGAAGGUUGAAGAUUUUUAUAACUCGACGUAUUCAAGAUGAAUUUCCUUUUUGCAACAAAAAAAGAAAUAAAUAAGUUCAAAAUUGUUUAUAUAUAAAAUAAAACUAGAUCCUAUAGGCUCUCUAUAUAUUUCUCUACUAGACAAAGCAAUUUAAGUCAAGUCAAGCAACCCUUCUCAAACACUUCUAAAACACUAGGUUGGAAAUGCUUCAUUUGUUUAUUAGAUAAAGCAAUUUAAGUCAAGUCAAGCAACCCUUCUCAAACACUUCCAAAACGCUAGGUUGGAAACGCUCCAUUUGUUUCUCUCCUAGAAAAAGCAACUUGAGUCAAGUCAAGCAACCCUUCUAAAUCAACUUCCAUAAGGCUAGGCUUGAAAUUUCUUAUAUGAUAUGUGACAUGUAAGACCACAUAGAAAGAGCACAAAAUAAUAAUAAAUAAGUUCCAAGAGGUCUUCCCAAAUUUGACCCCAUGUAUAUAUAUUAAUAAAUAUUCUAAAAUUUGAUAAAUAAUUUUUAUAAACAUUAUUAUUCCUUAUUUUUCAUAGCACAUGUGAAACAAAGCUAAUUUUGAUUAAAAAAAAACACUCAUGAGGAGAUGAGUGAAAAUAACUAAUGAAAAUGAUAAGAUAUUUAUUUAAUAAAAUUUUAAACUAAUGAGAACUAGAUGUAUUUAAUCAAAACAUUAAAUGAGAAAAACGGACCAAUGGGUGGCUUUCCCGUCACUUUAUGUUGUUGGUGUUCAAGUGCUCUUUGUAAUCUUGGGUUUAUUUCUUUACAAAUGUCCUAAAUUCAAUUUUUUUUUCUUUUAAUUUAAAACAACUUGAAAAUACCCUAAAUUAUGUGUGACCUACUAGUACAUGAAAGAUACAAAUAUAUAUAUAUAUAUAUAUAUAUAUAUAUAUAUAUAUAUAUAUUUUUUUUUUUUUAAACUUGCAUUAAAAAAAAAGGCCAGUUAAUGAUUUCAUUGGACAACUUGCAUAUUGGUACUCUCUUUUUUUCACCAUUUAAAGAUUCCAUUUCACGGACUGCCCUUUUUUUAAUUAAAAAGAAAAAAGGACUUUUGUUAAUUAUAACAAGAAGUAGAGAUUGAUGUUAUUCCUUGGUUCUAAAAUGUUAUCUUUAUUAAUUUAUAUUAUUAUUAUUAUCAUUAUUUAUCAAAUAACAUCAAAACUAUGGUAUCAUCUUUCUUAUUUCAAUUCUUUUCUAGAGUAGUUCAGGUGUGCAAUAUGUUUUUGAAUAUUAUAAUUUAAAAAAUAACAUUUAAGAUUUAAGCAAAAAAAAAUGUAUUUAUUAGUUGAAUUUUUGUUCUUCAAGAUAAAAUUUAAUAUUUAAGCGAAAAAAUGUUGAACAUCAUCCGUUUAACCAUAUCCACUAAAAAGUACAUGCAUCCCCAAAUGUAAUCCUUGUUAUAAAUAACUUAUUAAUUGUUUCUUUAGGUAGGUGUGGACCCCGCAUUUCGGCUUAUGCGUUUUCCACUCGAUGGCAAGCUCGAUUUUUAUUUAAAAAAUGAUUUUAUUUUUUCAAAUGAUUUUGAGUCGCCACUUAUUUUUGUUUAAUUUUAAAAUGGUAAACAAAAUAAGAAAAAAACCCUAAAUGCGACUCCUAUUUUUGGAAAAGGUGAUUUACGAAAAACUGGAUCGGACUCGGGGAUCAGGUUACUUAUCGGGAAGGUACGGUAAAGACCGUAACAACCCUCUAAGUCCAUAAAAUUGGGUCUCUACUAAUAAAAUGAAGCUAACAUAGGAAUCAAUGAGAAAAUUAAUGACUACUCGAAUUGAUCAUACACAUAUGAGUAUCAGAACAUGCAUAGACACUGAUCAGAGUGAAAGUGGGUACGUACCUGGACAAUAAGCCAUCAUGCGCUAUCAAGAGAGAGAGUUAGUGCACAGUGAUGAAUAUAAAAUAUGUCACUCAUAUCACCAAACAAGAUGAAGAACCAUCAAUAGCAUGCAUGACAUUUCAUUUAAAUCCCUUUUUAUUUUAAAGGAAGUUUAUUUGAUGUUGGGCCCCACCAUAGCCCGAUUUAUUUUUGCAUGAAUCAAUUUUGUAAAUUUCAUUAAUUGGAAUUACAAAAUUGAAUCCUUGCUUAUUUCAAAACCUUGUAAGGAUAGAGAAAAUGUGAAAGUUGCUUGCCAUGAAGAAAAAUGGUGGCAAAAUUUUAUAUAAAAAUGGGAUUCUUGGGUGAUCCUAAAAAUUCUAAGGAUGAAAGAGGGGAAAAUUGGAAUUAUUUGAAAAUCAGAAUUUGAGAAAGAUUUUUACAAAAUGAGAUUUGAGAAAUCAUUUUCAAGAUCAGAUAAGAAGAAAUCCCAGAAUAUUACAUGGAGCAGCUUCUUGACGGGUAGAGUUUCUCUUCACAACUUUGAGAAUACGUGACAUAAAGGAGGUGCCAUCAAGAGAAAGAGCAUGUCCUGCAGCCUCUUUUGGCAUGAACUCUACAUAGUCAGACCCCUUUGGUUGCCUUGUAGCAGCAUCAGUUACUAUAAUCACUUUUACCACUUCCCCAAACUUAUUAAAAUGCCGAGAAAGACUAUCCUUGGUUGCAGUAAAAUGAACAUUGUUAACAAAGAUGGUCCGAGAAUCAGCACCCUCUAAAGGACGACCAGUAGGAUAUGAACCAGGAGCAGAUAGCUACAUCUUCUGAGACUCUCCCUGAGUAUCUACAGCAGGUUUUGCAUUUCCAUUGCCAACCGAGACAGGGUUUCCAUUUGCCUUCAUUAACUGCACACCAGAUUUGCCAGUGCCUGUUUCAUUUCCCCGCACAGGUUUCUGACCAUCCUCUUCCUCAACCUCCCUUAGUCCCUGAUAAUGAGCUGGUUUCCAUGUAUUCACAUUCACAGAGAUAUUCACAAUCUUACGAGAGGUGUUUGCUAAAGCACUAAGCUGACCCUGAUCUUUACUUCGCAUUGUUCGCAUACCUUCAUCAGCAUUCUUAGCCACACUGUACUGCACCAUUCAUCUUCCCAUGGAGAUUCACUGACCAUGAUGCAGUCAAGUCUUUCUGUACAACAAUAUCAUCAUCAAGAAACAGUAUCUUAUCUGACUUGGGAUAAACCUCAGGGAGAUAAAACCUCAGGUGGUUAAGCAUUGAGAGAUACUUGGGAUUCCUGUACUUUAGAUUAGAAGAGCCUGAUGACAGAGUACUGGGAUACCUCUGAUUGAAAUAUAAUGCUUUCAUAGCAGCAGACUCGAGCUGCCUCAGAACUGGGCAGUAGAAUGAAUUAAGCCACUUAAAUUCAUCAACGUUUUCCACAUGGAUGGUUACUUUUCCUGGGGGUUCAACAGAAACCACAUAUUCAUGGCUUCAAAAUUCAGCUCAUCAGUAACCAGAUAGAAUACAUGUUUUUCUGGUUCCUUGGCGUUCAAGAUGGUUGAGUUGACAACAACCAAUGGUCAAGCACAUAGACAAGCAGUGGAUUCCAUUAGGAAUUGUCUUGGCUGCUAAUUGACUCAGGAAUGUGCUCUGCUUUUUUCAAGCUCCUGACUUGUUCCUCUGCUGACUGAAGCAUUGCUCUCAGCUUCCCAGUGGCUUGUCUGAGGGCUCUUUGGGCUCAUUGAUCAUAUCUAGUAUCUCAGGAAAAGUCAAGCCCUUGCACUGGUCCAGACUGGUGAGUUCUUCAAUCAUAUUGGCAUUUUCAAAGUUUAUCUUGUGACUCAUUCCAUGCAAACUUUAUCAGUGGGUCAGAUUCAACUCUUCCAUUGACUUCACUUGCCACAUCUACAUGGACUACCCGUGCGUGGCCUCUGCAUGAACCCUUAGCUGAAAGAUCUUAUCUCCGCCACUGCCACCUUCGAUGCAGCCAGAAAGUUAAAACCCGAUGAAGUUGACUGUUGCUUAUUUUCUAACUGAAGCACCCGAAAACCUCCAUUGUCAGGAUCAAACCUUGCAGUAGAUCUUCCAUCUUUCUCAUGCCAGAGAUCAUGAUCAGCCUCCCCUUGAGGAAAUUGCAUAUUUGAGGCCCCUCCAGGCAGGCUCGAUCAAGGGACCAUUUGUAGGAACCAUGGCAGUCAAAUUUACCUGAGGAUAUCCCACUGAAGCUAGAAUGGAAGGUAAGAAUGGAAGAGGUAGGUGAGUGAGAAAUGGGUAUGGUAAUAUGCAUGGGGAUGCGGGUAUGAAGAGUAAUGAAUGGAGUUGUGGGUAGUAAGAAAAUUGGGUGAAUCAGGUAUUAGAGAAGGGUGACUGCAUAGAGAUAUGGAGAAUGACCUUGUAUACGUGGUAUCCAUGCAUGCGGGUAGGUGUAUUUGGGUAUGGGAUGCCGUGCUCACUAACAUCAGGUGAGAUGACAACCCUUACAUUACUGCCAGAUUGUAAAAUCUCUCUGACCUUGCUUAUAUGGUUCACAUAUGCUUCAACCAAUCCAAGCUCAUGACGUGUCCCUUCACCCGCUUGCCUUAUUUCAAGUUCACUUGUGAUAACCCCAAGUUAAGUUCCUGUAACUAGCAAAUCUCAUAUUUGCUCAUUAUAAGCUUCUAGAACACAACCAGAUGUAUCACAUCAGAGUUGCUGCAAGAGGCUUCAUUAAUUCUACCUCGGGAUUCGCUACAGUUGUAGGGGGGACGGGACUGGCAGUAUGGAACACUCCAUCAUAUCCUUCAAAGGCAGAACAAAGAGCUCCGUACUUCAGCAAAUCUGCCCUAAAAGAGUUUCAGGUUCUCAGAUGCUUUCUCAAGUUUCUUCAAAUCAGCAUCCUUUCCAUCACUGGGAUCUCUAACAGUUCCAUGGACAAUGUAGCCCUUGGAGAGAAGAAGCUUGACGACCUAUGUAGCAAUGUACCCAUCGGCGCCUGUCACACACACUCUGCCCUUCUCUGCCAUUAUCAAAUCAAUCCACAGUUUUUCUUGUUUUUAGCUCCUGACUUCCGUCCUUCAGUGUAAAGCCAUUCAAAUGUUGAAGACUUCGAGAUGAAGAAUAAACCUGCAUGCGGGCUUAGCAAUAACCCGAUUUCAUCUUCAGUAAAUGAAACUAACAGGCAGUAACCUUUAAGGGAUUGGCAAUGAGCAUCAUAUCCCAAUAUCCUAAACUUUGAGCCAAUCAUGUCAACUAGUGCACAGAUUACAUGCAUCGUUUCCUCUAGCAAAUGCCGAAAUCCUGUAGUGGUGUACCUGGAAGUGCUGAAUGGGAGGAAUGAGCAUGAAGUCGGCCAUGCGCGUGAGAUUGGUGCAAAGCAUAGCCAUGGGUGGUGUGUGAAAUUGGUCUUAGGAGUUCGGUGGGUACGAGGCGAUGGAUUUGAUGGCCAUAGGAGCAUGCAUGAUGACUACGUGCACAUGGGAUUUGAGAAAUUGGAAGGAGUGGAAUGAUGAGAGAAAUGGGUGGUGCGGUGUGUUCAAGACUAAUGAAGAAGGAAUGCAACGUGGGCAUGGUGAUUGUGAGGAUGUGGCUAACAAAUUCAGCUGGGUAUGAAAGAAGGUUUAGGUUAUUGGAAGUGAGUAAUGGCAAGGCAUGGGAAGGUUUAGAGAGAAGUGGGUAUGAGGGUGCAGAGAGAAUGAAGGCUAUGACGGCCAUGGCUUUGCUUGAGUUGUGAUUGAUAAUGGGAUGCUGCUGCCUUCAUAUGAUGCAUGGAUAGAGGAGCUUUCACGUCAAGAAACGACAAAGAAAGAACUUGGGUGCGCACCGAUGACUACUCAAGUGGUGAUGUAGCUCCUGCAAACUGAAGUCGUUAUUGUCCAACAGUGCCAACUGUGGGCCUUGAGCUUACAACUCAUUAGAAACCCAAAACUUGAUUCCCCAGCAUGAGAAAAGCACCAACGCCGUUUGCCAUCUUCCUCACUCGAGGAUAAUCAAAAUCUCAAGGAUAAACACUGCCAUCAACAAUAAGAAGUUUUGGUCUCAAUAGAUUAGUUUCUUCUCAAGCAUGUCAUAAACAGCAAGACCAAGACCUGUAGAUUCAUCGAGUCGUUGGGGCCUAGACUCACAAUAAAUUGAGGUGCCUGAUAUCCGUCUUUUAGGAGCUAUGAAACUAUGAGACAAGUGGCCUUACGAGGUAAGUCCAAGCCUAUGAUCAUGCCAUGUAGAUUGAGAAGGACAGUGCAUACUUCAAAGGUAGCUGGAGAAACUGACAAUGGUUGAACAUUGACGCCUCACGUCUUUCCCUUUAGGUGGAAUACUGCCAAAGCCCUCUUCUGACAGAGGAUUUCUAGCUCAUCAAAGAAUUCAUUGCCGCCAUAGUAUCCUCUACCAGACAAUCCCUAAGAAUAUUUGUUUGUGAGGCAAGAGCUAACAACUUCCAUCACUGCUCGGGAUAUGAAAUUCUCUGAAGCAAAUGAGUUCUAAUAUCUUCAUUUAUCGUUGUUUUUCUUUGUAAAUAAUUACACACACUUCAUGACCAGCUGCAUUCAGGCCAUAGUCAAUACAACUGACUUCGCUUCCUCCAUUUUCAGGCACAAUGAUAGACACAAAGGAAAGUAACUUCCCAGUAAUCAAGCUUCUUUCGAUAUAAGAUCUGCAUGGCUUAGCCGAGUUCAGUUUAAUUGGAUGUCGAAUCCCAUGGUCAGUAGACCCACUUGGAGCGAAACUGAACCCUUUAAUCCAAAUGGACCGUUACAGAGAGCACAAAGCAGCAGUAGUAUUCACGAAACCCAGAGCAUGAGGGCGGGCUGUGACCAUGGCAGAGAUUCCAAACUAGAAAGCAAGCACAAAACCGUCCAUGGAAGAGGUUAUCCAAGGUUUUGGAUGCUUAUGAAGUUUUCCUGCAAGUUGAACGAAUCUGUGACAUAGCCCUUUCUGAUCUAACCUGCAUCGUUUCAACAUGUACCACACCAUCCUCAUUCACGGUACCUCCAAUCACUAUGUCACCCUUCUUUCUUCACCAUGGGCAUAGCAUCCUCUGUGAGCAUGUUCUUGAACCCACACUUAUUCUCCAGCUUUACCUCAUGGAAACACGUCAACCAAAAUACCCCACCCAUCAAGUGACCAAUUCAACUCUGAUACCCAACAUCUCAAACGCACCAGCCAUAGAGGCACAAAAGGGAAGGAAAGGGGGCCAAAACAGAAAAGAAACGAGGGAAGGAUAAACGAGGAAUAAAGUAAAACAUAAGUGUAUAGAGCCUCAUUUCGGGUGACAUCCAUGGGCUAAUAUAAGUGAGGAGAUCUCAAGCUAGAGUUACAAAAUAUAUGAGGAACAGAGUUCCAUUAACUCCAAGCCAAACCACAAGAACAACAGUAAGAUCAACAACAAUAGAGUACAAAAACGAUCCAGAAAUCAACAAAAUUCAGCACGUAUGAUCCAAUCCAAAUUGACGAGCAAUGCAGAGCAAACCAAAAUAAGAAAAGGACGAGAAGAAUAUGAAUCAAAGUAAGCAAGAGAGUCACCUCAAACUCACCUGCAGACGCUCCUUUCCUCUGUUAUCUCCUCCUCCAACUGAAUAAAAUCCUCUGUAAGUCCUUCCCAAGCCACGCAGCCUGCUACAUUCCUCAGCUGAAAGGAUCUUCUCUCAUUUCCCUCAAAAAUCAAUAUCUUCUCCCACCCUCAGCCGAAUAGCCUCCUCAUCCCCCAGAAAACCUCCGUUUUCUCCCUCUAGUCUUUUUCUUCUUCUCCCAAAUAUCCCUCUGUCACAGCUGAAAAGCACCCCUUCACUCUGCAGAAGACGCUCCCCCUAACAAACUCUGAACGUCCCCUUUCCAGGUGUCCAUCUUUCAUUGGCUCUCUUAAGCACCACUGUGAUUCCUUGGCAGCCAAUCAGGAGGCAACACAUGGCUCUUGAAAAAGCCCUCCACCUGGCAAAGAAAAUAACCUGCAAGAAAAAAGUGAAUAAGCCCCAAAUGGGGGUCUACAGCAGGCUAUUGAAGUCUUGUUUGAAUACAAUAUAUAUAUAUAUAUUCUUAAAAUAUAUUUUUUUAAUAUUUGAGAUAGUUAAUUUUUUUAUAUUUAAAUUGUAUUUAAAACCUUUACUUUUUUAAUAUAAGUCUUUAUAGAAUUCUUAUAUUUUAUAUAAAAAUUACUAUUAGUUCAAUUUUUUUUAAAAAAUAAAAAUAAAAAAUGUACCAAUUUAUACAAAUUUUAAAAUAUAUUUUUGAUAAGUCAAAUAAAGCCCAAUAAUCUUUAUAAAAUUUUUCUAUUAGAUGAGACAUCUAUAAAUAAAAAAAAAAAAACGAAAUGUUGAAAGGAAUGUCCCCAACUUUCACCAUAAAUGAUACAAUAACCAAAUUAUUGAGGCAAAUAUUCGGACAAGAUUUCUUGUCAAACAAGCCUUCUCUUCUGUUGAUUGGGAAUUGAGUUGGAAAUGAAAGGAGCAUAAAUAUAGAGAGCCCAUCUAAAGAGAGACUAAUUGGGAGUCAAGCCUUUUCUAUGCACAAAUUGGAUAGUUUUGAGAAGACAAAUCAUGUUUACAUCUUCUCCCUUCUUCUUUCCCAUCUAGCAUGCUGUGCUUCCCACUAUUUCAAUUAUCAAGAUGGAAUCUCCACUCCAAAAAAGUGGAAAAUUAAAAUGAGAGGCAUAACCGGAUGAUAAUCAUAAGUAAUAUUGUUUUUUCUUUUUUUCUGAAAAAAAUUUGAUUUGUUAUCCCAAUUGACGGGUAAGCUCUCAAGUAAGUCUUCUUUGGUGACUUCUCCAACUCUUGAUUGGAAAUUAGGUGAUAAAUGAAGAAAAUAUCCAUUUUAAAAGCGGCUAAUUGUGGAAAAACAAUUUAUCUUAUUAAAUUAAUAUUUUUAAUAUAGACAUGUUAAUAUGGAUUUAUAAUAAUUUAUUUAUAAAACACUCCAAAAAUACAUGAUAAUCAUGGAAACUAAUUUGACAAAAAGUUAUAGAAUCUUUAUAAAAUUUUAAAUUAUGCUACAUGGCAUAUGGAAAGAAAAUAUGCAAGUCAAAGAAAGAAUUUAUAAGGAAUCCACCUCAAUUGGUAGAGGGAUAUUCUACCAAUGUAGAUUUGCCUAUAAUUCACUUAUGAUUAUGGAUUUUCAAAUAGUAGAUAGACUUGUUUCAAAAAUUCUUGAAGUGAUAGAAAGUGAAAAAAUACCUAAGCUUCUUUAAAGGCCACUAAAUGUGGAAAACAAUUUAGUUGUUUUGUUUUUGUUGAUUUCCGUGUGAAUAUCCCUAAUUUGUUGGGAUUUUGAUUUUGAAUUCAAAUCGGGAUUUGUUUCCCACUUUCUAUAUUGAGUUUUUUUCCUUUUCUUAGGCAUGUAUCUCCUAGAUUGUAGAUAGAUUUUUAUUUGGUAGAUUAGAUUCUUAGCUUAUAUAAUGUUGAUGUUGUACAUGCUCUAUAGAAAAAUAUAGAAAUAUAUCAAGUUUUUUGCAUGGUACCAGAGCGGUUUCCCACUAGGACAGACUCCUACUCUCCAGCAUUUGUUUUUUUUGGCAACAAGCAACUUGAAGCCCCUACUGCUAUCUCACUGUGAAUUGUCUUCUCCAACCUAGUCACAAUUUGUCCUUGGUUCAUCAGUCCAGCCAUGAUUUAGUCCAGAUGUGAUUUGAUCGUGUUACGAAUUGAUCUAGUCCAGACAAAUCUUUUGGAAUGACUAUUGAUAGUCAAAAAUCAGUCUCUAAAGUCAACUCUAGGUUGAAGACUAUCACUUCCAAUGACCAUGGAGGAUCCGAUGGCUCUUUUCUUCCCAUUGUAGGUCACAAGUUGAAUGGGAAUAACUAUCUACAAUGAUCUCAGUUCGUCCUUAUGUUUAUCAGUGGCAAGGAUAAGGAUGGCUACCUCACUGGAGAAAUUGUUCAACCCAAAAAUGAUGAUCCUAGAUUCGGAAGUUAGAAGAUAGAGAAUAAUAUGGUCAAAUCAUGGCUUAUCAAUUUCAUGACCAAUGUGAUUGGUGAAAACUUUCUUCUCUAUAAGACCGCAAAAGAGAUGUGGGAUGCAAUUAAAGAAACAUAUUCCACCAAAGAAAAAACAGCAUAACAGGUUGAUAUCGAGAUUGUUCGUCAUGAUUUCCAUCAAGAGGAUUUAACCGUCACUAAUUACUACAAUAUUCUUGGUCACCACUGGCAACAAUUGGAUGUUUGUGAGGAGUAUGAUUGGAAUUGCCCAAAGAUGCUGCCAUGUAUAAAAAGAUUGUGGAGAAAAGACAGCUUUUCAUGUUCUUAUUAGGCCUCAACAAGCACCUUAAUGAGCUCCAUGGGAGGAUCCUUGGUACCAAACCCCUUCCAACAAUCCGUGAAGCCUUUGCCACUAAAUACCUAAGCUUCUUUAAAGGCCACUAAAUGUGGAAAACAAUUUAGCUGUUUUGUUUUUGUUGAUUUCCACGUGAAUAUCCCUAAUUUGUUGGGAUUUUGAUUUUGUAUUCAAACCGGGAUUUGUUUCCCACUUUAUGUUUUGAUUUUUUUCCUUUCCUUUCAUUUUCUUAGGCAUGUAUCUUCUAAAUUGUAGCUAGAUUUUUAUUUGGUAGAUUCGAUUCUUAGCUUAUAUAAUGUCGAUGUUAUACAUGCUCUAUAGAAAAAUAUAGAAAUAUAUCAAGUUUUCUGCAUGGUAUCAGAGUGGUUUCCCACUAGGACCGACUCCUAUUCUCCAACAUCUAUUUUUUCUGGCAAUAGGCAACCUGAAACCCCUACUGCUAUCUCAUUGUGAAUUGUCUUCUCCAACUUAGUCACAAUUUGUCCUAGGUUCAUCAGUCCAACCACGAUUCAAUUAAGACGUGAUUCGAUCUUGUUACAAAUUGAUAUAGUCUAGACGAAUCUUCCAGAAUGACUACCAAUAGUAAAAAAUUAGUCUCUAAAGUCAACUCUAGGUUGGAGAUUGUCACUUCCAAUGACCAUGGAGGAUUCGAUGUCUUUUUUUUCCCCAUCAUAGGUCACAAGUUGAAUGGGAAUAACUAUCUCCAAUGGUCUCAGUUCAUUCUUAUGUUUAUCGGUGACAAAGAUAAGGAUGGCUAUCUCACAGGAGACAUUGUUCAACCCAAAAGUGAUUAUCCUAAAUUCCAAACAUAGAAAAUAGAGAAUAAUAUGGUCAAAUCAUGGCUUAUCAAUUCCAUGACCAACGAGGUCGAUGAAAACUUUCUUCUCUACAAGACCGCAGAAGAGAUAUGGGAUGUAGUUAAAGAAACAUAUUCCACCAAAGAAAAUACAAUAGAACAGGUUGAUAUCAAGACUAUUCUUCAUGAUCUCCAUCAAGGGGAUUUAACCAUCACCAAUUACUACAAUAUUCUUGGUCGCCACUGGUAACAAUUGGAUGUUUAUGAGGAGUAUGAUUGGAAGUGCCCCGAAAACGUUGCCAAGUAUCAAAAGAUUGUGGAGAAGAGACAACUUUUCAAUUUUUUAUUGGGCCUCAACAAGCACCUUGAUGAGGUCCAUGGGAGGAUCCUUGGUACCAAACCCCUUCCAAUAAUUUGUGAAGCCUUCGCAGAGGUAAAGAGAGAGGAGACCUGGAAGAAACUCAUGUUAGGCAAGCAAACUGCUAUAGCUACUACUGAAAGCUCUACUCUUACAACUCGAGGUUAGUCUAGCAACAAUUGAGGAAAUCAACAGCAACGAAAGGGAAGACUUUGGUGUGACUAUUGCAAGAAACAUGAACAUACAAAGGAUACAUGUUGGGAUAUCUAUGGUAAACUUGCAGAUUGGAAAUCAAGGUCAAAUAGACGUGAUAGUCAAACGAACAAUGCCACCACCGAUUCCACCUCCCAACCCAAAUCAAACUCGCUUAGCAAAAAGCAAUUAGAUCUUUUAUAGAAACUACUCUAACAGUCACAACAACCUAAACCACCUCAACCCACUUCCAUAAUUGGUACUAGUUUUAUUGCACAAAAAGUUAAUUUCUUGAGUGCUCUAAAUGCUAAACAGAAAGGACAAGACCAUGGAUUGUUGACUCUGGUGCAUCUGACCACAUGACGGGAGAUGCAAAUGUUUUUGACACAUAUGAUCCUUGCUCUUCGAAUUAUUUUGUCCACAUUGCUGAUGGAUCAUUGUCCAAGGUUGUUGGUUCCGGUUCAGUGACUAUUUCAAAGGACUUAACUCUUCACUCUAUCUUGUUCCAAAUCUAGAUUGCAGUUUGUUGUCCAUUAGUAAACUAACAAAAGACCUUAAGUGCGUUACUAAAUUUUUUCCUAACCACUGUGAAUUUCAGGUUAUGGAUUUGGGGAUGAUGAUUUAUUUCAAGUUAUGGAUUCAGGGAUGAUGAUUGGAAAUGCUAAGGUGCAUGAGGGGCUCUACCUACUUCAAGCUAAUGAGUAUCCUAAUCCCAGUCAUUCUCAAGCUCAUUCUAUUCAGUCCUCCAAUUCUGUUCUUUCCAUUCGUAGUGAUAAUAAAAAUGAUGCCAUAUUGUUGUGGAAUUAUAGAUUAGGCCAUCCAAAUUUUGUUUUACCUUGAGAAAAUGUUUCCAUCAUUAUUUAAUAAAAAUUCCUAGUCUUUUUAGUGUGAAAUUUGUCAAAUGUCUAAACAUGUGCAUAAUUCUUAUCCUAACCAAGUUUACAAGACUUUUCAUCAUUUUUUAAUGAUACACAGUGACCAUUUAAGAUCAAGAACAUUUAUGGAUGAAGAUGGUUUGUCACCUUUAUUGAUGAUCACACUAGAUUCACUUGGAUAUUUCUCAUGAUAGAUAAAUCUAAGGUUGGCCAAAUCUUUAUAAACUUUCAUAAAAUGAUCCAAAGUCAAUUCUAAGCCCAAAUUCAAAUUCUCAAGACCAAUAAUGGAAGAUAAUACUUCCAUUAUGCUUUGGGUACUUAUUUGAUGAAUAAUGGAAUUAUACACCAAAGUUCAUGUGCUGAUACUCCUCAACAAAAUGGACUAUCAAAGUCCUUGUCAAGUCCUUCUCUAAUCUUAUCCUAAUUCUCGGCUAAUCUCCUCCAUUCCCAUCAAAGUGUUUGGUUGCAUUGUCUUCGUCCAUAUUCAUUCCCAACAUUACUCCAAACUUGAUCCAAAAGUUGUCAAAUGUCUCUUCCUUGGGUAUUCUCUUAACCAAAAAGGGUAUAAAUGCUACUCUCCUACUCAAUGGAAAAUUUACAUAUCCAUGGAUGUAACAUUCUUUAUUAUUCAACUCGUUUACCCCAAAACUAAUAUUUAGGGGGAGAAUGGACUUAGUGAAUAUUAGUUUUUGAACAUAAAUACUGAUUUUCUUGAUACAAAUUUUGAUUCUUCCUGCCUUUCUUCAUCUUUUCUUCCACUUGAGGUUGAGACAUCUUCCAAUCUUCAAUCAAAAUCCAUUUCUGAGACCAUAUAGUCUGCACAAUCUUCAAGUGCUGACCUUCCUCUCAACCAAACUCAACAUCCAACCUCAUCUAUUGUCUAUACCAGAAAAAAAAAGGCUUAGAAGGACGAAAAAAUCCAAGUGCAUCCAAUGCAAAACUAAGAGUUUGAAUUAGAUUCAAAAGAUUCUAAAAAUUGACUAGGUAACACCACUAUUGAACCUCUUUUGGAUGAAAUUUCUAAUGAUUUAGAUUUGCCUAUUACUCUAAGAAAAAGGGUGAGGUCUUGCACUAAACAUCCUAUUCAGAACUUUGUGUCCUAUAAUGAGCUAUCUCCAUCAUAUAGGGCAUUUUCCAUGAACAUAACUGAAGUGCAAGUUCCUAGAACUAUUCAGCCAAUCAGAUUGGAGAAAAACUAUUUUUGAUGAGAUGAGUGCUUUGGAAAAGACGGGUACAUGGGAGAUUAUUGAUCUACUGAAAGAUAAAAAUACGAUGGGAUAUAAGUGGAUCUUUACAGUCAAACAUAGAGUUGAUGGAAAUGUUGAUAGGUUGAAGACACGACUUGUUCCAAAAGGAUUCACUCAAGCUUAUGGAGUUGAUUACUAAGAGACAUUUGACCUAGUUGCAAAACUCAAUACUGUUAGAGUCUUACUGUCUCUUGUUGCUAAUCUGGAUUGGUCACUAAACCAGUUAGUUGUGAAGAAUGCCUUCCUCAAUGGUGACUUGGAGGAGGAAGUGUAUAUGGAGAUUCCCCUUGGCUUUGAAAGAAACAAUGACUUUAAGAAGGUAUGUAAACUCCGAAAAGCAUUAUAUGGCCUUAAAGAAUCUACUCGUGCUCGGUUUGACAUAUUCACAAAGGUCAUCAAGAAAAAUGGUUAUAUUCAGUGCCAAUUUGAUCACACCUUGUUUGUUAAAUUCUCUAAAGGAGGAAAAAUAACUAUUCUUAUUGUGUAUGUCGAUGACAUAAUUCUUACUGGAGAUUAUGAUGAAGAGAAAGUUAGUUUGGAAAAUUUCCUCACCAAGGAAUUUGAGAUAAAAGAUUUGGAUGAUCUCAAGUAUUUCCUAUGAAUGGAAGUGGCUUGAUCUAAGAAAGGAAUUUGUAUUUCCCAAAGAAAAUACAUCCUUGAUCUUCUAGAGGAGACUGGUAUGCUUGGGUGUAAACCCUUAGACAUCCCUAUAGACUCUAAUGUCAAGCUUGGCUUAGAUCAAGAGGGUCCUUCAGUUGACAAAGGGCGAUAUCAACAACUCGUAGGGAAGUUGAUAUAUCUUACCCACACAAGACCAGAUAUUAGAUUCUCUAUUAGUUUGGUUAGCAAAUUUAUGAAUAAUCCUACCAAAGAACACUUAGAUGUUGUCUAUAAGAUCCUUCAAUAUCUUAAAUAGGCUCCUAGAGUAGGGUUAUUUUUCAAAAAGAACUCUAACAAAGAAAUUAUGAUCUACACUAACAUAGAUUGGGUUGGCUCUCCUAUAGACCAUAGAUCUACAUCUUAUUAUUGUUCAUAUGUUUGGGGCAAUCUUGUUACAUGGUGAAGCAAAAAACAAACUGUUGUUGCUAGGAGUAGUACUGAAGUUGAAUUCAGAGCUUUAGAAAAUGAAAUUUGUGAGGGCAUGUGGAUUAAAAGACUAUUGGAAGAACUCAAGUUUCCUAUUGAUAGUCCUAUGAGAAUUUUUUGUGAUAAUCAAGCAACAAUUAGCAUUGCUAAAAAUCUUGUUCAUCACGACACGAUUAAACAAGUGGAGAUUGACUGUCAUUUCACUAAAUAGAAGAUUGAUGAGGGGAUUAUCACUCUUGGAUACAUACUAACAACUCUUCAAACAAUCUACAUCCUUGCCAAAGCACUUCCUAGAGUCAACUUUGAAGAAAUGAAGUCCAAGUCGGGCAUGCUAAACAUCUAUAGCCUAGCUUGAGGGGGAGUGUUGAUUUUCGUGUGAAUAUCCCUAAUUUGUUGGGAUUUUGAUUUUGUAUUCCAACCGGGAUUUGUUUCCCACUUUCUGUUUUGAGUUUUUUUGUUUUUUUUCAUUUUCUUAGGCACGUAUCUCCUAUAUUAUAGCUAGAUUUUUAUUUCGCAAAUCCGAUUCUUAGCCUAUAUAAUGUCAAUGUUGUACAUGUUCUAUAGAGAAAUAUAGAAAUAUACCAAAUUUUCUCUAGUUUUAAAUCAUAUCAAAUUUUUUACUUCAAAAUGAUUACAUUGAAAAACUCCUAAAUUUUGACUUUGAAAUGAUUAACCUUCCAAAGAUUAUUAAAAUUGUUAUCCAUUAUUUCCAUUUACAUAGAAUUUGAGAAGGACUAUAUAAUGCUUGAAAAUUUAAACAGUAUAGAAUAAAAAUAUGAUCUAUAUUGAAUUAGAAUUUUUUUUAAAAAUAAAAUUGGGACAAGCUACCUACUUAAGGAAUCCUCAUAUAUAUAUAUAUAUACGACUAAGAAAAAUGAUAAAAAAGGGUGUACAAAUAUCACAUGUUAGAAAUUUUCAAAUAAAAUUGUAAUUUUAUUGAAUUGUAGAAAAAUCUACUUCAAAUCUCCAGUUUAAUUUCAAAUUAUUCUUUCAAUAAUUGUUGACUAAGUGCUUGCAAAAUUUUGAUCUCAAGUUCUAUUGAAGAUUUGAUGUUGCUUGCUUGAACUUCAUUUAGACUUUAACUUGCUUAUGGUUUGAGUUUGGAUUGGCUUAUUUUUUACUUACAUUUUAGAAAUGAACAACAUCUUAGUCUUUGAGAUUUGAAGCUUGAUUUUAUUCUUGGCUAGACUUGUUAGGCUUUGACUUCAUUUUAGCUUUGGCUUAAACAAUCCUAACCAAGUGCUUGAGUAAUAAUCUUAGACAACAAAAUUUAGAAGAUUUGGCUAUUAAAGUUUGAUUCUUGAUUUUUUGAAAGAUAUUCAUGAUUUGAAAAUAUUUUGAAGAAAUUAAAAACUCAUCAAAGAAAUUUUGAAGAUUUGAGUAAACUUUGAAAUCUCUUUUGAAGAUUGAAAAAGCAAUGAAUACUUUCAAAGAAGCCUUCAAUUUCACAUAAAAAUGUUUGGGAAGCUUUAAAGGAGACCAAAUUUUUUUGAAGAAGUUUGAAGGCCAUCAUAGAAGCUUUUUGAACUUAUAACAAAGCUUUCCUUCUACCUUCUUACUUAUGUAUUUUUUACUUAUUGUGUGAAAUAUACCUUCAAGGUGGUUUCCUUUAUUUAUAAAGAUAGGAAUAACAAUACUUAAACAAUUUUCUAGCUCUUGAAAUAUGUUUUUAAUUAUUUAACUAAACUUAAUUUUUAAGGAGAUAUAAAAGAACAUAUUUAGAUGGUCUUUAACCCCUUGAAAACUAUUCUUUAAGGAGAAUCGGUGAUUAACCAUUUUUUUUAAAUCAAGUCCAUUAUUGUCUUAAUUUAUUGUAAUAAUAUUCUUUUUGUUGUCAAUAUUUAUCUUUUCUUUUAUUUAAUCUAUAGAUAACUUUUUGAGGACCCAUUAAUUUGUACUUAAAUAUUGGUAUAGAUAGUUAAAAUUAUGUUUUUAAGCAUAAAAAGGAGUAAAAAUCAUUGUUUUUACCUUCAAUAUGUUAACACCCUAUUUUGGUAACUAAUGUGCUAUAUUGUGGGAACUAUAGCAAAGAGAAGAUAAACACAUGUUUUUGUUAGGAUAGAACCCUUAAAAACAUGAUAUGAAGUAACAAAUUUGGAAUUCAUUAUUUAAUGAUAUUCCCAUUUCAUUUUUAUCUAUUCUUGUUCCAUGCAUUACACUUUAUAAACAUUCUUGCCUAGCAUCUUUUGCAUUGCACGUGAUUUGGGUGCAUUAGGAAUUGCCCAAAAGAUCCAAAUCUCGAGUUCCUUGCAAAUAGAUAACUUUUUCAUAAUCGAUUCAGGUCUAGGCAUCAUGAUAUCUCAUGGUGAAAGACCACCGAAAGUCUAAUAGGGAACAUCCAAAAAGGGAAAGAGGAGUGAAUGGGUGAUAUGAAAAUUCAAAUAAAGAGUUAUAUAUAUUAUAUUCAAUUUUUCUUACCCUAAAAAAUUUUAGGGAAGUCCUAAUUUGCACUUUGGGCAAAUUUCAAACAUAUAAUCUAGUAUCUUCGGAGAAUAAGGGAUUAUAUGUUUGUGAGUCUUUGUGAUGAGUUGCUACUCUUUUCAUAUCGAGAAAUUGGACUUCAAUAUGAUAAGGACUCUUGUAGGUCUACCUUUGGGUGUGUGUGCACUGUAAGUGGUUUUUAUUUUAUUUAUUUUAUAGAAACAAAGGAAGCCUUUUGGCUUAUGGGUAGUUCCCUUGACCAUAAUGUCUAAGAUCCUAUUAUGUAAUAAUAAUGGGUUGGUGGCAUGAUCUAAAAAACUAAAGUACCACUAGGAGAGGAAACACAUAUGGAGGAAGUGUAACCUUAUUGUGAGAUAGUAUGGAGAGUUGAUGAUACAAUGGAGUAGAAUUCUUUCUACGGUUCCCAAUCUAUUUUUUGGGCUAGUGGGAUUUUGUUGGGAUUAUGCCCCUAAAAACAAGGCAUGAUGUAACAAAGUUAGACUUAACCAUCCCCUUGCUAUCCCUUUUGGUGUAUUGACAUUGCCUUGAGCAUUUAGCCCGUGUCUCAUACAUUGUACAUGACUUUUGUGUAUUAGGAGUUAUACAAAAGAUACAAGUCAUGGGUUCCUUGUAAGUAGAUAAGUUGUCCACAAUCGGUUCAUGGAUAUAAGAAAUCCAAUAGAGACUAUAGUGCAUCACCUUCUAAUUAGAGGGAUGACUUAUCUUGGCCAUCAAGAUGGGUUUCCCAUGGUGAGUGCACUAGUGUAUGUGAUGCAAAUUGGACAGGACCUAGGGUGAAUCAUGACACAAAGCUAUCAAUUAUCAUGAUUCACUAAGCUACUACACUGCAUAGACUUUCAAACAUGAGAAGAUAUUGAGUUUCUGCAAAAAUCAAUAGGAGGCUUUGACUUAUGGGUAAGACUUUAAAGUGGUCAUAUAUCCCUAUGGAUUUGGUCACUAUUGAUGGAGGUUGGUGGCAAUGGGUAUUCUCAAUAGAGACACCAUGAUAUCUCAUAAGAUUAAGACAGUGUGUCCCCUUGGGUGAUCUAAAGACAUGUGAUUGUGAAAUCUGUGGCCAUAGUAAUUACUUAAGUGGAAUUUGACAUAUUCUCUUCAAAGCUAGAGUAUGUUAUUUGAUCACAUAAUAAGUGGGAUCUAUAACUCAAGGAUUUGAGAGGUAAUCUUGAUAGGUGAAAACACUAUAUUGUUAGAUUAUGAACACUAGUUCAUGGGGAGUCUACAUGCAGUGGAUAGUAGGUCACAAACUCAAAUACUUGGUGUCUCAUUUUAAUAAAUAUAAGGUACUGGAGUGUAGUUGACUCUCUAUAGUGAGAUGCUAAGUUAAUUUCAUAAUUGAUUAUGAGAGAGCCAAUACUCCUAUGGGUCCCAAUGGUCCCCGAUCUGGGCUUAUAUUCCUUGAUGGCAUGGUUUAUGAUGGUUAGGUGGAUUUUGAAGGGAAAAACUCUGAUCACUCCACUUCCCAAGCCCAGAUUUGGGUAGCAACAUGCAUAACUAUCCUAGGCCUUUUCUAAAUCCUAUGCUCAAUGAAAAAAAUAACAUUUUUAAACCUUAAAAGGAUUCAUAAAGAGCUAACGAAAACUGAUUACUACUCAAAAAGUGCUAUUUCAUAGCUUGUAAAUAACUCUUUUAAACACUUUUGAGUAGUAGUUAUUGCCUUUUAACCCAAUUAACAUGUUAAGGACCCUUGCAAUCAAUUCUAAUCAAAUUGUGUUAAGUUUUGGUGUUUUGAUAGCUUUUUGAUCACCGAAGCAAUAUGAGAUUGAGGAGAGUUAUUUGGAAUCCAUGGCAAAGCAAUGGAAAGCUCAGAAACAUGAAGAACCAAAGCUUUGAAGUCCUUUGCCAUAAGCAAAUCCGGAAUGCAAGGAGGGGAAGCAAAGAGAAAUCUGCCAUGAAACAUUCUUGAUGUCAGUCAUGUCAGCCACUUUUGGAGCACUUCUUGGAGUUCAAUUUAUUCAUGCUAUAUGUCGUUUCGAAGCUCAGGAAGUCAGAAAUCCAAUUCUUCAAACGGUGUGUGAUUCAGAGUUGAAAUGAAGGAUUUACAGCCAUUGGAAGCCAAUCACUCCAAGCUGAAGGAAGAAUUUUGCACGGCUGCGAAAUCACCCUUUUGCUGCGAAAUGAUUUCGCAUCCAUUUUGCACAGUGCUGUGGAAUUCCUCCUGAAGUUUCCCCAUAUUUGCGACACGUUGGAAGCCGAACACUGCAAGCUGAAAGCCAACUUUGCAGCACUGCGAAAUCAGCCUUUUGCUGCGAAGUGAUUUCGCAGCCCUUUUUGUGCAUCUGCGAAAUCUCGCAAACCUCUUUUUCACCUGCGAAAUGGUCGUUAGUGCUUCUUGAUAUUUGCGACCGACAUUUUGAGAUAUUUUUCUUCAGAUAUUUUUGUAUAAAUUUUCAUUCUUCUCCUUGUAAUCCACCAACCAUAAGAUUUCUUAGCUAGGAAGGUUGGAAAAACUUCUCUAUAUAUAUUCCCUUGCAUCCAUUGUAAUAAAGAUACAUAUCAUAUAUAGAAUCAACGAACAGAGCACUUGCUCUGUUUUUCAUAUAUAUUCUUGUUUUCUCAUUAGUUUUCUUUCUAGCAAAACAUUCUCUGAGAUAUUUUCUCAGAGGAUGAGAGGCUAGGCUCUUCGUCUCUUGGAGUGAAGAAAUCCGGGUAAGCUUCCACAUGCAUAAUUUGGAAGUUUUGUUGUUUUAGUUUUUAAUGAAGAGAAAGUGUGACCCGUUAAUGGUUUUUAUCUUUUUAGUUAACUUAAAACACCUUUAAUUCACCUGAGCCAACACUUGGUAAGGCAAGUGAUCUCCGUCUAUGGAGAUGCACUAGUUUAUCUCUUGCGAGCUUUUGGUAGGUGGUUUGAAGGUAUGAUUUUCUAGAAUAGCCAACACUUGGUAAGCUUUUAGACUCCAAGGAGACAUCCAUUAGUUAUCUCUUGCGAGCUUUUGACGGGUAAUCCAAGGUUAAAGAUCACCUUGAAUGGCAAGUGCUAGGUGAGAGGUAUGAGCCAUUGCAAGGUGCAUCAAUGAGAGGGAUUUAGUGUUUGAACCCAUUAAUGGGAAGCAUCUGUACAACACCGGUUGGAGAAGGGACUAUAUGUUAAUUCUCUAAUGCGAGGAAAAGAAACAAGUGACCGGAACUCUCCUUUUUGUAUGAGGAACCUGAGCCUAGUGAUCUAAACUCCAAGAAACACUUUUCUUUGUAAGUAAAAUCAGUUACUAUUUUUGGUUAGUUUAAAACCGAACCUUUUUCAUUCAAAUAUCUUUAUGUUUUCUUUUAAAGCUAACCUUGAAAUGAAAAGGCACCAAUUCAGCUUUGAAUUAAUAUCAUUGGCAAAGUGAAAACCCAUCCCAGUGAACGAUCCUAAAGUCACUAUGCUAUAGUAGCUUUGUCUUUUCUACCCUAGUAUAUGGUGUAAUAGGUUAUAAAUUUUGUUGAUUACUCCCUCAAUCAAGGAGCACCAACUGGACACGAAUCAGCUGAGACACCAAUUGGGCAUGAAUCAAAAACCAUACCUCAGAUUCCGAUGUUCCUAAAUCAAAUCCAGGUGGUGAAAAUGAAGAAUGAAAUCACAAAAGUCUCAUAAACCUGAAGUUUUCCGUGCAAUGAAUCGAAUUGAUCUUGACACACCUCCAGUGGGGAUGGAAAGGAAUGUGGAGGCUAUAACUCUUUAUUUUUCUCUUUGGAGAUGGAAGAUGGCUCUCUAGAAAAACUAUAUGAACUUUAAGCCCUAAGAUGAGAUUUAUAGGGUUUUCUACUAGGCUUAAGUAACUUGAGCUCACUAAGUGCUUGGGUCACUUAAUCUAGCCCAAAAUGGGUCCUAAUUGAUUAAUUAACUCAAUAGGGCAUGCUAAUUAAUCAAUUAGCCCAAUCUAGAGACCUUGCUCACUUACCCUUGUGCAAUUUUUGUGUAAUUACCAAGAUGCCCUUAUGCACAAAAGUGAACCUAGAGCUAAUUCGACUCUCAUUACCCAUGCCAACAAGGUAUAUGAUUACUACCCAAAAAGUGCUAUUUUACACCUUUAAUGCAUUAUGUUUUAAGCACUUUUGUGUAGUAGUUCUCCAUCUUUAGUCCAAUUGGCAUGUUAAGGACCUAGCAAUGUCUUCUAAUCAUAUUUGUGGCUAGUUUUAGUGUUUUGACAUCUUUUUGGAUCAUUAAGACAAGCCAAUCAAAGGAGAAAAGCAAAGAGAAGCAAGGAGGAAAACAGAGGACAGCAGCUGCAGUCUUCGUUAGCACUUUUGGAGAACUUCCCGAAGUCCAUUUUCUACAUUCUAUAUACCAUUUCAAAGCUCAGGAAGUCAAGAAUCCAACGCUUCAAACCGUGUAUGAUUUGGAGCUGAAACGAGGAAGAUAUGGCUUUCGGAAGACAACUGCUCCAGGUGUGCGAAAAUUUCGCACACCCCCUUAGCUGUGCGAAUGGUGUGCGAAAUUCGCACACCCCUUGCGUGGUGCAAAUUUUGCUCUGUUUUUGCCGACUCCACUUUAGAUAUUUUCCUAUGUAUUUUUUGAUGUAAUUUCCUUUCUUAUCCUUGUAACUAACCAGUCACAAGCUUUUGCUUUUGUAAAGACUAUAUAAGGGGUGGAAAUUACCUCUUGGAUAUGAAAUAUACGUAUUACGUUUGACACUUAGAAAUUUUUACAGAGCUCUCUCGUUUUCCAUUUUCUCUCUACUAUUUUCUUUUUCUUGGAAGCCAAACAACCUCUGAGGAUGUUUUCUCAGAGGAUGAGAGGCUAAACUUUUGGUUUCUUGGAGUGAUGGAAGCUAGGUGAAAAGUCCAGAUGCAAGGUGGAAAACGCUCGUGCAUUAAAUUCAGGUAGUUGGAAUUCAUAAAUGGCUUUUAAAUCCAAAGUUUUGCUUUAAAUCCCUUAGAAUCACUUUGAAUGACCAAUACAUGGUAAGCUUUAGGUCUUUAUGGAUGCUUAUUGCUAGAUCCAUAUUAGUCCAUUAGUUAUCAUGUACGAGUCAUUGGAAAGCGGUUCAAGGUGAAGACCUAUAGUGUCUAAAGCCAUUAAUGGACUUUGACUACCAUUUAUAUUGAUUAUUAUGGAUUAAAUCUUCAUUGUUAAGCCUACACCGGUUCGGGAAAUAACUAUAGGUUAAAUUCCCAAUGCGAGGAGAAAAAUCCGGAAUUUUCCACUUUGCACUCUAAACUUGAUCCUAGCAAUCCUGAGCUCCGGGAGACUUUCCUUCUUCCAUUUUUAAUUAGUUUAUGUUAAUUUAGUUUCAAACACUUUCAAAACAAAUUUUAUUUUCUUUUAAACUCUAAGUUUUUUUUUUUUAUAAAGGAAAUCAUUAAAUUCAAUUCAUAAUCAUGAGUAUAUCACUGGUAGAAUGAAAACCCAUCCCAGAGUUCGACCCUAGAGCCACUAUACUAUAGUAGCUUUGCUACACUAGUAUGAGGUCAUAGGUUUUAUAAAUGUUUUUGAUUAAAUGACCCAUUUGGAGUUACAUGCGAAUCAGUAUAUGAGCUCAGAGCAAGGACUAUUAGGACCCAUAUGAAUAUUAGCUCCCUCACAAUCCAAUUCUAAAGUUGAUUCAACAUCCCACUAGAAAGAAUCAACUGAACUCCAGUAUCCUAUGUAAAUAGCAAUGAGACAUUAUGUGCUCAGGUUCUUGACCUGCUAUCCAUUACAUUCAGUCUCCCGAUGAACUAGUGUUCUUAGUCUAACAAGAUGAAAGCUAUCAACCUUUCAAGACUAUCUCUACUAUCUUUAAGUUAUAGAUCCUCCUAUUGUAUAUUCAACUGACACGUCUUAGCUCUCAAAGAGCCUAUGUCAAGUUUCACUUAAGGAAUUACUAUGACCAUAGUUUCUAUUAACACACCUCCUUAGGAUCACCUAAGGGGAUACACUGUCUCAAUCCCAUGAGAUAUCAUGGUGCCUAUAUUGAGAAUACUUUUUGCUACCAACUUCUAUCAACAAUGACCUGAUCCAUAAGGAAUAUAUGAUCAACUUACGAUCUCACCCGUAGGUUAAAACCAUUGCUAACUUUAGCAUACGCUUAAUAUUCUCUCAAGGUUAAGAGACAACACAAUGAAGCAAUUUGGUGAGGUCAUGACUACUUGAUAGCCUUAAGUCAUGACUCACCAUAGGUCUUAUCCAAUGUGUAACCAUACACACUAAUGCACUCACCAUGGGAAACCUCUCCCCAUAGCUAAGACAAGUCAUCACUCCAAUUAGGAAGUAGUGCACUACAACCUCUAAUGGGUUGCCUAGACCCAUGAACUAGUUGUGAACAAGUAAUCUAUUUGCAAGAAACCCAUGACUUGGAUCUUCUGUGCAACUACUAAUGCACCUAAGUCACAUACAAUGCAAAAUAUGCAAGUAGGAAUGCUCAUAAAAUAUAAUACAUGGAAUAAGGAUAGACAAAAGUGAAAUUGGAACAUCAUUUAAUAAAUAAUGAAUUCCAAAUUUAUUACAUCAUGUCAUGCUUUUAAGGGCUCUAUCCUAGCAUUCUCCUACUAGCCCUCAAAGCGUCAUGCUUAUAAAGCAUGCUAAAUACUCAUUUGAAACCUAUGCUAUCCUUGUGACUAACAAAGACUCUCCUUGUCAAUGUCUUGGUGAAGGGAUCCACCAGGUUCUCCAUAUAAGGUAUCUUGUCCCAUAUCAUGUCACCUUCUAAACUAUUUCAACACUUUGGAGCACAAGCACAUAAUCCCUCGUUCUCCUAAGAUACUUCAGUAUAUGCUUGAUAGCAGUUUAGUGUUCUGGACCUGGAUUAAACUAAUAUCUACUUACCAUACCCAUUACAACAUAAAUAUUUAGCCUAGUACAUAGCAUCGCAUGCAUAAGGCUACCCACUAUAGAGACAUAGGGUACUGAUUGGAUGCGUUUUUUCUCCUAGGUGUUUUAGGACACUGAUCCCAAGAAAGAAGAAUUCCAUGCCUAAAAUGUAACAAACCUUUCUUGGAAUCUUGCAUCACAUACUUGACCAAAAGCUUAUCUAUGUAGGUAGCUUGAGAUAGCACUAGUUUCUUAUUCUUACGGUCCCUAAGGACCUUAAUCCCAAGAAUAUACUACACUUCUCCCAAAUCCUUAAUCUGGAAUUGAGUAGAUAAACAGAACUUUACUGAUGACAAUAACCCUACAUCAUUACCAAUGAGUAAAAUGUUGUCAACAUACAAGAUCAUAAAGACCAUCAUGCUUCCGUGCUCCUUCUUUUUACACACAAGGUUCAUCCUCAUUUUGAUCAAAGUCAAAGGUCUUGACUGCCUGAUUGAAACAUUUAUUCUAUGAGUGGGAUGCUUGUUUUAGUCCAUAAAUGGAUUUAUGCAAUUUGUAUACCAUAUGCUCUUAACCCUUUGCUACAAUACCUUUUGGUUACACCAUAUAGAUGCUCUCAUCAAGAUUUCCAUUUAAGAAUACAAUCUUGACAUCCAUUUUCCAUAUCUCGUAGUCAAGAUGUGCUGCAAUGGAUAGGAGUAUUCUAAUGGACUUGAGCAUGGCUAUCGACGAGAAGGUCUCAUCAUAGUCAAAACCAAGUUUCUGACUAUAACCCUUCACUACAAGCCUAGCCUUAAAAGUCUCAACCUUUCCAUCUACUCCUCUCUUUCUCUUAUAGACCCACUUACACCUUAUGGGUUUUAUACCUUCAAGUGCUUCUACAAGCUCCUAGACUUGGUUAGAAUGCAUAGAUUCUAACUAUACUUCCAUAGUCUUUUACCAAAAAUGUGCAUCCACAUCGCUCAUUACUUCAUCGUAAUAUGUGGGAUCGAUCUCAUGUUCCUUUAGAAUGACCUCAAAAGACUCUCCCAAAACAUGAAUUGGUCUAGUUGUUUAACAACCCUCCCACUACAAUGAAGCAUCAGUGUACUAGAAAUGAGAAUGGUUGGUACUAGAUCCAUAGUAUCUAGUGUAUAGUGAAACUAUCUUCUAGAUUGUUUGCCUUAUUACAUGUCAUAGAGUCUUCAUAAAAAAUCUAGUAUUUGUAGCAAGCAACACCUUAUGAUAAUCCUGACUAUAACGUAGUAAUCCUGAAAUCCUCUUGGAUAUCCUAUAAACUAAUACACCUCUUUAGAAAAAGAAGAGGUAUUACAUAGUCUUUAAGAUAUAUCCCCAAAGAAUAUGGGAAGUAAUGAGAAACCAAUCACCGAUCUCACUUUGUCUACCAAAGUUUAAUAUAUUCUUUCCAUUACUCCAUUUUGCAAUGGAGUCCUUGGGGCACACAAUUGUGAUAUGAUCUCAUGCUUCAUUUGGAAAGAAUCAAACCUACUAGACUAACCACCUCAAUCUAAUCGAAGUGCCUUGAUAUGUUUACCCAUUAGGUUAUCCAAUUCUGCCUUAAAUUCAAUGAGUUUAUUCAAGGCAUCAUAUCUCCUAUCUAUAUAUCCAAAACUAAAGUAUUUAUCAAUAAAAUGAUCAAAGACUCACACUUUCAAUAUAUAAACACAAAAAGGUUCACAUACAUUAGUAUGCACUAACUCCAAACAUUCCUUGGUUCCAAGUCUUUUAAAAAUAAAAGGGUCUCUUAGUCAUUUUACCAUCUAUAUAAGAUUUAUAGACUAAAAGAUCUUCUAGAUUAAGAAGGUCCAAACUUAAUUAGUAUUUGGAUCAAUAUGACUUAGGUGUUAGAAGCCAAAUGUUUGAUUCGUUCUAGGUUCUUUCUUUUGGUGAGAUUUAACUAUUCUCAUUACUUGGCAAAGUGAUAAUGGAGUCUCACAUAGAAAAGGUAAUACCUCCCACUAACAUGCACAACUAAUCUUACAACUGAAGCUAAGGUAAGUACAAUCCCAUUAUGUGACCUUCUCACUUGUUGAAAACCUUGUAAAGAACUACAGAUAGUGGGCCUGGAAUCUAUCCACCACUAUGUAUUCAACAACAAGAACAUGAUGUGUACUUGUCUAUUCUUAAACACUCCAAGCAUUCCAUGUUUAAGUGUCCUAAAAGGCCAUAAAGGAAUCAUUGCCCAUGAGCUUGUUCUCUCAUUAUUUUUCUUGAACUUUCCUUAUUUGGUGUUGUUCUUUUCCUUCUUGGUAGAAGAACCUAAAGAACCUUGACUUCCAUAUGAACACCUUUCAACUCUUUGAGAAUCUUCUUAACCAUACUAAAAGAAUCCGGUAAGAUCUUUAGGAUAACAUGAAUCUUGGUGUUCAUAAUAGUCCUAAGGGCAACUUGUUUAGUUGACUUACUCUUAUUACCAAAUAACCCUUUCAACUUUAAAGAGAAUAUCAUAGACUAUGGAAAUAGACAUAUGUUGUUUUUGCAACACUUUAUCUAAAGACCCAAGUAUGAGAGACUUGGCCUUUUGAUUUGUCUUAUGCCAUAUUUGAUAUGUUUCUCUUACUUCAUGAUAGGUUUGUUCAAUGGAAAUAACAAACUCUACCAAAAUCAGCUUCUAUGCAAUUAAUACUAUACCCAGAUUAUUCAUAGUCUAUCAUUAGGUCCAAUUUAAACAAAAGAUAAUAGGCAACAAGUUAAAGACAUGAUAUCUAUAAAAAAUAUAAUAAUUCCAUGCAUUAAUAAAAAGAAAUUGAGCAUUCAAGGCAAGUUGGUAAUUAAUUUAGUAAAAAAGUAGUUCUCUCAAACUACAUAUCCUUUUGUAAGGUAUCCUAGUAUCAUAAGAAUCAAGCCAACUUUAUGUAGGUCACGACUCUUAUUACUAGGGUAGAGACCCUCUCUAAUUGAUCAACUUGCCUUAAACUUUAAAAGUUAUCAUAAGGCAUUGAUCAACAUAGCUUUAUGUUUAGCCCUUAGUCCAUGCAAGUGGGACCACUUUAGGUGAUUUUACCACUUCAUGUCUAAGUUAAGUAUGUAACCAAGAUCCUUGACAUCAAUGUUACCAAGUGAAGAGUUCCAUCUUUAGGGUUGACUAGUCUCACUAUAAACAUAUAUAGUCUUGUCCAUAAAGGAUAGUCUUUAUUCCUUGAUUCCUUGGGCCACCCUAUCUUUAAGAUGGUGAUGCACCCAAAAUCAAGAUGGGCUUGGUCUUGGAGGUUAUGGGCUUGCCUAUGGCCUACUCCUACUUAAUAUUUUGGAAAAGAGGCUUUAAGAUAAUUUUGGUAACUAUCUUAAAAUAAAUUAUCUAUCAUGAGAAUUUCCAAAACUUUUAUUUAUCACUUGAAUUGGGACUCUUGUACCAAAUAGGGAUAUAUUUCAUAUUCCUUAUCCUUGAACUUUCCUUUUCAAACUAAACAUAUUCCUCAUUCUCUUAGAGGAGAAGAUGUUGGAAGACCAAUUUAAUUGUCAUUCUCCUUCUCUCUAGGGAGGAAGGCUUGGAAAACCACUUAAGCCAAAUAAAGAAAAGUCCCAAAAGGAAUUUGAAAUUCCAAAUGAAAACAACCAAUUCCUUAAAUAAAUAAUAAUGGAAAUAAAACUCAUGAAAAUGUAUUCUUUUAAGAAAAUCCAAAAUUACCAUUUUAAUUUAUUUUAUUUGAAACAAUAUCUUGGUAAGCUAUAUUAAUAAUGAAUCAUCUAUCAUAUAUUUUUCUAAAAAUAAUUUAUUUCUUUAAAUUAGAAUCUUGUGCUAAAUAGGAAAGAUUUUAUUUCACAAAGGCUUGGAAAACUAAAACUUCUUCCUUAUAAUAAAAAAAUUCUUAGAGAUCUAAAAUCUAAAAAAAAUUAUUUUGGAAAAGAAAAUCUCUAAGAGUUUAAUUUUGAAAUGGAAGUAGGUUCCUUAUUACUUUCCAACUUAGCUUUUCUUAAAAUAAAAAUUUCUUAAUCCCUAUCACAUUCCAAUUUAAUAAAUUAUCUAAAACAAGAAAAAAAAAAUAUGAAAAUUCAUUUACUUAAGAAUGCCAAAAUAUAUUCUAUGUCAAGAAUAAAAAGGCAUAAAAGAUAUAAAAGGAAAUUAAAUAAAUAAUUUUCAUGGUCUUAUGGAUCUUGCUGCAAAUUUGGAUAAAAUCCAAAUUAUCAAAAUAGUCCUGCAACCAAAGAUAGGGUUAAUGAAAAAAGAAAAACCCAACAAGCCCAAUUGCCACAAAAAAAAAGCCUAAAAAAAAGCCCAAAAAAUUGAGCUCAAACAACCAAAAACAAUUUGGCCCAAACUCAAUCCUGUAAUUGCAUGCCCUUUGAGCAGCCUUGCUUCAAUCAACCGUAUCUCCCUCGUUUCAACUCUGAAUUGUGAUAUUUUUGAAGCAUUAAAUUCCUGUAUUCCUAAGCUUGAAAACCAUAUAUGGUUUUCCCCAAAAAUCUCAUGGGAGGUAGCCCCGAUUUUGAGUUAAAUUCAGCAUCAUUGUGCUGCCAUGGUCUUUGCGCAACCUUACUUCAAUUGAUUAUAACUCCCUUGUUUCAACUCCAAAUUGUGAUCCAUUUUAAGCCUUGGAUUCUUGACUUCCUAAGAUUGAAAACCACAUGUGGUUUGACCUAAAAAAACUCAUGGGAAGUUAUCCCGAUUUUAAUCUUAAGAUGACAAAAUUGUGCUGCCAAGGAUCUCAAAUCAAGAAUUUCCAAGAAUCUUUCUUUUCCCUUAAAUCACCAUAGGAACUUAUGAAAGAAACUUCAAGAAGCCUUAUUUUCUCUUUUCCAAAAAGGGAAUGUGAGGAAAAAUUUUGUGAUGCUUCAGACUGCUUCCAUAAUCUCCAUACGUUGCAAAAAAUGAUAAAAAAAAAAAGGAUUUGGAGUUUACAUAUCAUUCUAAGAUAAAAAUGGGAUUUUUACAAAAGAACAAAAAUCCUAUGCCUGUUUUGAGGCUUACAACCCAUCUAGAAAAAGUAAACAACAAUCCCAGUAAUUAUUACAUCCCUAAUAAAAAAAAUCACAAUAAUAAAGAAUCCACAUUAAUUAUCCCUAGUGUCAUGGGAUAAACACAUACCCUACAAAAUAAAGUUAGCACACCCUAUAAUGGUUCUAGCACGAUUACUAACCUAUGGCUCUAAUACUAGUUGAUGGGAAAAACCUGGAUAUUUCCAUUUCCCAAGCUCGAAUCAGGUUAGGAAUAUGUAUAACUAUCUUAGGCUUUUUCUAAAUCCUAUGCAUAGCGGAAAAAUAACAUUUUUAAACUUUAAAGAGAUUCAAAAGGCGUUAACAAAAACCAUACCUCAAAUUUGGAUGUUCUUGAAUCAAAUCCAUGUGGUAAAGAUGAAGAACGAAAUCGCAGAAGUCUUGUAAACCCGAAGUCUUCUGUUCGAUGACUCAAAUCUUAAUCUUGACACUUCCGGUGGGGAUGGAAGAGAGGUGAAGGCUACUGUUAGGAUAGAGCCCUUAAAAGCAUGAUAUCAUGUAAUAAACUUAAAAUUAAUUAUUUAUUUCAUGAUGUUCUAGUUUCACUUUUAUCUAUCCUUAUUCCAUGUAUUAUACUUUAUGAGCAUUCUUAUCUGCAUCUUUUGCAUUUUAUGUGACUUAGGUGCAUUAGGAGUUGCAUAGAAGAUCUAAGUCAUGGGUUCUUUGCAAAUAAAUGACUUGUUCACAACCAGUUCAUGGGUCUAGGCAACCCAUUAGAGGUUGUAGUGCACCACCUCCAAAUUGGAGGGAUGAUUAGUCUUGAAUACUGGGAUAGGUUUUCCAUGGUGAGUGCACUAGUGUGUAUGGUUACACAUUGGACAGGACCAAUGGUGAGUCAUGACUUAAGGCUAUUGAUUCGAUGCCCAGCCGGGUCUUUUAAUCAAAAACAUUUAUAAAACCUAUGACCUUAUACUGGCGUAGCAAAGCUACUAUAGUAUAGCAGUUCUAGGGUCGAACUCAGGGAUGGGUUUUCACUCUAUCAGUGACAGACUCUAAAUUAGAAAUUGAUUCUGAUGAUUUCCUUUAGCACAAACUUGAAAUUUAAAAGAAAAUAAAAUUGUUUUGAAAGUGGUGAUUUAAACUAAACUCACAUAGAACUAAGUAAAAAGUGGAAGAAAGAAAGUCUCCUGGAGUUAAAGGUUGCUAGGUUCAAGUUCCAGAUGCAAAGUGGAAAAUUCCGGAUUUUUCUCCUCGCAUUGGGGAUUUAACCUAUAGUUAUUUCCCGAACCGGUAUAGGUUUGACAAUGAAGUUUUAAUCCAUAAAAAGUCACUAGAGAUGGUAGUCAAGGUCCAUUAAUGGCUUAAGACACUAUGGGCUAUCACCUUGAAUCACUUUCCAAUGGCUCGUACAUGAUAACUAAUGGACUGAUAUGGAUCUAGCAAUAAGCAUCCACAGAGACCUUAAGCUUACCAUGUAUUGGCCAGUCAAAGUGAUUCUAAGGGAUUUAAGGCAAAACCUUGGCUUUAUAAACCAUUUAUGGACUCCAACUACCUGAAUUUAAUGCACGGAAACUUUCCAUGUUUUAAUCUGGACUUUUCACCUAGCUUCCUUUACUCCAAGAAACUAAAUGUUUAGCCUCUCAUCCUCUGGGAAAACAUCCUCAGAGGGUGUUUGGCUUGCAAGAAAAUAGAAAAUAGAAGAGAGAAAAAGAAAGCAAAAGAGAUCUCUGUAUUUCACUAAGUAUCAAAUUUACAUCAUUUGGUCUCCUGGAGAAAGCUCCCCGAAAGAUUCAUUUUCAGUGAUUACAAGAGAAUUUAUAUAGGAAGGUAAUUUUACCCUUCCUUGGAUACUUCCUAGCUAAGGAAUUACAUGAGUGGUUGAAUACAAGGAGAAAAUGGAAAUUUAGACACAAAAAUAUCAGAAGAAAAAGAGUCGGCAAAAAUAUCCAAUUUUCGCACGCUGGAGUUCCAAUUUCGCACUUUGAUUUGAGGUGUGCGAACUUUUCGCACAGUGGACUGAGGAAUUCGCACCUUGAUUUCCAUCGUGCGAAAUUGUCCCUCAACUUGAUGCAAUUGUCUUCCGAAGGCCAUAUCUUUCUCAUUUCAGCUCCAAAUCGUACAUGGUUUGAACCGUUGGAUUUUUGACUUUCUGAGCUUUGAAAUGGUAUAUAGAAUGUAAAAAAUGGACUUCGGGAAUUGCUCCAAAAGUGCAAUGAAAGACUGCAGCUGUGUCCCCUGUUUUCAUCCCCUGUUUUCCUCUUCUCCAUUGUUUCUUCCUUGUAUACUUUGAACGACUAAGGCAAAGGAUUAUGAGGCUCCAUAGCUUGAUUUCUUCAUAAAUUUAAGCUUUCAAAAGCUUUGCCAUGAACUAUAAAUAGCUCUCCCUCAUUCUUAAAUUGCUUUGGUGAGCAUAAAGCUAUCAAAAAGCACCAAAACUUAACAUAAUUGUUAGAAACGAUUGCAAGGGUCCCUAACAUGUUAAUUGGGUUAAAAGGUAAUAAUUACUACUCAAGGGUGUUUAAAAGAGCUAAUUACAAGCUACAAAAUAGCAUGUUUUGAGUAGUAAUCACUCCCCCCAACCGACAUAUUGCUAGUCCCUUAGCAAUUAAGGAGAGAAAAACUAAGCAAACGUAAUAAUAUACAUAAAAGAGGUCAUGCAAUUCAUUCCAAAAAAUAAUUGAGAGGCAUGACUGAUAUCCAAACACAUCUCCCCUGGUGAACUAAAGAUAUGAAGAUUCAAAAUGCAAUAGGAGUUGUCAAAGCUUAAAACUUAAACAAAAAGUACAAAGAGUGGAGAUUAUGCAAUUAAGUAUCAAAAGAAUCUCUACUCUCAAGGUUCCAAAUCAAACUCUUCCAUAAUAAGCUAAGUGUUAAUGAGAUUAGCUUCCGGAUAUAGUAUAUACAACUAUCCUCACCUUCCAACCUAAGCUUUUCUCGAACAUUGGCAAAAUUAAUCAACUCUUAAUAGGUUAGGAACGCACCUUCUUAUUCACAAUUCUUUUUACUCACUAAUCUUAACCAAUUCACCUAUGUAGCAAGCAGAGGAUCGAUGACUCCCAACCAAUCAAGGUUUAGGGCAUCGGGUUUUAAAGGCUUUCGCCACCCCUUCGGAUCAUGCUUAGGUUUCAAGGAAAGAAUAGAAGCUUAUUCUUUUUUUUUUUUUUUUUUUCAAAGACUCAUUGGUCUUUAUGAGGUGUCCCAACACUAUUAAAGAGAGGUUAAGUAAUGAACCAAGUCAAAAUUUUCCUAAGCUUAGAAGGUGAGAAAGUUUUACAUCAUAUAUCCGGGAUCUAAUGUGCACAGUGGUGUAAAGCUUGAAAUGGAAGAAGAAAGUUCGAAAUCAAAGAGGCUUCAAUAGAUUAUCAACUUUGAAAGCAUAAAACAAACUCUAAGACUUAAAUAAUUAAGUUAAAACUCGACUUAUCCUAUUUUAUUUUUGAGAAAUUAUCUUUAACAACCAUAGAGAAUGAUUCAAAAAACUUUUAAAAAUUUUAAAUUUUAAGCAAAAAUCAACUAAAAUACCAAAAUAACUUAGUAUUAACAACAAAACUUCCUUUCUCAACUCUCCCCCCAACCAAGUUGAACAUUGUCCUCAAUGUUUCAAAAGCGAUUAAAAAUAAAGGGAGGAAGUGGUACCUCCUGAGUGAGACAAAGUCUGAGUGUAAAGGAGGUAUGGAGUACCUUAAACCACAUGUUCCAAGGACAAAAGAGUAAUGAGAAAAGGGAAUAUAAUCAAAAAGGAUAUAUAUAUAUAUAUAUAUAUAUAUAUUACUUGUAAAAGAAAUAUACAAUGUAUGAUUUCAAGUAAUACUUCCAAUCCCAGUUUAUAACACAUGCAAAAGAUGGGAUUUACAAGUCUAAAAUAAAAAACAAGUAAAAUAUAAAAAUAUCAAAUAUGAGGGGUGUCAUGUGAUGGCUCUGCUCUGAUCUCCUCCUCUGGUAUGGGCUGCUCAGCUGGUAAGCUCUCCUUAUCUGGCACUAGAGGCUCGGAUGGUGCAGACCUAUCAUGCCCAAAAGGUGUCUGCAUACUCAAAUGCUGCUGAAUCUGAUGAAGGAUCGUGGUAUGUUGGGCCUGAGUAGCAAUGAUCUGAUCCUGGUGUGCCCGAAUAGUGGUCAUCUGGUGGAUAAUAGAAUCCUGAGCAGUGCUCAGUGUCCGCAAUGAACGCUCUAAGCCUCUGAAUUCCGUAAGAGAAACGGUGACAGUGGGCUCAGAUGAAAGAGGAGGUGCUGGGGUAGCUGGCAUGACUGGUGGAGCACCCGAAGUGAUAGAAGAAAUAGGAUGUAUAGGCUCAGGAAUAUGCUCUGAGGGGUGUUCUGCAGGGGCAGGAGGUGUGGUCUCUAUGAGAAUCUCAUCCUGCUGGGCCUGAGGCAUCUGCUCAUCUUGGGGUAGCUCUGGAGGUGCAGGCACAGCUGGGGCUCCCUGGGGUGCAAAGUAGGCUACCAAGUGAUGCCAUUUGUCGAGAGAGAAGUCCUCUCGGCAAUGGCGGCGCCUCUCAAGACGGGGCUGUUCAGGAUAGCCCAGGUGCUCUAAAAUCUGGCAGAGGAGCCUCGAAAAUAGUAAUGGGAUGCCAUCUGCCUUUUGAAGCUUCUUCUGAUGGACUUUCUCUUCAAAAUGAAGAAGAGAAGUCAUAAUCAAAUGAUGAGGGCCGAAAAAAUAGCCCUCAGAAAUCCUAAAUAACGCCUCAAGUAUAGCUCCUCGCCUCUGAACUUUGUGCUGAAGGGGGAAAAGGUUGGCACGCAGGAGCACAUCAAUAAGGAGCAUCCCAGAUGGAAGCUCUCUCCUAGUCAACACUGAGGCUGUAGAAGUCCCCCUGGACAAAAUGCGGACCAUGUCACUCUGAGAGAAUGAGGACCACUCCCUGAAGUCUGCCUGAAUCACAGGCUCAUAAGGUAUACGGAGGGCCUCAACAAUGUGACGAGCUCCAAUGGCACCCUGGCGUCCAUCUAUGGUAAAUUGGAUGAGGGUAGGAUUACGGAGGCCUCGAGUAGUCAUAGAUUGAUAAAAAUCUAUAACUACUCUGGGAUAGUAGAAUUGCCUAGGAGUGAGAAGAUCCUCCAUGUGAUACCUCUGUAGUAGUCGGAAUGAAUCUCUGAGCUCUGGCUGCUGUCUGAGGGCCUCUAUAUCAAAGUAGGUCUCGGAAUGGAAGGAUCGAUCUCUGCAAUCCAAGUUGCCCUCUAUCGGUGGUCCGGCUAUCAUGGGACGCCUGAUAACAGUCUCAGGAGUAAUCCCCACAGGAAUCCGAGAGUCCUCUGUAGGUGGCUCUGACUGAGGUGCGUGGGAUGGUUCUCCAGGACCCGAGAACUUGGUUCUCUUCGCUGGUGGCCGAGAAACAGAGUUCGUGGCUUGAUCGGCUGGUGGCACAGGGUCCGUGGGUGGUCUCCUGGUGGGGUAUCGGCGCUGAGAAGGGGCUUCCCCCUCAGAUGGGGGAAUGGCCGGGGCCUGAACAGGUGGCGAAGCUGCGGCUCCCAUGGCGGCUCGAUGUGGUCGAGGUGUCGGUGAGGAUGGGGAGCCGGAAAGGCCUCCUCUGGUCUUCGCCAUGGCCGAAAUGGAGGUGGGUGACUGUUUGGGAUUCCAGAGGCUUCUCAGCUGGUUCGUGGGGGAGUCCUUUGAGCUUCUGGACUUCAAGGGAUUAUAUAGGAAUGAGGUUUAGGGGGUUUUUUAUGUUUUAAAAUUUUCCAAGGCAACCGAAAAGUCGUUUUUGGACGUUAGGCACAAUUUCGGGGGUAAAAUUUUAAUUUAAAAGUCCGUUGAAAAUUUUUUUGGAACUUAAAAUUUUACCGUGCGAAAUUUUCGCACCUUGGUCUGCAAAUUUCGCACCUUGAAAUUAGGUGUGCGAAAAUGGCACCCCUUUAACUGAGGAUUUCGCACCUUAAAAUGAGGUGUGCGAAAUUUUCGCACCUUGAAAUCAGGUGUGCGAAAUUUUCGCACCUUGUUUCGCACGGUGCGAAAAGUGGCUUGAGGUGUGCGAAAAUGGCACUCGUGUGCCAGGAGGGGAUUUCGCACAGUGAGAAAAUUUUCGCACCUUGCACAGUGGUGUGCGAAAUUGGUUUUUAGGGAAUUCGCACCUUGAAAUCAUUUUUCGCACCUUGAAAUAAAUUUCGCACCUUGGUUUUGGGGUGUGCGAAAAUGGCUCCCUUUGGACCGAGGAUUUCGCACCUUGGUUUUGGGGUUUGCGAAAUUUUUGCACCUUGGAAUCAGGUGUGCGAAAUUUUCACACCUUGAAAUCAGGUGCUCUGUUUCCUUGGUUUUACUCCCCUUUCUUGCUUUUGAAGAGUUCUCCCCAUCUUUCAUGAUUUUUUUCUGAAAUUUAUCAUCAAAAUUGACUUGAAUUAAGACAAAAUAAACUAAGAUUGAGGAAAAAUUAUAAUAAAAAGAAAUAAAAAUAAUGAUAUAACUAUAAAAUUAUAAAAAAAUUCAUGGACUUAUUUAGCCCAUGAUACCCUGCUUUCCCUCAGAGUUGUGGUGGUUCAAGGAGGUUGAUCUCCUCCUUGUCUGUACUGUAAGGCUCUAUGAAUGGCUUGAGACGAUGGCCAUUAACUUUGAAGGUUUGAUUGCCUGUGGGAUUGAAUACUUCCACCACUCCAUUGGGGUGUACUUCAUGAAUUAUGAAAGGACCCGUCCACCUGGAUUUCAAUUUUCCUGGAAAGAGAUGAAGUUUAGAGUCAUAAAGCAAAACUUUUUGUCCUUUGGUAAAAUUUUUCUGAUUUACCAACUGAUCAUGCCAUUUUUUCAAUCUUGCUUUUGCAAUUUUUGAAUUGAGGUAUGCAUCAUUCCUCAUUUCCUCUAAUUCAUUCAAAUCCAAACAUCUCUUUAACCCGGCUUUUGUCAAAUCCAUGUUAAGCUUUUUGAUUGCCCACCAUGCUUUAUACUCAAUCUCUACUGGAAGAUGACACGCUUUGCCAUAAACAAGGCGAUAGGGAGACAUUCCUAGAAUGGUCUUGUAAGCGGUCCUAUAAGCCCAUAAGGAAUCCAGGAGCUUGAUAGACCAAUCCUUCCUAUUCACAUUGACCACCUUCAUCAAUAUAUUCUUGAUCUCUCGGUUGGCUAACUCAACUUGGCCACUUGUUUGGGGGUGAUAAGGUGUAGCUACCUUGUGCUUAACCUCAUACUUGGCUAGAAGAGUCUCAAAAGGUUUAUUGCAAAAGUGGGUUCCCCCGUCACUUAUAAUGGCUUUUGGCACUCCAAAUCUUGCAAAGAUGUGGUCCUUGAGGAAUUUAAGUACCACUUUAUGAUCAUUGCUCCUACAUGGGAUUGCUUCUACCCACUUAGAGACAUAAUCCACUCCUACCAAGAUGUAGGAAUGUCCAAAUGACAUUGGAAAUGGUCCCAUGAAGUUUAUACCCCAGACAUCAAAGAUAUCCACUAUUAAGAUGGGGUUCAAGGGCAUCAUAUUUCGGCGUGUUAGCUUACCAAGCCUUUGACACCGAUCACAUCCCUUGCACAUAGAAUGGGCAUCCUUGAAAAGAGAGGGCCACCAGAAGCCUGAUUGGAUCACUUUCAUAGCUGUUUUCUGGGAGGCAAAAUGACAUCCACAUGCACUAUCAUGGCAAUGGGAGAGAAUUCCCGAUUGCUCUUGCUCAGGAACACAUUUCCUUAUAAUUUGAUCUGCACAAUAUUUGAAAAGGAAAGGUUCCUCCCAAUAAUAGGCAUGGAUCUUAGCCAAGAAAUGCCUCUUGUCUUGAGCACUCCACUCACUUGGUACUUCUCCAGUAACCAAAAAGUUUGCAAUGUGAGAAUACCAUGGAGCUACAUCUACUGACAUGAGAGACUCCUCAGGGAAGUCAUCAUUGAUAGGCAGACCAUGUGAGUCAUGUGCUAUCACAAGUCUGGACAAGUGGUCAGCUACCACAUUUUCUACCCCCUUUUUAUCCCUGAUUUGGAGAUUGAAUUCUUGGAGCAAAAGAAUCCAUCUUAUCAAUCUUGCCUUGGCAUCCUGCUUGGUUAGCAAGUACUUCAAAGCAGAAUGGUCAGUGAACACCACUAUAGAGGACCCUACCAAAUAAGCACGAAACUUAUCCAAGGCAAAAACUACUGCCAACAGCUCCUUCUCAGUAGUUGUGUAGUUCUUUUGAGCCUCAUUCAAAGUUUUGCUUGCAUAAUAGAUCACAUAGGGCUUUCCAUUCUCUCUUUGCCCCAAAACAGCCCCCAUAGCAAGAUCACUUGAAUCACACAUUACCUCAAAAGGUAAUUUCCAAUUUGGGGCUCUCACUAUUGGUGCAGUUGUGAGGAAUUGUUUCAAUUCCUCAAAACUUCUCUGACACUUCUCAUCCCACACAAAUUUGGCAUCCUUUACCAAAAGGUCACACAGAGGUUUUGAGAUUUUUGAGAAAUCCUUAAUGAACCUCCUAUAGAACCCGGCAUGUCCAAGGAAUUGCCUAAUUCCUUUAACAUUUGUGGGAGGUGGCAACUUAACAAUCAGCUCCACCUUUGCCUUAUCUACCUCAAUGCCAUUUUUGGAGAUGAUAUGUCCUAAGACAAUUUCUUUUUGUACCAUAAAAUGACACUUCUCCCAAUUUAGCACUAGGUCUUUCUCAAUACAUCUAUGGAGAACAGCUUCUAAAUGCAUCAAACACUCCUCAUAAGAACUUCCAUAUACAGUGAUGUCAUCCAUGAAAACUUCCAUGAUGCGUUCCACCAUAUCACUGAAGAUGCUUAGCAUGCAUAUUUGGAAAGUUGCAGGAGCAUUACAUAGACCAAAGGGCAUUCUCCUAUAUGCAAAAGUACCAAAGGGACAAGUGAAGGUCGUCUUUUCUUGAUCUUCCAAAUCAAUUUCUAUUUGGAAGUACCCUGAAUAACCAUCUAGAAAACAAUAGAAAGGAUGUCCUGAGAUUCUCUCAAGGACUUGGUCCAUGAAAGGCAAUGGAAAAUGGUCCUUCCUAGUCACUGAAUUCAACCUCCUAUAGUCUAUAGACACCCUCCAUCCUGAGGUAGGACGUGUAGAGACUUCUUCCCCUUUCUCAUUCUGGAUCACAGUAAUUCCAGAUUUCUUUGGGACUACUUGGGUGGGACUCACCCACAAGCUGUCUGAAAUGGGAUAUAUGAUCCCAGCUUGAAGUAGCUUCAAAACUUCAUUCCUCACCACUUCUUGCAUGUGAGGAUUCAGUCUCCUUUGGGGUUGCCUCACUGGUUUUGCAUCUUCCUCCAUAUAAAUAUGGUGGGUGCACACCAAAGGGCUAAUCCCUUUCAGAUCAGAAAUUUGCCAUCCAAUGGCUUUCUUACAUUUUCUGAGGACUCCUAAAAGACUAUCCUCUUGAUCACUAGUGAGGGUUGAGGAAACUACCACUGGACAUUUCUCAUCAUCCUCCAAGUAUGCAUACUUCAAAUCCACAGGAAGUGGCUUUAAAAUAAGCUUUGGAGGGUCCUCCACAGUAACUCCUUGUGAGUCUUCCUGGUUGAACAGUGGUAAGAUCUCUUCCCGUCUCCUCCAAGGAGACAUUAUGGCUAGCACAUCAAAGGGUUCAGGGAACCCAUCUUCAAGGACUUCCAGGUUUUCAUUCAAGCUCUCCUCUAAACUCUUGUCACAGUGCUCUUCAACCAAAGUGUUGAUCAAGCACAUCUCCUCGAAUCCUUCCUCCUCUUCAGGGUAAAGAUGCCUCUUACAUAAAUGGAAUAUGUUUAAUUCCAAUGUCAUGUUUCCAAAUGUGAGCUGCAUCACCCCAUUCCUACAAUUAACAAUAGCAUUGGAGGUAGCUAGGAAAGGUCUCCCUAGGAUGAUUGGUACAUAAUUUUCUUCCUUGACAGUGGAAUCAGUAUCAAGCACCACAAAAUCCACAGGAUAGUAGAAUUUGUCCACUUGAACUAGAACAUCCUCUAUCACUCCCCUUGGGAUUUUGACAGACCUAUCAGCUAAAGAGAGGGUCAUGGUUGUGGGCUUUAAUCCUCCUAGUCCCAAUUGUUUAUACACAGAGUAUGGGAGCAAAUUCACACUUGCUCCCAAAUCUAAUAAAGCUUUUUCCACAUGUGUCCCUCCAAUGUUGACUGAUAUGGUGGGACAUCCCGGAUCUUUAUACUUAACUGGGGACUUACUCUAGAUGAUAGCACUCACUUGCUCAGUGAGGAAUGCAUUCUUUGUCACCUGUAAACCUCUCUUGACUGUGCACAAGUCCUUUAGAAACUUUGCAUAUGUGGGGACUUGCUUGAUCAUAUCAAGUAAAGGUAUAUUCACCUUCACUUGUCUCAGAACUUCAAGAAUUUCUGAUGAAUUCUUGAUUUCUUUCUUUCCAUGUAAAGCUUGAGGAAAAGGGGGAGGCAUAUGUUUCUUCAUCAUAUCCUCCUUAAUCACUAUCCUUGGUUCUUCUUCAAUGCUUGAUUUGGAUGCACUUUUCUUCCCACUCUGCUCUUCUUGGUUAUUGCCCUCUUUGAUCAAGGGUCUCUUUGAUCUGAGUUCUUCAUUAGGCCCCACGUUAGGCAAGGGUUGAUCAACCUCCUUCCCACUUCUCAAAGUGAUCACAGCUUUGACCUCUCUCAAAUUUGAAGACUCACCAUCUUGGGUUUCAAUUUCAUGAACACCCUUGGGAUUUUGGCUUGGUUGAGAGGGGAACUUUCCCUUCUCAAUCACUGUGUUUAGGUUGGUAAGCCUAGAGAUGGAGUACUGAAUAUUAUCUAUCUUCUGAGAUAGAUCAUUUUGCAUCCCCUCCAUUCUCUUUAUUUGAGAACUCUCAACAUUUUCAAUCUUUUGAUGCAAUUGGGAGUUAAUUGUCUUUUGUUUACCCACAAAGUCACCCAUGACUUUACUCAGGUUUACAAUGGCUUGCUCCACUGAAGAUGGUUGUUGAGGUACUUGGGUUUGGCCUUGUGGUUGGUAUGGAGGUGGCCUUGGUUUCCAAGAAAAAUUUGGGUGGUUUCUCCAGCUUGAAUUAUAGGUGUUUCCAUAAGAUGCACUGUUGUUGGGCCUAAAUUGCCCCACAACAUUUACUUGAUCACCUAACAUCUCUCUCACAGCUGGCAUGGUUGGACACUCAUCUACNNNNNNNNNNNNNNNNNNNNNNNNNNNNNNNNNNNNNNNNNNNNNNNNNNNNNNNNNNNNNNNNNNNNNNNNNNNNNNNNNNNNNNNNNNNNNNNNNNNNCAAAGUGAAAAGAUAGCUGAGUCUCAUCAAGUCUAUGAAGCUCUCCCUCUCUAAAGGUAUUACACACCUCCUCAAACUCCUUGAUGUGAGAAUAUGGAUUCUCACUCUCCAUUCCAUGGAAAGUUGGUAGGAGGGGCACAAUAUGGGGCCUUAUAACCAACUGCUCAAGUGGGGGCAGGAUGCAUGAGGGUGCACUCAUCCUUGGGGGAUGCAUUCUAUCCCUCAUGGAUAGGUAUGCAUUGGGAUUACCCCCUUGACCUUGUUGAGAAUUCUGAUCCUCUGGUGGAGGGUCCAUGAUAUUUACACAGAUAUCCAACUCUGUGUCUUGAGGAUUCUCAAUCCUUACUAAUCUUCCCUCUUGGUCCCUAAUCCAAUAGGGCAUGCACAAAUUCCUGUAAUAGUAAAAACAAAAGGAAACUAAAGAAAAGGAUAAAGUUAGGAAGAAAAUGAAAAUAAAAUUAACAAAAGGAAAAUGAAAGAAAAUGAAAUUAGUGAAAAAGAAAUUCACCCUGGUUGUGAUGAAAAUCACAAGUAGCCUCUAAAAGGUUGUAUCACUGUAUUGUGGCACCAUCCCCGGCAACGACGCCAUUUGAUUCGAUGCCCAGCCGGGUCUUUUAAUCAAAAACAUUUAUAAAACCUAUGACCUUAUACUGGCGUAGCAAAGCUACUAUAGUAUAGCAGUUCUAGGGUCGAACUCAGGGAUGAGUUUUCACUCUAUCAGUGACAGACUCUAAAUUAGAAAUUGAUUCUGAUGAUUUCCUUUAGCACAAACUUGAAAUUUAAAAGAAAAUAAAAUUGUUUUGAAAGUGGUGAUUUAAACUAAACUCACAUAGAACUAAGUAAAAAGUGGAAGAAAGAAAGUCUCCUGGAGUUAAAGGUUGCUAGGUUCAAGUUCCAGAUGCAAAGUGGAAAAUUCCGGAUUUUUCUCCUCGCAUUGGGGAUUUAACCUAUAGUUAUUUCCCGAACCGGUAUAGGUUUGACAAUGAAGUUUUAAUCCAUAAAAAGUCACUAGAGAUGGUAGUCAAGGUCCAUUAAUGGCUUAAGACACUAUGGGCUAUCACCUUGAAUCACUUUCCAAUGGCUCGUACAUGAUAACUAAUGGACUGAUAUNNNNNNNNNNNNNNNNNNNNNNNNNNNNNNNNNNNNNNNNNNNNNNNNNNNNNNNNNNNNNNNNNNNNNNNNNNNNNNNNNNNNNNNNNNNNNNNNNNNNAUCUUUCUCAUUUCAGCUCCAAAUCGUACAUGGUUUGAACCGUUGGAUUCUUGACUUUCUGAGCUUUGAAAUGGUAUAUAGAAUGUAAAAAAUGGACUUCGGGAAUUGCUCCAAAAGUGCAAUGAAAGACUGCAGCUGUGUCCCCUGUUUUCAUCCCCUGUUUUCCUCUUCUCCAUUGUUUCUUCCUUGUAUACUUUGAACGACUAAGGCAAAGGAUUAUGAGGCUCCAUAGCUUGAUUUCUUCAUAAAUUUAAGCUUUCAAAAGCUUUGCCAUGAACUAUAAAUAGCUCUCCCUCAUUCUUAAAUUGCUUUGGUGAGCAUAAAGCUAUCAAAAAGCACCAAAACUUAACAUAAUUGUUAGAAACGAUUGCAAGGGUCCCUAACAUGUUAAUUGGGUUAAAAGGUAAUAAUUACUACUCAAGGGUGUUUAAAAGAGCUAAUUACAAGCUACAAAAUAGCAUGUUUUGAGUAGUAAUCAGCUAUCAAGUAGUCAUGAUCUCGCCAAGUUGCUUCACUGUGUUGUCUCUCAACCUUGAGAGAAUAUUAAGCUUGUGCUAAAGUUAGUGGUGGUUUUGACCUAUGGGUGAGAUCGUAAGCUGAUCAUAUAUUCCCUAUUGAUUAGGUCAUUAUUGAUGAAAGUUGGUAGCAAUAGGUAUUUCCAAUAGAGGUACUAUGAUAUCUCUUGGAAACUAUGGGCAUAGUAGUUCCUUAAGUGGAGCUUAACGUAAGCUCUUUGAGAGUUAAAACAUGUCAGUUGAAUACACAAUAGGAGAAUCUGUAACUUAAGGAUGGUAGAGGUAGUCUUGAAAGGAUGAUAGCUUUCACCUUGUUAGACUAUGGACACCAAUUCAUGAGGAAACUAAACAUUAUAGAUGGCAGGUCAUAGACCUGAGCACGUAAUGUUUCAUUGUUAACAUAGGAUACUAGAGUUUAGUUGAUUCUUUAUAGUGGGAUGUUAAAUCAACUUCAGAAUUAGAUUAUGAGGAAGCUAGUAUUCUAUGAGCCCUAAUGGUUCCCGCUUUGAGCUCAUAUACCUUUUUGGCAUGGAUCAUGAGGGUCGGACUAGCUCUAAGUUCACUUUUGUGCAUAAGGGCACUUUGGUAAUUAUAUAGGUUGCACAAGGGUAAGUGAACAAGGUCUCUAGAUUGGGCUAAUUGAUUAAUUAGUAGGUCUUGUUGGGUUAAUUAAUCAAUUAGGACUUAUUUGGGCUAGAUUAAGUAACCCAAGCCCAUGUGGGCUCAAGUCACUUAAGCCCACUUAGGAACCAUAUAAAUACCCUUUAGGGGUUAGGGUUUCUAUAGUUUUUGUCUUCCACCAUCCAGAAAGAUAGAGAGUCAUAGCCUUCACCAUUUUUUCCUUCCCAUCGGAAGUGUGUCAAGAUCAAGGUUCGAGUCAUCGGGUGGAAAACUUCAGGUUUAUGAGACUUUUGGUAUUUCUUUCUUCAUCUUCACUACAUGGAUUUGAUUUGGGAACAUCCGAAUCUGAGGUAUGGUUUUCUUAGCAUUUUUUUAAUCCCUUAGAAUUUUAAAAAUAAAAAUUUUCUGUUGUAUAUAUCCUUUAGAAAAGGCUUAGGAUAGUUAUGCAUGUUCCUAACUUGAUCUGGGCUUGGGAAACAGAGAGAUUCGGGCUUUUCCCAUCAGCUAUGGCUUUCUAUCUUUCUAGAUGGUGGAAGACAAAAGCUAAUGAAACCCUAACCCUUGGGGUAUUUAUAAGGUUCCUAAGUCAGCUUAAGUGACUUGAACCUACAUGGGCUUGAGUCACUUAAUCUAGCCCAAAAUGGGUCUUAAUCGAUUAAUUAACCCAAUGAGGUCUACUAAUUAAUCAAUUAGCCAAAUCCAGAGACCUUGUUCAGUUAUCCCUAUGUAAUCUUGCGUAAUUACAAAAAUGCCCUUAUCACAAAAGUGAACUUAAAGUGGAUCCGAUCCUCAUAAUCCAUGCCAACAAAAUAUAUGAGCUCAAAGCGAGGACCACUAGGACCCAUAGGAAUACCGGCUCACUCAGAAUACAAUUAUAAAGUUAAUUCAACAUCCCAUUGUAGAAAAUUAAUUGAGCUCCAAUAUCCUAUGUAAAUAAAAAUGAGACAACAAGUCCUCGGGUUUGUGACUUGCCAUCCAUUAUGUUCAGUCUCCUUAUGAACUAGUGUUCGUAGUCUAUCAAGGUGAAAGCUAUCAACCUUUCAAGACUACCACUAUCAUCCUUGAGUUAAAAACCUCCUAUUGUGUGUUCAAUUAACAUAUCUUAGCUCUCAAAGAGCCUAUGUCAAGUUCCACUUAAGGAACUACUAUGCUAUAGUUUCCAUGAAUACACCUCCUUAGGAUCACCCAAGGGGACACACUAUCUCAAUCCCAAGAGAUAUCAUGGUCCCUCUAUUGAGAAUAUCUAUUGCUACCGACUUCCAUCAAUAGUGAUCCAAUCCAUAGGGAAUAUAUAAUCAGCUUAUGAUCUCACACGUAGGUCAAAGCCACUGCUAACUUCAAUACAAGCUCAAUAUUCUCUCAUGGCUGAGAAACAACAUAAUGAGGUAGCUUGGUGAAGUCAUAAAUACUUGAUAGCCUUAAGUCAUAACUCGCCAUAGGUCUUAUCUAAUGUGCAACCAUACACACUAGUGCACUGACCAUGAGAAACCCAUCCCAAUAGCGAAGACCAACCAUCCCUCUAAUUAGGAAGUGGUGCACUAUAACCUCUAAUGGGUUGCAUAGACUGAUGAAUUGGUUGUGAACAAGUCAUCUAUUUGUAAGGAACACAUGACUUAGAUAUUUUGUGAAACUCCUAAUGCAUCUAAGUCAGUUACAAUGCAAAAGAAGCAGACAAGAAUGCUCAUAAAGUAUAAUACAUGAAAUAAGGAUAGAUAAAAGUGAAAUUAAAAUAUCUUUAAAUAAAUAAUGAAUUCCAAAUUCAUUACAUCAUGUCAUACUUGUAAGGGCUCUAUCCUAACAGUUGUCUCUCAACCUUGAGAGAAUAUUGAGCUUGUGUUGAAGUUAGCAGUGACUUUGACCUACAAGUGAGAUCGUAAGUUGAUCAUAUAUUCCCUAUGGAUUGGGUCAUUGUUGAUGGAAGCCAAUAGUAAUAGGUAUUUUCAAUAGAGACACCAUGAUACCUCUUGGGAUUGAGAUAGUGUUUUCCUUUGGGUGAUCAUAAGAAGGUGUGUUCAUGGAAACUAUGAUCAUUGAAGUUUCUUAAGUGAAACUUGAAAGACUGAUAGGUUUCACCUUGUUAGACUAUGAACACUAGUUCAUAGGGAGACUGAACACAAUGGAUAGUAGGUCAUGGACCCGAGCACUUGGUGUCUUGUUGUUAUUUACAUAGGAUACUGAAGUUCAAUCGAUUCUCUGUAGUAGGAUGUUGAAUCAAAUUUAGAAUUGGAUUGUGAAGGAGCUCAUAUUCCUAUGGGUACCAAUGGUCCUUGCUUUGAGCUCACAUACCUUAUUGUCAUGGGUUAUAAGGAUGGGAUUAGCUCUAGGUUCACUUUUGUGAGUAAGGGUGUUUUGGUAAUUAUGUAAGGUUGCACAAGGAUAAUUGAAGAAGGUCUUUAGAUUGGGUUAGUUGAUUAAUUAGUAAGCCUUGUUAGGUUAAUUAAUCAAUUAAGACCCCAUUUUGGGCUAGAUUGAGUGACCCAAGCCCUCAGUGGGCUCAAGUCACUUAAUCCUAGUAGGAAACACUAUAAAUACUCCCUUAAGGGUUAGGGUUCCCGUAGUUUUUUCUAGAGAGCCGUUUUCCAUUUCUAGAAAAAGAGAAAGAGAGAGAGAGAGUCAUAGCUUCCACCCUUCCUUUCAUCUCCAUUGGAAGUGUGUCAAGAUCAAGGUUCGAGUCAUUGGGCAGAAGACUUUGGGUUUACAAGACUUAUACGAUUUUGUUCUUCAUCUUCACCAUGUGGAUUUGAUUCGGGAACAUCUGAAUCUAAGAUAUGGUUUUUGUUAUUACUUUCUGAAUCCCUUUAAAGUUUAAAAAUGUUAUUUUUCCAUUGAGCAUAGGAUUUAGAAAAAGCCUAAGAUAGUCAUGCAUGUUCCUAACCUAAUCUAGGCUUGGGAAAUGGAGAGAUUCAUGUUUUUCCAAUCACACAUAGCAUCACAUACUUAAGACUAUCCAUUUUAGAGUCAUAGGAUACCGCUUUAAUGUGAUUUUUUUCCUAUGAUGUCCAAGGACAUUGAUCUUGAGAAAGAUAGCCCUAAACCCAAAGGGUAACAAACCCUUCUUGGAGUUUUACAUUAUGUCCUUAACCAAAUACUCAUCAAUGUAGGUGACAUGACAUAAGUUUCCUAUUCUUAUAGUCCUAAAGGACCUUAACCCAAGAAUAUAUUAUGUCUUUCUCUAGAUUUUCAUCUAGAAUUGAGUAGGCUAGUAGGUCUUUACUAAUGACAAUAUCCCUACAUCAUAUCCAAUGAGUAGAGUGUCAUCUACUUGUGCUCUAACCAUGCAUCCCUACACCUUAUUGUACACAUAAGGCCCUUUGCUAUGAAAAUAUUUGGUUGUUAUAUCUUAUAAACGAGACACACUACAAUAGAUAGGAGUAACGUAAUGGAUUUAAAUAUGUGUUGAAAAGGUUUUCCAUAGUUGAAACAAAGUUUCAAACUAUAACCUUUAGCGACAGUCUUAGCCACAUAAAACUCAAGUUUUCCAUUUACUCCUAUGUUCCUCUUGUAGACCAACUUACACCUAUAGGUUUUAUCCCUUUAGAUGCUUUUAUAGGAACUCAAACUAUAUUAGAAUAUAAAGAUUCUAACUACCUCUUCAUAGCUCCUUGCCUUAAUGUGAGCAAAACACUGUUCAUUGCUUCAUCAUAAUCUAUGAGAUAUAAAACUCCCACUAUGAUGAGGCAGUAGUAUACUAGAAAUCAUAGGAAAUGUAUGCCUUUAAUCCUUUGGCUCUGUAUUAUCCUAUAUAAUGUGGGACUAUCUUCUAAUAUAUCCUCCAAUCUGUCUCACUUUUUACCUUAUUCUUUAUCAUAUAAUCUUCAUAAAAAAUCUUAUAUUUGUGUUAACAAAUAUCUUCUAAUGAUCUUAACUAUAAAUGUAACAACCAAAAAAUCUUCUUAUAUAUCCUAUAAAUUGAUAUACCCCUUUAGAAAAAAAAAAUUAUACAGUCUAUAAGAAAUAUCUUGAAAAAAAUCUGGGAAAAUAUGAGAAACCUAAUCCACGAUCUCACUAUUUCCAUCAAAGUUUGAUAUCUUCCUUUCACCUCUCUAUUUUAUAAUAGAGACACUAGUGUAUGUUGUUGGGAACAUUGGAUUACUCUGUUCCCAUGCCUAGGAUCAUGUAGGGUGCAUUCAAAUAUAUCAUAGGCUCUCUAAAUCUAUUGCGAUGAAUAAACAAGUAUUAAAAAAAAUAAGGAUACCAUAGAAAAUAUAGAAAUAUAUAAUAAAACAACAUACCUUUGAUCCGGAUGUUCCUGAAUCAAUUCUAAUCGAUGUAGAUAACUCCAAAGUCAUAAUGAAUCUCAUAAACACCAUGAUUUUCUACUCAAUGACUCUUCCUUGUGUCUAGGCACUGAGAUGGUGGAUAUCUCAAGUGUGGAGGUUAGGGUUCUCUCUCUAAAUUGAAGAGGAGAAUAACAAGAAUUAGAAACCCUAACCCCAAAAGGGGUAUUUAUAGGCUUCAUAUUAGGCUGAAGUGACUUAAGCCCACCAUGGGCUUGGGUCACUUAAUCUAGCACAAAAAGGUUACUAAUUGAUUAAUUAACCAUACAAGACCAGAUUAAUCAAUUAGCCCAAUUAAAGGAUAGCACUCACUUAUCCCUGUGCAACCUUAUAUAAUUACCAAAACACCUUUAUGCACAAAAGUGAAUAAAAAACCCAUCCAACCCUUAUAAGUCAUGCCAACAAGGAAUAUGAGCUUAGAGUGGGGACCAUUGAGACCCAUAAGAGCACUAGCUUUCUCAAAAUCAAAUUCUGAAAUUGACUCAACAUCCCACUACAAAGAGUCAACUGCAUUCCAAUACACUAUGUAUAUUACAAUGAGACACCAAGUGCUCAGGUCCAUGACUUACUAUCCACUGCACGUAGACUCCCUAUGAACUAGUGUCCAUAAUCUAACAAGGUAGUGCUAUUACCUAUCAAGAUUACCUCUCAAAUCCUUGAGUUACACAUCCCACUUGUUAUUGGAUCAACUAAUAUAUCCUAACUCCAAGAAGCAUAUGUUAAAUUCCACUAAAGAAAUUACUAUGGCCACAGAUUUCAUGAUCACAUGUCCUUUAGAUCACCCAAGAGGACACACUGUCUCAAUCCCAUGAAAUAUCAUGGUGCCUCUAUUGAGAAUACCUAUUGCUAACAAUCUUCGUCAACAAUGACCCAAUCCAUAGGGAUAUAUGACCACUUUAAGGUCUCACCCAUAGGUUAAAUCCUCCAGUUGAUUUUGGCACAGACUCAAUAUCCUCUAAAGGUUGAGAGUCCAUGCAAUAUAGUAGCUUGGUGAAUCAUGAAAAUUGAUAGUCUUGUGUUAUAAUUCAUCGUAGGUCCUACCUAGUGUGCAUCACAUACACUAGUACACUCAUCAUGGAAAACUCAUCCUGACAACCAAGGCAAUUUAUCUUUCUAAUUAAGAGGUGGUAAACUAUAGUCUCUACUAGAUUGCUCAAAUCUAUGAACCAAUUGUGGACAAUUUAUCUACUUAAAAGAAACCCAUGGCUUGUAUCUUCUGUGCAACUCUUAAUACACCUAAGUCAUGUACAAUGUAAGAGACAUGGGUUGAAUGCUCAAAUCAAUGUCAAUACACCAAAGAGAUAACAUGGGGAUAGUUAAGUCUAACUUUGUUAAAUCAUGUCUUGAUUUUAGGGGCUCAAUCCCAACUAACUUCCACUAGCCCCGAAAGCAGAUUGGGUACUAUAGAAAGAUUCUGCUUCACAAUCAUAUCACUUCUCUGUACUAUCUCACAAUAAGGCUACACUUCUUCUUUGUGAGGUUCUUUUUCUAGUGGUAUUUCAGUUCUUUAGACCAUGCAAUUGUCUCACUGUUAUCACUUAAUAAGAUCUUAGACGAUAUAGCCAAGGAAACUACCUAUAAGCCAAAAGGUUUCCUUUGUUGCUAUAGAAACAACAAAAAACCAUUUAGAGUGUACACAUACCCAGAAGUAGACUUGUGAGAGUCUUUGUCAAACUGAAGUCCAAUUUUCUGGUACAAAAGGAGUACUAACUCAUUACAAAGACUUACAAACAUAUAAUCCCUCAUUCUCAAAGACAUUAGAGUAUAUGUUUGACAUCGAACCAAAGUUCUAAGCAGGAAAUGGACUAAUAUCCACUUAUUAUUCCUAUAACAAAGCUAAUAUUUGGUUUAGCACAUAAUAUUGCAUACUUAAGGCCAUCUAUAGCAGAGGCCUUAGAUACUGCCUUGAUGCGAUCUCUUUUCAUAAAUGUUUAAGGACGUUGAUCCUAAGAAAAAAAACUCCAAAUCCAAAGAGUAACAAACCCUUCUGGGAGUUUUACAUCAUGUAGUUGACCAAAUGCUCAUCUAUGUAGAUGACAUUACACAAUUUUCCUAUUCUUAUAGUUCUAAAGGACCUUAACCCCAAGAAUAUAUUGUGUCUUCCUCUAGAUUUCAUCUAGAACUAAGUAGACUACCAGAUCUUGACUGAUGACAAUAUCCCUACAUCCUAUCCAAUGAGUAGAUUGUCAUCUACCUGCAAGAUCUUAGAGCAUCACCACGCUUCCCUUUGGCUUCUUGUACACACAAGGCCCUUUGCUAUGAAAAUGUUUGGUUGUUAUAUCUCAUAAAUGAGACACACUACAAUAGAUAGGAGUAAUAUGAUGGAUUUGAGUAUGACCACUAUUGAAAAGGUUUUCUUUCGUUGAAACAAAGUUUCAAACUAUAAUCUUUAGCUACAGUCUCAGCAACAUAAACCUCAAGCUUUCCAUCUACUCCUAUGUUCAUAGGUCUUAUCACUUUAGGUGCUUCUAUAGGAACCUAAACUAUGUUAGAAUAUAAAGAUUCUAACUACCUCUUCAUAGCUCCUUGCCUUGAGUGAGCAUAAACAUUGCUUAUUACUUUAUCACAAUCUAUGGGAUAUGAACCUCCCACUAUGAUGAGGCACUAGUGUACUAGAAAUCAUAGGAAUGGUAUGUCUUUAACCCUCUGGAUCCAUAGUAUCCUAUUCAAUAUGAGACAAUCUUCUAAUAUAUCCUUCAAUUUGUAUCACUCUUUGCCAUAUUCCUCAUCAUAUAGUCUCAUAAAAAAAAUCUAACAUUUAUGUCAACAAAUAUAUUUUGAUGAUCCUAACUAUAAAGGUAAUAACCCAAAAAUCCUCUUAGAUAUCCUAUAAACGGAUAUAUCUUUUAGGAAAAAGAGGUAUUACAUAGUCUAUAAGACAUAUCCCUAAAAGAAUCCAGGAAAAGAUGAGAAAUCUAUCCAUGAUCUCACUAUGUCCAACCAAAUUUGAUAUUUCCACCUUUUUGUUUUGCAACGGAGACCCUGGUGCACAUGACUAGGAAAUAAUCUCAUGCUUCAAAGGAAAGAAUCAAACUUACUAGACAUAUCACCUUGAUCUAAUCGAAGUGACUUGGUAUGUAUGUCCAAUAGGUUAUUCAAUCCCGCCUUAAAUUUAAUGAAUGUAUCCAAGGCAUCAAAUCUUCUAUGGACAUAUCCAAACCUAGAGUAAUCAUCACUAAAAGUGAUGAAAUACCCAUACCCUCCCCAUGCAUAGACACUAAAAGUUUCAUACAUGUUAGUAUGCACUAACUCCAAACAUUCCUUGGCUUUAAUCCUCUUAGUCAUUUUACCGUCUAUACAGGAUUCGUAAACUAAAAGAUCUUUUCAAAUUAAAGAGUCUAGACAUUACCAAUCUUUGGAUCCUAUUUAGAUUAAUAUGACCUAGGUCUAGAAACCAAAUAUUUAAUUAAUGCUAGGUUUAAUCCUGAGAUUUGACUAUUCUCAUCACUUGGCAAAGUAAUAAUGGAAUACAUAUAAAGGAAGAGGAUAUUACCUCCCACUAACAUGCAUAAAUAACCUUGCAUUUGAAGUUAAGGUAACUAUAAUCCCAUCAUUUAACCUUCUCAUUUGUUGAAUAUCCUAUAAGGACUUACAGACAGUGGACCUGGAAUCUAUCCACCAUAAAUGGUGAAAUCCACCACUAAAUAUUCAACAGUGAGAAAAUGAUGUAUACUUUCCGUUUUCUUUAGGUAAAUUGGCCAUUUCUUUUCUAAUGCCUAAAAGGUCACAAAGGAAUCACUUGCCCUUGACCUUGCUCUCUUAUUCCUUAUCUUGAACUUUCCUUAUUUGGUAUUGUUCUUCUUCUUCUUGAGAGAAGAACCCGAAGAACCUUUGACUACCAUAUGAACACCCUAUAAUCUUUGAGAGUUAGCCAUCUCAAAGGAAAAUGGUGAGGUCUCUAAGAUCAUAUGUAUACUUGGUGUUCAUAAUAGUCCUAAGAGUAGCUUUUCAAGGCUGAUCUACUCUUAUUACCAAAUAACCAUUGCAAGCUAGAAAGAGAAUAUCAAAGUCUCUAAUAAUAGAAAUGUGUUGCUAUUGCAACACAUUAUCCAAAGUUCCAAGUAUUAGACGCUUGGUCUUUUGAUCCAUCUAAUACCGCUUUGAUAUUCCACUCUUUCCUCUUGCUAGGUUAGUUCAUAAGGAAUAGCUAGCUCUACCUAAACUAGCUUCUGUGCAAUUACUUACUAUAUCUAGAAUACAAUUAGUCCAAUUGAUUAGUUAGGUUUGGCCUAUUAUGAGAAAAAGAGUGAUAAUAAAACCAACAUGAUAUCCAUAACAAAGAAUAUGACCAAGCAUAUGACAUAAUUGAGCAUUCAAGGCAUUUGGUAAUUAAUUUAGCAAAAAUGUAGUGUUCCCAAACUAUAUAUCCUUUUGCAAGGUAUCCUAGUAUUAUAAGAAUCAAGCCUAGGUGGGACAGGUCAUGACCUUAUUACUAGUAAGAGACCCUCUUAGAUUGAUCUCCCCACCUUAUCCAUAAAAGUAUCUUAAGGCAAGAUUAACAUACCUUUUAUUUAGCCCAUAGACUAUGAAAGUGGGACCACGUGGGGCAAUUCUAUCACUUCAUAUCCAAUGUCAAGUGUAUAACCAUUGUCCUUGAAUUAUCAAUGUCACCAAGUAAAGAACUCCACCUAGGGGUAGUCGCUCCCACUACAGACAUAUCUAGUCUCGUCCAUGCAGAGAGUCCAUAUCUCUUGAUUCUUAAGGCUAACCCACCGUAAGGGUGGUGAUGAACCCAAAUCAAGAUGGGCUCAACAAUGGAUGUCUUGGGCAUGCCUAAGGCCUUCUCCCACUUAAUGUUUUGAGAUAAAUAAGAGCAUUUUAAAACCAUUAGUAAUUUCCCUGAUGAAUAAAUUAUCUACUUUGAAAAUUUUCAAAAAUAUUUAUUUUCUAAUUGAAACCUAGUGUAAUAGGAGAAGACCAACAUGAAAAAUUUUAAAUUUCCAUGACAGUAAUUUUCAAAAAGAAUUUUUAUAAAAUAUCCACUUUCAAAAUUUUAAAAUCUAUUUUCAUUACAUUAUCCUUCUAUAUAUAAUUCCAAUUAAUAAAUAUUUUAUCUAGGAAAUGUUUCAAAUAAAUUUAUUUCCAUCAAAUUACUAAGCCUUUUGCUAAUAAUCUUGUAAUGAUAAAUUAUCUUUAAUGAAAAUUUUCAAAAUAUUUUUUUUCCAAAUUGGAAACUCUAGUGUAAUAAGAAAAUUACUAAUUCAUGAUAUUUUGAAUAAUCUUGAGAGCAACUUAUCCAAGAAAGGAACUUUUGCUUCUCAUAUUAAAAAAUCCUCAUAAGAUUUACUUUCCUUAUUCCUUACACUUUUCCAACUUAAUAAAUAUUUCCAUGAAAAUUUCAUAAUAAUUUAUGUCAUUAAAUACUACCAAAAGUAGGACCUUUUAAUAAUUUCUUAAUAGAUAAAAUAUUCUCCAUGAAAAACUCCUAAAAAUGCUUAUUUCUAAAAAGGAAUUAAACAAUCCAUUGUGGAAAGUAUUUUUAAAAUAUUUUGUAUCUUCAUUAAAUUACUAAAACUUUCCAAAGUUAUUUUGGUAACCCUUCUUAUCAUAAAAUCUUUAUCAUGAGAUUUUCAAAACCUUAAUUACUUCUAAACCAGGAUUCCUGUGCUAAAAGAAUUGCUUUCUUAUUCCUUAUCAUUGAAUUAUUCAAACAGAAUGGUUUCCUCCCUUUCUUUGAGGAAGAGAGCCUAGAGGACAAACUGUAGGUAUAGUUUAAAAAAUAGAUAGUUCUAAAGAAAUAACAAUCUUCUUAGCAACAACAAAUUUAAAAAGAUAAUCUUAGAAAAUAUAUUCUCAUGAAAAUUUACUAAGAAUACCAAAAAACUUUUCUUUAGGUUCUAAAACUUAUUUUGGUAACCACUCUUAAUUAUAAGUUAUUUAUCAUGAAUUUUCAAAAUUAACUUUUUUUCUUUCAAUUAGAAAUCCUAUGCAAAAUAGGAAAAAUACUAUUUUAUAAAGAUUUGGAAAAAUAAGAGCUUUUCCUUAAGAGAAAGAUUUUAUUCUUAGAGAUCUCAAAGAUUUGAGAAGAUUUUAAGUAAAGUUUAAAUCUCUAAGAAUUAAUUUUAAAAGGGAAGAAAGCUCUUAGUCCUUUGCCAACUUAUCUUUUUCUUUAAAAUAUAAUUUCCUAACUAUGCACAUUCCAAUUUAAAUAAGUUUUCCAAUUUUGAAAAAAACACGAAAAUUUAUUUUCAAUUAAGAAUACCAAAUCUUGAGGCCACAUAUACAAUCUAUCAAUAUAUAUAUAAGGGAAUAACUAAAUAGAAAAUUUCUCAUGGCUUUCAAGGAUCCAAUUGCAUAUUUGGUAAUUAAAAUUUGGAUAAAAUCCAAAUUACCAAAAAUAGUCCUACAACCAAAAAUAGGGUUAGUAAAAAUAGAAAACUCAAAUGGCCUAAUUGCCACAAAAAAUUGAGCCCAAGAAGAGGCCCAAAAUUCAGCCCAAACAACGAAAAGAAUCGGGCAUGUAUGCAAUCUCGUAACAGCAUGCUCUUUGAGCAGUAUUGCUUCAAUUGGUCAUAUCUUCCUCAUUUAAACUCCAAAUUAUUAUUCGGUUAAAGUAUUGGAUUCCUAACCUCCUAAGCUUCAAAACCAUAUGUGAUUUGCCUCAACAAAAUUAUUGGAAAUGGCUGUGAUUUUGACUCAAAUUUGACAUCACUGUGCUGCCAUGCACUUUGCACAACCUUGCUUCUUUUGACCAUAUCUCCCUCAUUUCAACUCCGAAUUGCAAUCUACUUGAUCCAUUGGAUUCAUGACUUCCCAAGCUUCAAAUCUAUAUAUGGAUUGCCUCAAGAAACUUUUAUGAGGUAGUCCCAAUUUUGAGUUCAAUUCAACAUCAUUGUGUUGCCAUGGAUCUCAAACCAAGAACUUCCAAGAUUGCUUCUUUCUUCUUUAACCACCAUAGAAUCACAAAAAGAACUUUCAAGAUUCCUUCUACAAUAGAAGGAUGUAAAAAAUUAAAAUUUUUACACUAAUAAAAAUUCCUAUGCUCCUUUAAUGGAGCUUAUAGCCCAUCUAUUGAAAAGAAAAUAUUUUUACAUUCAAAUAAAAAUCUUAUACCCCUUAUGUGGUGUACAACCCAAUCUAGAAAACAAAAGGUAAAGAAGAUAUCCAUUCAUAUUCAUUCAUUCAAAUGAAUCAAUAACAAUAAACCAAUCCAAAUAUAUUAAUACAUUAAAAUGAUUCUUCAUUCAUUCAUCCAUUAGGGUCAUGGAAUGAAUAAAACAACCCUGCAAACUAGAGUUAGCACAUCCUAAACAGAUCUAACAAGAUAGAAUCUACCCUAGGGCUCUGAUACCAAUUGUUGGAAACCCUAGGUUACUUCGUUCCCAUGCCUUGGAUCGUGUAGGGUGCAUACAAAUCUAUCAUAAACUCUUUAAAUCUAUCACAACGGAUAAAUAGGUAUUAAAAAAAAAUAAGAAUACCAUAGAAAACAUAGAAAUAGAAAAUAAAGCCACGUAGCUUUGAUCUAGAUGUUCCUAGAUCAAUUCUAAUCAAUGUAGUUAACUCCAAAGUCAUAAUGGAUCUCAUAAACACCAUGAUCUUCCACCCGAUGAUUUUUCCUUAUGUUUAGGCACUGAGAUAGUGGAGAUCUCAAGGAUGGACGCUAAUGUUCUCUUUCUAUACUAAAGGGGAGAAUAGUAAGACUUAGAAACCCUAACCCCAAAAUGGGUAUUUAUAGGUUACCUGUUAGGCUUAAGUGACUUAAGCCCAUCAUGGGCUUGGGUCACUUAAUCUAGCACAAAAAGGUUGCUAAUUAAUUAAUUAACCAUAUAAGGCCUAAUUAAUUAAUUAGCCUAGUCAAGAGAUAUUACUCAUCCAUGUGCAACCUUACGUAAUUACCAAAAUGCCCUUAUGCACAAAAGUGAACGAAAAACCCAUCCAACCCUCAUAAGCCAUGCCAACAAGGAAUAUGAGCUCAGAACGAGGACACUAGGACCCAUAAGAGUACUGGCCACUCAAAACUAAAUUAUGAAAUUGACUUAACAUCCCACUACAAAGAGUCAACUACACUCCAGUACCCUAUGUAUAUUACAAUGAGACACUAAGUGCUCAAGUCUGUGACCUACUAUCCACUGCAUGUAGACUUCCCAUGAAUUGGUGUUUGUAAUCUAACAAGGUAGUGUUAUCACCUAUCAAGAUUAUCUCCCAAAUCCUUGAGUUACAGAUCCCACUUACUAUAUGAUCAAAUGACAUAUCCUAGCUCUAAUAAGCAUAUGUCAAAUUUCACUAAAAGAAUUACUAUGGCCACAGAUUUCAUGAUCACAUGUUCUUUGGAUUACCCAAGGGGAUACACUAUCUCAAUCCCAUAAGGUAUCAUGGUGUCUCUAUUAAGAAUACCUGUUGCCACCAACCUUCAUCAACAGUGACCUAAUCCAUAGGGAUAUAUGACCAUUUUAGGUUCUCACCCAUAGGUUAAAGCCUCUAGUUGAUUUUGGCACAUGCUUAAUAUCCUCUCAAGGUUGAGAGUCUAUGCAGUAUAGUAGCUUGGUGAAUCAUGACAAUGGAUAACCUUGCAUCACGAUUCGUCAUAGGUCCUAUCUAGUGUGCAUUACAUACACUAUUACACUCACCAUAGGUAACCCAUCCCGAUGAUGAAGACAAGUUAUCCCUCCAAUUAAGAGGUGGUGCACUACUGUCUUUACUGGAUUGCCCAAAUCCAUGAACCAAAUAUAGACAACUUAUCUACUUACAAGGAACCCAUGACUUAUAUCUUCUGUGCAACUCCUAAUGCACCCAAGCUAUGUACCAUGCAAGAGAUAUAGAUUGAAUGCUCAAAUCAAUGUUAAUACACCAAAGAGAUAGCAAGGGGAUAGUUAAGUCUAACUUUGUUACAUCAUGUCUUGCUUUUAGGGGCUCAAUCCCAACAUACAUAACUGGGAAAUAAUUCCAUGCUCUAAUAGAAAGAAUCAAACUUAUUAGACAUAUCACCUUAAUCUAAUCGAAGUGACUUGGCAUGUAUACUCGAUAGGUUAUCCAAUCAUGCCUUAAAUUCAAUGAAUGUAUCCAAAACAUCAAAUUUCCUAUGUACAUAUCCAAACCUAGAGUAAUCAUCACUAAAAGUGAUGAAAUACCCAUACUCUUCCCAUGCAUGGACACUAAAAGUCUCAUACAUGUUAGUAUGCACUAACUCCAAACAUUCCUUGACUUUAUUCCUUUUAGUCAUUUUACCAUCUAUACAGAAUUUGUAAGCUGGAUGGUUUUUUGGAAUCAAAUAGUUCAAACUUUAUCAGUCUUUAGAUCUUAUUUAGAUUAUUAUGACCUAAGUUUAGAUACCAAAUGUUUAAUUAGUGCUAGGUUCAAUCCUGAGAUCUGACUAUCUUUCUCACUUGACAAAGUGAUAAUGGAAUACAUAUAAAAGAAGAGGAUAUUACCUCCCACUCACCUGCAUAACUAACCUUACAUUUGAAGCUAAGAUAAGUAUAAUCCCAUCACUUAACCUUCUCACUUGUUGAAUAUCCUAUAAGGACUUACAAACAGUGGGCCUAGAAUUUAUUCACCAUAAAUGGUGAAAUCUACCACAAAUGGUGAAAUUCACCACUAAAUAUUCUACAAUGAGAAAAUGAUGUAUACUUUCCUUUUUUCUUUAGGUAACUAAGCAUUCAUUUUCUAAUGUCCUAAAAGGUCAUAAUGGAAUCACUUGCUUCUGAGCUUGUUCUCUUAUUCCUUCCCUUAAACUUUCCUUAUUUGGUGUUGUUGUUCUUCUUCUUGAUAGAAGAACCUGAAGAACUUUUGACUUCCAUAUGAACACCUUAUAAUCUUUGAGAAUCCCCUUAGCCAUCUCGAAGAAAAAUGGCAAAGUCUCUAAGAUAAUAUGAAUACUGGUGUUUAUAACAGUCCUAAGAGUAGUUUUUCAAAGCUAACCUACCCUUAUCACCAAAUAACCAUUGCAAACUAGAAAGAGAAUAUCAAAGUCUCUAGUAAUAGACAUGUGUUGCUAUUGCAACACAUUAUCCAAAGAUCCAAGUAUUAGAAACUUGGUCAUCUGAUCCAUCUAAUACCACCUCGGCAUACCACUCUUUCUUUUUUCCAAGUUAGUUCAUAAGGAAUAGCCUGUUUUUCCUAAACUAUCUUCUAUGCCAUUAAUUACUAUAUCCAGAAUAAAAUCAAGUCCAAAUGAUUAGUUAGGCUUGGUUCAAAGUGAGAAAGAGAGUGAUUAUAAAUAACAUGAUAUUUGUAACAAAGAAUAUAACCAAACAUAUGACAUAAUUGAGCAUUCAAGACAAUUGGACUUAAUUUAACAAAAAUGUAGCCCUCUCAAACUACAUGUCCUUUUGCAAGAUAUCCUAGUAUCAUAAGAAUCAAGCUUAUGUGGGUAGGUCAUGACCUUAUAACUAGUUAGAGACCCUCUCAGAUUGAUCUCCUUGCCUUAACCAUAAAGGUAUCUAAAAGCAAGAUCAACAUACCUUUUAUUUGGCCCAUAGACUAUGCAAAUGGGACCGCGUGGGGGAAAUUCUAUCACUUCAUAUCCAAUGUCAAUUGUAUAACCAUUGUCCUUGAACUAUCAAUGUCACUAAGUAAAGAACCCACCGUAGAGUGGUCACUUUUAGUACAAACAUAUUUAGUCUUAUCCAUGUGGAGAAUCCAUAUCUCUUGAUUCUUAAGCCUAACCCACUGUGGGGUGGUAAUGAACCCAAAUCAAGAUGGGCUCGACAAUGGAGGUCGUGGGCAUGUCUAAGGCCCUCUCUCACUAAGUCUUUUUAGAUAAAUAGAUGCAUUUUAAAACAUUAGUAAUUACCUUAGUGAAUAAAUUAUCUUCUUUGAGAAUUUCCAAAAAUAUUUAUUUCCUAAUUGGAAACCUAGUGUUAUAGAAGAAUGUCCAUAUGCAAAAUUUAAAAUUUCUAUGAGAGUAUUUUAUCCAAAAAGGAAUUUUGAUAAAAUGUCUACUCUCAAAUUUUAAAAUCUAAUUGCAUAAAAAAUUCUCUUUCUUCACAUAAUUUCAAUUAAUAAAUAUUUUGUCUAAGAAAUAUUUUCAAAGAAAUUUAUUUCCAUCAAAUUACUAAAUAUCUUCUUCGUAAUAACCUUUAAUGAUAAAUUAUUUCUAAUGAAAAUUUCCAUAAGAUAUUUAUUAUCAAAAUUGAAAACUUAGCGUAAUAAGGAAACCUCUGAUUUAUAAAAUUUUGAAAAUUUGAGAGCACCUAAUCCAAUUAGGAAAAAUGUAAUUCUUCAAGGAUUCUCAUAAUUUUUUUUUAAAAAUAUUUUAAAUCCUUAAGAAUAAAUUUAGAAAUGAACUUUAGCUCUCAUACUCAAGAUUCCUUAUAAAUUUAAUUUCCUUAUUCCUACAUCUUUCCAAUUUAAUAAAUAUUCUUAAAUAUGAAAUCUAAUUUUCAUAAUAAUCUAUUCCAUUAAAAUUACUAAAAAUAAAACUUUUAAUAAUUCCCUUAAUGAUGAAUUAUCCAUCUUGAAAAUUUCCAAAAACAAAUAUUUACUCUCCAAAUUAAGGAUUAGUGUAAUAAGAAAGUUUCCAAAAACUUGAAAAAUAAAAACUAGAGAGCUCUUUAUCCAAAAGGGAAACUUUUAUUCUACAAGAAUUCUUACAAAAAAAAUUAAAGAAAAUAAUUUAGAAUCCUUUGAAAUAAUCUAGAAAAGGAAACUUUGCUCUCUAAUUUAUUUCCACAAGUUUUUUUUCUUAAUCUACACUAUUCCAAAAUUAAGUAAACAACAAGCUUUGGAAUUUAAUUUUCAAGAAAAUUUAUAUCCAUUAAGAUUACUAAGAGUUUCAUGGAACUUUCAUAAGAAGCUUUCAAUAAUUUUGGUGACCUUCUUAAAAUAAAUUAUCUAUCAUGAGAAUUUUCAAAAGCUUUGUUUAUUCACUAAAUUGGAAUACUUGUGCUUAUAAGGAAUAUCCAAUUUUAUAAAAAUUUUAAAAUAAAAGUGUAUUCCCUUAAUAUAGAAACUCAAGUCCUUGAAGAUCUCAAAAUUAGAAACUUUGAAAAAAAGAUCUUCUAAGUAUUUUUUGAAAAGGAAACUAGAUUCUCUCACAAAUUUUAAAAUAUCUUUCCAUAUAAAAAUUCCUUAAUAGUGACAUCAUUCUAAUUUUGAAUCAAACUUUCAUUUGUAAAUAGCUUUCUCAUAAAAACUUUUUUUCCAUAAGAAAAUCCAAAAUUAGUAACUUUCAAAGCACUUCUCAUCACAUGCAAUAUAACAAUAUGCAUAAAAAAUAAAAUAAAAAAAGAAAUAUUCAAAAAGAGAUCCCAUGGCCAAGGGAUAUUUUUUACGACUUUCCAAUUGUGAACCAAAGCCAUUUGUCUUCAACUUGGCACCAAUAUUUGGCAUCAAAACUUGCCAAAAGAAGCUCUUGCAUAGCUGCCACAAUUCAAUAACUUUCAAGCCCAACAAGUGGCCUAAGAAAUGAGUCCAAACAAGCAAAAAGAAUCAGACUCGUAUGCAAUCCCGUAAUAGAAUAACCUCUAUGCAACUUUGCGUCAAAUGACUAUAUCUCCCUCGUUUCAACAAUGAAUCACAAGUCGUUUACACCAUUGGAUUCCUGACUUCAUAAGCUUCAAAACCAUAUGCAACUUGCCUAAAGAAAAUCAUAAGAGGCAGCCCCGAUUUGGAGUCAAAUUGAAUGUUGCUAUGCAAUCAUGGAUCUCACAAAAACAAAACUUUUUUAUUAUUAUUAUUCAAUCAAAAGAAGGAUUCAACCUUUCUUCCACAUCCAUUAAAAUCCUUGAAUCUUCAUAAAUGAUGCUUUAAUAAAGAUCCAAUCUUUAUUGACAUCAUUAAGGAAUUCUUCUCUUGUAGCUCUCCAUAGAUAAUAAAAAACAUGACUUUAUAUCAUAAAAGAAAUCAUAUGCUCAUAUAAUGGAGCUAAUAACCCAAUCUCUAGAAAAGAUUAAAACUUUACAAGAGUGUAGACCCUCAAUUUUGUCCCUUUAGCACAUGUCUUUAAAUUCGUUUUCAAUGCCCCAUAGUAACUCUUUGGUGGCCCAUUACUACUCGUACGACUUACCUUUUUCUGAGUCACCCUGGAGAUUUUAGCUGAGGGAUUAUCUGACCUCUUAUUGCAACCUUUGGAAGCCCUAUUUUAGAGUUAGGCUUUUCAUUCAUUUUUAAGAUAGCUUUUAGGGUAGUCUACUUAGGUCUACUUAGGCACCCUAAGCCCACUUAGGCACUUAGGCCCAUUUAUGCACCCUAGGUCCAUUUAGGCACUCUUGGCCCAUUAGGCAACACCCUAGACCCCCUAGAUUCACCUUGACCCCUUUAGAUCCACCUAGACACCUUCUAACUUUCAUACAUUCACCUUAUGUCACUUAGGUCACUUAGACACCUUUUCAGAAUAGGUCCAUUUAGACACUCCAUUAGGCUUAACUUUUUAUAUAAUCUUUUUAUUACUAUUGCAUGAAUUCGAUAAUUACAUUUAUUCUGUUUAUUCAUUUUCAUUUUUACUUUUUAUUUGUUUAUUAUUAUUUUUAUUAUUAUAUUUAUUUAUUUAUUUAUCUAAUGGAAAAUUGCUUAAAUUGCUUAGACUUCAAAUGCGCAUACGACCCCUUAUUAAAUUAUGGAAUUAUAUAAUACGGUCUCUUUUGUUUCCUUUUCUUUUAAUCAUCUUUUAUUUUAUUACCAAUCUCGUAAUUUUCAUGAGUUACUUUUCUUUUAAUUUUUUAACCUUAUUUUAUUCUGUUUUGCAUGAGGAAACAAGCUGUCAUCUAUUUGGAAGGAAGAUCACCAGAAUUUUAGAGAUAAGAAAGUGACAACUACAUUAUUCUAUAAAGUUACCUCCACCAUGCAUAGAAGGAAGACACGACCACAAGGAAGAGGAAGAAGUUGCUGCCCAUAGAAAAAUAUAUGGAAACUUCCAUACAAAAGGGAAUUAUUGGAGAGACGCAAUCUCCAUAGAUGGGCAGAUACAUGGGAAGAAAGAUGAGAUUUUAUUAUUUUCUAAUUAGAGGCACAAAUAGCAAGGAGAUUCGAUACUAAGAUCAGGCACUAAAAGGAAGGCAUGCAUUGUAUCCUUUAAAAGCAUCUCCACGUCUACAGAGGAAGGGGCUCUCUUGGUCGUUUUUGGGGUUUUUUUUUCAAGAAAGAGACUGGCACCAUUCGGAGGGGGAAGGGAGAAGUACCAGAAUUUCAGAGGGAGGAUAAGGGAACACGCAUUCAUGGGGAAUGACGGCUGCCAAUGCGUGCAUUGCUAGGGGUCCUGCAUCAUUGAUAACAGGAACAUGCUGUCACUUUGAGGAUCCACCACGCACAGAUGGGAAAGACGCAUAAGAAGCGGGGAUGAUAAGGGUGAGAGCAGGAGACUUUUGGAGAGGGAACGGGUGCACAGUUUGGGGUAUGAGAAUGAGGUGAUCUUGUUUAUGGAGAGAGAAUCAGUGCAUGGUUCAAGAAAGAAGAAGACAAAAGGAAACUAGAUUUUUUAUUAAUCUCCAUGGGGCGCACUAUGAGUUUGAUGAAAAGACAAGUGACAGCAUUCAAUUUUUUUUGGAACACAACCGUACAGUGGGGAUUCUCCAAGGCUGCCACUUUAGGGUGAAGUUUUUUUUUUGAAAGAAAAGUGGCAGCAGGCUGCUACUUUAAGGUGAGUUUUUCUUGAAAGGAAAGUGGCAGUAGGCUGCCACUUUAGGGUGAAUUUUUUUUGAAAGGAAAGUGGCAGCAAACUGCUACUUUAUGAUGAGAUUUUUUUAAAGAAAAGUGGCAGCAGAUUACCACUUUAGGGUGAGAUUUGUUUUUAAAAAAAGUGGCAGCAAGUUGCAUUUUGAGGGGGGGAGAUUUUUUUGAAAGAAAAAUGGCAGCAAGUUGCACUUUUAGAUGGUGAGAUUUUUUGAAGGAAAAAUGGCAGCAGGUUGCAUUUAAGGGGUCCAUACCUCAAUUUCCAUAAAGAUCUUCAUGGUAUCUUCAAGAGAACCAUGAACGCCAUUGAUCCCCAAAACGAGUAGGCUGCAUCUUCCAAAGGUAAGUGAGUUUCCUUGUUCUUGAGUUUUUGAGAAAAUUGGAGCUUUGUUUGCUAAUUUUUUACUCUAUUAAGUUUUCGAGUCUCUCAAGUUUUAGUCGAUUAAUUUAUUUGGUUUUAUGUCAUCAUCAUCUUGUUUUAUUUAAUUUUAGUUCAUGGGUUCAUCCUAAUUAAUUCGUGUGAUGCUUUAAAAUUUUAAUGGAUUAAUUUAUUUGAUUCUAUGUCAUUAUCAUCAUGUUAUUUUAUUCUUUUUUUUUUUUUUUUUUUUAUCUUAGCUGAUUCAUGUGAUGCUUUAUGUUUUUAGGUGAUUAAUUCAUUUGGUUCUAUAUCAUUAUCACUAUGUUUAUUAAUUUCAGUUAUUUUUAUUUUUACUUAUUUAUUUAUUUUUUGAUUCAUCAUAUUUGGUUUAUGAGUCUUUAGAAUUUUAAUUAUUUAAUUUAUUUGACCCCCUGUCAUUAUAUCCAUGUUUUAAGUGUGUUAAGCUCUAGUUCCUGAUUGAUCCUUACUCAGUUCAAGUGUUUUAGAAUUGUAAGUUCUUAUGGUAUUAUAUUUAACAUUACCUUAAUCAUAGGUUUGUGUGUUCGACUAAUCUAAUUUAAUUAUUGAUUAUAUCCUCAAUUUAUACGCUUGACUAAUCUUCGUUAGCUUUUGAUUGAUAUCUAGUUGACUUUAUUUGAUCUAAGGCCAUUUAGUUAUUUUCUUUGACAUUUGUUCGUUUAUAUUUGAUUCAUGGGGGCCAUCGGAAAAUUGUGAAGAUUGGCCUCCAUUCACACCAUUUUAGUUUGCUUGGUUGCCAAAAAUUUUAUUUUAUGAUUUUGUUUCUAUUUGUUUUGUUUGGUACAAUUUUUCUCAUACGUUUUAUUGUUCUCAAAUUAAUUUCUCUUAUUUUAAAAUAAAAUACUUUUCUCAAAAUGUUCCUCAUAAAAACCUAUUUUAAAAAUUCAUUUAGAGUCCUUAGAAUCAAAAACCCCAUUUUCUUAAAAUAAUAUGCAACCAUUUUUUGAUUAGUUUGCAUCUUUCUCGGUUUUUAACGAAAAUUUUGGUUUGAAAUCAGACACGAAUCAAAGCUUGUGGUCCCACAUAAAUGGGAUAAUUUUGAGCUAAAUUCGUGUAUAUCAAUUGGGGAAUUGGUGAAACCCCUACAUAAGAAAAUCUUUUCAAAAAUUAUUUUUGUUGCCACUUUUGUCACUUGUUGAAAUUAUGUCUAUCUUUUUUUAGAAAUUGUAUACCAGAUGAGUGUGAUAAUUAUUGUUUUCAUAUACUGUGAUCGCUUUUACUAUGCUAAUUAGAUAAUGAGCAUGUUAGGAUUUCUAUAUUUUAUUAUUUAUUAUCUAACCCCUUACAACUUGAGGAAGCACGCUACAAAUUAUCUAUGCUAUCCAGGUAUGUCCUCUAUCAUCUACUUUCUGAAUUCUGUGAAUAUGCUUGUCAUUGUGAAAUAAUACUUAUGUCUAAUAAUGCUUGAGUGUCUUGAUAUGCAUGUUUCAUUGUUUGAUUAUUUCCAAUAAAAUACAUGUUGGAUGAUAUAUUGUUUAAAUUAACCGUUUAUGUUUUAUGAUAGCGCUUGAAGAGCGGUUCAGGUACGCACCCUAACUCUCCUUUAUUGUGAUUUGAUCUUGUUUAGCAUGCAACUUUUUUUGAAAUCACCUAGCCUACUUAGGUAUCCAUGAUCGACCAUUUAAUUGCCAUGCUUCCCUUAACUUAGUCAGUAGAGACCUUUUUAGGGCUUAGAGGGGUGCUACCUUUUAAAGGUACCUUCCCAAUAGGUAACCUGAUCCCCGGACUUAGACUCGGGUUUUUCAAAGACAUACUUUUUCCAAAAAUUAUGGAGUCACAUUUUAGGGUUUUUCUUUCUUGUUUUAUUUUCCCUUUAAAAUAAAAAUAAAAUAAGUGGCGGCUCCAACCUUUUUCCCAAAAAUUAAUUUUUCACAAAUAAAAAGCGAGUCUCGCCGAUCGAGUGGGGACGCACGUGAAAAAUGCGGGUCCACAAAGAGAAGAAGAAAACUUAUGCUCCUUUAAUGGAACUUACAACCAAAUCUAUGAAGAAACGAAGAAAACAAAUUAUCCCAUUUAAUCACCACAAACAAUAAUAAAAAGAAACAUACAUGCUUCUCUUGUCCAUGGGAUAACAUCAAGGUUGCAAAAAAGAUAUUAGCACGCCCUAAAUAGAGAUCUAAGCAUGUUUAUAACAUUAUGCUCUAAUACCAAUUGUUAGUAUCUUAGAUCUAAGCAAUACUAAUUUUUAUAAAAUUGAUCUUUUAGGGUUAAAGUACUAACCUUUAGGUUUGGAUGUUCCCAAACCUUAAAUUCCACUUAUUGAAGACAACCUUGAAGUUGUUGAAAGUCUCAUAAACUUAUGACUCAUUCUAUACUUGAUCAAAGAGGUAGACUUCUUAAGUUGAACUCAUAAAGUUGACUUUGAUUACUUUCAAAGGAUUUUUUGUCAUGCUCAAACCUUAUUAUCCACAUACCUUGUUUGACUAUGAUUAUUAUUUGUUUCCCGGGGUGAGUUAGUACAAAAUAUUGAAUCUUUGGUUAAGCAAAACUCUUUUACUUUUAUCUAAGAUUUAUGCUCUUAAAUGCAUACUGCUCACUUAUAACAUUUGGAAACACCAUCAAAGUGGACACAAAGGCAACCAUGAAUGAAAACAAAAAGAAAAAUCAAUUGACCAUGGUGUACAAUGCCUCCACUUUCAAAAAGAAAAAGAAAAAGAAAAAGAAAAGAAUAGGAGGAUGAUAUCAUACUAAGGGGGAGUCAAGUUAUGUUGUAUGUAGAUCAACGAGGCCAUGUUAAAUAUAAAUCUGAUGAUCUUAGUUCAAAUUGACUGGAUGUGUUCUUUAAUUUGACCAAAGGCAUGAGUAGAUCUCUUCUAAGUAAUUAAUUUUGAAAUAUUGAACUAGACAGUAAGUCAUAUUUCCUUGAAAAUCAAUAUUGAUGUUUCUAUGUUGACUCUCUUAUACAUUUAUAGUUAUGCAUUAGGUUUUCAAAUCUGAAAUUAUGAUUAACUCUGAUCAUUCAUCUUGAAAUUUCAUUCUUGAUGGAUCAACAUAUACUAUAUGAAGUAACAUACUUCAUCUAUUCCUAAUUCAGCUAAUGUUGAAAGUUUAUGACCUUAACUAUCUACUCUUUAUCGUUAAAAUUUGUUUCAAUUGGUGUCAAUUCUUGUUUAUAUGUUAGUUAGUUGAGUAUUCUAUCCAUUGUUAGAACUUUUUUUGGCUUUGGUUGCUCAAGCGCUAUAUUUAGCGUCCUUCAUGCUCAAGCACUCAAGCCUCAUCAAACGUCUCUACUGCUCAAGCGCUCUAAGUUGCAUCUAGUGGCGCAUCCAUUGAGCGUCUUGCUCGAGUGUUAAUCUGUAUCGGUAUGUCUGAGUAUAAAAAUCCAUUCAACGUGUCUUUUUUCUUUUCAAACAUUUUCCUAUUCUCUCAAGAGCUCUGGGACUUUUUUUAUUUUUUAUUUUUUUUUAUCAUUUGAGGUCAAGUUUCCUUGUUUUUCACAUUUUCGACUUCAUGGUAUUGUUCUACACAUUGUUUAGGGCAUUUCUAGCGGUUUAGAUUUUUUCUGAAAUCUUCUUGGUUUUCGAAUCCUUUGGUAUUCUCUUGGAUAUGGCUAAGAUGACCCCAUCUGGGACACCCAAACCCCUUAAAGGAUUUUCACUUCAUUUUUCUUUCGAUUUUGUGGCUCUACCAAUGAAUUUUUACUUUAUCAAAAGCCCCUAGUUCAAUAUUAUUUUUUUAUCCAUUGCUGUCACAUUGUGUUUGUGGGUUCAUUUCCUCAUUUGACCCUAGAACCUCAUAGAAUCAUAUUAUAUAGAGAUGGCGUCAGUGAAGUUCAACUCAUUCCAGUUUUGAUGCAUAAGAUGAAUUCAAUAAGAAAGGCUUGUGCAUCACUAGAGGAUGAGUGUUACUAACUCUUCCCAUACAUAUACUUUAGUACCGCCUUAUCCUUAGUAUUUCCCAUCUUCACAUGCAAAAUUUUUUUGUUGAUCUUAUAAUGGCUAUGUGCGUCAAGUUUUGCUCUGCCGCCACUGAACCUUUAGUGAAUUUGUUUUUUUGUUUUUUUUUUAUUUGGAUGUUUUUUCAUUACUUAUCUUAUGUAUCAAGAAUCAUAUUUUUAAUAUACAUAUUUUGUUCAUCUUUCUUCUUAUCUCUUAUGUGCUUUGGUAGUUAUAUUUCUAAUACUUUGUCAUUUUGUGACAAAAAAAAGAGAUAAUUGCAUAUUUAAUAUUUAACUCUGUUAAAUUAAUAUAAAAGAGAGAUAACAUUAAAUAUUUAGUUCACCUAAAAAUGAGGAGUUAAAAAAUGGUGAAAAUAAAAAGCUCCUUGAUUUAAGGGAAGUUAGUUUUUGAAUUAUUUGAUUCAUUAAUUUAGGUAAUUUAAUUGAAAUAUUGGAAGAAACUAAACAUAAGACAUUGAAGUAAAUCAAAUCAGCCUUAGGAAAUAUGACUUUACGAUUCAAGAGAGAUACCUAACACGGAUGUUUCCUGCAAAUUACUUUUGUUAGAAUUGUCGAUCUCUCUCUAGAACUAAUCCUAGUUGUAGAAGCUUUUUCCCAAGGCUUUCACUACUUACCUUAUUGCUGGAGAAUGCCCCCUGCUCUUUACUAAUAAAUUAUUAGGUCUCAUCUAUCUUCGAAUAUGUUUGGUUGAUUUGCAUACAUUCAAAUUCCUCUCGACCUUUUCUUUGUACCUUGGUGUCAUUAAAGGACUCUGUUUUUUUCAUGCUUUCAUAAGACAUCAAACAAAGUCUCCAACUAUCCUGUUUUGUUUUCAUAAUAUUAUUUUAUCCUUCACACUACUUUGCCUUUGGUAUAAUUUCUUGUAUGUGUUCAGGUUACAAGGUUGGAAGAUAAGUACUUCAAAGCAUUACAAAGUUUUCCCUUAAUUCAAUUUUAGUUGAGUGUUAAUGUGUGUUAUGUGAACUCUAUUAUGAGGAUCGAUAUUGAAAGGCUUAUGGCAUUGUAAAGUGCUUCAUAGGUACAUCUAAAAAAGUUUGGCUUAUGGCAUUGAAAGACUUAUUUGAGGUAUAAAAGGAUCGGUAUCAUUUUUUAACUGGUUAAUCUGCUCAGGCAGUCAACCCAUUCAAGCAGAGAGCUCUCAAGCGGUCUAAGUUUGGUCAAGCGGUCAUGACAACCCUAUCGAGUUUAAAAAUGUAUUUUCAAUGAAUUUCAACCCAACUAUAAUUUGGAAACUUAAGAUAUUGAUAUCCUUAUAGCUUUUGCCUAUAAUUUUUUAAAUCACCCAUUCACUCCUCUCAUCUCCCCCUUUCUAGGUGUUCCCUAUUGGACUUUCAAUUAUUCCAUUUUUUUUUUAUAAUUGUAAGAUUUACUUAUGUGAUAAAAAUUGAGAAAAUAAAAAAUUGAUAAAAUCUAAGGAAAACCAAGGAAAGUGCAUGUCAAAGGAAAAUGACAACAACAAGUAUUUAAAAAACAAAAUUUUAUCAACCUAGGAUGUCUAAGUGGGAAUGUACAAAAGUAGAAAAUUAAAUCAUGUGAAGAAAAACAUUGAAAAUCAUUUUAAAAUCAUGGAAAAUCACAAAGAGAACAUAAGUUAUGCAACCAGAGAGGAAGACAAUAUCUAUGUUUAAGAAAGAGUGUGCAUUAAGGAGAAAAUUGUGCAUUAAGGAUGAAGACACAUGCAAAAGGAAAAUAUGUGCUAAAAGAGUACACAAGAGGAAUUGUGCAUCGAGGGAAACGCCAAGUGUGCAUUAGAAAAUAAAAGAGGAGCACGCACAAAAAGAUAGUGCACUAAAGUAGCUUGCAUGCUUGGGAAUCACAUGCCUAAGAAGCACUACUAUGCGAAUGAAAGUGCGUGUGAAAAUUAUGCACUGAAGAGCUACACUAAUGUGCGCAAUAAUGCACUAAAGAAAGUUAGACUAUGCAUUGAAAAGUGCACACUACAAGACACCAGUGUGUGCACUAGAUUAUGCAUUAGAUGAAAAAGUGCACAUAAUUGCUUGUGUACUGAAGAACAAGUUGUGCACUAAAGGACUUGCACAUAUGAAAUGUGCACCUAAAUGAAGGCUAAGGAGCACAUAAAGAUUGUGCAUUAAAGAGGAGCUAUUGUGACAUGGGAAAAUCCUAAACCUCUCUGGUCCCCAAGCCCGAAUCAAGUUAGGAACAUAUGAAAAUAUCUUAGGCUUUUCUAAAUACUAUGCACAACAAAAAAAAAAAUUACAUUUUAAAACUUUAAAGGGAUUCAAAAAGUGCUAACAAAAGACUUACUUUAGAUUCAAAUGUUCCUAAAUCAAAUCCAUGUGAUGAAAAACGAAGUUGUAGAAGUCCCAUAAACCUAGAGUCUUCCACUCGAAGACUCGAACUUUGAUUUUGACACACUUAUGAUAGUAAUCAAUUAGGGUGGAGGCUAUAGCUCUCUCUCUAAAGGAGAAAGAUGAAUCUUUAGAAAAAGCUAUGAAAACUCUAACCCCUAAAGGGGUAUUUAUGGGGUUCCCCAUUGGGUUAAUUAACUUAAGCCCACUAAGGGCUUGGGUCACUUAAAUUAGCACAAAAUAGGUCAUAAUUGAUUAAUUAACCUAACAGAACCUACUAAGUAAUCAAUUAGAUGUGUAAUCCUGCUUAAUUACCAAAGUGCCCUUAUGCAAAAAAGUGAACCUAGAGCUAAUCUAACCCUCUUAACUCAUGCCAACAAGGUAUAUUAGCUUAGAGUGGGGACCAUUAUGACCCAUAGGACUACUGGCUCCAUUAAAAUCCAAUUCUGAAGUUGAUUUAAUAUCCUACUAUAGCGAAUCAACUAAACUCUAGUAUCCCAUGUAAAUAACAAUGAGUUGGGUCUGUGAUUUGUCAUUAAUUAUGUUCAAUUUCCCAAUGAACUGGUGUUCGUAGUCUAACAAGGUGAAAACUAUCAGCCUUUCAAGACUACCCUACUAUCCUUAAGUUGCAAUCCUUCUAUUAUGUGUAUAACUAACAUGUCUUAGCUUUCUAAGAACUUAUGUCAAGUUCUACUUAAGGAACUACUAUGGUCAUAGUUUCCAUGAACACGUGUCCUUAGAAUGAUCCAAGGGGAUACACUAUCUCAAUACCAAGAGAUAUCAUGGUACCUUUAUUAAGAAUACCUAUUACUACCAACUUUCAUUAAUAGUGACCCAAACCAUAGGGAACAUAUGAUCAGCUUAUGAUCUCACCCAUUAAUCAAAAGUCAUUGUGUGGACCCGCAUUUUUCACGUGCGUCCCCACUCGAUCGGCGAGACUCGCUUUUUUAUUUGUGAAAAAUUGAUUUUUGAAAAAAAGUUGGAGUCGCCACUUAUUUUAUUUUUAUUUUUGAAGGGAAAAUAAAACAAGAAAUAAAACCCUAAAAAAAUGACUCCAUAAUUUUUGGAAAAAACGUGUCUUUGAAAAACCCGAGUCUAAGUCCGGGGAUCAGGUUACUUAUUGGGAAGGUACCUCUAGGAGGUAGCACCCCUCUAAGCCCUAAAGAGGUCUCUACUGACUAAGUUAAGGGAAGCAUGACAAUUAAAUGGUUGAUCAUGGAUACCUAAGUAGGCUAGGUGAUUCCAAAAACAUAACAUAUCAAACAAGGUCAAAUCACAAUUAAGGAGAGUUAAAAGUGCGUACCUGGACGGCUUCCCAAGCGCUAUCAUAAAACAUAAGAGAUUAGUUUGGAGAUACAUCACACAACAUUUGUUUUAUUCAAGCAAAUCAGGCAUAUAUCAAGACAUUCAAGCAUCACGUCAAAUAUGGAUAUGGUCAUCAAUGACAUACAAGUCCAUAGAGUUCUAAAAAAAUAGAUGAGAAGAGACCGUACCUGGAUAGCAAGCUAGUACUCCUCUAUGGGAAACAAGAGCAUCUCAACAAUAAAUAUUAAGUGAAUUCAAGUAUUUCAUCAAGAAGAAUAAAAAAAUCAACAUAUCAAGUAAACGGUAUUGAAGUGAGUGUUAUGAAUGUCGGGCCCCCACCAAAGCCCUAAUUAAUUUUGCAUGAAUUGAUUCCAUAAAUUCCAUGAUUUGGAAUUAUGAAUUUUAUUCAUGCUUGUUGAAAAAUCAAGAAAACCAUGAAAAAUAGUUGAAAAUGGUGAAAAUGCAUGCCGGAAGGGAAAAUGGCAGCAAAUAGUAUGUUAAAAAAAAUCUGGAUUUUAGUGACUAAAAGGGCUCUAAAGAUUGAUUUUUCAAAGCUGGAAAUAUUUAAUUGAGAAAAAGAUUCAAAGAUUCAAUUUAAAAUAGGGAAUUCCUAAUCAAAGAAGCAAAAGGAGGAGGUGUGUGUAGCAAGGUAGGUAUGAUGGAGGGGAGUUGGGAGGUUUGGCUAUGACCGCAUUGCUGGUAAUUGCAGGUGCUGCUGUUAUUCUCUCUAAAUUUUCUCUUUCUACUCUGGUUGCAUGCAUUCAAGCACCAUACAUCGCUGCAUUCCCGGGCCUUUUCCGAUUCCUUGAAGUUCCCUAUAUGCGGACUUACUUCCAAGAGCUUUGGCAUUAAUUCCCCAUAUGAAUCUCUGAAAUUUGCUGAGAAAUUUAGUCUUUCUGGAUUGCCAUUUAUGAUAACUAGAGCAUUGAAAGUUGGGGAAUCACAUCCAAUUGGUUUUAGCUUUAGAGGGUGACCAUCGGUCAUGGUAAAAAAAUGAAAUCAAUUUCUGUUUCCUCAUGCCUGUUUCAAACUAUCCCGUUGUUGCACCAAGGACUUCCCUUUUCUAACUGCAACAUUUAACUUCUUUCUCAAAGAAGCUGACUUCUGCUCCUCUUGAUCAAGUGGAACUUGCGUCUCCUCCCUUUUCUGAUCCAAUGCUUCAACUUCACAUAACAAAGAUUGCAUCUUCCCCAUAUACCUAUCUCUCUCCCCCUUUGCUUCAGUCAGAUCACCCAAAGCCUCCUCUAAUUCUUUCUUCAAAACCACCACAUCUAGAUCCUUGGUAUCUGGUGCAUCUAUGGCUCUUGGUUCAUCACUAGAUGUAUCAGCAUUUUCGGUAUGGCACUCAUCAAUCCCUUCCCUAAGCACAGUUUUUCCCAAGGAAAGUCUAGUGUGAUUCUCUAUAAACUUCCUUAGCAUUGCAGACAGCGUGUAUAGCUGUAGAAGGGUCUCUUAGUGCGUAAGUUACAUCUCCAAUGCAACCAUGUGUGGUAUUGAAAGGUGGCAGCCUUCAAGUUCUGAAUGUUGCGGCUGUCUUCGAAUUUGAGAUGGUGCGUGGUGUAGAUGGAUGCAGCCCAUGAAGAAACCUGUGCAUAGAGUCCUUUGGUGCUCACAACUUCUUAAAAAAAAUUCUGGGGGUUCCUCUAGAAAGUGGACUAUGCAUGUACGUGUGUUCUCUGAAAAUCAAAACUGUGCGUGGGCUUCUUCAUGCGGCUGUGAAGACUUCCCGAGGUGGCGUGUUUCUGUUAGUGCGUGGUCCCCAUGGGAGUGCAGGCUGCCCCUCAAUCCGUGCUCUUGGAUUUCAAGUGUCCAUCCAAAGUGGCAACAUGAGAUGUUUGUUUCUCUCAAAGUGGGUUCAAAUUUUUGUUUCUCUAUAUUGAUGAUGCGACUGUUUCUCAGAAAAUCCUCACUUGGUACCCUCUCCUCCAUAUUCAGGUACGGAGCAAUGAACCCUCAAAGACUCCUUGGGAUCAAAUUUAAGAGACUGAACGUGAAUACCAGAAAUUCUGAUAAGCUAUGACAUUGUGUUUAAGUCUUUUGGAAAGUGACUUUAGAAAAGACUUCAAGGCAGAAUUCUGAACUGCAAUGUAAUGUGCAUGACAACCUUGGAAGUCUCAUCAGAAAAAGUUCAAAUUUCUUCCAUUGGAGGCCUCAAAUUCAACAACUUCUUGAUUCGUCAAAGAGGGUACCCUCAUCACUAGAGUUUUCCAUUACACUUCGAGAAUUUUCUGGUCUGUAUUAACUUUGAAAUUUUUCUGGCCCAUGUUCAGUUGAAUGAAUAUAUCCCCAAGGAGGUAUUCCAUGACUGCCCACAAUGAGAAACACCAAAGAGUAUAUGUGCAUUAAUCCAUAUGAAAUGUACAAAUGACCCAAAUGUUGUUUCAGAAGAGGAGGCAUCAACACUUAAUUCUUUCUCUUCCAGUUCUUCCUAAGUCUAUGUAGACUUCCUCAGAUACUAUAUUUAAUUCACAAACCUCAGACAUCAAUUGAUACUGAUCCAGAAUUCCAUGACACCCUUUCAGUACCUUUUGAAAUGCCCCUUCACCUGUUAGAUUCAAAUAGCUCAUUCGACAAACUUGGCUGCCACACAAACAAACAGAUACCUCAUACUCUUUCUUACUCUCUGUGACUGAGUUAUAAUCAAAGAUGAUCUCCUCACCACAUUGAAUUUGACGUACGGUGUAGAUUCCAAUCUGGUACUGACCUUCUACAGCAGUAAUUUUGGCUUCACGGUUAGGUCUACAUAAAUGACAAAUUCGGCUUGCAUAGUUAGCCUUGUGUAUUGCAUCAACAACUAAAUUCCACGGAUUCGGCUCUUGAUCCAAUUUUAGGUUCAAUAAAAGUUACUUUAUUCUGUGGUUGAAUUUUAACAGCAGCAUCAGGAACAUCUGCAGCAAAGGUAAUUGGAAUCCAAAUUUUAUUAAUUUUUCCUAAAACACUACUAUGCUUCUGAAUUGAAUCUUGAUCAACUAAAGAUUGGAGCUCUGAAAAUGAUGAGGGCCAUUGCUCAUGUCCAGCGCCAUCAAGAUAAUACCAGUCACUAAAAUCACCAAAGGCAAAGGCAUAAUCCUUGUCAGAGAAUGUGCUCAACCUAGAAUCCAAAGCUUCUUUUGACGUGAUUUCUGGGUAUCUGAAAAAUCUAUCUAUUCUUUGAUCAGGCUGUCCUCCAAUACGAAGUUGAUGCCAGGAUAAACCUUCAGCUCCCAAUUUCUCCCACUGUGCAUGCUCAAACGACGCCUGCAAAACUUCCCCCAGAGUCUCCAGCUCCCUGCCAGGAAUGAAGGUAAAACUCUUUAAUAAAGCUCUAACCCUUUCAUCAAUCUGAAGACCCUCUAAUGGCUCGGAUGCAAUGGAAUUGUCAUUGUUGCAAGACAUCGAUUGCAGCAAAAGUGGUAGGUGUUUCCUCUUCUAGCAGUUUGUUGGACUCUGUGGUAUCUCCAGCCCCGGCCAAUGGAUUACCAGGAGCCUCUGGAGGACUCACCAGUUGAGUUACAGUGUCUGAAACAAAGGGUGGGAAGUUCACAGGCACUAACAGAGAAGCUGCGUUUUUAAUAGUUAACCAUCUGUAGUAAACCUUUCUCUAUGAAAUUUCUUUCUCUCACCGAAGAACACAGAUAUUAACAAAACAUCAUUAAGAUCAAACAGAUCCUUGGGUUUGGGAAGAUCUAUGGAGAAUUCAUCAAAAUUCCUUACAAAUCUAGUCUCCUUCAAAAACUUCAACUACCGAAGAAUCUACCUGUAGGUCUUGCCAAUUCAUGUAAAGAUAUAUUAGGAUAUCCUCCUGUUCAGCCUGAGGCUUGCCUUCAAACCCAGGGGAUCCCAAUUUGACCAAGAUCUGUUGAUCUUGCAGCUCAGGGACUACAAGGGCUCUAAAUAAUGAACUUUCCACAGAAUCUGUAGGAUAUGAAAGGCAACACUCACCACAUGGCUUGAGGAAUGAACCAGACGGGAUCAUACACAGAUCUUGAUUUCGCAAUUGAAUGUAUGACUCUGUAACCAUUUUGUAUAUAGGCAGAGCACGUAAAACUUCAAGCUCUUCCCUUCUAUACUUAGAGCCAUUAGAAGAGAAAUCAGAAGCAAAAAGUGUACAGAGUUCCAUACGCUCUGAAGUUAGAAAAGAAUUAAGUUCAGGGAAAAUAGACAACCUGUUUAGCAACAAGCUUUCAAGCAAUAAUCUGCCCUAAUGACUGAUCAAGUGUAGAGAGGUAAUUACAUUAAGCCGCGCAUUCUAUGAAACAGCGUUUCUUUUUGACAUACUCUCAAACAAUUGCCUCGCAAUACCCAUGCAUCCAGAUUUUGAGUACACGUCAACCAAAGCCGUCUCCACAAACACAUUACCUUCAAAACCACCCCGAGCCCAAAAGAAUAGUGCACUGAUUUCGCAAUCUGGGUCAAGCCUAGAAACACUGCCUUCCGACAAGAGGAUCUCCUUUGGUUUUGUAUUCUCUGAUUUUUCCCACUAAUUUUCCUGUGCUUCCUUCCUCUUCUCACCAAAAUGAUCCCCACCCCCUUUUUUUCUUUCUUUUCUUUUCAAUGUCGUUUUCUCCCGUGCUCCCCAAUAUAUUCUCAGUGUAGAUACCCUGGAAUAAUCGAAUUCCAAGGAGCCACAUCUCUAAUCCCCAUAUGAACUCACAAAUUUACGUUAUGGUAACCAAACUUAGCAAGUGCAAUAAACAGCCGACAUACCUUUCGGACAAUCUUCUCUAGAUCCCAUAUUGUGAUAGCAGUUCCAGAAUUUUGAAGUGUUUGACCUCUUUGCUGAAUCUCAUGACUAUAUUCCCAAGCCUUGGAGUCACCCCCAUAUCAACAAUUGAUGGCUAUAUGACGGGUAGGAAGAAAGGCAAAACAGAUAUGGUAGAGAGUAGAGGAAACGAUGGGAAAACAGACAUGGGAGAUUAAAAGAAAAUAAAACCACAUCUCAUGAUUUUUCAAUAGGCUCAAGUUAGUGGGAACAGGCAUGGAGUUAUAUGCUUCCGAAGACAUUAAUGACAUCCAAAAUCAAAACAAGGCAAACAGGCAAGUAGCCAAUCUCAACAAAGCCAAUUGUGGCCCUUUUCGUCUACACAAAAAUCAACAAAACAAUUAAAUAUUCAGGAAUCGAACACACGGAAAAAUCAAAUAUAGGUAAGAAUUCCAAAAGGAACGAGGUGCAUACCUGGACAGCUUUGGUUGCAAUGGCUCGGCUUUUGGCUAUCUUUCCUCUUCCUUCUGAAGACAAUUCCCAGAUAAAAAUCCUCUUUUUGCUUGUUCUUUCUUCUUCCUCCUCCCUCUCUAGACUCCAAUACGUGUUGCUCACCCCCUAUUCUUUUCCUUUUCUCACCUAUAUAUAUCACCUAUUCUCUUCAAGACCUAAAUUUUCUUCCAAAAAGGAAAAUUUUCCUAUUUCCUUUCUUCUUCUCUUCUUUUUUUAAAUCCUCCAAUCAAAAGCAAUCUUCCCAAUUUCAAAUUCUCCUCCAAAACCUUCCAAGGAGAGUCCCACUUUCCUUAAACUCCAAUGGUAAGUUUCCUUGCAAAAACAUGAAAUUUUAGAAGUUAAAUAAUUGCAUGAAUAGAUAAAUAAGUAAAUAAAUUAGAAAAUGGUAAAAAUAAUAAAUAAAUAAAUAAGUUAAGGAAAAUAAUAUAAAGAGGAAAAUAAAAUAAAAUAAAAUAAAAAUAAACAAAUUAACAAAAAAUGGGCCCUAUGAGCCAUGCAAACACGCAAGUCAUAUAAGUCACGCUAAAAAAUGUCCAAAUGGGCCAAGUGUGCCUAAAUGGCCUAUGAUGAGACUAAGUGGGCCUAGGGUGGUGCCUAAUGGGCCAAGUGUAUCUAAAAGCUAUCCUAAAAAAAACAAGAAAAGCCUAAGUCUAAGUUAGGGCUGCCAAGGGUCACAAUAAGGGAUCAAAUAAUCCCUCAACCAAAGUCUCCAAGGUGACUCAAAAAAAGGUAAGUGGUAUGAGUAGCCAUGGGCCACCAAGGAACUAUUGUGGAGCAUUGAAAACGAAUUUUAAAGACAUGUGCUAAAGGGACAAAAUUGAGGGUCUACACAUUGCUAACUUCAACAUAAGUUCAAUAUUCUCUCAAGGUUGAGAGAUAACACAAUGAAGCAGUCUAGUAGGGUGAUGACUACUUGAUAGCAUUAAGUCAUAACUUACCAUAGAUCCUAUCCAGUGUGUAACCAUACAGACUAGUGUUCUCAUCGUGGGAAACCCAUUCGAUAACUAAGACUAGUCAUCCCUCCAAUUAGGAAGUGGUGCACUACAACCUCCAAUAGGUUGCCUAGACCCACAAACCAACAUGAACUAAUCAUUUAUUUACAAGGAACCCAUGACUUAAAUCUUUUAUACAACUCCUAAUAUACCCAAGUCACAUAUAAUGCAAAAGAUGAAACCAAAGUGCUUACAAAGUAUAAUGCAUGGAAGUAAGAUAGAUAAAAGUGAAAUGCAACUUUAUUAAAUAAAUAAUAAAAUCCAAAAGUCUAUUACAUCAUGUCAUGCUUUUAAGGGUUCUAUCAUAACAGCAUGCACAUAAGAACUAUGCAUUGAGAAGAGAUGGUCUAGGUACUAGGUAGCAUGUGGAGGGAAAUGUGCACUAAGAAUAAGAAUGGCAUACCAAGAAGCAUGCACACGUAAGAUAAAAUCACACUAAGAGGACAUAGAAUGUGUGCAAAUAUAUGAAAUUUGCACUUAAAGAACUGCCAAUGUUUGUAUGCAAAGACAUUGUGGACCGAAAAUCGCAUACUAAAGAAAAGUGUGCUCACAUAAGAGAAAAAGAGAGACAUGCAUGCAAGUGUACAAAUUGGAAAACAAUUCAAGAUGUACAUACUAAGAUAAGGAUGCACAAAAUACAACCUAAAUGAAGAGAUGCACACGUGUAAUGCACACCAAGAAGUUAUGUGCAUGAGAAAGACGCACAAAUAUUUCAUCUAAAGAGGAAAGUUGUGCACUAUUCAAUGCACCAAAACAAGACAUGAAGUGGGCAUAAAAAAAUACGCAAAACAAAGCAAGACACCAAGUGCAAGCCUACUACUCAAGAGAAAGAACAAAGUAUGCAAACCAAAAAUGCAAAAUAAGAGGAUGCACUAAUAGGGCAAAUGACUUGUGCAAUUUGACAUGCAAUACAAAACGAACACUAGAAAAAAAACAGACGUGCGCAACCCAAUUCACAAACAUAGUCAAACAUCGGUUGAAUGUACAACUUAGUGCAUAAAAACAAAAUAGAAUGUGUAAUCCUCAGCACAACAUGAAUAGAAUAUAGGGAGCAUGCAAUCUAGGUUCACAGUCAUGAACAUCAAAUACACUAACAAAAACGUGCAAAUCCUAAUAUGUGAACACAAUGAAACAAAGCCUAAGAUAUGCAGUCUUGAUGCACAAUCUUGAGCACUACAGAAGACCAAAGCAAAUAGGUAGCCACAGAGAACCAACUACAAAUGAGUGGCUUCAAAAUGCACACUAACCAAUUCACAAAACAAACAAUAAUCACAAGAAAAUCAAAUGAGCAAAGAAAAAACUCAAAAUACAAUAGGUAAAAAAUAAGAAAAGCCUCAUAUCAUGCGUUAUCAGUGGGCUUAAAAAACAAGUGAGAUAUCCAAACUAGAUUUAAAACAAGAACAAAAACAAGAUUUCAAGAUGUUAUAUGGAAAGAACGAACUAAAUUCAGGUUAAUCUCAAAUAAACUAAAGAAAAAUAGGGUGAACAGAACAAUGACAAGCCUAUAAACAUCCCAGAAUUGAAAAAUUAAUGUGUGGCCUCUAAUAUCCAUAUCCAAUCAACAAGCAACUUUUAACGAUAUCUAAUGAAAGAAAAACAUAACCAAAUAUGGGUCUCAUAAUGAAAAGAGCUUAACUGAGAAGAGAUGUAUUAGUUAACCUUUUCUUCUCUUUGUUUGGUUCUUUACUUUCCUUCUCUUUCAUUUUCUUCUUUCUCUAGUCCUUUUCUUUUUUUCCCUAAGCUCUUUCUCUCUAUCUCUCUUUUUACCCAACAAAUCCCUAAUGACUAGAAUAUUUUUGUGCAUCUCUCUCUCUCACACACAACAAUGUAGAAUGUGCUCUCAUACCUCUUAAAAAUGAGAGAAAAAUCCCCUACAAAAUGCCAAAAGGACCUUCCGAGCAAGGAUCCUACGUUAAGGCUCAUAACCAAAUUAAUGAACGUAGGUUAAACCUAAGGUGCCAUAGAAAGUCAUGCUAGAAUCAACAAAAAUUUCCCUAAUGGUCUCUAAAAAAUGGCUCAAAUAACAACGAACUACCAAGGGACAUGAUAAAUGGAAGGGAUCCUAAGUGCAUGUUAUGAAAGAGUAUAGGGCAAGGGGAAAAUAAACAUGAAAUAACAUAUGCUGGGAGGACAAAAUGGAAGGGAUCCUAAGUGCAUGUUAUGAAAGAGUAUAGGGCAAGGGGAAAAUAAACAUGAAAUAACAUGUGCUGAGAGGACAAAAUGAAGGGUCCGUAGGUUCCACAAUCCAACUGUUAGGAUAUUGCCCUUAAAAACAUGACAUGAUGUAAUAAAUUUGGAAUUCAUUAUUUAUUUAAUGAUGUUCCAAUUUUACUUUUAACCAUUCUUAUUCCAUGUAUUACACUUUAUGAACAUUUUGACCUACAUCUUUUGUAUUGUAUGUGACUUAGGUGCAUUAGGAGUUGCACAAAAGAUCUAAAUCAUGGGUUCCUUGCAAAUAGAUGACUUAUUCACAACUGGUUCAUGGGUCUAGGCAACCAAUUAAAGGUAGUAGUGCAUCACAUCCUAAUUUAAGGGAUGACUUGUCUUGGCUAUCAGGAUAGGUUUCCCAAGGUGAGUGCAAUGUGUGUAUGGUUACACAUUGGACAAGGCCUAUGAUGAGUCAUAACUUAAGGCUAUCAAGUAGUCAUGAUCUCACUAAACUACUCCAUUGUGUUGUCUCUUAACCUUGAGAGAAUAUUAAGUUUGUGCUAAAGUUAGCAGUGGCUUUGACUUAUGGGUGAGAUCGUAAGUUGAUCAUAUAUUCCCUAUGGAUUAGGUCACUACUAAUAAAAUUCGGUAACAAUAAGUAUUUUCAAUAAAGGCACCAUGAUAUCUCAUGGGAUUGAGAUAGUGUGUCCCCUUGGGUGAUUCUAAGAAGGUGUGUCAAUGGAAACUAUGGCCAUAGUAGUUCCUUAAGUGGAACUUGACAUAGGUUCUUAACCAAGAUAUGCCAAUUGAAUACACAAUAGAAAGAUUUGUAACUUAAGGAUAGUAGAGUUAAUCUUGAAAGAUUGAUAGCUUUCACCUUGUUAGACUACGAACACACCAGUUCAUAGGGAGAUUAAAGAUAAUGGAUAACAAGUCGCAAACCCGAGCAUGUAAUGUCUUAUUGUUAUUUACAUAAAAUACUAAAAUUCAGUUAAUUCUCUAUAGUGGGAUAUUGAAUCAACUUUUGAAUUGGAUUCUGAGAUAUCCAACUUAGUGGUCCCUACUCUAAGCUCAUAUACCUUGAUGUCAUAGAUUGUGAAGGUCAAAUUGGUUAUAGGUUCACUUUUUUGCAUAAGAGUGUUUUGGUAAUUAUGCAAGGUUGCACAGGGGUAAGUAAACAAGAUCUUUAGAUUGGGCUAGUUGAUUAAUUAGUAGGCCUUAUUGGAUUAAUUAGUCAAUUAGAACUCAUUUUGGGCUGAAUUAAGUGACCUAAGCUCAUGAGGGCUCAAGUCACUUAAGCUUAAUUAGGAACCUUAUAAAUACCACCUAGGAGUUAGAGUUUCCAUCACUUUUGUCUUCCACCAUUCAAAGAGAAAGAGAGUCAUAACCUCCAACAUUUUUCCUGCUUAUCAAAAGUGUGCUAAGAAUAAGAUUGAGUCAUCGGGCGAAAGAUCAUGGGUUUACGAGACUUCUAACAAUCUUAAGGUCAUCUUCAACACUUGGAAUUUAAGAUUUGGGAACAUCCAAACCUAAAAGGUUAGUACUUUAACCCUAAAAGAUCAAUUUUUUAAAAACUGAUAUUACUUCCCUUGCUUAGAUCUAAGAUGUCAACAUGGAGUGCAAGAUCACGGUUUGAGUCAUCAAGCAAAAAAUCUUAGGUGUACGAGACUUCCAAAUUCAUUGUUCAACACCUUCACUACGUAGAAUUGAUUUGGGAACAUCAAAAUCAAAGGAAAAUUUCUCUAAUGACUUUUCUCUUGAUCCUAGAAUGGUAAAAAAUUGAUUUUGCUUCUGUUGCAUAGGAUCUAGAGCCUUAGGGUAUUUUUGCAUGCACCUAUACGAUAUAGGGUAAGGGAAUGGAGAAAUCCAAGGUUCCUAGCAACGUCUCUUUUCCAUAAUUUUCUUUCUCAUUUCUCAUGUUAUGCAUUCCUUUAUUUGUCUUUGUUGCAUCUUUUCCCCCUCUCAAACUUGAGACUUAUCUCAAAAUAUAUGGAUAGGGUUUUUUUAAAUAAUUCAAGUUAAUUUAGGUAUUAGAAUAGAGCCCUUAAAAGCAUGACAUGAUUUAAAAAAUUUUGAAUUGAUUAUUUAUUUAGUGAUAUUCCAGUUUCACUUUUCUAUAUCCUUAUUCCAUCCAUUAUGCUUUAUAAGCAUUCUUACCUAGAAUGUUUUGCAUUGUACAUGACUUGGAUGCAUCAGGAGUUGUAUAGAAGAUCCAAGUUAUAGGUCUUUUGCAAGUAGAUAACUUGUUCACAACUGAUUCAUGGACUUAAGCAAUUCAUUUGAGGCAAUAGUCUACUACCUCAAAAUUAGAGGGAUGGCUAGCCUUUGCGAUCAGGAUAGGUUUCCCAUGGUAAGUGCACUAAUGUGUAUGGUUACACAUUGAAUAAGACCUACAAUGAGUCAUGACAUAAGACUAUCAAGUUGUCAUGAUUUCACCAAGCUGCUUUAUUAUAUUGUCUCUCAACCUUAAGAGAAUACUAAGCUUCUGGCCAACUUAGUAGUGGCUUUGCCCUAUGGGUGAGAUCUUAAAGUGAUCAUAUAUUCCUCUAUAGAUUAGGUCACUUUUGAUGAAAGCUGAUAGCAAUAAGUAUUCUUAAUAAAGGCAUCAUGAUAUCUCAUGGGAUUGAGAUAAAUUGUUCUUUUGGGUUGUUAGGAUAUUGAGUCUUGUUUAUAUGUUGUUAAUUUUGUUCUUUUUUAUGUUUGGUCAUAGCAGUCUUUUUAGAUAGCAACUUGCUCUACAUUCAAGAUCAAGUGUUGCAAUCUAUCUAAUCGGGAAGUCAUAAGUAUGUCUAAAAAGGUUUAACUUGUGGCAAUUUAGGAUCCAUUGAGGUAUAAAGAGGAUUGGUAAGUUUUUUGAACUUAAAAUUAAUUUUUAUAAAGUUUUUGAAAAAUAGAGGACACUCAAUGAUUCGUGCCCAACUGGUGUAUGCCUUGUUGAUUGGUGUUCAAUCAACUAGUGCACUCUGAUUUCAGUCCUCAGAUGGGAGUAAUCAACAAAAUUUAUAAACCUAUUUCACCAUAUACUAGGGUAGUAUUAGCUAGCAUAGCAUAGUGGCUCUAGGAUCCUCCACAAGGAUGGGCUUUCAAAUUACAACUGAUAUUAGUUCAAAAACUGAAUUGGUGCUUUUUCUUUUCAAGGUUAGCUUUAAAAGAAAACAUAAAUAUGUUUGAAAAGGUUGGUUUUAAGUGAAACCAAAAAUAAAGUAACUAAAAUUACUUACAAAGAAAAGUGCUUCUUGGAGUUUUAGAUCACUAGGCUCAGGUUUGUCAUACAAAAAAGGAGAUUCUGGUCAUUUGGAUCUUUUCAUCGCAUUGGGGAUUUAACAUAUAGUUAUUUCCUGAACCAGUGUGGUACAUAUUCUUCCCCUUAAUGGUUUCAAACACUAAAUCUCUAUCACUGAAUCAUCUUGCAAUGGUUCAUACCUCUCACUUAGUAUUAGCCAUUCAGGGUGAUCCUUAACCUUGGAUUACCCGUCAAAAGCUCGCAAGAGAUAACUAAUGGAUGCCUCUUGGGAGUCCAAAAGCUUACCAAGUGUUGGCUAUUCUAGAUAAUCCUACCUUUAAACCACCUUCCAAAGGCUCGCAAGAGAUAAACUAGUAUAUCUCAAUGGAUGGAGACCACUUGCCUUACCAAGUGUUGGCCUAGGUGAUUUUAAGGGAUUUUAAGUUAACUAAAAAGAUAAAAACUAUUAACGGGUCACACUUUCUCUUUAUUAAAAACUAAAACAACAGAACUUCCACUUUUGCAUUGGGAACCUUACCUAGCUUCCUUCAUUCCAAGAAAUAAAAAUCCUAGCCACUCAUCCUCUGGGAAAACAUCAUGAGAGUUCGAUUUGCUAGAAAUAAAAAUAACGAGAAAAAAAAAUGAGAAGUUAAGGCAGAGCAAAGCUCUGUGUAUUACUUUUUGAAAAACUAUACAAAGUGUCGUCUCCGAGAAAAAAUCCCGAGAGAUCCUUUUAAAAGAAAAAUUACAAUAGAUAUUAUAUAGAGAGAGGCUAUUCACCCCUCCUGCUAACUUCCUAACCAAGAAAACUUGUCAUUGGUGGGUUACAAGGAGAAAAUAGGGAUUUACACACAAAUAUCUAAAGAUAAAUAUCAAACGGAGUCAGUGCACAAAUAUCUCAAAUUAUAGGUGGAUCUCGCAAGUUCAAAUGCAACUUGCGAAAAUUUCACAAGUUGAAAUUAUCCAUUUCGCAAGUUGCGUAAUUGUCCUACAACUUAUCAGCUCUCUGUCCUACAACGAUUCCUUUCCUCUUCCUAUUUUGCAAGUAACGAAAAUUUCGCAAGUUGGAUUCCACAACUUACGAAAUUGCUAGAUGGUUGAUUUCUUUUGUGCUUUUCUUCAUUGCAUACUCGUUUGGUUUUGGCAAAGGGUUAUGAAGCUCCAAAGCUUAGUUUCUUCAGGAGUUUGAGCUUCAACUUGCUUUGCCAUGAACUAUACAAAGAUCUCCCUCAUUCUUGGAUUGUUUUGGUGAUCAAAAAGCUAUCAAAAACACCAAAACUUAACACAAUUUGAUUAGAAACGAUUGAAAGGGUCCUUAACAUGCCAAUUGAGUUAAAAGGUAAUAACUACUACUCAAAAGUGUUUAAAAGAGUUAAUUACAAGCUAUAAAAUAACACUUUUUGAGUAGUAAUCACUCCCCCCAACCGACACAUUACUAGUCCCUUAGCAAUGAAGGAGAGAAAAAUAAAAAUAAAUAGUACUAUAAUUUACAACAUCAUGCUGAUCACUACAAAAAAUUUCAAGUGGCAUGAUGAUCAAACUUUCACAUGAGACAUUAAAGAUAUAAAACUCAAACUUCAACAAGAGUUAUCAAAUAACUUGCCUAAUCACAAUUCAUAAAGAGAAGGCAUUAUGCAAAUUUAAGUUUUAAAAGAAUUUCCAUUCCCAAAGGGUCAAUCCUUACUCUUCUACAAAAAUCUAAGUGUUACUUAUUAGUUUCUGAAUACAAAAAGUAAAUAGAUGAUCAGGUAGUGGUGGGAGGAUCAUGUGGAGACGAUGGCUUUGCUGUGGUCUCCUGAGUGCUUUGGAUAGGAGUCUCGACCUCUGCUGUAGUAGUCUCCUCAUAGGGCAUAGUCUGCUCUGCUGGAGUAGCCUCCUGAGAUGGAAUAGCUUGCUCAGCUAGAGUAGCCUCCUCAGAUGGAGCUGUAGGCUCUAAUGGACUAGGCAUAUCAUGCUCAGAUGGUGGCAGAAUACCUAAAUGCUUCCGUAUUUGACUAAGGAUCGUAGUAUGUUGGGUUUGCAUGGCAAUAAGUUGAUCCUGACAUGCACGUAUGACUGUUAUCUAUUGGGCGAGAACACUUUGAGUAGUGCUCAAUGUCUGCAAUGUAUGACAUAGGCCUCUAAACUCUAAACUACAUAUAGUGAUAGAAGACUCAGAUGGAGGAGGUGCUAAUGUAGCUGGUACAACUAGUAAAGCUUCAAAAGUGGUAGAAGGAGCAGAAGAUGUAGCCUCGGGCGUGGGCACUGUAGAAGGUACUGUAGGGGUAGGUGGUAUGAUCUCUGUAGGUAUCUCAGCUUGUUGUGCCUGUGGUGGCUGCUCAUCUUGUGGUAACUCUGGAGGUGUUGGCACAUCUGGGGCCCUUGGGGGUGCAACAUAGGUUGUCAAAUGAUUCCAUUUGUCGAGAAUGAAUAGCUCUCGAAAAAUACGGCGGCGCUCAAGCUGAGGCUCAGAAGGAUGGCCCAAAUGCUCUAAUAUCUAACAGAGCAGCUUGGAAAAAAGUAAUGGAAUGGCAUCUACUCUUUGGAGCUUCUUCCUGUGGACCUUCUCUUCAAAGUAGAAAAGAGAGGUCAUAAUCAAAAUAUGAGGGCCAAAGUAGAAACCCUCUGAUAUUCGGAAUAAAGCCUCCAAUAUAGCUCAUCUCCUCUGCACCAUAUGCUGAAGUGGAAAUAUGUUGGAACACAACACCACAUCUAGAAGAAGCAUCACAAGUGGAAGCUCCUUCCUAAGAAGAAAUGAGCGUGUAGAGGUCCCCCUGGACAAUAUACGGACCAUGUCUCUCUGAGAGAAAUGGGACCACUCUCUGUAAUCUGCUAGACUCAUAGGCUCAUAUGGCAUGUGCAGGGCCUCUGCAAUGUGUCUAGCUCCUAGGAUACCAUGGCGUCCAUCAAUAGUGAAAUGGAUGACAGUAGGAUCCCAGACGCGACGAGUAGUCAUAGACUGAUAAAAGUCUAGUGCUACUCUGGGAUAGAAGAAGUCCCUAGGAGUCAUCAGGUGCUCCAAAUGGUAUCUCUGCAGUAGGCGGAAUGAAUCUCUAAGUUCCGGCUGCUGUUUGAAAGUCUCCAUAUCAAAACAUAGCUCAGAGUGGAAUGGCCUAGCUCAGCAAUCCAAAUUUCCCUCUAUAGGUGGCUGUGUAACCAUAGGUCGCCUGAUAAUCACUUCUAGAGUCAUCCCAGAAGGAAUCUGAGACUUUGUAGCAAGAGGCUGAGGCUGUGGAGGUGCAGAUGACUCUCCUGGGCCUGAAACUCUGGCUUUCUUUGCAGGAGGGCAAUGAACUGAUUUCUUGGGACGUAAAAUGCUUGCCCUAGGUGUAGUAGGUGGUCUCCUCGUCUCGUGCCUACGCUGAGGAGGGCUAGAUGGCACUCCACCCUCAGAAUGUGGAAUGGCAGAGGCCUGUGGAGCCUCAGAUGUGGAAUCCCGUGCAGGUGAAGCUCUUGGCCUUGGAUUGCAGGUUGAUGAAGACGCGAUGUAGGCUCCUCUUGUCUUGGCCAUGGCUGAAAUGGAGAGGCUUGUGUUCCACAAGGUGCGUGGAGGUGUGCGGAGUGGUUCUUCUUCAAACGCACAACUUUUGGGCUUCCAACUCUAGAAUUUGGGGGACUUUGCAACUUACAAGGUUAUUUUGCAACUUGAAAGGGCUAUGCGACAUGAAAAUGGAAAAAAUAAGAGGUUUAAAUAUGAAUUUAAACGUCGGUUGGCAUUUUCACAAGUUGGCCUGAAUUCGCAAGUUGGUUCGCAAGUUGCCCAUUUUCGCAACUUGAUUCACAGGUUGCGAAACUUGAAAUUGAACUUACGAAAUGGCACAUGUGUGCUUGGAGGUGCUUUCGCAGGCUCCAAAAAUUUUCACAAGUUGAAUAGUGGACUUGUGAAUUUGAGCUUUGAGGAUUUCGCAAGUUGGACCCUAUUUUCACAAGUUGGAAUUUCAGCUUGCGAAAUUUUCGCAAAUUGAAAUAUUGCUCUGUAUUUCAGGCUUUUUCUCCUUCUUUGGUUCUUUAAGGCUUUCCUCCAAUUCCUUUGAAGUUCCUCCUAAUUUUGAUCAUCCAAAAAGUCUAAGUUAAAUCAAAAUAAAAUAAAUUAAAGCUAGAAUUAAAAUUAAAACAAAUAAUAAAGCUUUUAAAUCAACAAAAUUGAAACAAAAAACAUGGACUUUGGUUAGUCUUCAAAAAGACUAAGUCCAUCUACUCCUUUUUGGUUAAGAUUGUUGUGGCUCAAGAAGACUGACUUCCUCCUUAUCUUGAUUGAAAGGCUCCAUGAAUGGCUUGAGACGGUGGCCAUUGACUUUGAAAGUGUUUGUGCUAUUGGAAUUGAGUAGUUCAACUACUCCAUUGGAAUGCACUUGGUGAAUAAUGAAAGGGCCUAUCCACCUUGAUUUUAGCUUUCCUGGAAAGAUGUGGAGCCUAGAGUCAUAGAGUAAGACUCUUUGUCCCUUUUGAAAUUCUUUGUUGGAGAUUAACUGAUCAUGCCAUCUCUUCAUCCUCUGUUUUGCAAUUUUGGAAUUGAUGUAGGCAUCAUUUCUCAAUUCAUCCAUCUCAUUAAGGUCUAAGCAUCUCUUCAUCCCAGCUCUGUUCAAGUCCAUGUUUACCUUCUUAAUUGCCCACCAAGCCUUAUAUUCAACUUCCACAGGGAGAUGGCAUGUUUUGCCAUAGACUAGGCGAUAAGGAGACAUGCCAAGAAUAGUCUUGUAAGUUGUUCUGUAUGCCCAUAGUGAAUCAUGGAGCUUAACAUACCAAUCUCUUCUGCUCGUGUUCACCACCUUCAUCAAUAUAUUCUUGAUUUCCGUAUUUGCUAACUCAACUUGCCCAGAAGUCUGAGGGUGGUAAGGUGUAGCUACCUUGUGCUUCACCCCAUACUUGGCUAAGAGAGUUUCAAAAGGCUUGUUGCAAAAAUGAGUACCUCUAUCACUGAUUAUGACCUUGGGCACCCUAAAUCUUGAGAAGAUGUUCUCGUUGAGAAACUUGAGAACAACUCUGUGGUCAUUUUGUUUACACGGGAUUGCCUCAACCCAUUUAGAAACAUAGUCUACCCCCACCAAAAUGUAAGAGUUACCAAAAGACAUAGGGAAAGGUCCCAUGAAGUCAAUGCCCCAAACAUUGAAAAGAUCAACUAUAAAAUGGGGUUCAUAAGCAUUUGGUUCCUACGUGUUAACUUCCUAAGCCUUUGGCAUCUAUCACAGCUCCUGCACAUGGCGUGAGCAUCUUUGAAAAGUGAUGGCCAACUGAAACUUGAUUGCAACACUUUCAUGGCUAUUUUCUAAUAGGCAAAGUGGCCUCCACAUGAGCUUUCGAGGCAAUGACUGAGGAUCCCCUGUUGCUCUUGUUUAGGGACACACUUCCUUAUUAUUCGAUAUGCACAAUACUUGAAAAGGAAAGGUUAUUCCCAAUAGUAGGCAUGAAUUUUUGUAAAGAAGUGCUUCCUAUCUUGUGCUAUCCACUCACUUGGAAUUUCACCAGUAACUAGAUAGUUAGCAAUAUGAGCAUACCAAGGAGUAUCUUCUAACAACAUGAGUGACUCCUUCAGAAAAUCAUCAUUAAUAGGUAAACCAUGGGAAUUAUGCGAUAUAGCCAGCCUAGAAAGGUGGUCAGCUACCACAUUCUCCACUCAUUUCUUGUCUUUGAUUUGGAGAUUGAACUCUUGCAGUAAGAGAAUCCAUCUAAUCAGCCUUGCUUUUGCAUCUUGCUUUGUCAAUAAGUACUUCAAAGCUGAGUGGUCAGUGAAAACCACAAUGAAAGACCUUACCAGAUAAGCACGAAAUUUGUCCACGGCAAAAACUACAGCCAACAAUUCUUUCUCUAUGGUUGUGUAGUUUCUUUGCGCUUCAUUCAAUGUUUUACUUGCAUAGUAGAUCACAUAGGGCUUUCCAUCAUCUCUUUGACCAAGAACAACUCCUAUAGCAAAGUCACUGGCAUCACACAUCACUUCAAAAAGUAGUUGCCCGUUAGGAGCCCUUACUAUUGGAGCGAUUGUCAAGAACUGCUUCAGUUGCUCAAACCUCUUUCGAUAUCUUUCAUCCCAUACAAAUUUAGCAUCCUUCAGUAAUAGUUCACAAAGAGGCUUUGAAAGUUUAAAGAAAUCUUUAAUAAACCUCCUGUAGAACCCAACAUGGCUAAGGAAUUGCCUCACUCCUUUUACAGUUGUUGGGGAUGGCAAUUGAUUACUACUCAAAAAGUGAUAUUUCAUAGCUUGUAAUUAACUCUUUUAAACACUUUUGAGUAGUAUUUAUUACCUUUUAACUCAAUUGGCAUGUUAAGGACCCUUGCAAUCAAUUCUAAUCAAAUUGUGUUAAGUUUUGGUGUUUUGAUAGCUUUUUUAUCACCAAAGCAAUCCAAGAUUGAGGAGAGUUCUUUGGAAUCCAUGGCAAAGCAAUGGAAAGCUCAGAAACAUGAAUAACCAAAGCUUUGAAGUCCUUUGCCAUAAGCAAAUCCGGAAUGCAAGGAGGGAAAGCAAAGAGAAAUCUGCCAUGAAGCAUUCUUGAUGACAGUCAUGUUAGCCACUUUUGGAGCACUUCCUGGAGUCCAAUUUAUGCAUGCUAUAUGUCGUUUCGAAGCUCAGGAAGUCAACAAUCCAAUGCUUCGAAAUGAAAUGAAGGAGUUAUAGCCAUUGGAAGCCGAUCACUCCAAGCUGAAGGAAGAAUUUUGAACGGCUGCGAAAUCACCCUUUUGCUGCGAAAUGAUUUCGCAACCAUUUUGCACAGUGCAACAAAAUUUCUCCUGAAGUUUCCCGAUAUUUGCGACCGACACUUUUGGAUAUUUUGCUUCAGAUUUUUGAUGUCUAAAUCCCCAUUUUCUCCUUGUAACCCACCAAUUAUAGGAUUCCUUAGUUAUUAAGUUUGGAAAAUGGGUGAAUAACCUCAGAUAUUUUGUUUUGUAAUUUUCUUUAUAUAUAGCUCUCGGGAGCUUGUUCUCAGAGCAUCAUGUAAUCCAACGGGAUAUAGAUAUAUAAAUAUAUAGAAUAUACAGAGCCUUGCUCUGUUUUUCCUUCUUUUUCAUUUUCUUUUUCUUUCUAGCCAACCAAACUCUGAGGAUUUUUCCUCAGAGAAUGAGAGGCUAGGCUUUUCGUCUCUUGGAGUGAGGAAAGCCGGGUAAGUUUCCGAAUGCAAAAUUGGAAGUUUUGUUGUUUUAGUUUUUAAUGAAGAGAAAGUGUGACCCGUUCAUGGUUUUUAUUUUUUUAGUUAACUUAAAACGCCUUUAAAUCACCUAGGCCAACACUUGGUAAGGCAAGUGAUCUCCGUCCAUGGAGAUUCACUAGUUUAUCUCUUGCGAGCCUUUGGGAGGUGGUUUGAAGGUAGGAUUUUCUAGAAUAGCCAACACUUGGUAAGCUUUUGGACUCCAAGGAGACAUCCAUUAGUUAUCUCUUGCGAGCUUUUGACGGGUAAUCCAAGGUUAAAGAUCACCUUGAAUGGCAAGUGCUAGGUGAGAGGUAUGAGCCAUUGCAAGGUGCAUCAGUGAGAGGGAUUUAGUGUUUGAACCCAUUAAUGGGAAGCAUCUGUACAAUACCGGUUGGAGAAGGAACUAUAUGUUAAUUCUCUAAUGCAAGGAAAAGAAACAAGUGACCGGAACUCCCUUUUUGUAUGAGGAAUCUGAGCCUAGUGAUCUGAAACUCCAAGAAAUACUUUUCUUUGUAGUUAAAAUCAGUUACUAUUUUUGGUUAGCUUAAAACCAACCUUUUCAACCAAUGAUUAUGUUUUCUUUUAAAGCUAACCUUGAAAUGAAAAGGCACCAAUUCACUUUGAAUUAAUAUCAUUUGUGAAGUGAAAACCCAUCCCAGUGAACGAUCCUAGAGCCACUAUGCUAUAGUAGCUUUGUCUUUGCUACCCUAGUUCAUGGUGUAAUAGGUUAUAAAUUUUGUUGAUUACUCCCUCAAUCAAGGAGCACCAGCUGGACACGAAUCAGCUGAGACACCAAUUGGGCAUGAAUCAAAUGGCGUCGUUGCCGGGGAUGGUGCCACUUUACAAUGAUAUCACCUUUUCAGAGUACUUGUGAUCUUUAUCACAAGUUUGGUGACUUUUCUUUUCUCUUUACUAACUCUUUUUAUUUGUUUCUUUUUCUUUGUUCAUAUUUUAGUAUAGUUUUUAUUUAGUUUUUAGUUAAUCUUAAGAAUUUUUUUUUUGUUCUCUAUAAUUUUUGUUUCUUUUGUUUUGUUUUGUUUUCUCUGUUUUUUAUGCUCAAAUUGCUAGUUGUGCAUGCCAUAUUGAAUACGAGAUAGCAGAGGAAGCUAUGAAUUUCAUGAAUUAUGUGGCUGAAGUUUCAAGAGGAUGUGAUGAACCAAAUGCUAGAGAUAUGGGAAGAAUGACGUCUCAACCUAAUGCUAAGGGUGAGAUGUAUAUUUUGAAUGAUGACAUAGACAUGAAGGCAAAGAUUGCAGCUAUGGCAAGGAGAUUGGAAGAGCUAGAAAUGAAGAAGAUGCAAGAAGUGCAAGCCAUCUCUCAGACACCAUUGCAAGCUAUGCCUUGUGCCAUUUGUCUAUCUUAUGAGCACUUGGUGGAAGAGUGUCCUAUCAUUCCAACGGUGAGAGAAAUGUUUGGUGAUUGCAACACCUACAAUUCCAAUUGGAGGGACCAUCCAAAUUUCUCUUGGAAACCACAACUGUCUCAGUACAAGCAACAUGUUCAAGCACUUCCGCAAGCCUCAAACCUUGAACAAGCUAUGGUGAAUCUUAGCAAGGUCGUGGGAGACUUUGUUGGAGCUCAAAAAUCUAUCAAUGCUCAUCUCAGUCAAAGAAUUGACAGUGUAGAGAGUUCAUUGAACAAAAAGAUGGAUGGAAUACAAAAUGAUCUAUCUCAGAAGAUAGAUAAUCUCCAAUAUUCAAUCUCAAGGUUUGCCAACCUCAACACAAUGCAAGAGAAAGAAAACUCUCUUUCUCAACCUCAUCAAAAUUCCAAGGGUAUCCAUGAAAUGGAGGCUAAGGAGGGAGAACCUUCACAAAAGAGGGAAGUCAAAGAAGUGAUCACUCUGAGGAGUGGUAAAGAGGUUGAUAUGCCCACAUCCAAGCUAGAGCAUAUGGUAGAGAAUGAAACAGAGAAAGAAAAGAGGGAGGAAAUCAAAGGAAAGAAAAUGGGGAAAAGUAUAGAGAAAGAUGACUAUGAUUUUAAUAUAGAAGGAGAACCACAGAGGAUAGUCAUCAAGGAAGAAUUGAUGAAGAAACACAUGCCUCCACUUUUCCUCCAAGCUUUGUAUGGCAAAAUCAUACAGAGCAAGUCUCAAGUGAGAGAUGCAAACUUCAUAUGGGAUCCGAGCAAGCUGAACCAAGGAUCAGAUUUUUUGAUGGACUUAGUCUUUUUAAAGACUAGCUAGUCCAUAUCUUUUUGUUUUAUUUAUUACUUGUUUUAAUUUUGAUUUCAAUGCUUUAAUUCUAAUUUGUUUUGAUGUAAUAUAGGUUUUUGGAUGAUCAAAAUCAAGAGGAAUGUCAAAAGAAGUGAAAGAAGGAAGUUGGGAAUCAAGAGGAGCUCAAAAGCAUAAAAAUUCAGUGGUUUGUGAAAUUUCGCAACCAAAAAUAGCCCCCUGCGAAAUCGCCACUUUGUUGCGAAAUUAUUUCGCAGCCCCAAGAAGUCGCUGCGAAAACGCCACUUUGCUGCGAAAUGAUUUCGCAGCCCCAUGCUCCCCUCUGCGAAAAUUUUCACAGCUGCGAAACCACCUCUUGGCACACGAGUGCCAUUUCGCAACCUCAUACCCUCAUUUCGCAGCUGCGAAAUGGCCGCAAAAUCUCCAAAGCGUAAAAACUCCCACUUUUCGCAGCCAAAGCCUCAUUCCGCAAGGAGUUUCGCAACUGAGAAACCAUUCUUUGGCACACGAGUGCCAUUUCGAAGCCCCGUACACUCAUUUUGCAGCUGUGAAAUGGUUGCGAAAUCCUCCAUGCCUUAAAAUCCUUCAGCGCGCACACCAUGAAGCCGCACCCCCAUUUCGGCAACUAUUGGACACAUUUAGAUCACUUCCUGAAGUCCAUUUCAUGCAUAAAAUCUGUCAUUUCAAAUCUUGGGAAGUCAGGAGUCCAACGCUUCAAACGGUGCUCAAUUUGGAGUUGAAACGAAGAAGUUAUGGCUGUUUAAGACGAACACGCAAAGCUAAGCGAAAAUUUCGCAGCCAAAGCCCCAUUUCGCAGGGUGUUUCGCACACGAGUGCCUUUGGCACACGAGUGCCAUUUCGCAGCCACCCAACCCCAUUUCGCAGCUAUGAAAUGGGCUGCGAAAAUGGCACCCGGCCGCGAAAAUCCCAUUUGGUUGCGAAAUGUUUUCACAGCCCCAUAGCUACCCCCUGCCAAAUCCUCCAUUUGCUGCGAAAAUGGUUGUUUGUUGCCAAAUGAUUUUCAAACUUCCAAAUGGCUAUGAAAUGAUCUCCAAGCUUUGAAAUGGUUGUGAAAUGAUUUUCAAGCUUCAAAAUGGGUUGCGAAAAUGUUUCUAUUUUUUCCAUGGGCUGCAAAAAUGUUUUUCUUUUUUCCCUUUGGCUGCAAAAUGAUCUCCAAACUAUGAAAUGACCUCCAUGCUAUAAAAAUGACUUGCAAAAUGAAGAGAGGUUUGCAAAAACACUUUGAAAAGCCAAGGGAAGUUCCGAAAAUGCCAACAUAGCCCCGCAACCAUGCAUCUAAAGAGGAGAGCCCUCUCACUAAGAUCACACACAUGAAGCCUCUCACUCCAUUUCUGACCUCCUUAAACCAUUAGAGCCCAUAGCUCCAGCUAAGGAGACUAUGCCACCUAAGGAGACUACCAGAACAGAGGCCAAAGUCCUGAUCCAACCCAUUCAAGAGGCCACCACAGAUGCAUCAGCUCCAUAGGACCUUACCAUUACUUGAUCAUCUCUUUAUUUUUUGUCUUUACAUAUUAUAUUAGUAUAAAUAAUUCCAUAUUUUGAUGUCUUAUAUUCUGAGAUUGGAUGUAUUACUAAUGAUGCAUCAUAUAUAGACAUCAUUUUUGUUAAAACUUAGCGUUUUUCUAUUUCCUCUACUCACUAACUCUUAUGUUUUCUUUGAAACAUGUGGUUUCUCCUAUACGACUCAGACUCCAUGUCACUCAGGAGGUACCACUUCCUCCCUAUUUUUCAAUCGCUUUUGUCACAUUGAGGACAAUGUUCAGCUUGGUUGGGGGGAGAGUUGAGGAAGUAAGUAUUGUUAAUAAUGCUAAGUUAUUUUGGUAAUUUAGUUGUUUUUUGCUUAAUUUUUUUUUAAAAAAAAUUUUAAAGUUUUUAUUCUACUCUCCAUGGUUAUUAAGGAAAAAUUUUCAAAAUAAAAAGGGAGAAAUUGAAUUUUUGUCUUUUUACUUGACUUAGAUUUUGUAUUAUGCUUACUAAAGUUGAUGAAUUGUUGAAACUUCUAUUGAAUUCAACCUUAGUUCUUCCACUUUAAGCUAUUCACACACUGUGCACAAUAGGUUCCGAGUAUAAGAUGAAAAACUAUUUCCCUCUUGACUUAGGAAAAUUUUAGACUUGGUACCUUUGACCUCAUUUAAUAGUGUUGGGACACCUUGUAAAAGGCCAAUGAGUAUUUGAAAAGAAAGAAAGAAAGAAAGAAAAAUGUUUGCUUGCCUUGAAACCCGAGCAAGGUCUGAGGGGUAUAUGGUGAAAAUCUUUAAAACCUGGUGCCCUAAGCCUUAAUUGGUUGGGAGUCACCGACCUCAAUGCUCGUUACAUGGGUGAAUAGGUGGAGUUUAACAUACUGUAGGUGCUUGGGUAUUAAAAAUUCAUUCUCAAAAGUCCGGGGUAAAAUCCGAGGAGUUAGUGGUUUAAAGAUCUUUAAAGCUUGAUGCCCUAAACCUUAAUUGGUUGGGAGUCAUCGAUAGACCCCCGUUACAUGGACAAUUUAGAAAAAAUACCUUUAAGCCUUGUACUCCUACAAUGAAAAAAAUUGUGAAAAAAGAGGUGCGUUCUUAGCCUAUUGGAGGUUCAUCAGUUUGCUAAGCUUUGAAAAAGAACUAGGUUGGGGGGAGAGAUUAGUUCAACAUACUAUAUUCGGAAGCUAAUAAGUAAUACUUAGAUUUUUGUGGAAGAGUAAGGUUUGAUCCUUUGGAAGUGGAAAUGAUUUUAAAGCUUAAAUUUGCAUAAUGCCUUCUCUUUAAGAAUUGUGAUUAGACAAGUUAUUUGAUAACUCUUGUUGAAGUUUGAGUUUUAUUUCUUUAAUGUUCCAUGUGAGAGUUAGAUCAUCAUGCCACUUGGAAAUUGUUUUUUGAUCAGCAUGAUGUUGUAAAUUAUAGUACUUUUUAUUUUUAUUUUUUCUCUCCUUCAUUGCUAAGGGACUAGCAAUAUGUCGGUUGGGGGGAGUGAUUACUACUCAAAAAGUGCUAUUUCAUAGCUUGUAAUUAACUCUUUUAAAUACUUUUGAGUAGUAGUUAUUACCUUUUAACUCAAUUGGCAUGUUAAGGACCCUUGCAAUCAAUUCUAAUCAAAUUGUGUUAAGUUUUGGUGUUUUGAUAGCUUUUUUAUCACCAAAGCAAUCCAAGAUUGAGGAGAGUUCUUUGGAAUCCAUGGCAAAGCAAUGGAAAGCUCAGAAACAUGAAUAACCAAAGCUUUGAAGUCCUUUGCCAUAAGCAAAUCCGGAAUGCAAGGAGGGAAAGCAAAGAGAAAUCUGCCAUGAAGCAUUCUUGAUGACAGUCAUGUUAGCCACUUUUGGAGCACUUCCUGGAGUCCAAUUUAUGCAUGAUAUAUGUCGUUUCGAAGCUCAGGAAGUCAACAAUCUAAUGCUUCGAAAUGAAAUGAAGGAGUUACAGCCAUUGGAAGCCGAUCACUCCAAGCUGAAGGAAGAAUUUUGAACGGCUGCAAAAUCACCCUUUUACUGCGAAAUGAUUUCGCAGCCAUUUUGCACAGUGCAACGAAAUUUCUCCUGAAGUUUCCCGAUAUUUGCGACCGACACUUUUGGAUAUUUUGCUUCAGAUUUUCGAUGUCUAAAUCCCCAUUUUCUCCUUGUAACCCACCAAUUAUAGGAUUCCUUAGUUAUUAAGUUUGGAAAAGGGGUGAAUAACCUCAGAUAUUUUGUUUUCUAAUUUUCUUUAUAUAUAGCUCUCGGGAGCUUGUUCUCAGAGCAUCAUGUAAUCCGACGGGAUAUAGAUAUAUAAAUAUAUAGAAUAUACAUAGCCUUGCUAUAUUUUUCCUUCUUUUUCAUUUUCUUUUUCUUUCUAGCUAACCAAACUCUGAGGAUUUUUCCUUAGAGGAUGAGAGGCUAGACUUUUCGUCUCUUGGAGUGAAGAAAGCCGGGUAAGUUUCCGAAUGCAAAAUUGGAAGUUUUGUUGUUUUAGUUUUUAAUGAAGAGAAAGUGUGACCCGUUAAUGGUUUUUAUUUUUUUAGUUAACUUAAAACACCUUUAAAUCAUCUAGGCCAACACUUGGUAAGGCAAGUGAUCUCCGUCCAUGGAGAUUCACUAGUUUAUCUCUUGCGAGCCUUUGGGAGGUGGUUUGAAGGUAGGAUUUUCUAGAAUAGCCAACACUUGGUAAGCUUUUAGACUCCAAGGAGACAUCCAUUAGUUAUCUCUUGUGAGCUUUUGACGGGUAAUCCAAGGUUAAAGAUCACCUUGAAUGGCAAGUGCUAGGUUAGAGGUAUGAGCCAUUGCAAGGUACAUCAGUGAGAGGGAUUUAGUGUUUGAACCCAUUAAUGGGAAGCAUCUGUACAACACCGGUUGGAGAAGGAACUAUAUGUUAAUUCUCUAAUGCUAGGAAAAGAAACAAGUGAUCGAAACUCCCUUUUUGUAUGAGGAAUCUGAGCCUAGUGAUCUGAAACUCCAAGAAAUACUUUUCUUUGUGGUUAAAAUCAGUUACUAUUUUUUGUUAGCUUAAAACCAACCUUUUCAACCAAUGAUUAUGUUUUCUUUUAAAGCUAACCUUGAAAUGAAAAGGCACCAAUUCACUUUAAAUGAAUAUCAUUUGUGAAGUGAAAACCCAUCCCAGUGAACGAUCCUAAAGCCACUAUGCUAUAGUAGCUUUGUCUUUGCUACCCUAGUUCAUGGUGUAAUAGGUUAUAAAUUUUGUUGAUUACUCUCUCAAUCAAGGAGCACCAGCUAGACACGAAUCAGCUGAGACACCAAUUGGGCACGAAUCAGCAAUUUGACAAUAAGUUCCACCUUUGCUUUAUCAACUUCAAUGCCUUUCUUGGAGAUGAUGUGGCCAAGGACAAUUCCUUGUUGUACCAUAAAAUGGCAUUUCUCCUACUUAAGCACUAAGUCUUUUUCAAUGCAUCGGUUUAGAACAACUUCCAAGUUGACUAAACAUUCCUCAAAUGUGCUUCCAUAUAUGGUUAUAUCAUCUAUAAAAACUACCGUAAUACGCUCCACCAUAUCACUGAAAAUGCUUAACAUACAUCAUUGGAAUGUUGCAGGUGCAUUGCAUAAACCAAAAGACAUUCUUCUAUAGGCAUAUGUUCCAAAUGGACAUGUGAAAGUGGUUUUCUCCUAGUCUUUAACAUCAAUUUCUAUUUGAAAAUACCCGGAGAAGCCAUCUAAGAAACAAUAGAAAGGAUGGCCUGAGACUCUCUCCAACACUUGAUCAAUAAAUGGCAAUGGAAAAUGAUCAUUCCUUGUCACAACAUUCCAUUUUCUAUAAUCAAUACACACCCUCCAACCUGAAGUGAGGUGUGUAGCAACUUCUUCUCCCUUAUCAUUUUGCACCAUUGUGAUCUCUGAUUUCUUUGGCACUACUUGAGUAGGACUCACCCAUGGGCUAUCUUAUAUGGGGUAGAUAAUACCAGCCUGAAGUAGCUUAAGAACUUCAACUUGCACCACCUCUUGCAUAUGAGGAUUCAAUCUUCUUAAAGGUUGACGAAUUGACUUAGUUUCUUCUUCUAUGUAUAUAUGAUGCGUACAGACUAAAGGGUUGAUACCUUUCAAGUCAGAUAUUUGCCAUCCUAUUGCUUUCUUACAUCUCCUGAGAACUUCAAGUAAACACUCCUCCUAAGGAGUGGUAAGAGAUGAAGAUAUAACAACAGGGCACUUCGUAUUCUUUUCUAGGUAUGGAUACUUCAACUCCGUGGGUAAUGGCUUUAAACUAAGCUUUGGGGCCUCCUCUUUAACAGCUUCUUGUAUCUCCUCCUCAUUGAACAAAGGUAGAAUUUCUUCUAUCCUCCUCCAACCUGGUAGAGUAGUAAGCAAAUCUGAGGGUUCAAGCAACCCUUCAUCAAGAUCCCUAAGACUUUCAUUCAAUUUCUUUUGUACUUUCUGAUUACAAUGCUCCUUCACUAAAGUGUCAAUGAUGCACACCUCUUCUAGACCUUCUUCUUCCAACUUGAUUGGCUUCUUGGACAUAUAGUAGAUAUUGAGUUCCAAUGUCAUGUUCCCAAACGUGAGUUGCAUGAGUCCAUUCCUACAAUUGAUGAUUGCAUUUGAUGUAGCUAGGAAUGGUCUUCCAAGUAUGAUAGAAACAUAAUUAGUUUCCUUGACAAUUGGGUCCGUAUCAAGAACAAAAAAAUCCAUUGGAUAGUAGAAAUUGUCAACUUGAACUAAGACAUCUUCAAUCAUCUCUAUUGGAAUCUUCCCUUGUCUAUCUGCUAGAGAUAGAGUGAUUGAUGUUGGCUUCAAUUCACCAAGUUCCAAUUGCUUGUAGACAGAGUAUGGUAGCAAAUUCACACUUGCCCCCAAGUCCAACAAAGCUUUCUCCAAUAAAGUCCCUCCAAUCAUCACUGAGAUGGUAGGGCAGCCCGAAUCUUUGUACUUCACUGGAGACUUGCACUGUAUGAUGGCACUUACUUGCUCAGUCAAGAAGGUUUUCUUAUUCACAUUCAACCCUCUUUUGAUAGUGCACAAGUCCUUCAAGAAAUUUUCAUAAGUCGGCACUUGUUUGAUCAUGUCUAGCAAUGGGAUGUUGACCUUCACUUGCCUCAAUACUUCAAGAAUUUCUGAUGCAUUGCUGAUUCCCUUUUUCCCAUGCAAAGCUUGAGGAAAAUGUGGAGGCAUGUAUUUCUUCAUCACAUCUCCAUUGAUAACUAUCUUCUCUGGAUCUUCAUUCACUGUUGAAUCAUGGUCUUCUUUCCUUCCACUACUUCCUUUCUUAUUUCCUUUUAUUUCCUCCUUCUUCUCUAUCUCUUUUUCACUCUUUGUUUCAUCAUGUGGCUUGGGUGUUGGUAGCUCAACCUCUUUACCACUCCUCAAAGUGAUCAUGGCUUUGAUGUCUCUCACCUGUGAAGAUUCUCCCUCAUGAGCUUCCACUUCAUGGAUACCCUUAGGGUUUUGGUGAGGUUGAGAAGGAAACCUUCCCUUCUCUUGCACUGUGUUAAGGUUGGUGAGCCUUGAGAUUGAGUAUUGGAGAUUAUCUAUCUUCUGAGAUAAAUUUUUUUGCAUUCCAUCCAUCCUUUUAUUCAAUGUAUUCUCUACACUAUCAAUUCUUUGAUUGAGUUGAGCAUUGAUGGAUUUCUGGCCUCCAACAAAAUCUCCCACGACCUUGCUUAGAUUCACUAUUGCUUGCUCAAGAUUGGAAGCUUGUUGAGAUGCUUGGCCUGGUUACAUGUACUGAAGUGCUCUUAGUUUCCAAGAGAAAUUUGGAUGGUUCCUCCAAUUUGAAUUGUAGGUAUUUCCAUAUGAAGCAUUGUUAUUGGGCUUGAAUUGUCCAAUGAUAUUCGCUUGAUCUCCAAACAUUUCUCUAACAACUGGAAUUGUAGGACACUCCUCCACCAAGUGCUCAUAAGAUUGACAAAUGGAACAAGGCAUAACUUGCAUUGGUGUUUCAAAAACAGCUUGCACUUCACGUAUCUUUUUCAGUUUUAGCUCCUCCAAUCUUCUUGUCAUAACUCCAACUUUUGCUUUCAUGUCAAUAUCUUCAUUCAAGGUAUACAUCCCAGCCUUAGCAUUAAGAGCAUUUGGUUGAGACUUCAUUUUUCCCACUUCUCCCUUGUUCGGUUCAUCCCAUCCUCUUGAAACUUCAGCAACAUAAUUCAAGAAAUCCAUGGCUUCCUCUGGAUUCUUACUCAUGAAAUCUCCUCUACACGUAGUCUCUAGGAGUUGCUUCAUUGAGGAAGACAUACCGUCAUAAAAGUAGCUUACCAAUAGCCAUGUAUCAAAGCCAUGGUGAGGAUAAGCAUUGAUAGCUUCCAUGUAUCUCUCCCAACACUCAGAAUUUCUCAUUCUCUUUAGCUAAGAAGUUUGAAAUUUGCCUUUUCAAGCCAUUGGUCCUAUGAGUAGGAAAAAAUUUCUUGAGAAAUUUAGCUUGCAAAUUAGUCCAAGUUCAGAUAUUCCUUGGCCUUAAAGAAUUAAGCCAAAUCUUGGCCUUAUCCUUCAAAGUGAAAGAAAAUAGCUUUAGCCUCAUCAAGUCAAUUGAAGCUUCUGCCUCUUGGAAUGUAUUACAAACAUCUUCAAAUUCUUUGAUAUGCGCGUAGGGAUUCUCACUUUCCAUCCCAUGGAAAGUAGGUAGAAGUGGCACAAUAUGCAGUCUGAUUACUAGCUGCUCUGUAAGAGGCACUAUGCAUGAUGAUGCACUCAUACGAGGUGGACGCAUGCGGUCCCUCAUUGAUCUGAAUGCAUUGGGAUUGUCCUGUUGACCAUGGUGACUAUGCUAAUCUUCAGGUGUAGCUUCCAUGAUGUUCAAGCACAAUUCCAACUCUGUUUAGUGAGGUGUUUCAAUUUUUACAAGUCUUCCUCCACUAUCUCGUAUCCAAUAUGGCAUACACAACUAGUAACAACUGUAACAAAAACAAAGAAAACAAAAGAAAACAAUACUACAAAAAAAAAAAACUAAGAUUAACUAAAAACUAAAUUAAAAGAUAGGCUAAAAUAUGAACAAGUAAAAGAAACAAUUAAAAAUAGUUAGUAAAAGAAAAGAAAAAUCACCAAACUUGUGAUGAAGAUCACAAGUGUUUUGGAAAAGGUUAUAUCACUGUAAAUUUGGCACCAUCCUCGGCAACGGCGCCAUUUGAUUCGUGCCCAGCUGGUGUAUGCCUUGUUGAUUGGUGUUCAAUCAACUGGUGUACUAUGAUUUCGGUCCUCAGAUGGGAGUAAUCAACAAAAUUUGUAAACCUAUUUCCCCAUAUACUAGGGUAGCAUUAGCUAGCAUAGCAUAGUGGCUCUAGGAUCGUCCACAGGGAUGGGUUUUGAAAUUACAACUGAUAUUAGUUCAAAAACUGAAUUGGUGCUUUUUUUUUUUCAAGGUUAGCUUUAAAAGAAAACAUAAAUAUGUUUGAAAAGGUUGGUUUUAAGUGAAACCAAAAAUAAAGUAACUGAAAUUACUUACAAAGAAAACUGCUUCUUGAAGUUUUAGAUCACCAGGCUCAAGUUCGUCAUACAAAAAAGGAUAUUUCGGUCACUUGGAUCUUUUCCUCGCAUUGAGGAUUUAACAUAUAGUUAUUUCUCGAACCGGUGUGGUACAGAUGCUUCCCCUUAAUGGUUUCAAACACUAAAUCCCUGUCACUGAAUCAUCUUGCAAUGGUUCAUACCUCUCACCUAGUAUUGGCCAUUCAGGGUGAUCCUUAACCUUGGCCGUCAAAAGCUCACAAGAGAUAACUAAUGGAUGUCUCCUGGGAGUCCAAAAGCUUACCAAGUGUUGGCUAUUCUAGAUAAUCCUACCUUUAAACCACCUCCCAAAGGCUUGCAAGAGAUAAACUAGUGUAUCUCAAUGGACGGAGACCACUUGCCUUACCAAGUGUUGGCCUAGGUGAUUUUAAGGGAUUUUAAGUUAACUAAAAAGAUAAAAACCAUUAAUGGGUCACACUUUCUCUUCAUUAAAAACUAAAAUAACAAAACUUCCACUUUUGCAUUUGGAACCUUACCUAGCUUCCUUCACUCUAAGAAAUAAAAAGCCUAGCCACUCAUCCUCUGGGAAAACAUCAUCAGAGUUCAAUUUGCUAGAAAUAAAAAUAACAAGAAAACAAAAUGAGAAGGUAAGGUGGAGCAAAGCUCUGUGUAUUACUUUCUAAAAAACUAUACAAAGUGUUGUCUUUGAGAAAAACUCCUAAGAGAUCCUUUUAAAAGAAAAAUUACAAUAGAUAUUAUAUAGAGAGGCUAUUCACCCCUCCUACUAACUUCCCAACCAAGAAAACUUGUCAUUGGUGGGUUACAAGGACAAAAUAGGGAUUUACACACAAAUAUCUGAAGAUAAAUAUCAAACGGAGUCGGUGUGCAAAUAUCUCAAAUUACAGGUGGAUUUCGUAAGUUCAAAUGCAACUUGCGAAAAUUUCGCAAGUUGAAAUUAUCCGUUUCGCAAGUUGCGUAAUUGUCCUGCAACUUAUCAGCUCUAUGUCGUGCAGCGAUUCCUUUCCUCUUUCUAUUUCGCAAGUUGGAUUCCAUAACUUGCGAAAUUGUCCAACUUGCGAAAUUGCUGCAUGGUUGAUUUCUUCUGUGCUUUUCUUCCUUGCAUCCUCAUUUGAUUUUGGAAAAGGGUUAUGAAGCUCCAAAGCUUAGUUUCUUCAGGAAUUUGAGCUUCAACUUGCUUUGCCAUGAACUAUACAAAGAUCUCCCUCAUUCUUGGAUUGCUUUGGUGAUAGAAAAAAGCUAUCAAAAAUACCAAAACUUAACACAAUUUGAUUAGAAACGAUUGAAAGGGUCCUUAACAUGCCAAUUGAGUUAAAAGAUAAUAACUACUACUCAAAAGUGUUUAAAAGAGUUAAUUACAAGCUAUAAAAUAACACUUUUUGAGUAGUAAUCACUCAAGCAAGGAGAAGUGAUCAACCCACCAAAGUGGGCUUGAGAGGUAAUGAAUUUUCAGCCAAGAUUCUUUCACAUAAAUUUGAUUUGGAAGUCUUUUAAAACCAAACCUCUUUGAGAUUUAAUUCUAUAUAUACCUCCUUAUAAUCCCUUAAGGGUUAGAGAUCGAAAAGAGAUCAUAAAGAGUUUAAAGAGAUUUCAAAAUGGAGUCUCCUAGAGUGAAAGCCUAAAGGGCCACAACAUUCAUAAUCUCUCAUUCAAGGAUUUGAUAUUUGAAUCUUGGUUUGAAGACCUUCAUCCCUUCAACAAGGCUGAAGUGUAUUCAUUGGAGCAAUCAGAGGUUGCUACAUCGUGGAUGUGGUUCAAGUUGUAGGUACUGAAGAGCAAGUCUUUAGGGUAAAGGAGCCAGGUAAAUCUGUGUAACUUGAUUUCAUAUAAUGGGUUUAGAUUACUGGGUCUUAGACCUCGUGGUUUUUUAUCUCCAUAGUUAAUGUGGGGGGUUUUCCAUGUAAAAAUUCGAUGCCCAUUGCAUAUCUGUUAAUGUCAUUGCUAUAUCUUUGAAUACUUGAUUAUCAUUGUUAUCCCUAACAACUUGUAGGUUAUCCCUAAUAGAUUAAAAUUAUAUUUUAAUUCUUAAAGAUUUCAAGUAUAAUUCAUUUGGUUAUACAAGGUAUCCUUGGGAUCUCUUAGGAUAAAAUUUGAGGAUCAUAUAUAUAAAUAUUUAUUUUGAAUUUUAAAAACACCCAUUCAUCCACCCUUUGGGUGUUCCCUAUUGGAGUUUCGAUUUUUUAUGGGUGAUCCUAAAUUAAGGAAUUACUAAAAGGUUGUGAUUUUGGUAGUAUUUAAUGGAAUAAAUUCUUAUGAAGUUUUCAUGAGAGUAUUUAUUAAAUUGGAAAGGUGCAUGGACAAGGAGAGUAAAUUUGUGAGGAAUUUUAAAUAUGAGAGAAAUAUUUCCUUUAGUGGAUAAGGUGCUCUCAAGAUUUUCAAAAUCUCAUAAAUUGUUAAUUUCCUUAUUUCACUAGAGUUUCCAAUUUGGAAAUUUUCAUUAGAGAUAAUUUAUCAUUAAAAGAUUAUUACCAAAAGGCUUAGUAAUUUGAUGGAAAUAAUUUUUUUUUGAAACAUUUCCAAGAUAAAAUAUUUAUUAAUUGGAUUUGUGUAAGAGAAAGAGAAUUCAUUCUAUUAUUACACUAGGUUUCCAAUUAUGAAAUAAAUAUUUUUGGAAAUUCUCAAAAAUAGAUAAUUUAUUCAUCAAAGUAAUUACUAAGGAUUUAAAAUGUUUUUAUCUAUCUUAAAAUAUUAAGUGGGAGAGGGUUCUAAGCAAGCCCACGACCUCCAUUGUCAAGCCCAUUUUGAUUUGGGUUCAUCACCACCCUUUCAAGAUGUAUUGGAAAAAAGAACUAGAUUGUGUAAUGAUGCACAAAAAAGAAUACAUGCCUAAAAUAUAUGAUCCUUUCUUGAGUAGACCAUAUCAUGGAACAAUAAAAAAAAAUGUUUUCACCUUCAAUCAUAAAUGACACUUCUAGAGAAAAUUAUAUUAGACAUGUUUGCAGUGGGAGUGACCACCGCUUCAAUGAGGUUCUUUACUUGGUGACAUUGAUAGUUCAAGAACAAUGGUUAUACACUUGACAUUGCAUAUGAAGUAGUAGAAUCACCCCCAUGCGGUCCUGUUUGCAUUGUCCAUAGGCCAAAUUUAGAAAGUAUGUUGAUCUUACCUUUAUAUACCUUCAUGUUUAAGAUAGGAAGAUCGAUUUGAGAGGGUCUCUAACUAGUAAUAAUGUCAUGAUAUGCCCUACGUAAGCUUGAUUCUUAUGAUACUAGGAUACUUUUCAAAAGGACAUGUAGUUUGAGAGCACUAGAUUUUUGCUAAAUUAAUUACCAAUUGCCUUGAAUGCACAAUUAUGUCAUAUGCAUGGUUAUUUUCUUUGUUACAUAUAUCAUAUUGGUUAUUUAUUAUCACUUUGGACAAAACCCAACUAAUCAUUUGGACUUAGUAUUAUUCUAGAUAUAAUAACUAUGUACUUGCAUAGAAGCUAGUUUAAGUAGAGCUAGCUAAUCCUUAUGAAUAACCUAGCAAAAAAAAAGAGUGGCGUAUCAGAGGUGGUAUUAGAAGAGUUAGAAAACCAAGUGUUUAAUACUUUAUCUUUAGAUAAUGUGUUGCAAUAACAACACAUGUCUAUUAGUAGGAACUUUGAUAUUCUAUUUUUAGUCUACAAGGAUUAUUUGGUUAUAAGGGCAGGUUAGCUUAAAGAAGCUACCCUUAGGACUAUUAUGAACAUCGGAUUUUAUAUGAUCUUGAGGACCUUGCCAGUUUCUUCAGGAUGGUUAAAGGGAUUCUUAAAGAACAUAGGGUUAUAUAAAUACUUUCUUACCAAAUCAAGAUGACCCUUUUGGGCUAGAUUAAGUGACCCAAGCCUUGAUGGGCUCAAGUCACUUAAGCCCAGUGGACAAUGCUAUAAAUACCCCCUUAUUCAAUUAGUCGUCUUCCACUUUUAGAAAGAAAAAGAGAGCUAAAGCUUUUUUCUUUCCAUUACCCAUAGUUUGGAAUGCCAAGAUUGUGGUUCAAGUCUUCGGACGAAAGAUCUUGGGUGUACAAGACCUUUAAACUUUUUCUUUUCCACGUGGAAUUGAUCUAGGAACAUCCAGAUCCAAGUAUGAGUACUACAUAUCUAGAUCUAUAAUUAAUGAUGAUUUUUAUUGCCAUUUUACUCACUAUGAUAGAUUUAAAGAUGCCUAGGGAUAGAUGCAUGCACCCCACAAGAUCUAGGGACAAGGAAUAGAGAUAUUUAGGUUUCCCAACACUAUCACCAAUAACACACUAAGAGCCAUAAAUUAUGCACUCAGUGAAAUAUAAUGAGAACAGCACCCUCUAAGGGCGAUAAACAAUAUUUUACACUUAGAGAGCACUUCAAUAGCGCAACUUUAAGUGAUAGUGUAGAUUGCAUGUUUAGGAAGCCACCAUAUUACACACUUAAAGAACUCUUCUCAAAUUGCACUUGGUCAAAUAGUGCACAUUUCUUAGGCAUCCAACAAUGGCACACCCAACAUAGGAGAACCCUUUGUAGGUUGUACACUCCAAAGGUAUCAAUCCACAUUGUACACUUGGAGAAGUGCACUUAAAGUGUGCACCAUUGAGUAAAGGUUUAGAUUGCUCACCUAAGAGUUAGGCUACAUAGUGUACCUCCUAUUAUGCACUAGCGGAACCUUUAUCAAGCUACGCACCAUUCAAGCGCACCUCAUCCCAACAUGUAUAGUGCUCACAAAACUAGUAACCAUUAGUGCAUUAUUCAUUCAACAAUAAAUCAAAUGCAUAUCAAUAUUCAUUAAUGUGCAAUUUUGUCACCAAUAACUUAGUACACUCCCCCUUAAUAAAGCGUCUUCUCUCACUUCAAGAAGUGCACCCCAUAACUCAUCUCACUACAUUAUCUUAAUAGCUUCACCAGGCAUGAGCUCCAAAAAUUACUCUUUCAUCAAGUUGCAUACCAAAUAGUGCCCUUGAGGCUCCUAAAUGUUCGAUCAUCACAUCAUUAUGCUGCCACACUAACAAAACAAGAAGUGCAACCACCAUUCAUACUACACUGACAUGUUUUGACUAAAACGACCACAUUGAUACGUUACUUAUUAGGAUAGAGCCUUUAAAAGGAUGAUGUGAUGUAAUAAAAUUUUGGAUUUUAUUGUUUAUUAAUAAAAUUUCUAGUUCACUUUUAUAUAUCCUAAUUUCGCACAUUAUACUUUGUAAGAAAUCUAGUCUGUAUCUUUUGCAUUGUAUAUGAUUUGGGUGCUUUGGCAGUUGCACGAAAGAUUCAAGUCACGAGUUCCUUGCAAGUAGAUGACUAAUUAACAACCAGUUUGUGGGCUUCCCAUUAGAAGUUCUAGUGCACUACCUCCUAAUUCAAGAGAUGGUUAGUCUUGGUCAUUAGGAUGGGUUUCUCAUGGUGAGUGUACUAGUAUAUAUAGCUACACAUUGGAUAAGACAUACGACGAGUCAUGAUUUAAGGCAAUGAAGUAGUCAUGACAUUACCAAGAUUCUUUAUUAUAUUGUUUCUCACCCUUGAGAGAAUAUUAAGAUUGUGUUAAAGUUAGCAGUAGCUUUGACCAAUAGGUGAGAUCAUAAGUUGAUCAUAUAUUUCUUAUCGAUUAGGUCACUAUUAGUGGAAGUUGGUAGUAAUAUGCAUCUUGAUAGAGGCACCAUGAUAUCUCAUGGGAUUGAAAUAGAGUGUCUCUUUGGUGAUCUUAAGGAGAUGUGUUCAUGUAAAAUAUGAUUAUAAUAAUUCCUUAAGUGGAACUUGGCAUAUGAUCUUAGAGAACUAAGAUAUGUUAGUUGAACACACAAUAGGAAGAUCUAUAACUCAAAGAUAUUAGAGCUAGUAUUGAGACGUUGAUAACUUUCAUCUUAUUAGAUUAUGGACACCAAUUUAUAGGGAGAUUGAAUGCAAUAGAUGGUAGAUCACGAACCCGAGCACUUAAUGUCUCAUUAUUAUUAACAUAAGGUAAAUCUCUAUAAUAGGAUGUUGAAUCAACUUUAGAAUUGGAUCCUAUAAGACCAUUCCAAUGGUCCUUGCUUGAGCUCUUAUAACUUAAUGACACAAUCUAUGAGGUUUGGAUUAACUUCAAGUCCACUUUUGUGCAUAAGGGCAUUUUGGUAAUUACAUAAGGUUACAUAACUGUUAGUGAAUAAAGUCUUUAAAUUGAAUUAUUUAGGACCUAUUUUUUACUAGAUUAAGUAGCGUAAGCCCUUGGUGGGCACAAGUCACUUAAGCUCAAGUAGGGAACCUUAUAAAUACCCCUUAGGGGUUAGGGUUUCCAUCACUUUUUAAAGUGAACCAUCUUCCACCAUCUUGAGAGAAAGAAAAAACAAGAGCCAUAGCCUCCACCCUCCCUUCCUCCCCACUUGUUGUGUGUCAAGAUAAAAAAGAGCCAUUAAGUGGAAGAUCUUAGGUAUUUGAGACUCUAACAACUUUGAUUUUCAUCUUCACUGCAUGGACUAGAUUUAGGAACAUCAAAAUCUUAGAUAAUGUUUUCUAAUGCAUAUUUUGAAUCUUAUUAUUGUUUUAAAAAAUGUAAUUUGGUCUUUGUGCAUUGGAUUUAGCUUUGGAAGAUUCGCAUGUACCUAACUUGAUCCUAAAAUAGGAAAUGAAGAGAUUUGACUUUCCCCACAUCACCUACAUGGGCAAGAGGUGUAGCUUAGAGGAAUAAAUUUGAAGUAAUAAAGAGAAGAGAGAUUUUUCACCUAUAAAUAUGGGAACUGUAGAUAGCAGUCUCUUUUAGAAGGAGACUUUCUUAGAGGUGGCACCUUAUCUCUUAGAGAGGAGAUACGUUCUUUUCUUCUGGAGUAAAGGUGUUAAGAAAAUAAGUUAGUUUUUUUUUCUCUCUUUCCUAUUCUUGUAAUUUAUUUUUUAUUUUAGUAAAGUCUUUUGUUUUUAAUUUCAAUAAAGGUUUUGGUUUUAAAUUUUAAUAAAGUUUUUUGUUUCAACUUUAUGUUUCUAUAUUCAUUGUUGUGUGUUUUCUUUUCUAUCCUUAUGUUUUUGUUUCUUAGUUUGUGAAGGGGACUAAGGUCUCCUAUCUUUGUUUGAUUCACCGUGAUUUAGCUAUCUAUGGUUGAAAAAAGCUCUACUAAGGUCUAUGGUCAUGAGAACCAAAAUGAGUCUCCACAUGCCAGAGUUAAUGGUUAUGAGGACCAAAAAGAGUAACCAUGGUCAUGAAUCUAUUAGACAAGAACAAACUUUUUGACAUAAGAAUAAACCCAUCUAAAUCAUUUGAUUGAGAUGACCAAAAGGAGAAAUUAGAUCUAGUUGAGCCUUUGUUGAGGUGGUUGAUUCUCUUAUUAACUAGAACCAUGUUUUUGGUGCAAAACCCUUUGCUCGAUCUAAAAGCCACAAGCACUAGGCCAGGACCAAGUGAGUGAGUUAAGCUUGAGAGAAGGAAUUUCAAUGACUUUCCUAUCUAGAAGCCUGUGUUCUUUUUCUUUUCAAUUUAUAGAUUUCCUACCUCCUCCCACCCCAAAAAAAAAAAAAAAACUAAAAAUAUGUUUCAUCCUACACACUCACACCCUAGGUUCCCACCUCUGAUAUUGUCAAUCCUAAGUUAUUUAUGGAGACGACCUAAUCUCUACACAACUAUUAGUUCCUCUUUGUUUCUUUAGUUUAAGAACUAAAAGUUUCAAUUACUAAACUAGUUUAAAUUUUGCUUGAAUAAAAUUUUACUAUCAAAUCAUUUUCAUAUUAAUUUUAUUGUUUUAUUUUUAAACCAGCAAAUACAAACCCGAACCAAAUAACACUCUUGUUGUCACAAUACAUAGGAGUAGGACGAGAAAGAGAAACACCCAUAUCAACAAGUAACCAACAUUACAAAACUAUCUUUCUAGUGGUAGAUGGAAUAUUAUGAAACAAUAGUUUGUUUCUUGGUCUUUUAAAAAAAUAAGCAAAUCCCCCAAUAAAAUAUACAAAAUCUAGUAAUAGACUUGAGAUCUUCAAGAUCACAAACCCAUAAUCAGUAUCAAAAUAUGCAUGCAACUCCAAAGAGGAAGUGGAUAGAAGUAGAAGGCUCCAAAAUAGAGUGCCCUUAAUAUACCAUAGAAUAUGAAGAACAACUACCCAAUGAACUAUAGUAAGGGAAGCAACAAAUUGAUUAACAAUGUGAAAAACAUAAAUAAUGUACCAUCAGAAAAAGAAUAAUGAACAUUAACUUCAAGAGGAGUAUCAAUAGUCUUAAUAUCAAUAAGGUGAGUACAAUUGAGAAUACCAACUAUGUAUUUAAACUACGAGAGACGAAACUUUUUACAGAAUAAGCUAUCUCAAUACCCAAAAAGUAUGGUAGAAAGCUCAAAUCCUUCAUUCUAACACAAGAAACUAAGUUUGAUUUCAACAUUACAAUUCCAUCAACAUCAUCACGUAUGAUAAUCAUGUCAUCAACAUGUAGAGAAAGUAGAAUACCCAUUGUAAAUUAGGUGGAAUUAAAACGAAUGAAUGGUUUUUUCUAUUCUCUUUUUAUUUAGCAAAUCCUUUUGAUGCACAUUAUAUGCUUCUUGUGUAGCUAGGGUAUAUAGUUUUCUUUAAAUUUUAUAAUAUGCUCUUCUAGCUUAUUAGAAAAUCAUAAAGAGGACCCCUUUGGCUUUUUUUUAUAUUAUUUUUCUAUACUUAAAUGACAAAAAUGAUGAUUGAGGUUUGGCUUUCUUGCUUAUAUAUACUCUUUUGGUAAAUGCUUCAAAGCAUAUUCAUGAUACUAUCCUCCUAAUCUUGAGGAUGAGGUAGCAAAACUUCACGAAGGUAUUUGCAAAGUAGAAUGUACAACUUCUAGAUUAAAUUUGUUUGGAACUAUUUAUAAAGUUUGGAUUUGAAAUCAUUAUGAACUAUUUUUAAUAAAGUAUGAUUUCUAGAAACCUUAUCAUGUAAUCUCUUUAUACAAAUAAUAAUAAUAAUUUUGAUGUCUUCUACAAUAUGUUUUCACUUCUAUAUUGUCUAAUUAUUUUUUAAUAUGUUGUCAUAUGUAUGUUUUCUAAUAUUAAUUUCUUCCAAUAUUUUACUUGGGAAUGAAAAUGAAAUACUGUAAUAACAACAUUUAGUUUGAACUAAGUUAAUUUAAUUUUGUCCUUUUUUUUCCUACACACACAUAUAUAGAGCCCAUCUAAAAAGGGAUUGAUUGGGGUUCAAUUCUUUGAACAAAUUUGAUCAUAAAUGAAAAUAUCCUAUUAAAAUUGUAACAAUGAAUCAAUUUAAUUAGUAUAAACAUAUUCUACUAAUUUAAUCAUGUAUAGUUUACUAUAAAAUAUUUCUAAUUCUUUCUUAUUUCAAACUAAAAAGUUAAUUUUUUAAUCAAAACUUUUUGUUUUUAAAAAUAAGUGAUACAAAAGGUUGACAAUUUUUUUUUAAAAAAAAAAACAUAGAAGAAGAAUAAAUUUAUGAUAUAUGAAAUAUGUAUAUAUCUCAACUUAGAAUUAUUGUAUUCUAUGUAAAGAGGAUAUAUAAAGAGACUGGGUCAAUAAAUUAUCUUAUUGAAUAUUUGAUUGAACAUGAUAUAUGGCAAUUAAUGGAUGAGAUCAUUUACCCUAUCCUAAAGCUAACCAAUCCUGGGAUAAGAUAUGUUAUCUCAUCUCUUAUCUCAUCCAAUAUUAUGUAUAUCAAGUCAACUAAAUAUUGUCUUACUUUAGUAAGUAAUACAAUUGAGAUGCAGGGGAUGUGGACUACUAUUACUUUAAGAAGAAAUAUAGAAGUGAUAUAAACUAUUAAUAAGUACCAUAUGGGUAACUCUAAGUGAUUCAAUUUAACAUCCACCUAUCUAAAUAUAUUUAUAAUAGAUCAUCUUGGCUUAUGAAAAUUACAAAGUUGAAACAAAAUUUGGAGCACAACUAGUAAUAAUAUGAAAACAAAUCAAAAUUGGUAUCAUCGCUGCAUGCUAGUUACCUAACUAUAUUUCUAGAGCAGUCAAUUGGCAAAGUGAAAUCCAAUUAAAAGGGCCAAGAAAUGGUGAUUGAGUAAGAAGCUUUGAUAAGAUGUGUUGCAUUGUUGGACGAGAUCUCGGAUUAGAAUGUAUGCAUUUGAGUGCCAACCAAACCACAAGAACUACAUCUCUAGCAACUUGUUGAUCUUGAGGAGAUGGGAGACGUGAAUCUAAUAUAUUAGUGAGCAUUAUGUUUUGAGUUGAUGAGGAAGACAAUAAGGUGAAAAGUUCUCCUGGAUGCUUUCCCAUCAUUGUCUCAAGCGCCACCACUCCAAAGCUGUAAACAUCACAUUUUUCUGUCACGACCAUAGUGUAGGCAAGCUCUGUUAAGAAUCAAAACAAGAAAAAAAUAUUACACAAAUGAGAAAGAAACAUUCAUUUAGUUUUCUCAUAUUAUCCAUACUUAUAAAAUGUUGAGAAUAUUUCAUAGCAUUGCAUUGACAUUUGGCUACAUUUUAUUUCUAAAUUAUGAUGAAAUUAUGUUAAUUUUUACAACUUAUAUGAAACCUUCGAAAAACCAUUCUAAGGAGAUUUUAAAAAUAUUUGGGACUUACUAGGAAAAUGAAGACAACUAUUUAGAAAAUGCUUGAGAGACCAUUGAUAAGUAUUUUGUAUAUAAAGUUCUCUUACUCUCAAAUAUCUCAAACCAUUUUUUACAACAUUUUUUAAAUAACCAUUAAGAAUUUCUUUUUUUUUUUUUUUGGAACUUUAGACGAAAUAAUUAAAAAAUAUAUAUUAAAGAUAUUUCAACUUCUAUGAAGGCCCUUUGGGCCCAUAACAAAUAAUAUCUACAUAAUUAGGAGUGGGUCAUUACAAAUUGUAUUAGAGUUAAUCUAUAACCAUUAUGUGGAAAUUUGUUUGACUCUACAAUCUCAUGGGACAUAAAUAAGAUGUUGUGUUUGCAUAAAGGAUGAGUGUGAUAUCCCACUAUAGAUAUGAAACAAAAAGUUCUGACAUUAAAUAUGAAUGAGUUUCCCUUAACCUUAUAGACAAUUUUUAUAAUCAUGUGGGCUCCUUGGACCCAAAGUGAAGAAUAUCUAUAUAGUUGGGAGCUAUUAUUUAGUUUGCAUGAAAAAUAUAAUGAAAAAUAAUAUGUUAAAGAUUUAGAAGAAUUUAUUCACUUUCAAGCUCUUCAUAAUUUUGAAAUAAGUAAUAAUAGUAGAAAAAGUUUGGUUUGGCUAGUAAUAAUAUUUCGUUUCCUUUCAUCCAACAUAAUUUGUGACUUAUAUGAAGUAUAUAAUAAGAAGUAUGAAAGUACUAAAUACUUCGAAUCUCAAAGAUAACAAACUUAUUAAAACGAAAACAACCAAAAGUUCAAAAGAUAUAUCGAAAGAGUAAAAGCUGAAAGAAAAACUGGUGUGUACUUACCUGGUGCUAUGUAACCAUAAGUGCCUGCAAGAAGGGUUUGAUUAGAUGAAUCAGGAUGUAGCAGUCUAGCGGUGCCAAAAUCCGAUAGAAAAGCAUCCAAUUUGGAGUCCAAAAGAAUAUUAUUGCUUGAUAUGUCCCUAUGAAUAAUGGGUGGAGUACAAUCAUGAUGCAUGUAGCAUACGGCAUGGACUAUGCUUUUAACCACAUUCACCCUUUUAAUCCAAUCCAAUUCCAAAGCUUCAACUUCAUUACUCAAUACACAAUACAAGCUUCCUCUUCCCAUGUAAUUGUAAAUCAAAAACAUGCAUCUUUUGUGUAGACAAUAGCCUUGAAGUUUUACAAUAUUUCGAUGGCGUAUCUUUGAUAAUAUUUGCACCUCAUUUUGAAAACUUUUCAAGUAUAUUGCCUCAUCUCUUUCCCAUCCAUGAAGCUUUUUCAGGGCUACCACAUUGCCUGUAGGCAAUUGAGCCUUGUAAACACUGCCAUAGCCUCCUGUACCUAUGCAAUAUUUGAUGUCAAAGUCUUCUGUUGCUUUAAUGAUAUCUUCAUAAGCAAUCUUCCCAUCAUAGUUCCAUACUGAAAAUAUAUCUCCAUUUUUUGUUGGUAUUUCCUUGGUUUGAAUUUUUCUUGUCUUCCGUGAAAGCAGGAGAAACCCAAGGACCACAAAAAAAAGAAACAAGGUUGUAGACAAAGAAAUAACAAUGAUGCGUGUGGUUUUGUAUUCUUCUUUGCAAUGAGGCAAGCCUUUGAUGUCACCACAUAAACCUUUGUUAUUGUCAAAUGAACCUUGGGAAAAUUUAGACUGCAAUUCAAAGGGUAUAUGACCCUCUAAAUCAUUGUGUGAUAAAUCAAGUGAUGGCUUUAUGUGGUCAUAUAUUAAAAGAGUAGGAAUGGAACCAGAGAGUUUAUUGUGGGAGAGAUUCAAGUAUGUUAAGCGCUUCAAGUUUUGGACUUGGGAAGGUAUCUUUCCAUGGAUCAAGUUAGCACUAAGGUCGAGUCUAGUUAGAUUAUUCAAAUUUCCUAUCGUAGAAGGGAUGUGACCAUUGAUUCGAUUUCCACUAAUGUUGAACUCAUUUAAAUGAAUGAGAUAACCCAAAGAUGAAGGAAUAACACCAGUAAGAUUGUUGUGAUCCAACCUAAGAUGGAUUAGAUUCUUCAGAUUCCAAAUUAUAGGAGGGAUAGAACCAUUGAUUUGAUUAUCACAAAGAUUCAAAUCUGUCAAUUUGGUAAGAUGACCAAAUGACAAGGGGAUGCCGCCCUGGAUUUGAUUGUUGAAGAGAUGUAAAUAAGUCAAAUUGGUAAGAUGACCCAAAGAGGGAGGAAUAGUACCAAUGAGAGAGUUAUGACUAAAGCAUAGUUGAACCAAAUUCUUUAAAUUCCCGAUUUCAGAAGGGAUGGAACCAUUAAUUCGAUUGAAAUUAAGGAAUAAGUAUUCUAGAUUGCUUAAAUUGGCAAGGGAGGAAGGGAUGACACCAGAAAGAGAGUUAGAAACCAAAUACAAAUGAGUAAGAUUCUUCAAAUUCCCAAUUUGGUAAGGAAUAGAACCAUUGAUUUCAUUGAUGCUAAGGUCUAAAUAUUUCAGAUUCUUCAAAUAUCCAAGAGAGGAAGGGAUGACACCAGAGAGCCCAUAGUUAAAACUCAAAUCCAAAUGAAUAAGAUUCUUCAAAUAUCCAAGAGAGGAAGGGAUGACACCAGAGAGAUUGUUAUAAGCCAAAUCCAAUUCCUCUAAUAGAGUAAGGUUACCCAGUGAAACAGGUAGCUCACCAUGAACAUCACAUUCAGAUAUACGGAGGUAAGUGAGUUUUGUAAGCAUACCUAUCUCAUCUGGGAUGCGACCAUAGAUGGAAGAAUGGCUAACGUUGAGAUGGAGGAGGCUGGGAAAUGAAGAAAACUUCAACUUGCUAAGCUCAACCAUUUUACCAUCGAUAUAUG
rnacentral:lncRNA from 1 species